UCUGCAAUAAGAUUAAAAACAUCAAUGAAACACUAAAAGUUUGUAUAUAGAAGCCCUUCUAAAGAUAAGAAUUGGUAAGAGAGCUCACCCAUGGUCUAGUAAAACAACAUCUGUUAGAUAAGUAACCACCAUUCUAUUGUCCAGCUAAUGCAUUUAGAUCUAAGAUAACAUAUGGAAAAAUAGUCGAAAAUAGCUAAAGACAGUCCAAAAACUCAUUUGACUAAUAAUUUUUUAAAAACAGAAACAUAAAACCAGGAUGAAGAAUCCACCCCUCUCCUUGACACCACUUCAAUACCAAAUAAAAUGUUACAAUGACCAUUUAUGGUCUUAAGAGACAGUGGAUGUUGUUUGGGCUCAAGACAUAAGACAAGCCAAAAAUCAAGAAGAAAACAACAUCAAAAUUGGCACAGAAACAAGUACAUCAACUAUCUAAUAAAGAGAUUUAUGCAUGUAACAAAUGCAAAUGAAAUAUGAUACAAGAUUUUCAUGGAUUAAACAAAAAUAGAUGGCAAAAUAGAAGGAUAAGGUCACAGACAGGACAAUAUUAAAAGAAAUUAUUAUUUUUCCGACCUGAAAAUCGAGGCAUUCAGAACAGUACAAGUUUGUAAGUAGUCCAUGGAAACCAGGGAACAUAUGCAGAUGUUGUAUUCUAUUGCAUAAGGCAAACACUCAAUACUUACAAGCAUAAUCAUGCCCAGAAAGCCAUGAAUCCCUUUUUGUUUUGCUUUUUUACCUAUUCCCAUCUCUUAUGGCCAGAAGUGCCCAGGAUGAUAUAACCUCACCAAAUAAGUUAGAAACCAGCCCAUUCAGCAGGUUGAGUAGCCAGCUUGCCCUCAAUCUUCUUUGAGUCAACAAACAGCUGGGCAUUAUUGCCUCCAAUGGAGGGUCUGGAAAUAUUAGAGCCGGCAGCAGGGGUGGCUGUAAAACUCUCUGUUCCAAAACCCCAAGUUUCAGGGCCAGAAGUUCCUUCUGUGGCUGGUUUGUUGUGAUGGCCAUUUCGGGUCCUAACAGACUUGCUAUUGUUGUCUGGGCACCUGCCUCAGAGAAAGCCUGCCAAAGAUCAGAGUCUGGGCCAGGGGAAACGGAUUUUCUUUGCUGGAGUUCCCAGUCUGUUGCUUCAAUCUUUUCUCUGUGCUGUUAUGAGAAGAAAACCUAUCAGACACAUGAAUGGGUACAAAAAGGUAAACUUCAGGUUUUGGUUCUAUUGAAAAGCACAGGAAACUUCACAAGAGGCAAAUUAUACCCCAGAAAUUGACUUACCCAAAUGUCUACUUUCUCAUUUAUAGGUUUCCUCCUAAUCAAAUCCCCACAUCUAGGACAGGAAAAGGAAGAAACUGGGAGUCAACAUUUUUUCAACCAAAAGCACUAACUUACCAAAAAACAUAGUUUUCCAUUCAACCUCGGGAGCUGUAUGUGCAGGUGUACUGUACUUUCUGAUAUUGUCUUCUUCAAUGCCCAUUUCUUCAGGCUUCUUAAAGUGCUUAUGAUUGGUGGAGGUGCUUCCAAAAUUACACAACUUCCAUAAUCCAUUAGGGCCCAAUAGAAGAUUCUCAGCAUUUAUAUAAGAACUUUAGGGUUUAUACCAAUGAUCAUGUUACAGUAUAAAUCAUAGUGAACUGGUGGAAUUUGAUCAUUUAGCCAACCUCAUCAAAAAACUGUUUCACAGUUGAGGGGAUUGUUAACCUUCCCAUGGGCCAAGCAGCAAUUUCUGAAACUGAUCCUGAAAUCAAAAAUCCCACACAAGUAGAUAUUUAACAGAAGAGGAUCCGAAUCUCUUCAAUUGAUUAAUGUAUAAAUGAAAUAAUAAAAAAUUUUAGAGAUAAUUAUAGGGAGAUGAACCUUAUACCUCUGAGUUUCUUAGUCUUCUUGAACAGAGCAAUGAGCAUCAAGUGUUGAGCACCCAGGAAUCUCCCUUCCUCUACAGGGAAAAUCUGAACAAUCUAUCUUUCUUCAUAUUCCACUUCCUUGCAAAAGUCAAAACAUGAAGAAAAUAUCAUCAAAAUUGAGACAAAAAUAAGUGCAUCAACUGUCUCAAGAAGAGAUUUAUGCCUAUUGCUUACCUUUUGCAGAAGUCCACUUGGUUAGAGCACAUUUUACAUGGACGCCCAAUCACUGCAAGCUGCUGAACCAAAGGAGGUUCAAACAUCUAAAAAAUUUGACUAACUCAAGUAUCAUAAAAAUGCUUCACAUGAAUUCCAAAUGAUCUCAUAUCUAAAAAACAUUGGCAUAAAAUUAUUGUUGUUUACCUUACAUGUUUCUUCCAUGGUCAUAAUUGAAACUUUGUUUAUCAUAACAAAUCUUCUAUGCUCAUCCUGAUUACUUACAAUGAACACUGAAAUGAAAAGAAAAAAAAAACACAAAAAAUGACGAUUAGUUUGGUUUGAUAAAUUUAGCACACACAAUUCCCUUUUUCUUGUAUGAAAAAGGAAAGAGUAAAAAAAAAAAUGAAUUUAAUAAUUUUUUAAAACUAGCAAUUAUAAAACUAGUUUGGUUCUCAGAAAAUUUAUGGGAAAGCAGGGAAAAAAAAGUGUAAACUUUUUCUCUUGUUUGAUUGUUUAUGGGAAAAUUGAGGGAAAAACAAAUAUUUAUGAGGAAUCUAUUUAACACUUUUGAGGAACAAAAAAUGUUUUAGAUGUUGUCAAAUCGAUAAUUUAAAUGUAUUUAAUUCCAAUUAAAUAAGUUUAAUCAAACACAUGAAAUGAAAUUGUGAAUAAAAUUAUUUAAAAGCAUUGAAAUUCAUGUCAUUAAAGUUGUCCAUAAAAUUUGGUAUAUUAAAGCAAGAAAAAAACAAAGCAAUUUGAAUGACUUGCUAAUAAAGCAGCUAACUAGAAUAUGCCCUAGAGUUGUUCUAUGUAUAUAAGAAAUAAACAGAGAACACAAUAAAUAAAUAAAAAACCAGAAAAUAAAAUACAAACAAACGAAAAUAAACAGCGUUGUUCAAUGGUUAUAAAUGGUUAUUUUUGCAAACCACCAAAUCAAAACAGAGCAUGAAAACGUGUUCAAUAUUUGUUUCAGGCUUGAAGCAUCAAGAAAAAGAAAAUCUUAAAUCAAAUAAAUAGGACUAGCGAAUGAAUUGGAACUUGAAAGAAAAGUUCAAGUGCAAAAGAAUUACCUGACUCUAUAUUGGCGGAGUGGCACUUUGAUUAAUAUAGCACACCAUUGAUCAUUAUUUUUGGAAUGUGAGCUAUAUAACGCCAUUCUUCCCCUUUCUCAAAUUGACACCGUUUUUCCAGUAGAGGACACCCGUAGAUCCUCAGAAAAGAGAGGGAGUCUGAAAGUCUCUCUUUUGUCAAGUAUUUGAGCUUACGACAGAUCAUGAUCUCCAAUGUUUUAAGAGAGGUGAGGUGUUGAAGACCCACUUUUUUCAAGGAUUGGAGCAUUGGGCACUCAUGGAUCCACAAACUUUCAAGAGAGGUGAGGUGUUGAAGACCCGCUUCUGUCAAUGAUUGGAGCCUCGAGCAUUGACAAAUUACUAAUCGUUUUAGAGAGAUAAGGUGUUGAAGAACCGAUCCUGUCGAGAACUGGAGCUUUGGGCAGAAGUAGAUCCUUAAUUCUAAAAGAGAGGUGAGUUGUUGAAGACCCCCGCUGUCAAGAGACUUGAGAUUUGGAAGAUUCCAGAUUUGAAGAGAAGUCAGAGAAGAGGGCAGCAAACACUCUUUGGGAAAUAAUUCAAUGUCUUCACAUCCACCUUUGAUUAUGAAAUGAGUAAGAGAGGUCAGCCUUUGCAAACCCCACUCCACCUGGGGCGUGAGUUGGUUGCACUUCUUAAUUUCAAGUUCACGUAGGUUGGAAGGCAAACCCUCUCUCUGAAACAACAAUUCUGGACAAUCAUAUAAAUUCAAGUACUGUACAGAUGACUGUCUGUGUGCCAAUGACCUGAGCUUGGAGCACCUAUGAAUCGAACAAGACUUCAAGUUGAGAGCGCGUAAUUCGAUAGAUUCAAGAUCAGAGCAACCUCUUAGACGCAGGGAACAUAAAGAUGUGGGAUCACCCUCUGAAACCAAAAUCGAGAGCUUCUCAAGCCCAUUAAGACCAUUGAUUUCGAAAUCAGUCAACUUGGGGAAGAUGCCUAAUGAGAAGGAUAACGACAGAGAAUCAUCGAUAACACCACGUUCGAUGAUUAGACGUUCAAGGACUGGGAGAUGGCAUCUGAACAACUCAGGUACGAGAAACGCUAAUUUCGAGCAGUUAUAGAUUAACAGUGAUUUCAGUGUAGUGGGUAAACCAACUUUGUGCAGGGAUCUAGAAAAAAUACAAUCACAGAUUUUCAGAUCAUGAAUGUUGGUUUGCGAGAUUUCCUCCUCUAGCAGAGACUCCACAUAAUCACAUUUUCUAAUUGACAGCUGGUGUGGUGCCAUUGGAAGUUGACUCCACUGAGACACAUCUAAAAUUUCAAUUUCUGAAGUUUGAAGAGGUGUGAAGUCACAACCUGGCAUUUGCAACCGCAGUUUACCAAAAUCCACCAUCCUCAACUGACGAAUUGCAGGAACUGUGAGUGAAGCCAUAAGCAGCUGCGGACAUCCAUCAAUUUGAAGUUCCACCAAUGAAAGAAGCUGUUCUGGUAAUUUCCCAGUGAGUUUGGGACACUUUCGUAUAAAAAGCUUUUGGAGACGAGGGAAUUCUCCACAACAUAACCAUUUCUCCCAGUUCUUCAUAUCCUCAAAUGAUAGUGUUUCUAGGAAUUGAAAGGAAGCAUUCUCAUAUAACUCAUCACCCACACACUCUACUCCAUUCAUCCUUGAGAUUUGCAGAUAUUUAAGCUGGGUUAGCUGUCCAAGUGGUGGCAAUGUUGAGCAAUUGCCACAACCCCGAAGCUCAAGGGACACGAGAUUCAACACUGAAGGAUCUCCAAGCCAAUUUGGAAAUCCUUCACCAGGAUAGUUUGUGAUGGAGAGUUGUUUUAAAUUUGGAUGAGGUUGUAACUUGUUGAGUAUAUCAUGCGUUGUUGCACCACUUUGUGUAACACCACUGGUACCCCAACCAAAGAUUAACUCAUAAAGAUAACUUUUAUCCUUCAUAUUAGCCCUUAAUGCAUCAUUAACACUCACCACAUUCUCCAUGUUUGAAAUACAAAGUUUUCCUCGAAUCUCUGACAGCUCCCCCAAUUCUCCAAUUCUUAAUCCAUCGUUUUGGCCCACAAUAAAUUGAGUCAACCUUUGUAAACUUUUUAAUCGACCAAUUCCAUGACUUGACAUUUCUCUCAAUGAACCACAUCCAUCAAUAUCAAGAUAGCGCAAAUUAAUCAAUUUUCCCAUCUUUGAAGGCAAUUCAUCAAGUUUUGAACAAUUUCUCAGCAUCAUCGUUUGUAAAUUGCAUAAACAACAUGCUGAUUUAGGUAAUUUUUUAAUCCUCGUGGAAGACAAAUCCAAGUAACGCAAAUGUUUUAAAUUACCUAUCGAUUUAGGCAAAUCAGUUAUUGUAUAUGCACAUAAUGAUAACACGCGUAAACACCACAUUUUUGGUAAUAUAUCUUGCAAAACUCUUUUACUCAACUUAUACAAAGGAAGAUCAACCCAUGGCUUCACUCUUAAGAAUGUCCGAAGAGAUUUAGCUUUAGGGACAGCCUCAAAAUUCUUAAAUGCAACAAGCCUGGUAUCAUCACUAUUAAAGUACAAAAAGUGGCGAGCCUUCUCAGAUACUUCUGGUGGUAACUUAUCAUCAUCUUCCACUCGAGCACAAAAAUCUCCAGACACGUAUUGAGCCAAUUCAUGUAUUAGAUCAUGCAUUACAAAGCAUGAUCCUUCUAUUCCAAUAGAUUUUUGAAAGAAAGACUUGGCAAGAAGCUCAUCAAAAUAUGACUCACCGAUCUCUUCCAUUCUCCUUCCUUUGUUUUGUUGUGCAUGUAAAAGACCUUCUGCCAUCCAUAAUAAAAUCAGCUCCUCUUUGUUGAAUUGGUGGUCCUGGGGAAAAAUAGAACAAUAAGCAAAACAAUGCUUCAGAGGUAAAGAAAGAUGAUGGUAGCUUAAUAUCAAAGACGGAAGAAUUUCGGAGCCACGCUGCGGAUGCCAUAUUUCACUUCUCAACACAUCGUCCCAUUCCCUUUUUUCGUCCUUAGAAUACAAGAGACAGCCGAGUGCUUUCACAGCCAAAGGCAAUCCUUGGCACUUGUCCACAAUCUGUCUGCCUAUGCGUUGAAGCUCAAGGUAUGCGUUGGGGUCUCUAUCUUCAAAUGCAUGCUUUUUAAACAGGGACCAACUAUCUUCAGAGCUUAAUUCCCCAAGAUGAUGAGUAGGGACUGCUCGCAUGGUUGUUGCAACAGAUUGAUCACGACUGGUCACGACAAUCUUGCUUCCCUCUGCUGCGAGGAGUGGAGUUCGUAGAAUAUUCCAAACUUCACGAUCACUAAGCUCCAUAUAACCUUCAUCACGAGGCUUCAAAUUCCAGACGUCAUCAAGAACAAGCAGAAAUUUCUUGUUACGAAGUUGCUCUGUGAGUUGAAGCUGAAGCAAAUUUAGGUUGUCAGCGGAAGUAGGUGGAGAACCAAUUUCCUCAAGAAUUGUUUUGGUGAGUUUGAUAAGGAAAAACUCAGUGGAAACACAGACCCAUGCUUGCAAGUCGAAGUGUUUCUUCACUUCCUCAUUUUUAUAGAGACGCCGAGCAAGCGUGGUCUUGCCGCUGCCGCCCAUGCCCACUAUGGACAUCACCCCCAUUUUGUCGCCUGUUGUAUUGUCAGAACGCAACCACUCCACCAUCUCCUUCUGAAUUCCAUCCCUGCCGACAAAAAUGGAGUCAUGCUCCAAAGAAGUGGUUAUUGGUGAUCUUGGUCUUGGUGACCGUUUCUCGCCCCCACCUUCUGCCAGCCCCAACCCAACUUUUUCUAGUGCGAUUUUUUCCAGUUGAACAAUCAUGCCCCUGACCCUGGACUCCAUGCUUUUGAUAGCAAAUGGGGCCUUCACAGAAGCAGAGAACUUCUUCCAUUUCCACGCCUUAAGAGUUCCGUCGGUAACGAUCUCGUCCAGCAGGUCUUCCGCACCAUACACAGCAUCCUUGACAGGGACGAGCCACUCUUUGACAUUUGGGUUCGAAAAUUGCUUCACCUCCGCAUCAUCGAGCACAUUGUGAACAACCACGAGUUUCCUCUUCAACUCGUUGAGGAGUUCAUCGCUAAGGCUCCGUCGCCGAAUGAAGUUUAUGAGCUCUGGAGAAGCCAACCUUUCGAAUAGAACUUGAAGCGAAGUUGAGAGGAGGGCGUCCGCCAUAUCUGUGUCGACUGUUGCUUUGCAAUAGGAAUUCAGAGGAUUGGUUUCUGUUACCGCGAUACCACCAAACUGCAAAAGACUGGGUUUGGAUUACCACACUGCAGAAUGCUUGAAGGAAUCAUUAUUGGUGGUGGACCCAGCUGCCAGAUAUUGGUGGUGGACCCAGCUACACUGCAGAAUGCUUGAAGUUAUUGGUGGUGACCCAGCUGCCAAUAUUUGUCAAACACCAUAGUGGUGAGAAAAAGAACAGGAAAAGCGAGUGGGAGGUAGAUGCGCUUUCCCCAAGGAAAGCAGAAUCAACAACAGCAUUCGGUAUUUUUCUUUUUCAUCUACGCAUUUCUUCUUUCUUUCUUCUAGUAUUAUUAUUAGUAGACAUAUACACACAAAUAUUUGUUUAUAACAUUUUCAUUCUUAAUAUUAUAAAAUUUAUUAUUAAUAAUAUUUAUACUAAUAUUAUUUUUUAAUAAUUAUAUUAGUAUCAGGAUUUUAUAAUUAGUAUCCUUACUUUUAUUGCUUAUAAUAAUAAUUAUUAUUAUUAUAUUAUGUUAUUAUUAAAAUUUAUUAGUAUUUUCACAUAAACAAUGAUAUAUGCAUAAGACAUAUUAAAAUUUUGAAUAUUAUGGUUAUUAUUAUUUAAUAAUAAUAUUAUUAUUUGAUUCAAAAAAAGUUUAUAAUAUAAUAAUAACAAAAAUAAUUUUUUUAAUAAAAUAAAUUAUAAAAAUAUAAUAAUUUUAUUAUUUAUAAAAUACAUUUAUUUUAAUGCAAUUAAAAAAAUUAAAAUAAUUUUAAAAAAUUUAAAAAUUUUCAAAAAAAAGUUAAAUGGGACGGGAUUAGGAUGGGAUCGAUCCAUCCCAAUGUCGUCCCGUUGUCAUCCCUAACUCAUCUUGUGAUAAUUAAGGCCAUUUUUUAUCAUUGUUUUUUUAAAAUGGUCUUUUAUCCUUAAUAUAUAUAUAUAUAAUAAUUAGAAAUAAAACAUAAUUUUUGUUUUUAAAAAUAAAAAAUAAGGCAUUUUUAGAUCAUAUCCUUUUAGUUACUUUUAUUUGUUUUUAAAAAGUAAUUAUAUAAAUAUAAAAAAUAAAAUAAUUUAAAUAAAAUUUAUUUUUAAAAUAUAGAAAAUUAGUUAAUAACACUUUAUCUUCUCAAGCUCUUGUUUUAUAAAAUAUCAUAAAAUAAUUUUCAAAAACUUUUUUUUUUCACAAUUUUGACAAACAAAACGUGUUGCAAUAAUGCACUUAAAUUCAAUGAACCUAAAAGCCAAAUGUGCAGUGUUGACUUUUCAACAGAGAGUUCACACAUGCCCAUUUUUUUAAUUAAAGCACUAUUGAUAUAAAAUAUAUAUUUAAAUAAAAAUUAGACUUUUAAAAAAAUUAAAAUAUAUUUUUAAAAUUAAAAUAUAUUUUUAAAAUGUUAAAAAAAUAUUUACAAUAUUUCCUUAAAAAAAACAUCUUCCAAAAACAUUUCUUUAAAAAAUACUUCCACCGAUAACAAUUUAGACACACUUGUGAUUUAAUAGUUAAAUAUUCUUUCCAACAGGAAUUCAACUAUCAGUUUGUAUUACCACGAUACCACCAAACUGCAAAAGACUAAUUUUGGAUUACCAAAAUGCAGAAGAGCUGAAGGAAUCAUUGAUGGUGGACGACCCAGAUGUCCACAUUAUUUGUCAGACACCAUAAUUGAGUGAUGAGGAAAUGAAAGAAAAGAAAAUAAAAAACAAAAAAGGUGAUGCCAAACAUGGUCUUAUAAGGUGGGUGGAGCGAAAGCAACAAAGGAAACUAGCAGGAUUUUUCAUUGCUAUUCCAUACCUUAAAGGACAAAUUUUGAAUUACCAAAAUACAAAAGACUUGAAGGAAUCAUUGAUGGUGGUGGACCAGAUGUCCACAUUAUUUGCCAAACACCAUAAUUGAGUGAUGACAAAACAAAAGAAAAAGCAAAAAAGGUGAUGCCAACAUGGUCUUGUAAGGUGGGUGGAGCAAAAGCAACAAAACAAACUAGUAGGAUUUUUUUAUUGCUAUUCCAUAUCUCAAAUGACUAAUUUUGAAUUACCAAAAUAUAGAAGACAUGAAGGAAUCAUUGAUGGUGGUGGACCAAGAUGUUCACAUUAUUUGCCAAACACCAUAAUUGAGUGAUGAGAAAAUGAAAAACAAAAAAGGUGAUGACAAACAUGGUCUUGUAAGGUGGGUGGAGCGAAAGCAACAAAGUAAACUAGCAAGACUUUUCGUUGCUAUUCCAUACUUCAAAGGAUUGAUUUUGAAUCAUCAAAAUACAGAAUACUUGAUGGAAUCAUUGAUGGUGGUGGACCCCGAUGUCCAUAUUAUUUGCCAAACACCAUAAUUGAGUGAUGAGAAAAUGAAAAAAAAAAAAAAGUUAAGAAAAAACAAAGAAGUGAUGCCAAACAUGGUGUCGUGAGGUGGGUGGAGCAAAAACAACAAAACAAACUAGUAGGAUUUUUUGUUGUUAUUCCAUACUGAGAAAAUAAAGGGCUAUUCUAAAUAGAUAAAAACACCCAAGAGAGGAGGUGAAUAGAAGUUAAAAAAUUUCUUUUUAAACACAAUAAAAUUAAGCAUAAGAAGUACAAAUAUAAAGAAGUAAGGUUAUAGAAAGUAAACUCAAAUUUAUAGUGGUUCGACACUUCCUUACUUACAUCCACUCUCCUCAAGCUCCUAAUCGAGUGAGGGUUCCACUUAUACUUGAAGUUUCAACCAAACUUCUAAUCACUUUUUACACUUGGAUUCCAUCUCCAAUGGACUCUUACACAAUCUUUUCAAGUCUUUACUCACUUGAAGGUUUUAACACUCAAUUAACAAGUUUGAAUCUCUCAACCUAGCUCAACAAUGACUCAAAUACAACUCAAGGCUAGGAUGAAUCACUAAGGUGCACUAAAGAAUAUGCAAAUGAAAAUUUAAUGCACUAAUAAAAUAAUGAGAGCUUUUAUGGCAAUAAUAAGUAGGUAAACAAAUAAAUGCAAGUGUUCUCUUACUCAUAAAUGAGGUAGAGCUCUCAAUUUAUAGGUUUCUAACCUCAGGAGCUAAAAAGCCAAAAAACAGUCUCAACUGGUUGAACUGGGGGUUGACUGGUUCAUUAGCCGUUGGAACAUUAAAUGCUUGGCAGGUGACCGUUACCCUCGACCAAACCUUAACUGAGAAGGCAAAUCCAUCAACCAGGAAAGAAAGGCUACUAGAAGAGAGAGAAUGUUUUUCACAUCUCUCAACCGGACCUUGACAUAGAAAGAGUAAUCGGUAGACCGAUACCUUAGCUGAUUGAGCCGAUUGGCCAGUGCCUCGACUAGUUCACCAUUUUUAGUCUGAAAACCUAUCUUUUUCUGGUCUUUUUGCUUCUAGCACUUAGGUAAGGACUUUAGAUAAAAUAAUAUGUCAAUUUUGAAAUGUUUUGCCUAAGGUUCAUUUGAUAGAACUCGGAUUUUGAUGGAAAUGUAACUUUAAUGCAUAAACCGAGUUUUAAAGAUGUAUGAAAUGAUAUGAAUACCCUAAGUACACUCAUGCAUUCAUCUUACGUAUGUUUCCUAUGAUUAAAAGGUCGUUCAAAAGUCUUGAUCUUGCAUUCAUUAGGUCCUUUAAUGAAUUUCCAAAUUAACACCUGAAAUUCUUUAUAAUUCAAAUCAAUUAGUAACUUAACCAUGAUUUGUUAUAAUCAAAACAUGAUUAGGAGAAUCAUUGGGCUAACACAUACCUCAAAGGACUAAUUUUGAAUUACCAAAAUAUAGAAGACUUGAAGGAAUCACUAAUCUUUUUAUAAUUUAGAAAAAUAAGUAAAACGAGUUUGAAGAAAUGUAUAAAAAUAAUUUAUUAAAUUUAAAUUUAUUUCUUAUUUUCCUUCAUUUUUUCUUUUUUUCUACUUUUUCUUUCUAUUUUCUUUCCUUCUCGUUUUCCCUCAAAUUUUCCAAGAGCCAAAUAUAGCUUAAAGGUUUAGAAUCUUAUGCACAAGACUUUCAAUUUUUUUUACAAUAUUAUUUUAUUAGUUAAGAAUUAAAAUUUAAUGUACCAUAUCUAACACUAACAAAAAAAUUUAUAACAACCAAUCUUAUCUUUUAAGAAUAUAUUGUUUAAAUGAGAUUAAAAAUUAAAAAUAAAUUUUAAUUCAUUUAACAACUAAAUUAAAAUGAAAUUUAUAUAUAUAUAUCAUAAAUUUAUACAAUUUUGAAUCAUUUUAUAUGGAGGAUUGAGAAUGGAGAGAUUGAAGAAUUGUUUGGUGACGAGGAGAUUGAUCGAAGAUUUUAUAGUCUUAAGGUUCUAUGGGAUGAAAUUUUUUGUAAAGAGUUUAAAUUUUUGUAAAAAAUAAAAUUAGUUUUAUGUUAUUUGAUUUCAUGGAAAUACAAAGUUUUAAUUCAAAGAUUAUGUUUUAAAAAUAUUAUUUUUAAAAUAUAUUUAGUAAAGAUUUAUAAAAAUUUAAAAUUAAAAUUAGUUAAUCUAUCAACUAAAUUAAAAUAAGAUUUAUAUAUUAUUUUUAUAGAUUUACAUGUGUAAAAUCUUUAAAAUGCCUCAACUUAAAAUAUCCUUACAAAAUUUCAUUAAUCUACUAGCAAUCUGCAUAUUGUCUCUACAUAGAGUCAAUUUGCAUUAGGAUGAAUACCAUCAUAAUAAUAAUUACGCUCCACAUAUGAUGUAUCUUAACAUCCACUUGGAGGUUAAAAAAUAAUUAAAGUAAGGGAAACUAAUAUAUUUAAAAUUUAAAAAUCAUUAUGAAGAUUUGGACAAUAAUUCAAGUAGGCAUCUUUGAAAUUUGGCUUCCAAAUCCCUUUGUCAAUAUACACCACCCUAUGACAAUUAAAUAAAUUAAAAGAAGGAAAAAAAAUGUUAAAGGAAUGACAAAACAUAGGGAACAAUUAUAUUUAAGGAGUGGAUGGAGUUGAUAAUGACUAAAGGGUACAAAUCUUGCAUAAUUGAACUAAAAAGGUAGAAAAGGUUUGUAGAUUGUUGUGGAAGAUAUAAACCCACUUUGUGAGUCAAAAAUGCUCAAAAUACCCUUAAGGGUGUUUUUUAAAAAAGGACAAUUAAGUACUCAUGAUAAUUAAUAUAUUAAGAUUUCAAGAAAAAUUAAUAAUAAAUAAAAUCUUUUUCUAAAUCUAUUUAACAAUCAUAUAGUUUUUAUUUUAUUUUAUUUUUUCAAGUGGCAACUAUUAUCUUAAUUUAUUUUUCAUUUUAAGGUUCAAUUAUUAUUAUUCUUUAUUUUGAAAUUUAAUUAAAUGAAACUGUAUAAGACAUGUUUAUAUUAAUUAGCUAAAAAGGAUAGAUUUUUUAGCAAUAUGAUUAAAAUAAAUAAAAACAAGGAAUUUGAUUUUCUUUAUAAAAUAGAUUAGGAAAAGUAUAUUUCGAUACAUUCGUAUGAAAAAAAAAUUCAUAAAAUAGGAACUCAAGUUUAUAAAAUACAAAUUUUAAGCAUUCAUCUAAAAAUAAUUAUCAUUUCAUGCAUUUUUUUUGUCAAAUAUAUUAUAUUUGAUAAUUUAGGUAUUAUAUUUUAAUAAUAUAAGUAGUACCUUUGACCCCCAUAAAACUUGAAUUAUUUUAAAUAGUUUCUAUUAUAUAAUUAUUUAACCAUUUGAUAUAAAUAUUAAAUAAUAAAAAAUAUAUCAUUUUUUAAAGAAUUUUAAUUAUAUUUGACUUUCUUUUGUAUUUUCUAUGGUGUAAUUCACAUAUGAGAAAAUCAUUUUCUUUAACAUUUUUUUUUCUUUCCUUAAUAAUUUUCGAGAACCAAACAAGGCUUGUAGGUUUGAAUUAUAGGGUAUAGAUGCCAAAAAUACCAGAAUGAGUUUGGGUUUUCAUGCUAAAUGUCUUUAUUAUUAUUUGGUAGCACUUUUCCAAAAUUGUUCCAUUCCCAAAACCACUUAAUUUGCUUAAAUAUUUUUACCUCACGAUAUCAUAACAUUAUAAUGGAAUAGAUUUUGUUGGUGUUCAAAUCAUGUCAACUCAAUUUCCAAACCAUUCGGAUUGUCAUUUGGUGAAAAAUAGAAAGAAAUUUUACUUUAUUGAAAAGCAUUUCAUUUUGAUUUGAAUAUGCUGCAAUGAAAUAGUUACUAAACCAUGGGGUAGCAGAAGAAGUAAUCGAGAAAAUGAAGAAGGAUGUUCAAGAAUUCUUUAUGCUGCCAUUGGAGAAGUUUUCAAGAUUUCUCCUGAGUAGAAAACUUAAUGGUAAGAGUACAAUAAGUCAUAUGAAAUUGGAGAACUGAAAGAGCAUAAGAACCAUGUUUUAUUAAAAGACCUGUGAAAGUUUAAUCAGUCAUGGAACUACUAAGAGGGGAUGAAUUAACAGUUUUCUUAAAUUUUGUCCAAAGUUAUGAAUUUUUAUUUUUUAUAAUUUUUUUUUACUUAAAUUGAAACUUAUUAAUCAAGGUAAGAUUUCAGCCACAUCGAGAAACAAUUUACGUGAAAAGGGACUGAUAAAAUCUUGAGUUUACAGAUGUAAAAACCAUAAGGCCAAAGACUGUAGAACUCCAACCCACUGAAUCAAGAAUAGAAACACAAAUUUAUCUACCAACCUACACUAAUCUCAUAUCUACAAUGCAACACCAUCGUACUCUUAAGUGACUUGAAAGGAUGUGAAUAUUUCUCACAAACUUCAUAAUGAAAUUCAAAUUAGCUCUGAGAGUUUUGGGUUAGGCACAAAGAGUAAUAAUGCAUAGCUUUUGUGUGUGAGUUUUUAAGUGAACUUAAGACUCAAUUUAAAGCAUGUAUUUUACUAAAAAUAAAAAAAUAAAUUUAAGAAACUUCAAGAAUUUUGGAAAGAUAAAUUUUAAAAAAAAUUCAAAGAGAGUCAGAAAAUGUUUCCUUUUUAAAUUCUCAAUUUAAUUUAUUUUCAAAUUUAUUAAGAGUUUAAGAAAUAUUUUCUUUUUAAAUUAUCAAUUUAAAACUCUCUUUUAAAUUAAUUUUAUUAUUAAUUUUCAUGCAAGUCUACUCUAUACAUUUUACAUCGUUAUUCUCAAUUAACUCAACAAUAUUAGAGUGUAACAUCCCCAAUUGAUUUUGCACCAACCUUAAGUCUUCAAAGACAAUGAUUGAGGCAUUUCUUCUCCUAUUUUCUCCGAUGUAGAAAAAAAACUUGAAUAAGGUUAAAGCUGGUCUAUAGCAAAAAGUCUUAAUUUGAGUUAGCCUCUUUUUUUUUUUCCAAAUGAUAUGCAGGUCCAUCUAGCCUUCAACUCAAAUUUUUUAUUCAAAAAUCACAUGUGGAUAUGUGAACAAGUAAAAGUUGAGUUUUACCUAACAAAUCAUUUUGAAAAUUAGGAAAUUUAAAAGGUAUUAGUUUGUUAAACUCACCACCCCUGUCUAUUCUACAAAACAAGAAGAUUAGCAAAGAAAAAGUAUUCAUAUUUGUACUACAAAAUAAAAAGAUUAGCAAAGAGAGAAAUUGUACCCAUGAGUGCAGAGUUUUGGGUUAAAACAACCCUUUUGAUGGGAAAAAUAUUAAAUUUAACCACUUUGUCAAACUAAUGUGUAAAAUGAUCCUUUUAUUAUCACAUAGGAGUCAUAUCACUAAUAUAUAUAUAUAUAUAUAUAUAUAUAUUUAAUUUAAGUUGAAGCCUCAAUUGCCAAUUAAGGCUUCAAUUAUCAAUUAUGACUUUAUUUUUAACCCGAAACCUUACUUGCCAAUUGAGGUUUCAACUAAAAAAAGAAACCUCAAUCGUCAACUAAGACUUAAUUUUUUAAUUGAAGCCUCAAUUGACAAUUGCGGUUUUAUUUUAAAACUGAAAUCUCAAUUGUCAAUUGAGGCUUUACUUUUGUGGAAGGAUUAUGUGACACUCACGUUACUAGAAAAAAGCCAUACUGAAUAUAAGUUUCAAAAGUGGCUUAAAAGGUAUAAAUUUUAUGAUCAAAGAUGCCAUUUUGACCCAAAAUCCCAUGGGUGCAUGAGACUCUAGUUAAUCAUAGAUUUCAUAGAUAAAAAUCAGAGUUAGGAUGAUUCAACCCCUAAGCGUCAAGAAUUCUUUAACAUAAUGUUAGAACAUUUUCCAAUUUAAAUUCGAGAGUUGACUUUAUUUGAAUGUGCUUUUGAUUUUUUUUUUUAAAUAAGCUUCAGUGUUUUUUUUAAAAAGAAAUAAAAAUAAAUAAAAAUAGGAGCUUCUAUAUAGAAAGUAAAAAUUUUAUCCAACAAAUAUAAGGCUCACCUUAUAUCCUUAUAAAAUAAAAAAUUUUAAAUUUUUUAAUACCUCAAAAUUUUUAAUCAAUAUUUAAAUAUCAUUAUAUUUUCAAUAUGAUUCCUUUAAAAGUUAAAAUUACUUAUAUUUUUUAUUUUCAAAAAAAAAAUAUAUAUAUAUAAGUAAUUUUAUGUUUUUUAAUUAUUAAGAUGGAUGAAAUAAUCCCAAAUUUGCAAAAAUAACUUCUUCUAUGUUUGAAUUUGAAAAAUAACUCAUUUCCAACAUAAAUACUCUUCAAUAUUUGGAUUAUUUUAAUAUAAAUUUUAGAAGAAAGUGUUAUUUUGACAGGAAAACAUGAAAGACAUUUUUGUUAAAAAUUGAUCUUUUUUUAAGGCUAAAAUAUAUAUAGGUUUAUAUUUACAAAUUUGAGACUAUUUCGUCCUCUUAAUCAAAUAACUUAAAAAAGAAAAGAGUUAAUUCCACAAGUGGGUUUAAAAUACUCACAAAAUUGCAAUAUAUAUAUAUAUAUAUAUAUAUAUAUAUAUAUAUAUAUAUAUAUAUAUAUAUAUAUAUAUGAAAUUACAAAUUUACCCUCGUGUGUUGAGCACAUGACACUUCCAUUCAUUAAAGCUAACAUUGUUAAAUAACAAAUGUACAUUGCAACUAUUUAAGAAGUAUGAAGGGCACAUUGCUUGAUUUUAGUACAUGGUGAGAAACUUGUUGAACAAGUUAUGUGUAAAGUUUUAUGGUUCAUGUAUGAUAGAAAAUACAGAUCUACUACAACACUGGAUUUGCAAUUUGGGUUAAUAUUUAAAGAAAAGACCAUAGGACAAAAAGAAUUAAACUUUUGGUGGAAAACAAUAAAGAAAGGACUACAUGGAAAAAGGGAAGAGAUCAUUAUAAAGGAAGAUUAUUGAAUAGAAAUAAUUCCAAGAACCUAAGGCAAGACAUAGAGUAUCACUACUACUAUCACAAAAAGGGGUAUAUCAUAAAAUUUAUGAAAUUUUGAAAAAGACCUAAAAAAUGAAGAAAAAAAAAAACAAAUCAAAGAAGCCUACAAGUGUAACUAGUGUUCUUAAAGUUGCGAAAUGAAGGUAAUAAAUCAAAAGUAGAUUUGUUAAUAGUUUUUAAAAUGCUUGAAUUAGGAAUUGUCUACUUGUACCAUACAAGCCCUUGUAGAGACUGGUUUGACAUGUAAAUUGUUUGUAAAAUCAUUUUAAUGGGCAAUAAUGCACCAAGUUGCUCCACGAGAAGGGGAGGGGUUUGUGAAACCAUCACUUGUCAUGACAUACAUCGUCGGGUAAUCACGGAUGAGGGCAUCCACGGGAGGCCAAUGUCUACCCUCGCUCCACACCCCUCUAGUACAAGGCUCUAGGAGGGAGAGAGGCAACAAGUGUGUGACACCAAGGUAAAUAUGCUUGACCUUAUGGCUUUGGGAGCAACUUGCAUUGAAAGACUUGAUGAUUCACAAGAUUCUACAAUUCAUACAAAGUAUUGCAUUUUGCGACGUUCUUCAUCAAUAAGAGAGCCUAGAUAUCCAUUGUCAAGAAUUCUUUAUGUAUGAAAACAAAGGCGCCUAACCGACAUGCCCAAGAUCAAGGCAACUGGAGCGUGUUGCUUCGCCCAAGUUACUUAGCGCGUUUUGUGCCAAAGUUUGUUGUUCGCUCAAGAGGGCUUUUGUGAAUCUUUGUAAUAAAGGGAUAAUACAGAGUGGGCCGUAAUUUAGCAUCUUACACGCUUAGUUUCUUCCAUUGGUGGCAUAUAUUAUUUUGUCUGUCAUUGGUGAUUAUUUAAUAAAACUAUGAGAGUAUUUCAUGAAAUAUAAAUAAGAGGUUUUUAGGAUAUUUAAUCGAUGGUAAACAAAAGUUGAAAACUAAGUAGGGAGGAAGAUAAAAUAUUUUAGAUUUGAUAGUGGACUUGAGCAUUAGAACAAGAAGUUCACAAAGUAUUGCGAGAAUUCUUAUAUUACUUAACAUCACAUGUAAAGAAAUUACAAAGCAAAAUGGAGUGGUUGAAAAGAUGAAUAGAACACCAUUGGAAUGACUAGGUGGCUAAGAUUAACCAUUGGGUUACUUAAGAAUUUAAGGGCUAAAGCUAUCAACAUAACUUAUCAUGUAAUUACUUAGUUGUCAAGUUUUACAAUUAUUUUCAAUAUUCCAAAAGAAGUGUCAAGUAAAUCAAUUGACUUUUCAUCUAUUGAAAUAUUUGAUUGUUGCACUUAUAUUCAUAUAUAGGUGAAAAAAAAAUUCAAUCCAAAAUAAAAAAGGUAUAUAUUCCUUGGGUUUGAAAAAAGGAUUGAUUAAAGACUAUAGACUUUGGGAUCCAACAAUUAAAGAAAAAAAAGUGGUGAGCAGAGAUGAAUUCAAUGAAAAACAUAUGUUAAAGAAAGAUCAAGGACAAAUGAAAUUGGUAUUGAAAAAAAAUUCAACUACAUGACCAAUCAUCGAGAUGAAAUUUGAGAAAAAUGUCAUUAAAUAUGAAAUCCCUCCUAAUUGAUGUCCCUAUUAGAACUUUAUAUGGGCAUCUUUCUCUAUUGCUCUAAAGAAUCAUCGAAUUGGGUAAGGACAUCAAUUUUAAGAUUUUAAUUUUUUUUCAUUAUUUAUUGGAAUAGGAGAUCUUUAAAUUUUUUUGGGGCUCAAUUAGGAAGGAUGAUAGUUAUCAAUGUGUUGGUGCUAUGUCAAAUGAGAAUCCAAUGCACAUGUUGACUAAAGUUGUUCUUAAGGAUAAGUUCAAGCAUUGGUUGAAUGUCAUUAAUUUUUCAUUUUGUAGAACAUGGAAGGUCAAUUUUAUCGAAGAGCCAGGUCAAUCAACUUCUAUUAGGACUUCCAUUGAUUCUUGAUUUGACUAGAGGGACUCCUAGCAGUAAAUUUGUAUGAAGGGGCCCUACGGAGAUGCAAGAGCUGCCAAUCGGAUCGACCAAUAAAUGAUAGGCCCAUGCAGAGAUGUCCCUGAAAUAGGGGAUUGGUUGAUUGGAAAGCUUAGGCAGAGUAUAAAGGAGAACAAUUUAGCAUUUUGGGAAAAGCACAUAUGAAGAUGUUUACAAGUUUGGAAAUUUGAGUUAAAGAAGAGAUGGUCUAAAAAUGUUUCAAAUUUCAAUUUUAUGUUUUUCUAAGUUUGAUAUAUCCUAUUUGGAUAUUUGGGAAGUCUUCUCUUGUUACAUAAGGUAGUCCUAUGAUGAGAUUUGUUAUGAAAAUAGGUUCUUCCUCGUGUGAAAUAUUCCUAUGAAAUUAAGAAGGAAUAUAGGAAGAGUUUUUAUUGAAAUUAUGAAUCUUUUUUUUAUGUAAUUAGAACUAAAAUAUGAGAGUUUUAGAAUUGUAAUUACACCUUUGAAUAUAAAUAAUUGAUAAUAGUGAAUUAAUUUACCUUCUCCCUCUAGAUGUAGGUAAAUGCUAAAUUAUGUUAAAUCUUGUAUUCUCAUAUGAUUUUUUUUUUCAUUUAUUUUUCAUUUUCUUGCCCAUUUCUAACUUGCUACUACAUAAUAACAGGUGGUAUCAGGCUUUUUGUGUUUGCACAACAAAUGGUCUCAGUUUUUCCAGCACCACAAAAAUGAUAUUUUACUUAAUUGCUCCUCAGUGGAAAAGUUGGAAAGAAAAAUUAAAUCAUCGACUACACCUUUUUUUUUUUUUCCAAAACUUUUCUUGUCUUUGUGCAAGAAAAUUAGUAUAUUUUCUCUUUAGUAUUUGUUUCUCAUUUAUAUAUAUAUAUAUAUAUAUAUUCAAAUGGAACCUUAAUCAUCUUUUAUAUGAAGUAUAAAAGAAUUAGAAAAUAUUCAAAUUUUAAAUGAUUUUUAUUAUACUUUGUCCACUUCCUAUUUCAUAUAUCAAAUUACAAUAGAAUUUAAAAUUCUUUUAUAAGUUUUUUCUCCCUUUGCUACCACAUAAACGCAAAGACAGUAUGUGAGUUAAAUACCUUAAAAGAAAAAGAAAUUAAAAUGUGAUACAAAACAAAAGUAACCUCUUUAAAUUCAAGGAAACAAAACACUAAACUUUUUCAUGUAUUUUAUUCCAUUUAUAAAUGCAACAUGACAAAAAUAGACAAAAAUAUAAAUGGAAACCCUUUGGGUCCUUUAUUUUAUAUUUUAUCAACUUCAACCAAUUCUAUUUCUAUAGCACAACCGAUAUUAUAAAGUUCAAUGAGUAUAUAAUAUAUAAAGAUACUAAUCAAUACGAAUUAUUCUUUCUUUCAAAUGGCUACUUGUAUUAAAAAUUAAAUGUAAUUCCUCCUAAACAAUAAAAUAUGUUGACACGAUUUCAAUGAAUAUACAGUACAUAAAGAUAUGACCAAUUAGUACGAAUUAUUCUUUCUUUUAAAUAGCUACUUAUACUAAAAUAUAAGUAAACAUAAUUCCUCCUAGAUAAUAAAAUAUGUUGACACAAGGAGGAAUAUAUUUACUAAUUAUAUCAUUUGCAAUAGCCUCAAUCUCGUGACGUUCUUCGAACCAACCAUAGACUUUAUUGAGAUAGGUUAACCAAGGGAGCUUCCACUCUCAUAACUCGUAUAUGAAAAUUUCAUCUUGUACAACUCAAAUAGAAACCCAUAAAUACCAGUUGAAACCAAAAUGUAAUAAAUAAAUAAAAACAUAUUUCAAUGGAUCCAAUUAGUAUUUUUCUGAUCUCGGAUAAACAAACAAAUUUUUCUUCAUUUUGUUUUUUUUUCCAUUAAUCUUUGUAAGUAAAUUAUAUUUUAAUUUAACAAAGCACUAAACUUUACUUUAAUUUUCAUGCAGGAUCAACUAGCUUAUCAUAAUAAAAUUUAUCAAUAUAGCUGAGCAGAGAUUUGAUGUAAUAAUACCAUACAAAAUUCAAGUAAAAUUAAAUUAAUCAAAUAGGACACUACGGUCAUAUUUGGAUACAUAUUCUAUUUUUUAUUUUUAAAAUUAAAAUUUUGAUAUAAAAUAUGACAACCCUUUGUAUAAAAAAUAAAAAUUUAUCCUAUAAUCUUAAAACUACUUUUCAAUAUUAAAAAAAAAUGAGGACGUGUCCUAAAAUUUUAAACAAAUUUAAAAAUAUUUUUAAAUACCAAGAUAUCCACUUUUUUCUUUUUUAAUAAAAAUUCCUAUAUUUGAUAUAAAACUCUAUUUUAAAAAAUGAAAAAUAAAAAAUGUAUCCAAACAUAAGCAAAAUUGUUAGAUUUCAUUGUGAGAUUUCUUAGAUUCUACAAUUCAUAGUGAAAUGAAGACGAGAGAUAACUGACUGAAUUAUGAAAAAAAAAAUUAACAUUGAUGAGAUUCAAAAAUGCUAGUUAAUGAAAGAGUUUCUCCGCCAGGAUGACUAAGAAAAAUGCUGAAAAAUGUGUCAUGCCCAAAGCAAUGUUACAAUGAAGAAUAGAAUGAGAGCUAACCCGAAACAAAAUCCGACAAUCGCCAUGAAAGCCUGGAUGCAGAGGAAAUGUAACUAGAGACAUGUAAGGAAUCAUUAAGCAAGUGAGAACAAUAUCAAAAUCUCAUGUACGACUUACUUACCUUUCCCUGAGAUUCAAACUUGAAUUUUACUGUAAACCAUGACAAUCCUCUAUCUACAAUAGGUGCAAGUGCAAGGGCCCUGCAUGAGAAGCACCUCUACAAAAAUCACAGAAAACCCAAAGGAAAAAAAAAAAAAAAGAGUAAAUAAAUAGAAACUAGUCUAUCAGAAACCAGGAGGCUGCAACAAAUAAUCUCCAAAUGUCAGAUUUAAUAUUUAUUUACAAAUGCCACUAAAAGGCCUUUUCAUCAGAGAAAUCUAGAAUAAAAAAGGAUAAGGAGCCAUUUGGAUUACAGAGGUCAAAGAUUGGGUUGGAUGGGAGCAAGUUUAACCUCCUCAGUGAAAAUGAAAAUGCAAGGCCCAUCAUCAACGCUAGGUUCAAAAAUUGACACCAUUUCUUGAAGACUUUCUUUUUUCAUUCUUCAAUUGUCAUUUUGAUUCAAAGAAGCAGCAGCAUGAUAGACUAAACAAUCAUCAUAAACCCAGUUGCAAGUUAUAAGGAUAAGAAAGAAAAUGAACAGAAAACAUAUAUGAGAGAACUGAUAGGCCAAAAAAAUCAUUGUUGAAGGAAUCGAGCAUAAAUCUCUGAACAAAAUUUAGCUGAAAUUCACUGAUUUUGGGUUAUUUUGUGAUAAGAGCAUUGCAAUAUCCCAAUAAACUGUUACGCUAACUAAAGAUUUAAAACAGAAUUUAGCUGCUUACCCUCCAGCUCUGACAAGUUUAGUGACCUGGCUGCCUGCCCACACCAUAGCCAUGAUUUUGACAAAUCUGCCAAUUGGAUUCCAUGUCAAGAUAUUUUGAAAAACUUGUGCAAAAAGAAACUUUUUGGAAUAAGUUUUUACCUUUCAACUGCCGCCAAAUAACCCAUCCUUCCUGGUGCUGGAGCAAUAUAAAACCUAGAAGCAGCAUAGUGAAUUCAGAGUUAUACUGGUUAUUUGAAAUCUACUCUGAACACCUAUGAUAGAGACUGCAGGAUGUGGUAAAACACUAAGGCAUAUUUCAAACUACAUUAUAAGGUAUUUGAUUAGAAAAUUAAAUAAAUAAAUAAAUAAAUAAAAUAACAUAACAUAAAAUACAAAAAAGAAAAAAAAAAUUAACAAACUGAAUUUGUCCAUAUGCAACAAUAUGCAAUUGUUAGCCAUGAAUCCCAGUUAUGUCGGUUUCCAGUAUUAAUAAUUAAGCAUGAUGUUUAUGAACUAGACCAGCAUUCUAAUAACUCUAGAUUGAAGGGCAUGGAUGUCACAUUUGUAUUCCAUCAUGUGCAACUAACAUCACAUUGAAAUAAUAUCCACUAAAGCAAGUUAAGACCCAGUAUAUCAGAUUAAAUUUUUUCUACCAUGAACAUAAGCUUGAUAAAAAUGAAGAUGGAAAUGCAAUACUUCUUUAUAUGACAUAAUGAAGGGAACCAAAUACAAGGACUCCCCAUUCCAGAUGCAGAAAGCCAAGUUACAACCUUUGCCAAAUAAAGAGAUCCACCAUAAGUUCAUUUUUAGACAUGCUAUAGUUGAAUAUGCCAUCAGUAAGUGAUCAAAAGCCAAUUCAGAUGGGAAUAACAGCCACAAUGUUGGGAAGGUCAAUAACAAAAGCAUUGACUUGAAUGUUGGCAGUGUCAUUUACACUGGCCAUAAGAACCAGAGGUAAUGCAUACAGUUGGUAAGGUGGGGAGGAGGAGAUGAGAAAUUGAAAAGUCUUGAAUUUAUUUGUUUCAUGCAAUUCCGUUUUCCAAUACUCUAUACGAUAAUAUACAUUGUACAGCACAAGAAUAGGGUUGUUUUAAAAUUUUGAACAAAUAAAAAUUUCAUAUCAAUAUCUAAUAUUUAAUAAAAAAGAAUGAAACAAGAGUAAGUACAUUCUCUUCUCCUUAACAUGGUAUUAAAGCAGUCUCCAAACUCUUAACUCCUAGUUGCAUACUUGAUUUGCACUGGAAGUUGCAGUUUGCUCAUUUUGUUAUUCAAGUAAGUUACUUCAAUCUAUCAUAGUUUAAAUGACUUGGGACGGUAGUUGUCAUGGGCACGAAUUUUCCCACAAAUUUUUCGCAUUCACACAGCGCUUAGAAGCCCUCUAAGCCAACAUACUCAAACCCACAUGAGAUUGCAAUCAAGAAAAACCUCACAAAGACACACAAGGCUAUGGAGCUCAAUCCCUAACUUGUAUUUUAUUUCUUCUCUAAAUAACAAUACCAGACAUAGCUUAACAAGACUUCCACAAUCUCUUUGGUGAGUUCAUGCUCUCUCUCAAGCUAUGUAUAUUCUCUAUGAUCUCCAGAUUGCACGAUAAUUCAAAGGGCACUCCAGUCCUCCUUUUAUAGGUGUGACACCAACCACUCCCUAUUUGAUAAGGAGCAACGAAUCCUAGUUCUACUCAAACUACAAUUAAAAUAAGAAUCUAAACUCCUAUUCAAACUCAAAUUACAAUAACAAUUUGAAUUCAACUCUGAACUUUCAAAUGUCUUCGGCCCAUUCCUCUUUCAUUUGAAACUCCUUGUAUCAGGCCACAUAUCAGCCCUUCAAUUCCCUGGUUUGUGGUGCAAUAUAUCUUCCUUAAGCUUGUCCCAAUGCCAAGACAUCUUUGUUGUGUUCUGCCUGAAGUCUACCCACUCUUGUGCCUUGAGUCAGUCCAUUCAUGCAUUUGAAUCAGCUGAUGCAUCCGAUCAGCUUGCUAUAGCGUCUCUAGGCAGCCUACUACAUGUGUCUCUAUGCAACUAGUGUGCAUGCCAAGCCCUCUCUUAGCCUACAGAUCUAGCAAUUUUCCUUGGUGCCAAUCUUUCCUUUGGCUGUAGCCCCUUGUUGUUCCUUGAGCGUGUCAGUCAUGCUCAUAUGUGUUCCCGCAUCUGGAUCACGUCCAUGCUGAGGCAACCUGCCCAAGUUUGCUCUGCCUAGCUGUUGUUAUGGCAUCAUGCCAUGCCCAAGCCCUCUUCUUGGUGCAGCAACGAGUCAUGGCAUUGCACCCAUGACUCCUCAUCUCUAUGCACAAGGCAUUGUGCCCUUGUGCCACGCCACCUCAUUGCACAAGGCAUUUCCCCCUCAUGCUACCGUUGGGAAGGGAAGACUGCAUAGCACCCCAUGUCGUUGCAACCUUGAGUUGCACACCAUCACAUGUCAUGGAGCCCAUAUAUGGUUGCUAGCAAGGCUUGCCCAUGUGCCUUGCUCAUGUUUGAGGACUUGCACCAAAGCCCCUAAGUGUGGCCAUGCCCAUGCCACCUCGUCUCCCUUGAGUCACCCCCACCCUCACCCCCCUUAAAAGAGCAUUUUAAGCCCUUUUAAUUAAUUCAAGAAAAUCUAGAAAAUUUUGCUUCCACUUGGAGUCUCCCUUUUGAAGGUUCCUAUAAAUCUUUUAUCUCUAAGCGAAUUAACCAAGUCACUUAAUUGUUUUGCAACAUUCCUUCCCUUCCCAUAGUGUAUUUCAAGAUCUCUUAAUGAACAAGACAAUUGGUGGAGGGCAUGAAGUAAGUGGAAUUUAUCACCAUAUUGGCCCACCUUUUACUCCAAUUGCUCUACGUACUUCCAUUUCUUCUAUGUAGUGGCACACCUUUCACUACGCAUCUUUAGCAUAUGGGACUUCUAGUUAUAUUGGACUCCAAGUUAAAGCACCAAGUUUGUGAGUCAAGCAAAUAGCAUCACCAUAGUGUUGUUCUAGUCCUUUUUGUUCUAUAAUCAAUAAGAGGAGUACUAGUCCUUUUCAUCUUGUUCAUUUAGACAUUUACAGUUUAUGUAGUGUUGUUCCUAAUGUUGAACUAAACUUUUUUAUUGCUAUUUUAUUAAUUAGAUCAAUGAAAAUGGUAUGAGCAUAAAGAGGCUGAAUAAUAGGUACUAAUCUCUUAAAAAAAACUAUCUUGUAGAAACAUCAUCAGGUGACUAUGCACAAGUAAAUGGUCUGACAAGGCGUGAGAAAAACAUUCAUUUUUGUGCAACAACCAAGUAUUUGCAUCUUAAUCAACCAAAGAAUAAAUGGCUGAAGACAAUAAAUGACUGAACAAAAAGAAAAUCAUAAGUUUUAGGCCAGACACUUUUUUCAUCAAUUAUAUACAACAACAAUAAAUCAAAUAGUCCUAAAUUUCAAAAGAAUAAUGCUCAGCAGCUAUGCAUACUCACAAGUCACAAAUACCUCAUCCUUGACUAAUUUACAUGAAUGAAUUAUUUACUUACCAUACCAAGAGAAACGUUGUAAGAUAGUAUGCAGUAUUCAGGAGUCCAUAGGAUAAUAUUCCAGAAAUUCCAUAUCUCUUCAGUUUCUUUAGAAGACUGAAAGGUUAAGCAAGAAUGAGCUCUCAAUGUAAGUAGACAUGCAUUUCAGCAUACAAAGGGCAAAAGGAUUGAGGUAUCACUUCUUACAGAUUGUUUGCAUGAAAUUCAGUAGUAGAAGAGAAAUUAAAAUGAUUGGGACAAGAUCACUCAUCCAAACAAUAGUUUAUUUACAGAGAAAAGGUCUAAAGCAUAAUCAUGCAGUAGACAAAAUGAAUCUUUUGUGUCAUGUUCCAAUAAUGUUAACAAACUACAUUAAAUUCAUAAGGUUACAUAGAAAAAGAAAGAAAAGACAUUGUUGCAAUAGUUUGGUUGUUACACUGCUAGCACCCAGACUACGACCAAAUCCUUGCAUUGAAAUUGAAUUUCAAACUCCCAAUGUGAAAAAGGAAGAUACAAAAAAGAAAAGAAAAACAGGAGGAAAAAAAAAAAAACAGAGGGAAAGAAAAGAAACAUGGGAUUUCCAUGUAUAAUACAUACAUAUUAUAUCUAUAGAUAAAUGCAUGUAUGUGCAUAUGUCAUAGAGGCUGGUCAGACACAUUUCAAGAAGUUUCACAACUUGCUUUGGAAUGACAAACACGUGGAUCAAUAAAUGGCUUGUCUCCAUUAUUGAGAAAUUGCAGGUAAAUUUCAUCCACUACAGGCAUGGGGUGGCUGGACAAAGUUAUGCCAUUUGGUGGGAUGUAGUGGACUUAAGACAGAAAAUUCUCAAUCAUUCUUCUGUCCCUUGUGCAGUGUUGAAGCUGACAAUAUUAUUGAGCAUACAAGGAAUGUGAUGUAAAACAUCAUUGAGGACCAUGAGCUGCGAAGGCAGGGAGAAAUUAAGUUAUGAUUAAGUUUUGGUGAGGGAUUUUCAGAUGCAGAUCAUAUGGCAAAUUAACUUCAGAGAAUUGCAUGUUUUUAUUCAUUUCCAUACACAUUGAAUAAUCAUAUUUAAAAUCCCUCAUUCACUUGUUUCGCUUCCAUUAGUGCUCCUUCCACAUGCCUAUUAGCAGCAUAGACCUCAUGAUAGUUUGGUAAAGGUAAGACAAUAAAAUUGAAAAAUACAGCUAAAGCCUAAAAUAUUGGCUCAUAAAGAGAGAAACCAUCCAAGUUCUAUCUUAAAUGACUCUACAAGUUCUAAACAGGGAGACAAGGACUUCAACCUGGUCCAUCAAUGCAUAUAAAUGGGUAAUCAUUCCAACAACCAUUACGUUAGAAGUACACUAAAAGAAAAUUAUUAAACAAUGUUGUUUCCAAAAAUUCCAUGUUAAAGAAUAGAAGAACAUACUGCUAUAAAUGAAAUUCAUUCAAAACAGUUCAAACAGUAAAGUUAAGAAUUGUGACUGCAUAUUUUUUUUUAAAAGAAACAAGAAUUGUGACUGCAUAUCACCACACUUGUUUUAUUUAUAAUCCACACAAUGUAUUCUUCCCUAGCAUGUUAUCCCAUUAAGUAACCUCCAGAUAAAAUUCCCUUUCUGACUCUGUCAAUCAGCCAAAAAAUUUGAUGUAAAAUGUAAAAUACAUGGGUACACAAAAACAACUAUAUAAACUGCCAUCCCAUCAUUAAUAAAUCAUUUGUCUAUAACAUAGACUAAUAGCACUGUAAGGCAAGUAGGAAGUACUCUUUUGAUGUGUGCAGUUCUCCUUCACCAUUUUCGCCCUUUGCACUGGAGUCUAUAAAAAUAUGUAUAAGUAGAUUUUUAGAAAUAUCAAGUUUAUCAAAUGUAAAAUAUGGUAUCACAGAAAGCUACACCAUUUUUCUAGUUAUCAUUUGAAAGAUAUUGAUACCUUCAUGGUUGGCAGAGUAGUCAUGACCAUUUGACAUGCCAGAAGCCUAACCUACAACAAAGGCAAUGUUGAAAAAGCAAUAUUCAAAAUUCAAUGAAAAAAACAGAAGACAAACAAAUGAACAAAUAGCAAAUCAUCACACUCAAUUGUUUUCCAAAAAUGAAAAACCAAAUGAAAGGAACAAGGAAUAUAUUGAGAAAAAAACCUAUGAUCAAUGGAUAUGCAGUUGCAUUCUAGCACAUAUAUAGGAUCAAACAAGUAACUAAUCUAGACAUAGCUGCAGCAAAUUUGUGUAUCUCUGAAUGCGUGUCUGCUUUUUGUGGGGGGAUAUUUAUUAUGACAUGUUCUUAGUGCAGACAAACCAUCUGCAUUUACUUGAGGAUUAGGUAAACAUACUUUCCAUUUAAAAUGAGGCCUUGAACAUCAAGCCCCGGUGAGUUUUCAAAUAAGGAAAACAUAAUAGCUUUACAAUGAGUCCCAUAGCAAGAAGGCAUGCAAUUCCAUUCAUCAGCAUACCAGAAUAUAGAAUAGUGUGGACAUGUGGACACAUGCCAGAAUUAGCAUUGGACACACUAACAUGCCAGUCAUACAUAGAAAGACUUUCCAAAGAUAUUAAAGUAAAACACUGGUAGUAAGCAAAUUAGACCCAGAAAAACAUGCAAGUAUAGGCCAAGAUCAAAUCUUAAUUUUAAUUUCCAGAAAAAAAAUAAAAAAUUAUAUCAACCAAUAGAAAUGGUAUCAUCAGCAAUUAACACCAAAACACACCAACAUAUCGGAAUGCAUAUCACGUGUACCAAUCUCCAAUCAGCAUUACACCUGUACAAGUUAGCCUGUAGCAGGUCAUAAUAGGUUCAGACUAUAAAACCUUCCAAAUCUUCCUUUGCAGGGCUUAGAAACUAUUUUCUAAGUAAUUUGCAAUUUUAAAAGCCUGUGACAAAAUUUUGGAUGAAGAGCUUAAACUAUAUACUCACAAACCCACUCCAAAAUUUCCUUAAGGUAAUACACAUUUUUUGAAGUCCUUUCCAAUGUCUUCUCUUAUUUGAGUUAGAAAAGCCAAUGUUUUUAUGAAUUGACUACUACGGCUGUUGAGGUUUGAGGUGUAUAACUAAUUUCUUAAUAUAUCAUAAUUUACAUCAGUCAUUAGAAAUUAAGGUUCCAUCCUUUUACACUAAGAAAAUCCUGAGAGCAAUUAAAAAAUACCUUCUUUAAUAUUAUUAAAUUUAAGUUUCCUUUAGGUCUUUGAGUCUAAUAGAAAUUAGUAUAAAAGGAAUUUUAAUUUUCUUACACUAAGAAAAUAAAAAUAAUAGGCAAAAUAAUUUUCAAAUUUUGGAACUUUAUAGGUAAUGCUUAUUAAAAUAAAGCAACAAAGUUUGUCAUUUGCCAAUGAAUGAACCAAUUGUGGAAAACUAUGCAAAAAAUUUUAUUAGCAUGGAAUUUUUUUUUUCUGCCAAUAUAUAGAAUUCAAUUUCAAACCUGCCCCUCCCAACCCACCACUUGCUACUUGAGGCAAGCUUAGAGGCAGAAAACUAUUUACAAUUCUACGUAUGGAUAAAAAUUAUUUCUUAGAUUUUAUGCCAAUUCCAUAUUUAUAGGUAUCAAUUUAUUAUUCUACUGUUGUCAGAAGCUUCAAUUUUGGGCGUCCUCAUGGCUAUGCCACCCUUAAAUGAGAACAACUUUGGUCUUCUGUUUUUCUUUUUGAGCUCUUCAAAUUUUUGCAAGUUACUUCUAUCCAGGUUCUAGGAAACACCCAUUUUUUUAAAUCUCCAAUAAUUUAGGGUUCUGUGGCUGAGGGAAUAGACUUAUUUUUGGUUGAAGCACAUAAAAUUCUUGGCUAUUUUUUUAUUUUUUAUUUUGCCAUCAGGUCCUUUUAGGUUGAUUUUUCUACUUAUUUUUCACCCACCAAUUAACAUUGCCCUAACUCUGUUAUCUAUCCGAACAAAUGUUUAUGAACUAGCAAAUCAUACUAAAAUUUCUUACUAGUUGACAUGUGCAUCAUCUCAGCAUGUCAUUCCAACACCAAACUACAACCAUAAUCUCACUAACAUCCUAACUGCCUCAAUGAGUAUGGAUUACAGAAAUGCAAUUAAAAUAUACUUCCCUAUUUAAUUUCAUAAUUUUUAUAAUAAUAUUUCAGCAAUAUUUCCACAUAGUAGCUUAUGUGAGAAAUCCCCAUUUCCGUAUAAAAUCGAAAAACCCUAUAGCUUGCGCAUGUAAAUAGAAAAAAAAAAAAAAAAGACAGAUUUUGCAGAAUUGGGAGAGCAGACUCACACCAGCAUGGCCAUUGAUUGAGCAGAAACGCAGAUGACGAUGAUGGUGGUGGAAUUGGGAGAAAUUGUUGAGUUUGUGGAAUGUGGGAACCCUAGGAAUGCUGGGAUUGAAACCCUGGAUUGAAACAAGAGGAUUGUGAGAGAGAAUUGGAAAUUGAAGAAUCAAACACAAAAAAUAAAUCCAAGAAAUAAAAAAGAAGCGUAAAAAUGAAAUAGAGAAGAGUGUGUAUGACGCACCUGAUGAUGUGAAAGCAGCUUCAGCUGGUGAAGGCAAACUUUCGACGGGAGAGACAUGAGCAUACCGGCCUCCGACAACAAUCCCUCCAAAAUAUUCUUUCUAUACCAUUUAUUAUUAUUAUUAUUAUUAUUAUUAUUAUUUUCAGGUUAUUUGAAGUGCAAUGUCUAGCUAUACCAUUUAUUAUUAUUAUUAUUAUUUUAUUGCUAUUAUUAUUUUCAGGUUAUUGAAGUGUAAUGUCCACCAUACCUUAUAUGCCAUCCAUGAUGAAGGCCUUAGAACUCUCCAUGGAGCCUAAAUCUCGGGAUGCUAAUCACCCUAUAAUAACCAGCAUAGAGUAUAUUCAAAGUAUCAUUAAUGACAAAUUUCGAACUUAGGACCAUAUGUCAUUUACUGAGACCACACUUCUUAAUGUUCAUCCUUAGCGACACACUCAUAUGUACCAAAUCAUCCGAUAACCUGUUUUUCCUAUUUUCUCAUUUUUACAAAAAAAAAGAAAAAAUAAGAAUAACUUCUAUUUUUAAAAUUUUAAUUUUUUUUAUAAGUAAAUUUUUGUUCUCAUUAGGACCUGUGGAACCUCCCACAAGUCCUCCCGAAUCAUUUACCACUUGAGUCAUGCCUUAAUGGCUUGUUUUUUUAAAAAAUAAUAACAACUUUUAUAUAAAAAAAAAUACUUAUAAAAAAUAUAUACAUGUCAUUAAAAGUUUAAAGAAAUUUAAAUUUGAUAAUAAUUUUUUAAAUAAUUUAAUGUGUUAAUUGUUCUUAAAAACCGUAAAUAACCUAAAAAAGAACAGUAUGUUUGUAAAUUGACCAAAUUGUUAUAUGGUUUUAAAUAGUCACCUUAACAAUGUUACAAGUGAGUUGAUUAAUUUAUGGUAGAGAAGAAUUACAAUAGAAUUCAAUUAGUUAUCGCAUUUGAAGUCUUUGAUUAUUUGUUGAAUAAUAUUUGCAGCCAAUUAGCUAGGGUUGGCUAACCCAAGCCAAACCUAGUUACCAAUAUGUCCAACCUAUGCUAAACUCGAUUCAAAGUAAGGUUGGUAGUUACUAAACUCAUUAACAACUAAAGUUUCUAUGGAUUCCCACGAGUUUUCAUGGAUUAUCAAAUAAACCACAUAUAAUGGAAUCUCCUAAUAUAUAAAAGACAUAUUUCAAAUUAUAAAUUAAACCAUAUUAUAAAAUAAAAUUUUAAAAGCUAAGUAUAUAUCAAAGUCAUAAAUUAUAUUACUAUUCACUAAUUUUAAUGGUAACAUGAAACACAAGUGUGAAUAUUUAAAAAUAUUUUAGUAAUUAAACAAAAAUGAUAGACUUAUAGUGUAAUGUAAUAAAACUAGCAAAAGUUAUAGUUAUUUCAUUAUCCCUUUUAUAAAUUUCAUAUUUUAAAUAAACUAAUAAAUAAUAUAAUAGUAAUGAAUUUGCUUAGUCUUCAUCAUGUAGAACCAAUUUGAAGAAUUUUUUUUUAACAGGACUGAUUAAUGACUUAAUUAAGGGUAGGUUACAGCUAAAAUAUUUAGUAGGACUGAUUAGUGACUUAAUUAAGGGUAAACUACAGCUAAAAUUUUCCUAGUAGUCUUCCACUAUGGCAAAUUGUGGGAACUAGUAGUGGCCUGUCCAACCUAUAGAGGAAACAAAUAGGUGAGUGAGUUAUUGAAUAUGUGGCUGAGAGUGACCAACCAUUGAGGCUCACAUGAAGUUGUAGUGGCUGAAAGGAAGGGAUAAGAGACCAAAAACAUGCUCAGAGAGAUUCUUGUUAGGAUCAAAUUGGGGGCAUAGAUAUAUCUCUUUGGUAAGAGUUCCCAUAAUUUAGGUAUUAAUGAAAUAGGUAUAAAAUAAUUAUAUAUCUUGAUAUGAUCAUGUUGUUAAUGAUGAUCUAAUGAGUUGAAAUAUUAUGUUUUCAACUGUGUAUAUCUAAUAAAUACAUCAAGUGCUUAAACUUUAAUAUAGAAAUGGUCCACAAUGGCUUGUAUGACUCAUCGUCUUAUAAACAUAUUAUUUAGAUUAGGCUAAAGUGGUCAAAGUAAGAAGAAAAAUUGAUACUUGAUUUGAAGUAUGAAGAAUUCUUCUUAGACUUUGUGUGUAGUGUUGUUAGCUUAUUGUUGUGUUAAAGUCUAUUUUGAUGUAUUUUGGAAAGAAUGACCAACUAGAACCACAAUAAGAUGUUGCAAAACUUAUUUAAACAAGGGCUUGUGAGCAAGAUUUUUUUUUUUCCCUUUCAUGUACAAAUAGUAUGAUGAAUGAAAAUUUGAUUCUCGAUUGUAAUUAGUGUUUUCUUUAAGUUUUAAAUCAUGCAAUGAAUACUUAAAAUUAGCUUACGAUGUCAAAGAAUGUAAGUAAACAAGGUUUUACAUGUUGGAUAUAUAAUAAAUUCAAAACCUUUACCUUCCACAUUGAAUGAUUACAUUUUUUCUUUAAGUGCCCUUUAAUCAUUCUCAUUUUGUUUAAUCAUUUUCUAUAAUGUCUCGAGCAUAGUAGAUUUCUAUAAAUUUACAUGAGCAUUCCUUAACUCUUCUUGAGUGAUCCUAAACUUAGCAUUGAAACAAUCAUAAUUUAGGCGAAGAUGCUUAUACGUCUUCAUAAUCAUCCUUGGUUGCUAGCCAUUUUUCCUUAAUUACUUUAGGAUGUUUAGUGAAGAUGAUUACAAAUAUUAACUAGUUCACUCAAACAUUUUUGUAUGAGUGUAGAACAAUUUUGCAUUCUUUCCACAUCACUUAUGCAUCUUCGUUCCAAGAAAUAAGAUAUAGAACUCUUAUGUUUUGCCUACACCACUUGGUUCUCCAACCCAUUGUGCUUAUGCAUCCUUUUUAUAUCACAUAUGCGACUUGCUUCUCAUUAAGAUAUUUCACUUACAUGUUCUUGUAUAUGCAUAAUUUAGGAAAAAAUAUUUAAAAAUAGAAAAAUAGAUUUUAAUACAUAUAUUUGGAACAAUUAAACUCAAACUAUGCAAGUGACCUUGUCUACUAUGUAGGUGACUUUGUUUACUACAUAGGCAAAGUAUAUGACAGUGAUAGUCAAGGAAGCUAUGUGGUUGCAUGGUUUAGUGGAGAAUUUAAGAGUAAAGCAAGAUCACAUUGUGAUUUAUUAUGAUAAUGGGAGUGCCCUAAAUUUAUUUAAGAAUAAAAUUCAUCACUCAUUGGUAAGGCAUAUUGAUGUCUAAUUUCAUUUUAUUUAAGAGAUUCUAGAAGAAAGUCAUACCUUAUUUUAGAAAAUUACUGAUGUUAAUGAGGUAGGUCAUAUUUAAAUGUGAUCCAUGUUGAAAGGAUCAAUGUACCUUUAGGUGUGUAGUAGCAAAAUCUUUAAAGAUUGUUUGGUUAGCUUCAUUUAAAUUACUUAGUUAAAUAUUACAUAGUCAAUUAUAUGUUUGACUUUUUGAACUAGAACAUUUAGAUUUUGGUUGUUGUAGUUGUUAUAAUUACUAUUUAGGUUUUUAAAAAGGUAUAAAUUUAUAAUUUUAGUUGGUUUUAUUAGUUUCAUUUAAAAUUCCCAAGAAACUUCAGUGAAGGAAAACAGAGCAAGAGAGUUUUUGAGAAUUGCUUAUAAUUCUUGUAUAUUAUUUUGAUAUCUUUAGUGCAUUCAUCUUAUCAUUACCAUAGAUGAAGGCAUAUUGUCAAACCAUAUAAAUUGUUUAUCUCUUUGUCUAUAUUGAGCUGCCAAGAUCAGUUCCUUGUAAUCCAAUGGCUUAUUUUGAUUCCACGAUGCUACAAUGUAUUGAAUUAAGCAUAGGGAUUAACAAUUCCAAUCAUAAACAAUAAGAGAUCCUCCCCAACAGCAUAAAAAACUUGAGAGACCCGAGGCUCGCAUCUCAGAAUAUGCUCUUGAACUAACACUAAAGAUGCCUAGAUUCACCACCACCCUUUCCACCCCAAUGUUGUUAGAAGUAGAAUCUAAUCAAAUGAAGAGUUCCUGAUAGUUGCGAGUUCUUAUGAUUUUUUUCCAUCAUUUUCUGACUUUUUUUUCAUCCAUUACGUACGUCCUUCUGAGUGGAGUUCUCCUUUCAUGGUAUCAGAAAAUCAUACUCAAUGAAUUCGUUAUAACCAGACCAUAACCAGAACCUCCAUGGCGUGUUUUUCCUGUGUUUUUUCUGAAAAUAUAGCUACAUUUAUACAUAUUUUUAAGAAUAUUAAAGGCAUUAUCAAAGGAAGAAACCGAGAAAACUGAUUGUAUAGAAAUCUAUAAUUGUGCUUACUUUCAGUCCUAGUCACAAAGUUUCAACCAGAUAAAUCAUGUCGAGAGAUGCCCAGCAAGUGGUGGUGGUCCAGGAUGCAUCCAGAGAUGUUAGUUCAAGAGCAAUCCUUAGGAUUCUCCAUGACUUAACACUUAAGCCUGGAGAUGACCUUACACUCCUCGGAGUUCUUCACCAGGUUAAUAAUCCUUGUACGCUUUCUUUCAUGGGAGGUAGGAAAAUACGUAAAAAUUCAUGCCUUUUUUUUCUUUUGAGUACAGAAGAAAAAUCCAAGAAGAAAGAAAUAUUAAACAUAGCACCAGGAAAAUGAUAUAUACCAAAAGGGAAAUUGUGCAGGUUUAUAGAUUGAUGAAUGAUGUGUCAGAUUUCCCAAUACAACUAUUUUAUUCUAAGGUAUACUUUGAUAAUAGAGACAACUAUUUUAUGAUCAAAUGAAAAAAUGAGGUAUAACAAUUAACCCAAGACAAAUCCUUAAGUGAUACUUUAGUUUUUUAUGAAAUAAAUGUUCUUUUUAUAUUAGUAUAAAAGAUUAUUUUUUCUUAGUUUCAUUUAGGGAAAAUUUUGAUUUUUUAAAGUUUUAAAGUUGGUUAAUGUAAAAUUUGUUUUUUAUCUUUUAGAUUUUCUUUUCCAUAUUUACAAAAAUAGAUAAUUAAAUAAACUUAGAUAAAAAUAGAAUUUUCAUGUUCACUUGUUUGCCUUAUGAAUUUAUUUUACUAUUAAAAUAGGUGCUUCUUAUUAUUUAAUUUUAAAAGUGAAGAUGCAUGUUUUAAUAAAUUCUAAGAGAGGACAAUGUUUAAAAUAAAAAAUUGAAAUAUCGUGGAAAUUAAUAUUUUAUUUUAAAUACAGACAAUUUCCAUGUAAUUUUGUUUGUAUAUUAUCACUACAAAUCAACGAUGACUCCAAAUAGCCAUUGGCCUUAAGAGAUGUCAAGCUCACAACAAAAAUAAUGUUCUAAGUUCUCUAAAAAUAUUUUAAUUAAACACAAAGGUAGUCCAUCAUCUAAUCAACAUUUGCAUAUACAAAACCAUUUUAGCAAAAGUUACAUCAUCCGUUAGUAUAAGCAAACAUGAAUAAGUAUUUCCUAAUUAAGAAAAAUAUUAAUUCAAAUAUUUUAAAUUGGCCAACAAAUUAGGAUAUUGAAAUAAUGGUCUCUAUAUCAAAUGAGUUAUAAGAAAAGGUAACAUUAUCUUUCAUCUAAAUUUCUAUGCUUUCACAAUCUUCAAAAUUAAUAAAACAAUAAGUUAUCUUUCAUUUGAUGCCAUUGGCUAUAUUGUAUUUUCUCGUGACAAAGUGAUGAUUAUCUUUUUUUUUUUUUUAUGCACUUGAUUGAUUUGGUUUCCACCAAUGUGACUUUAGUGAUUUAUCCUUCGCCGGUUGUUAGGAUAAUGGUAGUGGUUAAUAUGAUGUCGUCAAUAGAAUAACUACCUACUCUAGGUAGUAUGUUGGAUAUGAUGUUAUAAACCUACUUAUAGAUUAAUAUAGUUCAACAAAUACUAAUUUGAGAGAGAGAGAGAUAGGUCUAUGGUGAGUUGUAGUGAAAGGGAAGGAUUAAGGCUAGGGUUUGUGUGGGUAUGAAAAAGAUAAAAACAUUUUUAUUUUCAUAUCCAUUUUUGGAUUUUAAAAAAUAAAAAUAAAUAGGUGGAUAUAGAAAGAGUUCAAGUGGUUCGUUUGCAAUUUCCCUUCAUAAAACAUCACAGUUGUCAAUGAGAUCUAUGCACUAAGUAAUUUUAACAACCUUUGUUUGUGAAUUGCUUGUUACUGCAUUAAGUUUUGGUAUUCUCCUCCAUGUAGGUGAAACAUAUCAUGUUUAUGUAGAAUCAUUAAUAUAGUGUUUAACAGCUUCCAUGAAAAAGAAAGCGUGAGAGCUUGGGGAUAUACUUCCCAACUUAGAGGACAUCUCAAUAGCAAUGAAUAGAUUUUCAUAUAAAUGGUUAAAUAGUAUAUAAAAUAAUCGAAGAUGUCUUGUUUUAGUUUACCUCCUAGGUAGAUAGCCUAGUUACUUCAAGUAGUUUUGGCAACACCAUUUACUAUCAUCUUCAACGAGUAUAUAUCCUUCAAGGCAAGGCCUCACUUUCUUAGCUCAACAAAAAGUUUAUUAUGAUAAGUUAUCUUGAUAACUAAUGACUAAUCUUGGUGUAUAUAUAUAUAGUUAAGAGGGAUGUGAAUCAAUGAGAAAUAGUUUCCACUUUGUGCUAAUGAUAGGUUUGAGUCAAGGUUCAAAUUUUCAUCCAUGGAAGUAUGAAUGUUGAUCAAUAUGAAAUUCUGGUCCAUCUUGUGAUAACAAAUAGUUUAUCAUAUGUAACUCAAAAUUAUUCUUUCUAUACAUUCAUCUUGUGCACCCACCUUUCUGUUUCUUUAUUGUACGUAUCACUUUCUCUUAUUCCAUAAGGAGAAGCCACUAGACUUGAGAAAUCAAUUAGAGAAUGAUACAAUUCCAACAAGAUCGAGUAUGAAACAUUUCUUAUCAAUCUUUUCAUAGUGACUCAUAGCUUGUAGUAAAUUAAUGGGCUAUUUGUUUUUUAACUUGAGUUUUGAAGCAAGUUGUUUUAAGAUUUAAGAUAAAAGUAAAAAAGAAAUUUACUUUUUCUAUUAACACAAAAUUAUCUUAGAAAAUAUGAUACGUUAAAAAAUAACCAUUUUAAAAAUGACAAAUCUUAUAGAAAAAAAUAAUAUAAAAAAAUAACACUUAACACUAUUAAAUAGUAUUUAGUUUUGAGUUAUAUUAAGGUAUAUAUAUAUAUAGACACACACCACCUAAGGUGAUGUUUUACUUGUUUGUUUGUUUUUUCUAAAAUCUAAAUAGAUUUGAAUUUGGAUUGAAUUUAAAUAGAGCAAAAUGUCAUAAGUGUUUAGACUCUUUGUGCUUUAUUGUAUUUGAAAUAUGUUAAGUGUUAAAUUGUUUAUUUUUACUUAUGUCAAAAUACUAUAAGUAUUAAAUUUAUUUAUUUCACUUGUUAAAAAUGUCUACAAAAUUAAUUAUAGUAUUUGUUAUUAUUUUAGUUUUAAAAAUUUACAAUUUUUAAAAUAUAUAGUAAUUUAAAUAUUUCCAAAAUAUCAAAAUUAUUACGAUAAUAAACAUUUUAUAAUAAUUAAUAUUGUAAUUAUUUAAGCAUAAUUGGAUAAUAACAAGGAUUUCCUAUUAUGCUUGGUUACUAAAAAAAUAUUUUAAAAAAUUUCUAAUUUGACACUUAUUUCUAUAUGGUGUGUCUUCAUAUUUAAAUUUAAAUAUUUUCCAAAAUAUCAAAAUUUAUUACUAUAAUAAAAAUUUUACAAUAACUAAUAUUGUAAUUAGUUAAGAAUAAUUAUAUAAUAAUGAGACUUUCUAAUUAUGCUUGAUUACUAAGAAAAUAUUAAACAAAACUUCUAAGUUAACAAUUAUUUCUAUCUGGUGUAUCUUUGGAUUUAUGGAUUUGUAAUUGAAAAAUGUGUUUUAUUAUUGAGAUUAAUUCAUUAAUUUUUAUAUUUUAGAUUUUCAACAUUAAAUCCUAACAUUUUAUUUUUCAAAAUUAAUUAUUAUUGCUUAUUCUAAUAAUGUGGACCCCGCAUUUCGGCUCAUGCACUUCCACUCGAUGGCGAGCUCGAUUUUUAUUUGAAAAACGAUUUUAUUUAUUAGAAAAUGACUUGGAGUCACCACUUAUUUUUGUUUUAUUUUUAAAGGGUAAACAAAAUACGAAAGAAAACCCUAAGUGUGACUCCUUAUUUUGGAAAAGAUAAUCCACGAAAAACCGGAUCGGGCUCGGGGGUCAGGUUACUUAUCGGGAAGGUAUGGUAAAGACCGUAGCACCCCUCUAAGUCCCUAAAGUCGGGUCUCUACUAAUAAAAUGAAGCUAACGUGGCAAUUGAUGAGGGAAUCAAUGAAUACUUAGUGUAAUCAUGCACAAGUGAGAAUUAAAACAUACAUAUAGAAAGACCAGAAUGGGAGUAGAUGCGUACCUGGGUGAUGAGCCACAAUGCGCUAUCAAGAAAUGGGAUUAGUGCAUAGUAAUGAACAUAAAAUGUGUCAAUCUUAUCACCAAACAAGAGAAAGAACCACCAAUAGCACGCAUGACAUUUCGUUCAAAUUCAUUUUUAUUUUAAAGAAAAUUUAUUUGAUGUUGGGCCCCCACCAUAGCCCAUCUACUUUUGAGUGAAUCGAUUUCGUAAAUUCCAUCAUCAAGAAUUACGAAAAAUAAAUUCACACUUAUUUUGAAACAUUUUGAAAAUCAUGGAAAAUUCAAAAGUGGCUCGCCGGAAAGGAAAUGGUGGCCAAAUUUCAUUGAAAAUGGGAUUUUUAGGUCCUAAAAAUAAACUAAGGAUGAAAACUUAAAAAAAAUGUCAAAAUUAUUUGAAGAAUUUAAAAUUUGAGAAACCAUUUGAAAACUGGAAUAUGAUGGAUUAUUUUAAAAUCAAGGAUGAUGAAAUGAAAAGAGGUGGUACGUGGUCACCAAGACUACAUGUCAAAAGUGACCAUGCAACUCAUGCAAGAGUAGGUCUACGGGUAAGAGUACUGGAAUUGGGUAUAAGAUAACCAAUAGGAAUGGGGUAAAUUAAGAGACCCCAGCGGCAAGCAACUUCAUGAGGCCUUCCUUUGUUGAUGUGUACCAGAACCAACCUUCUUUUUGCCUUUUACAAACUUCUGUAAAGAUCCACCUCUACAAUUCUGAGCUUUUAUGCAUGAUUCAAAGAUAGCAUGAUGUUGUGCUUGGAUGUUCUCUUGGCUAUUACUGCCUUUUCUCCUUGUUGACCGAGAAUUAGUACCAUCAGGCAUCAAGUUAUGCAUUUCUUCCCUCAUCCAAACAAACAAGUUUUCUCUUGCAACUUUAAGAUCCUCUAAUAAGGACUCCAUGAAGAUUUUAAAAUCAUCCAAUGUUGCAGGAUCACAUGCAUUGCUCUUACUCUUCUUCUUAUUAACUUUCUUGAAAGAAUCCCUCUUCGUCUCUUUACUAUAUAAAUUAUUCCUCUUGCUUGAUCCAAUCUGCAUUUUGUUAGCUUUCCCAAUUUUGAAUUGAUCCCCUGAACUACGAUCAGACUUACCUUCUUGUUGAGAUCUAGGAGUACCACUGGUUUCAUCAUUUUCAGGCGAAAUAAGAGAGGAAACCAGUUUGUGCUUCUUGAGAACUGGCUCACCACUGGAACUCGAUUUGGAAUUAUCACUUGAAGAAUCAACGUCACUGUCUCUCCUCCUGAACUCCCACCUCUGCUGAAAUUUCAGGUCUUCACUCAUGUUAGUACUUGGGGAUAUAAUCACAACUGUAUAACUAUGUGCUCAAUCCUCGGGAGAGUCCGACCAUAAACGACUAGACCCACUUAUCAUCAAAGUUUCAACUGCUUGUUUGGAGAAUGAAAUCAGUUUGAUGGAAGGAUUUCCACUGCAACUGCACCUUGAACUCGUUUGAAAGAUUGUACCAGUGAUUCUAGCAGCACCCCUCCUCACAAAUCAAAUUUUGUGAAGAGACACCAUGAUUAAACCGCUCCAUCAUUCUCUUUCAUACACCCAGCACAAGAGCAUCCUCUGUGGAUGAAGCCCAACCAUUGCUCUGCAUCCACUUGGAACAAUCUUCUUAGCCCCAGAUGGGAGCUUGAUCCUGCUGGUGCCAUUAUCAGGGUUGUGGCUGACGACAAUAGCUCACUUGCCGGAUGCCCUGGCGAAGACACCUCGAUCACCAACGUGAUCUUCAACGUUACAGACCUCGGCACCUUCGGGAGUAGAGCGCAGGGGCAGAACGUUAUCGGCAAUGAGGGUGGCUUUCUUACUGCAGCAAACGAACUGGCCCGUGUAUAUGCUCUCAGCCACCACGAUAGGUUCAUCAUGACUGCAACUCCUACUAAACCAUAUCCCUGUCUCAGCAUCAAUAACCAGCUAGGUACUGCAUGUAUCACCAACACCACUAUCGAGGUCCAGGCUAUCACAAGUUCUGUUGCUAGGCAGAGCAGCAGGAAGUUGGUUAUCAAAGACAUGGUAAAUUUUAUCACCACCUAGGCGCACGCCAUCGAGAUGCUCUUUGUAUGUCUGAUCGAAGACACAAGAAAUUUCCAUGAUCAUGUAUAACUUUCUUCCAUUCUUCUUCAGUUGCACCAGUACCAAAUCCAUAUCAGCCAAGGACCCUUCACGCACAAGUAGCCACAGAUCUGUCAGAGAUGCACUUGAUACAAUUUUGCGAGCAACUGUAUGAUGAUUCUGCUUUUGGCCUGGAGGUGGAACUAAACCUUCCACUAAUCUAUAUUUUUCUCAAUAAUAUAUAUCCUCUAACCUUGACAAAAUAAUAACUUAAAUCCCAGUGUUGACUCCUUGCUUCUCGCCACUUAAGCUAACAAUGAUUAUGCCUUGUCACCAGAUGACUUCAAGAGCUAGGUUGUCCAAAAUCCUGUUAAGAAAUUAGUCCACACCAACUGAUAACAAGCUGAUGUGGCCCUCGAAGACAUUGAUUGAACCUAGUCCAUGUUGUAGUCACUUUUUGAAUUUCAUGAUCAAGAAAAUGAAGAGGAAGCCAUUUAGAUGCAUGGUUGAAAAUGGUCAACUGUUAUGCCCCCAUCAUCAUCACCUCUAGUAUUAUGAACACAAACCAGUUGCAACCGCCAUUCACAGACUCCCAUCACAGUUCAUGGGCCUGAAAUGAAUCUCCAACUAAUGGUGUAAGCAACAAGCUGAAUGUUGUUAAAAAUAUGAGAAAUGGGUGGAGAGUUGUGCGUUAAGAAGCAGAGAAUGGAAUAAGGGAAUAUACCCCUUCCCUCAAAGGCACAGAGAUGGAAUCAAGUAAUUGAAGCCGAAGGAAAGCCUUUCGGGUAGCCAAGAAAGCUUGAUUUACAUAUUCUGCAUUACUUUCAGCAACAUUGGCAAUCACAUCCCUGUCUGAGAGGCCAACUGGUUGUCCUUUGUGGUGAGUUCAGUGUCAUUUUAAACUUCUCCAUUGUAUCAAGGGAUAGCCAGCACAAGAAAGAAAUGAUACAAUGAAGCAGACAUGAGGCAUCUUUAGAAAUCCUCUGUGGAUGACAUUUUAAAGGCUCUGUGAUAUUCUGAAGCAUUGCUACUCAACUAUGACCUCCAUCCCUGAUAUAAAACACUAAACCAACCUCAAUCUACUUAACAUGCAUCUCGGGUACUCCAUAGAGAUUAAGCAUCUGUAAUCAUAGCUUCCGCUCCUUGAAUUUGCGUUCUCAGAUGGAGAUGCACCAAUCAAAGCAAACCACAGACAAACACCAAAAACAGAGACGUAUAGAGAAGAAAAUUGAUAAAACAAAACAGGGAUAGGUGAAAUGAGAGUUUGUUAAGCAAAACCUGGUCCCAUAAAUUAUCAACAGGCUUACCAGUUAGUGGGAGGGGAAAUGGGUUUAAGGAGAAAUGAUAGGAGAGAUACAUUCAGACAUCACGCAAUAAAACUGGACAAGAUUCAUACUAUUUCUCUCAACUAAAACCCAUAAACAAUAGAUGGAUAUAUAGUCAUAGCAAAUCCAGUGGAUGCUCAGAGAUCAACAAAAGUAGCCAUAUGAUAUCCACACACAAAUAGCUAAAUAACACCCACUAAUGAACAAAAGAGAAUGAAUAGCAAGAGAAAAAAAUAGAGAUGGAUAAGAAACAUACCUGGAAAUACCCCUCUCCAGUAAAAUCAGCUGAACUGCUAGUCCAUUGCUCUCUCCCCCUUCCUCUGGUUCCCCUCAAGUUAAAACAAUACCCUUCUCAAAUAUCUCCGACCAAAAAACCUUCUCCAAAAACUUCCCUUUCUCCUCUGCCAACCCCCCUCCAAAAAGCAUCUCCCUCUUCUCUACAACUGGCAGAUACGCUCCUCCCAUAACAGAAACGUUCUUCUCUAAACGUCCCUUUGGGAUCUCUUAUCAAACCUCUAAUGACUCUCAAGACUAGGUCACCGAUAUGUAGUGGUAUGGGCUUGACCCGCUUUUUGAAAGCGCGGGCCAUCUUCCUCUAUUAUGCACGAACAUGGUCUGUUGCUCUCAAUCUCAUCUCAUAUAGGAGAUUGAGCUGAUCAAAUCGAGCCUGAGCCCAAUCCGCCUCGGGAAUCUGCUACUUUAGUGCUACUCUCAAUGAACUCAUCUCGAUCUCAACUGGUAGCACUGUCUCCAUACCGUAUACCAAUGAAUAAGGUGUGGCUCCUGUAGAGGUGCGAAAAGAAGUCCGAUAUGCCCACAAUGCGAAAGGGAGCUUCUCUGACCAAUCCCGAGAAGUCUCAACCAUCCUCCGCAAUAUCCUCUUAAUAUUCUUAUUCGCAGCCUCUACUGCCUCAUUCGUCUACGACCUAUACGCAAACGACCUAUGAUGUCGGAUGUCGUAUCUCUGUACUAAGGUAUCAACCUCUGCUCUGAAAUGUACCCCUCUAUCUGAAAUCAACUCAUGAGGGACUCCAUAGCGACAGAUAAUGUGUGAUCUGAUGAAACUAGCAACUCCAGCUGAUGUCAAUCUCUCAUAUGAGGCGGCCUCCACCCACUUGGUGAAGUAAUCGAUGGCGACCAGGAUGAACUCAUGACCACUGGAAGAUUUCGGUGAAAUCUUUUCGAUGAUGUUAAUACCCCAUAUAGAAAAUGGCCAUGGUGAAGUCAAUGCGUGCAACUCAGAGGACGGCACGUGAAUGAGAUCUCCAUGUAUUUGACUCUUGGGACAUCUCUGAACAAACUGACAACAAUCUGUCUCCAUGGUCAACCAAAAAUAGCCAAUCCUCAUGAUUUUACGGGCCAACAUAUGCCCUCCCAUAUGUGGUCCGCAGACUCCCGCAUGAACCUCUCACAUCACUCUAUCGACAGAAGCGUAGUCCAAGCAUAAUAACAGCAUCCCAUCAGGUGAUCGUCUGUAUAGUGUCUUGCCACAAAUCACGAAUCAUGCAGCCAACUGUCUCAAUGUUCUCUUAUCCUUGGCCGUGGCGGCCUUAAGAUAUAUGCCAAGUCUCAAAAAGUGAUAUAUGUCAUGAUACCAUGGCAAACCAUCGUCUAUCUCCGUAUCAUCGAUCAGAAAACAAUAUGUAGGAGCAAAUCUGGACUUAAUCAGUAAAUGACGAAUAGUGGCAUCAGCAGGAAUGUCAAUCAUGGAAGUUAGAGUAGCUAAGGCAUCAGAAAACUAGUUAUGCGCUCUAAGCAGAUGUGUGUAUCUCAAAUCAUCAAAUCUCCCAACCAGUAGCUCCAAAUAUGGCGGUAAGGCCUAAGUUUCACAUCUCUAGUCUUCCACUCGCCCUGAAUCUGUCUCAAAACCAGAUUGAAGUCGCCAAACACCUCUAUCUAUCUAAUCCCGAGCUCAAGGGCCGUCUCUAAUCCCAAGAUACAGACCUCAUACUCAACAAUGUUGUUUGUGGCCGGAUGUCGAUCCAAGAAUGCCAAACAAAUAGAUCGGGGAAUGUGAUCACCAUGAGGGGAUAUCAACAAGACGCCUAUCCCGUAUCCAGAAUGGUUGGCUGCACCAUCAAAGUACAUGUGUCAACCUGAUAAACUAGUCACAACAGCGACAUCCUCGCCUGGGAAGUCAUCAUCAAUGGCUCUACCAUUGGAAACUAGUAAUGAGGCUAAGUGAUCUACAACAAUGCUCCCUCUUAUGGACUUCUGAGUGACAUAAUGGAUGUCAAACUCGGUCAGAAGUACCAGCCAUCUCAUGAGACGACCGAUCAAAGCGGGUCUGUCAAAAAAAUAUCUCAGAAGAUCUAGAUGGGAUAUCAAGUGCACUGAAUACUCGGUCAUGUAAUGUCUUAGUCGGUGAGUGGCCCAAACCAAUGCCAAACAGUAGCGCUCAAUCAUGACAUUCCUUGCCUCAUAGUCUAGCAUCCUCUUACUCAAAUAAUAAAUGGCUUAGUCAUUGCCUGAAUCAUCAAGCUGAGCUAACAUGCACCACAAUGCUACAUCUGAAAUUGACAGAUAUAGGAGUAAGGGACAACCUGGUGUAGGAGGCGCCAAGACUGGAGGUGACAACAAGUACUUUCUGAUCCUCUCAAAUGCACGCUGACACUGAUCAUCCCAAACAGUAGGUUGACUCUUCCUCAAGAGUCGGAAAAUGGGCUCAUAGAUGUCUGUCAAUCUGAUGAUGAAUCUACUGAUAUACUGAAGUCUACCCAAGAAGCCCCUGACCUCUCUCUCUGUCCUCGAUGCAGGCAUGUCAAGGAUGGCUCUGAUCUUAUCCGAGUCUACCUCUAUGCCUCUCUCUCUGACCAUAUACCCCAAGAGUUUCCCAGAAGUCACUCCGAAAGUGCACUUCUUGGGAUUCAGUCUCAAUUUGAACCGUCGGAUCCUCUCAAAGAACCUCUCUAGAGUUGCUAGGUGAUUUGGUCUGUCUUGGGAUUUCACUAUCAUGUUGUCUACAUAAACCUUGACAUCCCGAUGCAUCAUGUCAUGGAAGAGGGUGGUCGUCGUUCUCUAAUGGGUGGUUCCUGCAUUCUUCAAUCCGAAUGGCAUGACUCUAUAGCAAUAAGUACCCUACUCGGUAAUGAAGGACGUCUUCUCCAUGUCCUUUGGAGCCAUCAAGAUCUUAUUGUACCAAGAAAAUCCGUCCAUAAAGGACAACAUCGAAUGACCUGUCAUACUAUCAACCAACAUAUCGAUGUGUGGGAGAGGAAAAUCAUCCUUAGGACUGGCCUUGUUGAGAUCUCGGAAAUCAACACAAACUCUCACCUUGUCGUCCUUUUUGGGAACAAGGACUACAUUGGCCAGCCACUCCGGAUACUCGACCACUGACAAAAAUCCUACACUGAGUUGCUUCUGGAUCUCCUCCUUCACUUGCAAGCUCCAACGAGGGUGCAAUCAUCUCAACUUCUACUUAACCGGUCUAGCAUGGGGCAGAAGUGGCAAACGAUGUUGGACGAUAGAUGGAUCAAGGCCUGGCAUGUCCUCAUAGGACCAUGCGAAAACGUCCAAGUAUGCUCUGAGCAACUGGAUGAGGUUGUCCCUCUCAUCAUCAGAUAAAUCUGAUCUGAUCCUCAACUCCCUAGGCUGAUAUAUUGUGCCGAAAUCAACAAUCUCCAUGUCCUCUAUAGCAGGUGAAACUCUCUGAUCAAAGGGAUCCGAAUCGGAAAUAGAAGAUGAGUCAUCAUCUGAGUCGUGUUGUGCAAUCUCAUCAUCAAUAUCAAAAAUCUGUGAUGUGGGUGAAGAUGGUGCAGAUAAAACAAUAUCGUAAAAGAGAGGCAAAUUUUAAAAAAUGCUCAAAUCCAUAGAUGAAAAGUCAGAAACAUAGUCAUGAUGGGAGACAAAUCCCGAUAAAACAUCAAAUGAAAGAGGUGAGUCUACAAAGUCGAACAUUCCCUCAACUAGGCCAAUAGGGCCAUCAAGAAAAUCAUCAACAGCUAUAAUGUCCUCAGUAAUCUCCGAAGUAGGGGCAGUCUGGAUCUCCUCAGCGAUCUCAAUGAAAGACACCCCGAAGAGAUCAAAUGGUGAAGUGAGCUCAGGCUGGACUAUCUCCUCAAUCUGGCUCAAGCUCAAUGCAAGCAUCUCAUCGACGUACUCGUCACAUGGCAUAGCUCCGUCUACUAUGUCGCUAAUCUCAACAAAUGUCUUGUGAUCAUCGAUCUCAUCCAAUAAGCAAAGCGUCAUAAGGCUCGUGCGAUCUGGAGAGGCAGGAGCGAUCAACGCAGAAGUCGAAGGAUCAAGGGCUCCGUUACUCAAUUGUAACUGCUGGACGAGGCGCUGAAGCUCGGCCUCCUUGGUGGUGUUGAAUCCUCUGAUGAUCCCAUCAGAUGGUGCAUGUGACUCCGAUGCCCUCACAAAGUAAUCUGCCAGGCUCAUGGUGUAUGGGCGAACAGGAUAAUAAAAGAGCGUAUGAGUCAGUCGAGCCCUCACCCUCUCCUUGCUCAAUCGCGCCAUAUAACGAUAAUCGGCCUCAGUGGGGAUGAACCUGAGUCCGAAUGGUACGUCGUGAUCAGGGAUGGCUAUGAACUCACUAGGCCCAUGCUGACACUACCCUAACCCUAUGCCGGGAAAAUAAGGCAUACUCUGCAUCAUAUCGAGCACCACCGUGCUACUAUGCUGGUCAAAGGACAUGGCUACGAAAUCUCGGUAGAAAUCUUCUAUCUCCACGGUUUGUACCUCAUCAAAGGUGAAUCCAGUCAGAAAAAGAUCGUCAUCAGUGUGACUAAUCUCAAGCACAGGCUUGGCAAAAAUGAACAUAUCUCCCACAGACUGCACCACGACGACCUGGCCAUCGUGAAUAAACUUCACCUUUUGAUGAAGGGAAGAAUGAAUGGCCCCAGCUCUGUGGAUUCACGGUCGGCCCAGAAACAGGUUAAAGGAUGUAGGAAUCCUCAAAACCUGAAACACGGUGACAAAAGUGGCCAGAUCAAUUAGUAGUUCAAUCUCUAGUGUGCCCAUGACCUCCCUUCGAGUACUGUCAUACGCGCGAACGGUCUAAGUGGAGGGACAGAAAUCAGAUGGUGCAUAGCCGAGGGCAGUGAUGGUGGCCAGAGGACAAACGUUCAGGGUCGAGCCAUUGUCCAGAAGGACAGAUGGGACUCGACGGCCUGAACAACCAACAGAUAUAUAGAGUAGACGCGUGUGGUCUGAGCCCUCUGGUGGCAAGUCAUCAUCGGAGAAUACAAUGCAUGUGGCUCUACCGACCGUCAUCAUAUGAAUCAAUCCCUCAUGGGAGGUGGUAGUCUUAACUCUAAUCUGGCUCAGGGCUCAAAUCAGAGCAUCAUGGUGAGUGGUCAAGGAUGCCAACAAACUCCAGAUGGAAAUACGAGCCUGAGUGCUCUAUAGCUGCCUCAAAAUCUCGGCGUCCUCUACUCUGACCUCAUCGGGAACAGAUGUACCCUCAACUGGCUUAGCUGCUGCGCGAGGUGGCUAUCGCAACACUCUACCUCCUCAAAGAAUAUACUAAACAUCCAAAGUUUGAGAAUCAUCAACAUGCGGAGCUUGAACCUCCUCAACAUUCGAGAUCAAGAUGAAUGGCGUCUGGACGCUGUAAUAUGGAAAAAUCAAUGGCUCAACAGUGGUAGUCUGUACUAAUGCCACCUGGGGAACUAAUCCGAAUGAAAUGGGCAUCUGAGGCCCCAAAGUCGCUCCGUCCAUCUCAUAAAUCCCAUUUGACAUGAUAGGCUCUGGCUCAAUGUCAUCACAGCUCAACAUAUGGAUAUAGUCAUCAUGAUCAAAGAACUCCAGGAAAUGUAUGCUAUCGACCGGUGGGGGGACCACAUGUGUAGUGUGGGCAAGUAAUGGGUUUGUGGUUACACUCGGCUGACCCAAGUGCACCAAACCCUGGUCGAUCAGAUCCUGGAUGGCAUGCCUCAAAGUGGUGCAGCGAUCGGUCUCGUGUCCAGGCCCUUGAUGGUAUGCACAGUGCAAAUCCAUCCUGAAUUAAGGUGGAAUCGGCUGAGGUGGCAGCCUGGGAGUGAGAACGGUCAAUAACCCGGCCUCUGUAAGCUUCCGAAGAGCCUAGCUCAAUGGCAUGCUUAAUUGCGAGAACUACCUCUGUGUCCUCAAAGCAGAUGGAGCAAAAGUCUGCUGAGCUUUGGGUUGAGGAUAAGGCGUUGUGGGUCUCGCAGUGAAUUGAGCAGCAUAGCAUGGCUGUCCUAUGGCCGUGUAGGAAAUUGGGGGUCUCUCAAUGUCCUGGGUGGCAUAAUAAGGCAAAGCCAAAGUCUGUGGCAUGUAGACUGAUCAUAAGUCGGGUGAGGCGCUCGUGGCCUAUACUGCUGAGGUGGAUAUGAAGAAUGAGCCUCAGGAAGCUAUGGGAUCGGCUGAUGGCGCCUGGGAGGUCUCUAACUGGAAGAACUAAUGGCGCUCACGUCAACUGAUCUUUGUCCUCCAAAGGGCUUCUUCCCCUUAACAUCACUAGGGGAAGAAUCUGUCCACAAUCCUCUAGAGAUGUCGUCCUCGACAUCGUAUAAAGUCAAAACCAAUGAACCAAAAUCUGUGAAUGGUACCCUAACCACGUGUCUGGCGAUCCUGGGCUGUAAACUCCUCAAGACCAUCUAUAUCUGAUCUCUCUCUGAAGGUCUAUCAAUGAUCUCGACAAUCUUCCCACGCCAGCGGGAAAUGAAUGAAGAAACUAACUCAUCUAUUAUCUACCUCAGAGCCUCGAGCUUUCUCCUCGAUACAUCCACGACAGUGUUAAAUGAAAACUGUCGUAAGAACUCCUGGGCCAAGUCGUCCCAUGUUCGGCGUCGUGAGGACUUCAAGGAUGCAAACCAACGUUGGGCCGUCCCACUCAGAGAUAGUGGAAAUAAAGUGAUCAUCUGAGACUCAUCCAAUCCAUGAGCCCUCAUCACUGUGCUAUAGAGUCUGAGGUGGAUGCGUGGACAACUAAUGAUCGUAUAUCUCUUGAUGUCUGGCAUCCUAAACUUAGCCGGCAAACUGGCUAUCGGCAUACCCUCGAAAUCAUCCCAAACAAUUGAUCUAUCUGACACUCUCAUCUGCCUCAUACGCUGUUUAAGACAGUCCAUACGUGCAUGAGCAUCAUCAACGACAGUGGUCUGGACAACAGCGGGUGGAACAAUCUCAGAAUGUCCAUGUAAUAUAUAGGGUGAGGCCUGAGGCACUGAAGGAACGGGUGGUGGUGGUGGAUGUGGAUGUGAGUCAUACGACGUCUCAUCCUGAACUGUUGGUGGUCUACUUUGCUGACCACUGAUCUCCUGCCUGAGGCUAGCCAAAGCCUCCUGGAUAGAAGCCAUGGUAGCCGUAAACUGAUCCAUUGUAACAACCUGCUGAUCCAUACUCGGUCUCUCUGAAUACCGGACUAAUCUCCCCUCUACUCUGACCCAAGAAGGCGUAUCCAGACUGUGAACGAAGAUCCGAUCCUGAUCGAUUCUUCUCCUACUCCUCUCCUCAAGUCUCUCAAAACCAGCAUCCAAAAGCACCUCCUUCGACCUCUCCUAUCUUCACUCCCCUCAAAAGCACCAGAAGUCUCUCAAAAAUCUCUUUUGCCCCUUGCCAAAAAGCCCCCUCCUCUCCAAAAUAUCUCCCCACAAAACGCCCCCUACGCUUGCCAGAAUAUCCUCUCUCUCAUCCGAUCCUCCUAACAGACUGCGGCCUCUCUAGAAUGUUCUUUCCACGUGUUCAACUCUCAUUUGCUCCUCGAUUCCACUACCUAAUUCUCUGUCCACCAACCACGAGGUGAUACGUGGCUCCUUGAGAGCCUUCCACCUGGCAAAAUGAGUUGCAGAAAAUGCAUGAAAGUGAGGCCCCAAAAUGAGGGUCUACAAAUAGGUUUUUAGAUGAGUGUGAAUUGUGUUUUGGAAUUCUAACUAAAAAAAAUUCAUUAGAAUUGAUGAUAGUUUAUUUUAGUCUUGUUCUACUAUAAGAGGUUGAAUUAUAAAAAUUUGUAGUACAUACAUUUCUAAUAAAAAUGUUUAUGAUUUAAGUAUUGUUAAUUUUAUUAUUAAAUGAGGAAUCUACAAAAAUUUAUGAAAUUUAAUUUUGUUGAGAAUUUGAUGAAUUAUGAAGCAGAAACAGUAGCUAAAUGUGGUAGAAUUUUGAUUCAAGUUUUGGAAUUUAUGAAUUUAUUUAGAUUAAUUUGUUACCCAAAUUAAGUUACUUUUAUGUUGUUGGGCUUCUUUUAAUAAAAAAAAAAAAUCAUUAAAAUUUAUAUCUAAAUUUUAUCAAGAAUCAAGAGGAAAAAUGGACAAAAACAAAGCAUAUUUCAAUCAUUUCAUUUUUUUUUCUUGAUGACAACUUUGUUAAUUUAUAAUAUAUUCAUUUUUCUUCCAAAUUACACAAAAUUGAAAUAGUUUAAUUCUUUCUUCAGAUAAAAGUUAUCUAAAGUCAUAAAAAAAAAUGAAAUUGAUUUUAUUUUAUGUGAGGAAUUAGGUCUAAAUAUCAUAACACAGUUAGAGAUCAAAAAAAUAUAAAGAGAAAAAAAAUGACUUUUUCUAUUAAUAUAAAAGUUAAAAUUAAUUCAUUUUUUCCUUAAGUAUAUAUAUAUAUAUAUAUAUAUAUAUAUAUAUAUAUAUAUAUAUAUAUAUAUAUUUUAAAAAAAAAAGUAAUAAGCUGAAAAAUAAAUAGUUCUAAAAUGUAUUCAGUCUUGAAGCAACUUACUUUAACAUUUGAGUAAAAAAACUAAAUAAAAAAUAAAAAUAGAAAAAAUCAAGCCCUAAAGCAUUGGAUGAGCCAAUGAUCGGAUACUUGAUUUUAACUAAGCAGUUACUUGUCAAUAAUUGUGUUCAUGUUCAUCUCUGCCAAGUACCUUAAAAUGAAAAGGAACAAGUUCAUAUAAAAUCCAAUUUGUCUUUCUCACCCAACACAAUUGCAACCAUCCACCACCAAUUCAAUAUCUCGAAAAACCUUCAAUGUCUCUAAUAGAACCAAAAUCAUGUUAUAUUUGGGAACAUUAAAAUCUUGAUGUAAUGCAACAUUUCAAAAGAAUUUUUCACUUUGAUCUAUGCUCAUAUCAACAUUUCUCUUUGAUAUAGGCAUUUUUCAAAAGAAUUCACCUAUCUUUUCUUGCUAAAGCCUUAAAUUUCUCUCUUCUCUCCAUAACAAACCUUGAGCAUGCAACUUACUAAAUAGACAUUACAUAGGAUUCAAAAUUAAUUUUCAACAAUUCUCAAGUAUAGUGCCUAUUGCAUAAGCAAAUAUACUUUUAAAGAUAUUGUUGAUAGCCUUCUCUAUGCUAAUAGCACUUUUAAUGCUUGGGUUGAUCUUUAUGAUUGAUUCCACCAAAGCAAUGCCCCACGAAUCUUCCAAAUCGAGAAGCACAUAGUUGUUCUUGAGCAAAGAUCUAUGGAUGUCAACACAUACUACACUAAGCUCAAGGUCCUCUAGGAUGAGCUCAAAAAUUAUCAACCCAUUCUUGUCUAUCACUAUGGAGGCACAAAGUCUUGGUUAGACACCAACAAUAGGAGUACAUCAUGCAAUUUCUUAUGGGUUUGAUUGAGUCAAAUGCUUAAACUUGAACACAGAUCUUAAUGAUGUCUUUGCACUAGUUGUCCAAGAAGAAUGCCAAUGUACUAUUAAUCAAGGCUCUUUUUUUCCUAUCGAUUCUCUUAUGCCCAACAUUUCAAAUUCCUCUGCUUUUGUUACAACAACAAAUUUUUCUCGAAAUUCAACUUUAAAACCCAAGUGUGAGUGACCCUAAUAUUCCCACUGUGGCUUGCAAGAACAUAUUGUAAAUAAAUGCUAUCAUCCUGGCUAUAAGUCAAAAUCAAAGAAACCUGAAGUAAAAAAUUCAAGCCACCUAGGCCAAUGCAACUAUUAAUGAGACUAUUAACUCUGGUUCACCCCUUGGAUCUCUUACUUUAGCUCAGUGUCAUCAAUUGUUUGCAUUCUUGAGCUCUCAACUUCAUAACAACUUUCUUGUUAUGCUAGAAUCUCAAUAGCUAGAACCCUUUGUUUCCCAGUUCAAUGGUAUACUAUCUUUUUCUUCUGUCUCAUAAUUUUCCAAUUUCUUUUUCCACCUGGAUUUUGGACAUAGAAGUCGCACAUCAUGUUUGUUGUUCAUUAAGCACAUUUACACAAUCUACUCCAGCACAAAAUUCUUUUGUAACUUUGCCUAAUGGUCAAUCUGUUGUUAUUAAUCGUAUUGGUUAUGUGUUUUUGUCUCCUGAUCUCAUCCUUAAUAAUGUCAUGUUUGUUUCUAAUUUCCAUUUCAAUCUCCUCUUUAUCUGUUCGCUCACUCAAAGUUAUAAAUCUUCUAUUAAUUUUAUGGUUGAUUCUUGUACUAUUCAAGGCCAUACACGGACCAAAAUGAUUGGGAUGAGUAGAAGACAUGGUAGCCUAUACUUCUUAAAUAUAGUCAAUUUUCAUUCCACUACACCACAAAUUUUCAGUCCUUGUAAUAAUGUUUCGUUGUCUCAAAAUGAAAUUUGGUUUUACCAUUUAGGUCAUCCUUCUUAUGUAACAUUACAAACAUUCAAAAAUGAAAUAGAAGUUAAACCAAAUUCUGGUGAUUCAAGUCAUUGUUUAGUUUUCCAUUUAGUCAAAAGAUGCAAAUUACAUUUUAUUUCUCACAAUUAUUUGUCUGUUUUGCCUUUUCAACUCAUACAUUGUGAUGUUUAAGGUCUCCUUCACACAUUUACCAUUGAAGGUUAUAGAUAUUUUUUUUACUAUUGUUAAUGAUUGUACUCAUUUUAUUUGGGUGUAUCUUUUGCGUGCUGAGCCUGAUGUUACUGAAGUUAUUCCUAUUUUUUUUUCUCAUUGAUUCAAACUCAAUUUGGAACACAAAUAAAAUUUGUUCACUCAGAUAAUCCUCCUGAAUUGGCAUUUUUUGACUUCUUUCAUGCAAAAUGAGUCAUCUCAUUUCAUUCUUGUGUUGAUUAGCCUCAACAAAAUUCAAUAGCAGAAAGAAAGCAUCAACAUAUCUUAAAUGUUGUAUGGUCUUUAUGUUUCCAAUCACAUAUUCCAUUGGUUUAUUGGGGGGAUUGCAUUCUUAUUAUUGUACACUUAAGAAAUAAAACUGCAUUCCCACUUUUGUCCAAUAAAACAACCUUUGAACUUCUUUGGAAAAAGAAGCUUGCAUAUUCACAUCUUUGUAAUUUUGGUUGCCUAUGUUAUGCAUCUACUUUAGAUCGUCAUAGGACAAAUUUCUCACCUCAUGUCAUUCCUUUUGUCUUUCUUAGGUACCCAUCUGGUUAUAAAGAAUACAAAUUAUUGAAUCUAGUCACUAAUUCUGUGUUUAUCUCCCAUAAUGUGGUAUUUCAUGAGUCUAUAUUUUCUUUCAAAACUAUUCAAACUUAUUCUCCUCUUCCAAAUAUUUUCUCUGAUACUGUUUUACUAUUUCCUUCUUUUUCUUCCAUUCUUGAAUCUACAUCUUUGCCAAUAUCAACAAUUCCUACUGUUUUCAUACCUUCUACGUCUCAUUGUCAUCCUAAUCGUGUUCGUAGGCCUCCUUUUUAUCUAGCAUAUUACUACUGCUAUUCUUGUUCCCACAGCACAUCUUCUACCUCACAUCCUCUCACACAUGUCCUUGAUUACACAAAAUUGUCAAAUUCAUAAAAAUAAAAAAAUGAAUAAAAGUUUGUGUUAUUUCCUAUAAUUUUGAACCCACCACAUACUUCAAGGCUGCUACUAUUCUAGAUUGGCAAGAUGCAAUGUCUGCUGAGUUAGGAGCUCUUGAACAAAAUGACACUUGGUCUUUAACUACUUUGCCACAAGGAAAACAUGCUAUUAGGUGCAAAUGGGUGUACAAAAAUAAGUAUAGAGUUGAUGGAACUAUUGAACAAUACAAAGCUCACCUUGUAGCUAAAGGCUGCACACAACAAGAGGGCAUAGACUAUCUAGGUACCUUCUCUCAUGUUUUCAAAUUGGUUACUGUUAAGGUUUUGCUUGCUUUGGCUACCAUUAAUGGUUGGAGCCUUCCUUAGAUGGAUGUCAAUAAUGUGUUCUUACAUGGUGAUCUUUUUAAGGAAGUUUAUAUGACUCUCCUAGUUAUCACCUGAAGGAAAAUCAUUAUCCUCACACUCUGUUUACAAAAUUCAAAAGUCUUUAUAUGGCUUGAAACAAGCAUACGACAAUGGUUUUCCAAACUCUCCAAUUUCUUACUUGUUGAAGGUUUUUAAACAUUCUAAUGCAAAUCACUCUCUUUUUGUCAAAGUUGUCAGUACUCACUUCAUUGCUCUGUUAGUUUAUAUGGAUGACAUUGUCAUUGUUAGUAAUAGUGAUGAGCGAGUUGAGAAAUUAAAAGUUCUAUUUAGGAAAGCUUAAAUACUUCUAAGGCCUUGAGGUGGUGAGGUCUAAUAAGGAAAUUUCCCUUAGUUAGCACCAUUAUGCCUUACAAUUACUAUCAGAUAUAGGCUAUGUUGGUUGUAAAUCAAGGAAAACACUUAUAAAUCCAAAUGUGAAGCUCACACAAGACAAAGGUGAUCUAUUAAAAGAUCUUUUAUUUUACAGAAGAAUGAUAGGCAAAUUGCUUUAUCUAACCGUAGCAAAUCCAGAUUUAUCAUUUUCAGUACAUAAAUUCAAUCAAUUUCUUGCAAAGCCCAGAGUUCUUCAUAUGUGGGCAAUACAACAUGUGCUUCAGUACUUGAAAGCAUGGUUUGAAAUAUUGGUAAACACGGAUAUAUCGAUACUUGGAUUUUAUGAAUAUGUUGGAAAUAUUGGUAAAAUAUCGGUAAAUAUUGGUAAAAUAUCGGUGGAUAUUUUGGCAAAAAUAUUGGUGAAACAAAAAUUAUUCAAAAUUCAUGGAAAUGUUUGGAAAACUCUAAAAAAAAUGAUAAAAUAAGCAAGAAUACAUAUGUUAAAGUUAUUGUAAGUGGAAUUGACAUAAAUAUGGUCAAUGAGAAAAAUAUGGAGGGAUAUAUCAAACUUAAUAAUUUAUUAUUUAUCUUAUCAAAUUAAUUUUAAUUUAUAAAAUAUUAGAACUUCAUUAUUUUUUUUAUUUUAGUAAUGUUUUGAAUACAUUUAUAUUUUUAAUAUUUGUAAAAUAAAAACAUUCAAAAUUAAAUAAAAUUAAAAGGAUAAACAUAAAAAAAGUGAACUGAUAGCAAUUUUUAAAAAUAAGAUUAAUGAGAUAAAUGAUGAUACAUUUAAUAUUAAAACUAUAAUUUAUUUAAUUCAAAUACAUUCAACAAUGUAAAAUAAAUUAUGAUGCAUAUAUAAUUUUUUUGAUAUUUAUAUUUUUUUUAUAUAAUUGUCAUAUAAAUGAUAUAAAAAAUAAAAUAAAAUAAAAGACUUGUUAAGAAAAUUAUAAUGAUGGUUUUAUACUUUUAUUAAAUAAUUAAAUAAAAUUUUAAAUAAAAUAAUUAGAAUUAAUUUAUUUAUUCUUUUAAUGAUGAAUUUUACCAUAUUUAUUGUGAACAUAUAUUUACAAAUGUGGACUUGGCCCAAUAGUAGUCAGGCUUCACCCAAGCCUUUUGGCCUAGGUUUGAAUCCCCUUGGAUGCAAUAGAAAAAAAUUUGAAGGAAUUUACCCGAAUAUCGACAUCUUUUCGAUGAAGUUGAUUGACUUUCGGUGUACAAUAUCAUGUCGACUCUCCCUGAUAUUUUGACGAUCAACUUUUAGUGUGGAAUAUUGUGUUAGCUCUCCCUGAUAAGCAAAAUAUCGACAAUAUUUCAUCAAAAUUUUGCAACAUUUUAGUGUGGAAUAUCAUGUCGACUCUCCCCAAUAUUUCAACAAUCGACUUUCAGUGUGGAAUAUCGUGUUAGCUCUCCCUGAUAAGCAAAAUAUCGACAAUAUUUCGCCAAAAUUUUGCAACAUUUCAAACCAUGCUUGAAAGUUAUGCAGGACAAGGUUUUUUUUUUUUUUUUUUCAUUAAUAGAGUUGAAAAGGUUUGUUGAUUCAAAUUGGGCAACUUGUGUGGUCUGUUAAUGAGUUUUGCUUUUUUUUAUUUAUUUAUUGUUGAUUCCUUAAUUUCCCAGAAAUAAAAAAGGCAGCAUACAGUUUCAAGAUCUUUUGUUGAAGUUGAGGACAAAUUUAUGGCAAAUGCAACAUGUGAAUUGAUGUGGUUACUUUCUUUAUUUAGAGAUUUGCAUGUAUCUCGUCCUAAGCCUGCCUUGCUAUUUUGCAACAAUCAAGCAACUCUUUAUAUUGUAGCUAAUCCAAUUUUUCACAAGCACACUAAGCACAUUAAGAUCGAUUAUCACUUGGUUAGAAAGAAACUGCAAAAUGGAAGCUUGAAGACACUACAUAUUUCAUCUAAACAUCAAGUGAGAGACUUGUUGACCAAACCUUUUUCUUCACCUCAAUUUCUUUUUCUUCUUAGUAAAAUCGAAAUUCACAAUAUUCAUUCUCCAUUUUGAGGGGGAGUAUUAGAAUAUUUGGGUAUCUUGCAGUAUGGUUACAAGUUAAGUAAAGAAUUGUUAGUUUGUUAAAUAAUUGUUAGCUUUUUUUUUUUUUUUUUUUUUGCAACUAGAUGUGUCUAUUCAAUAACUUCAUAUGGUUAUAGUUAAUUAAAGAAUCCUUUACGUAUUAACUGUUAAAAUAAUUUGUUUCCAACUUUCCUAUUAAAUUUUCUUCUGCUCAAGAUUUCAAAAAUUAUAGUUCAAGAAAGCUCUUUCGAUUUCUAUGUUGCACUGUAUCUUCUUAUAUGUUAGUACAAAUCAUACUCCUCUUUUUACCUCUUCAAUGAAUCCUUUUAGGAGUAAGACCACCAAGUGAGCACCCUUAUAUUGAUCCACAAGCUUUUUAUUACAUAUUUUUUGUUUGUGCACACCACCUCAAAUUUAAGUGGCCCAUAAAUUUUAUACUUUGGAUACCUUACCAUCCAAUCAUAAGCAUAAACUAAAUUUGAAAGGAUAAGAUUAGUUUAUUUUAGAGAAAUUGAGCUCCAAGUCCCCUAGCCAAACAUGAAGUUUUGAAGCAUGAAAUUUUUGUGAUGGGACAUAAUUGCAAUCCUUAUUAAAUUGAUCAAUUGUGUUAUGCCAAGAAUGCAAAUUAUGCAUGGCAAAGUGGUUAGAAAGUGUACAAAUGCACCAUCUUUUUACUUGUUUGUUUACUCAAAUUUCUCGGUCAAUUUUUUUUUUUCAUUCUUAUCCCUCUUGAUUGAGGCAAACAUGUUUUGGCUAGUGCUCUCAAAUUCCUUAAAUAUAUUCUUUUCAAUAUUGUAAACAUUUGGCUUGGUCAUUGUUAUAGUUAUCAAUUGUGUCAACUUUUACUUUCUCUCAUCCCCAAUUACAUAUGCACUUUGUAGCUUUAAUUUUUUUUUAGUGAUUAAUCUUAGUUUUUAUCUAAUUGUUUGCCUUAUAGUCUUUGACAUAACUAUAAGUGUAACAUGUACCUCUCACAAACCAAAAGACAUCACUUGUCUUCUUUAAUUUAAACAUUUUUGCAUCUGUGUAAGAUCUGAAACUAGAAUUUCACAACAUCGCGUAGUCAUUUUCUCUAGUUGUUUCUCAAAGCUCUCUUCAAGAUUUAGUUCAUGUUCAAUUACCAACUUUGAGUUUUCACUUUUUUUUUUUCCCAUGAGUCAUGAGGAAAUGAAUUUCAACUGUGUUUCAUCUAUCCAUCUCUCUUAAAUUGUUUUAUUCGAUAGUUACCAAUUGUAGAAUUGUUUUUAUAUAUUCUUUUCAUAGAUAUUGUUAAUAAAUUAUGCUAAAUGAGUAGCUUCCUGAUGUGGUGAGAGCUAAUUUUGUUAUUGCUAGGAUAAUAUCUUUUUAACUUUCUUAACUUUUUCCGAAUUAUAAACCACUCAUGCUUUGACCAAUCUCCAUGUGUUUUUCAUUUGUUUGGAUUUAUGGGCUUUUGAUUCUAUUUGGUGAAUAGAUAAUAAGGAAUUAAGGAUCUGAGAUUGACAUUACUUUAAGGAUGUUUGAAGAUGACAUAGUGAAGCAUAGAAUAUUUUUUUGGGUUGUAUCUCCUCAUUUCCCAUACUUAUGGUGGACAUUGAUGAGUUGGAUUAUUUGAAUGAAAUGAGCUUUGGAAAAAUACUAGUAAUUACAUGAAUUGUUGCAAUAUAUUUGAGUGAAAAUAUUAUGUUAGUGUCUCUCCAUGUCACUAAUUCAAACCUGUUACUUUCCAUUGUAAGUGGUAGAAAUAUAUUUUUUAUUUUCUAGAAAACAUUACUCUAACUUGUGAAAAAGGUUCUUAUGCCUCCAUAUUAAAUGUUAUAUGAUGGAAAAAAAACUUGAAUCUCUCUGUUUCCUCAGUCUGGAUCAGGUUAGGAAUAUGCAUAACUAUCCUAGGCUUUUUCUAAAUUCUAUGCACAACAAAAAAAUUAAUUUUUUUUAUACUUUAUAAGGAUCUAGAAAGUGCUAACGAAAACUAUACCUCAAAUUCGGAUGCUCCCGAGUCUUCCGCUCGAUGACUCAAACCUUGAUCUUGGCACACUUCUAAUGGGGAGGAAAUGAGGGUGGAGGCUAUAGUUUUCUCUCUCUCUGGAUGGUGGACGAUAAAAGCUAUGGAACCCCUAACCUCUAGGGGGUAUUUAUAGGGUUCCUAAGUGGGCUUAAGUGACUUGAGCCCAUACAGGCUUGGGUCACUUAAUCUAACCCAAAAUGAGUUCUAACUGAUUAAUUAACCCAAUAAGGCUUACUAAUUAAUCAAUUAGCCCAAUCAAGAGACCUUGUUCACUUACCCCUAUACAACCUUGCGUAAUUAUCAAAAUGCCCUUAUGCACAGAAGUGAACUUAGAGUCAAUUCAACCCUCAUAACCCAUGCCAACAAGGUAUAUGAGUUCAAAGUGGGGACCAUUGGGACCCAUAGAAAUACUGACUCCCUCAAAAUCAAAUUCUAAAGUUGAUUCAAUAUCACACUAUAGAGAAUCAACUAAACUCCAAUAUCUUAUGUAAAUAACAACGAGACACUAAGUGAUCGGGUCUGUGACUUGCUAUCCAUUGUGUUCAGUCUCCCCAUGAACUAAUGUCCGUAGUUUAAUAAGGUGAAAGCUAUUAGUCUUUCAAGACUACCUCUACCUUCUAUUUUGUGUUCAAUUGACAUAUCUUAGCUCUCAAAGAGCCUAUGUCAAGUUCCAUUUAAUGAACUACAUGACCAUAGUUUCCAUGAACACACCUCCUUAAGAUCACCCAAGGGGACACACUAUCUCAAUCCUAAGAGAUAUCAUAGUGCCUCUAUUGAAAAUACCUAUUACUACCAGCUUCUAUCAACAAUGACCCAAUCCAUACGGAAUAUAUGAUCAGCUUACGAUUUCACCUGUAGGUCAAAGUCAUUGCCAACUUUAGCACAAGCUUAAUAUUCUCUCAAGGUUGAGAGACAACACAAUGAAACAGCUUGGUGAGGUCAUGACUCAAUAAUAGCCUUAAGUCAUGACUCACCAUAAGUCUUGUCCAAUGUGUAACCAUACAUACUAGUGCACUCACCAUGGGAAACCCAUCCUGAUAACCAAGACCAGUGAUCCCUCCAAUUAGGAGGUGGUGCACUACAACCUUUAAUGGGUUGCCUAGACCCAUGAACCAAUUGUAAACAAGUCAUCUAUUUGCAAGGAACCCAUGACUUAGAUCUUCUGUGCAACUCCUAAUGCACCUAAGUCACGUACAAUACAAAAAAUGCAGACAAGAAUGCUCAUAAAGUAUAAUAUAUGGAAUAAGAAUAGAUAAAAGUGAAACUGGAACAUCAUUAAAUAAAUAAUGAAUUCCAAAUUUAUUACAUCAUGUCAUGAUUUUAAGUGCUUUAUCCUAACAUUAUAUAUUUGAGAUAAACAUGAUAUAAUGAGAUUUAUGUUUCUUUGUUAUAAUAUUUCAAUAAGUAAUUGUGUUUUAAUUUUAAUAAACUAUGCAUGCAUGAAACAAUUCAAGUAUCAUUAGCAUCAUUGGUAUCAUUGUGAGACAAAAGUUUCUCUUAUUACAUACUAAAGAGAUUUAAGUUAUCAAAAAGUGAAAACGGUUUUAUCUAGGCUAGUUUCAAGUUGACAACUUUUAAAUUGUUUAUCAUGUGAUAAAGAACUUUUCCCUACAAAUGAUACUUGAAUUGUAUAAUUAGACAGUGUAGGAAAACAUAAUAUCUAUGAAGUUAACUGUUUAUUCUUAAUUCAAUUUUUAGAAAUUUUGGUAGUCUUUCCUCUUAUUCUCUGGGUGCAUAUUUGGAUAAAGUUGCAUAGUAUGCCUUGUCCAUUUUACAUACUUAGAGAACUAUAAGGAAAUUCUACUAAAACUUCUUUAAAAUGAAAUUGACCACAUUGGUCAUUGACACAUAGAGAUUAUGUAUUUCUAUAUGGGAUAGGAACUACUACCGAAUUUAGGAUGUUGGAGAUGUUAGAAUGCAUAAAACAUGCAUCAAAAUUUGACAUACUCAAAUGAUUUUCUUUAUUUAGUAAAUUAGUAUAGAUAAUGUUUGAUGCAAAGGUCAUGGACAAACCCAAUAUAAUAAUAUUAAUAUGCACUAGUUUUAUUGAGGUUAUACAUCCCUUUUAAUGCAAGUAUUCAUGGUCAACAACAUUUAUAACUUAUUAGUCACUACUACAAAUAAGAUAUACCAUGACCUUGUUUUUUCCUUGGCACUUUUAAAAAUGUUAAUAAUUAGCGUGAUAUUUCAAAAGUGUAGAUCUAUGUUCAUAGAUCAAAAUGGUUAGAACAAUGCUUACUUUUUUUCUUUUAAAUUUGGCAUCUUAAAGAAAUGUUGAACUACACUUUCUUGAUUAUUAUUUGAACAAAAAAAAAAGGUUGUUAAACGAAUAGCAUAGAAAAUGUUGCUAUUUUCUUCAAUUUGAAGUUUGAUCACUAUUGAAAGUUUGUUCUUAAAAAAUGGAUCAUUUGUGGAUUUCAAAGGAUAGAGGACUAAAGGAGUAUGGGGAUGGGGUAGAACAUUUUUAUCACAUUUGCAAUAUAAAAUUCUGCAUAUAAAAACUCCAUUAAAUGUCCAUGCUUGUAGAGUGGUAAUAUGAUAUUUCAUACUCCUCAAAGAUUUCCUCAAAGAUUUCCUCAAAAUAUUAGAGAGCAUAUGUUUUUCUAUAGAAUUAAUCAGAAUUACCAUAUAUGUUAUUGGCAUGGGGAAGCAACUCCAAGUGAACCACCAACUAGAAGGGUAGAACAUUAUAAUAUGGUUCAAUUUAAUGAUGUAGAUAGUACAAUAGAAAUGGUUGAAGUUGUACAAGUUGAAUGUCAAAAUGACCUAAAAUUGCUUGAAAGAUUACUUCAAAUUGUUGAAAAACCUUUUAUAUCCUAGUUGUAGAAAAUUCACACAAUUGUUUGCAUUGGUUAAAUUAUACAACUUGAAAACACACUAUGAGUGGUCUGAUAAAAGCUUUUCAGAGCUUUUAAAAAUGCUUAGAUAUAUGUUGCCUCUAAAUAAUGAGUUACCCUUGUCUAUGUAUGAGACAAAAAUGGCAUUGAAUACAUUAGGAAUGGAAUAAGAAAAAAUACACGCAUGCCCCAUGAUUGUAUACUUUACAGGAAUAAGUUGAAAGAUGCAUUUCAUGUCCUAUCUAUGGAACUUCAAGGUGAAAGGUAGAUAAUAUAGGAACUAAAAAAAUGACAGGAACUCCUGGGAAAGUAAUGUGGUAUUUUCCUCCAAUUCCAAGAUUUAGAAGAAGGUUUCAAUCAUAAAAAAUCGUAAAAGACCUCAUAUGGCAUACCUAAGGAAGAGAUUUAGAUGACAAAAUGUGUUAUCCAGCUGACUCUCUAUCAUAGCUAAUUGAUCAUAAAUGGCCCAACUUUGUUUCAAAACCUAGAAACUUGAGACUUCCCAUUUUAGCAGAUGGUAUAAAAUCCUCACAAUUCAUUGAUUAGCAAAUAUAGUUGUUUGUCCUAAAGAGCUCGAAGCAGCAACUAUGGACAAUGUUUUUUUUAUCAUAAAGAGUAAGUUAUGGGCAACACUAUGGCUGUAAAUAGAGGUAAAACCUUUAACUUGUUUUUAGUUUGAUUUUUCUUUUCUUUCAUAAUGGAAAUAGAAAAUCAUCUAAACAAAUAGGACCUUAAUAAUUUUUUUUUUCUACAAUUUAUUUUUGAAUAAAAUAAUUUAAAAGAUUCCAUUCUUAUAUUUGUUAGACUUUUUUUUAAUGAAGAAAAAAAUAGUCUCCCUUUUAGCAUAUAUAUUAUAUAUGAUUAACAAUGGGUAUAAUAAAAUUUAUUUAAUAAAUAAUUGAUGUGACAUUCUAAAUUGAAAGUCAUAAAUUAGCUCAUUAGUUUGAUGUUGGCCCUAAAACUACAAGACUUGAUUACAUACUUAGAUUUUAUUCUUGAAAUUUAAGAGAUAAUUGAUGUGACAUCUUGAAUUGAAAGUCAUAAAUUAGCUUAUUAGUUUUAUGUUGGCACUAAAACUACAAAACCCAAUUACAUAAAUUUUGUUCUUGAGAAAUGUCAUUAUGGUUCAUAGUAAGGCUUAGUUUGGUGUGUUAGACCAUGCAUGCAUGAUAUCUCUUCACAUUCUCUUGUUUUUUGACAAACAUGCUACCAUACUUAAGGUGUUUGUCAAGGCUCAUCUUGGACUACUCAAAACUUUGGGGUCCUUUCUUUGAGUUCACAAGCUUCUUUCCCCUAGUGUCAACCCCAACUCCCAAAAUCCACUCCUUAGUAGUGCACUGACGAAAUCUACAAAUGCACUAUAAAGUGAGAAUGGCAUCAUGAAAAUGUAUUAAUGCAUCGUAGAUGUGGGAACUUAAAAAUAUAUAUAUAUAUAUAUAUAUAUAUCUAGAGUUUAGACUUGUUUCUAUUAAUUAGAAAUUACUAAGCAAUGAAUCUUGCUAGUGUGGAAAGUACCAAUAGAUUGACCAAGGAAGGUAUAUGUAAAAAAGAUUGACAUUGUCAAUUGGAAAAAUUCCUUUACAAACGUCAACCCUAUCUUCCUAACCAUCAUGGAUGUUGAGAAGUAGAUAUCGAUGACUAUGAUGAGGAUCACAAAGGAUUAUCAUACCAAGGAGUUAGACAUUUGUUGGGUUAUCAACAAUUUUAAUGAGGGUGGUAUUAACUAUUUGGUUGUUGAUAGUGUAUUGCGUAGUUCCACCAAGCCAAUCUGCUCCUGCAUUGAGAUCAAUCUCGAUGAAAAGGUAGCAUAUAUUUUUCAUUUCCUAAUUCUAUCAAUUGCUUCAUGGUGCCUUUGUCUAAUAAGCUUAACAGGUUCUUCUACAUUUUCACCAUUUAAUUCUCUAACGUUCAUCAUGAUAGGGUUGAAAUUUCAUCAUCAAAUCAAAACAUAUCCUCCUAUAAGAGGCCUUUGAAUUCUGAAAUAAUCAAUUCACUUUAUUCUCAUAUUGGCAAAGACAAGCUUACACUAUUGGAAAGACUACCCCUAACCUUUGCCCUCCCAAAUAGCAAAGAUGAGAGAGAACCUUUCACAAAAUCACAAGAAUUAUUCAAGUUUGGAAUUCAUAGGCAUUGUUAUUGAAUUUCAUUUGUAUAAAAUUGGUGUGUUGUGUUUAUUUUGUUGGUAUUAAAAUUGAAUUUUUUUUAAUUGCAAAUUGAUGAUUUUUUUUCUCUCUCACAUUUAUACCCAUUAGAGUUUCUUAUUAGGGUUUGUGUUUGAAAUUUGGAGAAAGUAUGGUGCAAUUGUUCAUCGGUGUGGUGUACCAUUUUGUUUGUUGUAUCUAAUAUUUGGGUAUUUGAUUUAAUUUUAUUGUUGUUGAAAUUGAAAGUUGAAAUCCAAGUUAAUUGUUUAACUAGCUAUUUGUAGUUGACUUGUUUUGCACCAAUCUUGAUUACCCAUUUCAUGGGAAUAAUCGAUUCCAAUUUUCCUUCAUGGUUACUAAAAAUAUAUUGUAGGUGAAGGACUAUUAUGGAGUAUAUUAAUUCACAAGAAAAAUGUUCCUUUAGUUAGUAAAAACUUCAUUCAUGUGGUCAUUUAUGAGCAUCAUAAUAAUCCAUAUUAAAAAUAUUUAAAAACAUUAAUGCACUAAAACAUUGAUUUCAUCAACAAAAAUACACUCAUUCUUUUGACUUAUAGCAUUCAAAGAUGUUUAAAAAUAUAUAUGUACAAUAAAACAUCAUCGAAUUUAUUAACAAUUAAACUUUUAACCCCAAAACAAUCCGUUACUUUAGUAGAUAAGACACUAUUGGAAUAACAUUAUUUUUAGCUCAAGUUAGAAGUUAAAAUGAUAAGGUUAAAAGAACAAAACCAACAAAAAAAAAAAGUUAUUUUUUGUCAAACUUGACACUAGUACAAUUUAAAUAAUGUAGCUCAAUGCCCUAUUGAAUUGAGUCAUAUAACUAGACUCCCUAAUUAUAUAUUAUGAUACACACACAACCUUUGGUCUAGUAUACAUGAUUAAAUUAAAUGCCAACCUAGUUUGCAAAGCUAAACUGGAAUCCCAAAUCUAGUUCAUUAUAAAUACUCUUCAACCAACUUGCUACAACAUUCAAAUAAGACAAUGACAAUGAUAGAAAACCAAAAAAAUACCUAAUAUAUCAUUGAAAACUCCUUCCUAAAGGAGGUAAAAAAAAUCAUGAAGUAACUUUCUUCUAUUAAUAAAAAUGGGAAUACAAUGAUCUAUAUAGUGUUUUAACUCGAAACUGAUGGUAUUACAAAUAUUAAAGAAGAAAUUUAAAACACACACACACACACACACAACAAGCAUGUUGUCAAGCUUAUAAGAGUUGGAGAAAUUUCUCCAUAUAAAUCUUCAAAACAUGAUGGAGAGUAACCUUGACAUUUAAGUCAAUAAUAUACAAGGAAAGACAACCCAAAAAGAUACAACUUUGAGAACAAACUCUCCUUUUUGCUUUUUUACAUAACCUUUUUUUUUUUUUUUUCCUUUUUGAAAACUUCUCUCCUUUCCUCUAAUUGUUACACCAUACAACAAUCCUAAAAAAACAGAGUUUAAAGGCUUGUUUGAUAACUGUUUUUAAAAAUAAUUUUGAAAAAUAGUUUUUGAAAAUUAUUCUCUAAUGUUUAAUUUGUAGAACAAAAGUUUGUUUGGAAACCCAAAAUAUUUUUAACAUGUUUUUAAUGUUGUUAAAUAUGUUUUAAAAAUAAUUUUUAUGUUUAGUAUUUUAUUUUUAAUCAUUUUAUAUGUUUAUAUAAUUAUUUUUUAAGGCAAACCUUAAAAAAUAAGUGAAAAUAACAUAAAACACUUAAAAGAUAUUAUCUGAAAACACCUUAUUUUAUUGUAACAGAAAAUAAAAAGCGGUUUUUGGUUGUCAAACAUGUUUUCUUAAUUUUUUAUUUUGAAGAAUAGAAAUUUGUUCUUGAAAAUAUCUAGUUAUCACAUUAGUUAUUGCCCAUUUUAUGAUUUUAAUUAUUGCUUAAAAACUAGUUUUUCAGCUAAAAAAGAAGGUCCACUACUUAUGGGUCAAACCUUCAACUUUCAAACCCGAACACAAAGUUAUAGUCAAGACUAAUAUUCACAUAUUAGUAUUAAUAUAGUUCAUUAAAUAUGAAUUUCUAUUGAAGCCAAAAUCGAGUUUUUAGGGGAAGUAACAUUCACUUUCAAUUAAGCAAUUUUUAACUCAUAAGUUAGUACUUGUAACAAAAUUUCUUAAUAGAGACUUUAAUUGAGUUUUAAGAAGAAUUUUUUGUUUGUUAAAAACCAAUUCAAACAAAAUCUAAAACUAAUAUUAUUAUCUAAAAGACAUAAUGAACAACAUAAACCAUAAACCAAAGUGGUAGUGACAACCAAUAUGUAGCGUCAAUGAAUAAUUGAAAAUAACCUCAUUUUCUAAUGACCUCGAACCUAGAAGCUCUAAAAUUCUUGCCUAAUUCCUUGUGAUGACUUUGGUUCAACCUUAAUGGCGAGGGCAAAAUUCUAAAUAAUUUUUGUCACAACUCAUAAAUUUAGAAGAAAAAAAUGAGAAUAAAUGGAAUCCCUAAUGAGAAAUUGUUAUUUUUCCCCUUUAUGACAAAAAUAGUAACCUACUAGUAUUAUUAAAUAACAUGGAAAUUAUUAUUUCAACUUUAAUACCAUGUAUGACAUAACUUUAACAACCUUAAUUUAUAAGAUUAUUUAAUUUAAAAGGAUAAAACAAUUACAUAUUCAUAAGAAUCGCUUCUAUUUUUUAAAAACAAUAAAUUCCAUUUUUUGGACAAAAAUACCCUCCAUUGUUUUUAUCAACAUUUCACAAUCAAACACUUAUUGGAAAAAAAAAAGUAUAAGGGUAGCUAUAUUAAAAUGAGGUUAUAAUUAUAAUACUCAAUAAGUGGAGAUUUUUUUUCCAAAUAUUGGGAUCAUCUUCUCCAUUUGACACAAAUAUUUAUAAUUUAUAUUAUAAUUACUCUUAUAGUAAGAGAGAAAGAGUAAUUUCACAUGAAAUGGACCCAUAAACAUAGAUUUAUUAUGAGGCAUGAUACUAUAAUAAUAAUAGGAAAUAAGACGAGACGUGAUACCAUAAUAAUAGAAAAUAAGAUAAGUAAUUCAAUACUUAAUGAAGGUCUGAAAUAAUUAUGUUUCUCAUUAAAUGAUAUUAAAGACGAAAAAAAACUUAUUAAUUUUUAUUUUAAGUAUUAAGAUUAUUUAAUAAAAUUAACUUAAAAUUUAUUUUAAAUUAUCAAAUUGAUAUAUUUAUUUUCAUAGAUUAUAACUAAGGUAAAUGAAAUCAAGUAAUAAUGGAUGUCAUGUAGUGAAAGAGAUCCUAGAGGCAACGGGACAAAUUGUGGUAAAAAAUGUCAAAUAAAAAUACGAACUUAAGAACAAAUUAAUUGUUUGUACUUAUUACUUAAAGUUGUUAUUUAUUUUAUAUUAUUAAAUUAUUUUACUAAAUAUGCUUAAUUUAUUUAAUGACUUAAAUUAAUUUAUUAGUCACUUUAGGCUAUUAAAUCGGGUUUACCAAUCAUAUCGAAUACAUUUGGCUAGUAGGCCAAGACUCAAGAAUAUUGCUAUCAUAUGUUUUAUGUAUUAAGGUGCCAAGAAUAAUUCACCACAAAAUAUAUGAUGAGUUGAUAAGUAUAGGAUACAAUCUAAAAUAUGCACUUGAUUUCAUCAUCUAAAUAAAUGCUCUCGGCAAAUGGAUCAUCCUAGCUGAUACCAGAGCACAAGCCGCCAUGGACAGGAGGCAACGGAGAAACCCUUCUGCUUCUUCUUCUGCCUUUUCAUCUCCAGCUUCAUCCUCAUCGCGUUUCCGCUCAGAGAAAUUCUCCUCGAAUCCCCCAAAAACUAGUAACUCCCUGGAGGAUGCUCACCAAUUGAAAAGCAAAUGUGGGAAGCCACAAAGACCAAAGCAAGAGGAGGAAGGAGAGCAAGAUCCGAACAAUCUUCUCUCCUUAGUUGGAACUUGCCCAUUCAUGUGCCCUGGUAAAAAUGCGUGCUUAUUUUUCCAUUUUUUUAAAAUUCUAUUUUCCUGUUAUUCUGUGUUUGGUUUCCGAGAAAUUGGAGGAAAACAGUAGAAAAGAGAAGUGAAUCUGGAGUUUCUGUGUCAUUUUUGUGGCUUUUACAUAAAUUUUACAAAUAAAAUUGAUAUUUCUCCCCCUUUAUUAGAUACCAAUCUGCAGAAGAUGUAGGAAUCCCAAAAAAAAAUUCGCUUUUGCCUUUACUUCCCCCAAAUCUUUCAUAAUGGAAAAUGGACUUACCACCUCUUUUAUCACUUUUCCUUUACCAUGUCAGGUUUACAUGUAAUCAAACACUGUAUUUGGAGUAGGGCACUUAUUCUAAUGUCAAAUGGUGUUGAAAACUUGAAUUACUGGAUCUUAAGACUCCAGAAGAAAUUUGAUUGUUUAUGAUUAUUGCUCCAUGAGAAGGGAAAGGGAUUUCUUUUGUUUUUGCUCACAUAUAUGGCCAAAUUGAUUUAUCUCCUUCUCAUACGAACAAAAUAAGGACAUUUCUUGUCUUGCUGCCUUUUAUGCCACCGGUUCCACAUGCUGAUGUGACAACCCUUUUGCUAUUCUGUACAAAUGGUAGGAAAAUUCUGGUAAGACUGGUGGCCAGCCUAUCAUGUUCAGGGAAUAAAUUCAUUGUAUAUCUGGAAUUCACUCUAUAUCAGCAUAGGGUGUUGAUACUGAUUAUAAAUGACAAAUUCAAUUUAUUAUCCUUACAUUAGGGAGUGCUAAAAGGAUGCAAAUUGUUCAUGUUAUACCCAAAGACAUACAAGUGAUGCUAGAGAUUUUCACAAUGUGGAUAAUCAUAGAGUAGAGAUGAACACUAUGGAGUCUUUUGGCAUGUGUUCAUUCCAUGUACGGGAACAUGCAUUGGAAGAUUAUGUUUCCUCCUCCCUUCCCCUCCCCAAAGUUAAUACUAUGUUGUCAUGGCAAGAACUUUGGUGACAUGCUUCUGAGUGGAAUAGCCUCCUAGAAGUCCAUUUAUGUGGCAGUUGGCAAGUUCUUCCGGUCAAUGAGAACUUUGUGACUGUCUGAUUGUUGUACUAAUCAUCAUCAGAUUUUUUUUUAAGUUCAAGUUGUAAAUAGCCUUUCACAGUUGAAGGUAGCGAUGAAGAGGCCUGUUGACAUAAUUAUUUCUUCUGCUUGAAUGGAUUAAAAUCAGAUACCACACCUUCAGCCUAGAAAACUAUGGACUUUCCUAUGUACCUGCAAUUGGCUGAAUACUGGUGUGGCACUGACUAAAGGCUCUCUGAUGCUGUUAUUAAUUUCCUGAGCAAAUUAGAGAAAACAGAGAGGUCAUAAUGUGAAUCAGUUACCUCUUGAGUAGGGAUGAAGGCUUUUUAUAACUUUUUACUUUCUGGUUAGGCCUUGGAAGCACUUCUGUGAACCAUGAUUUUGUACUGUAAAAUUAGAUGGGAUGGAUAGGUCACCUUAACUCUACUUUUGGAAGUGAUUGGGGAGCGCAUGACUGUAUGAAUAUUGAUGUGUUCUCCCCAUACAGAGCCCAACUUCUUUUUGAACUAGGAAGCAUGAAGGGUGGGUGGAUGUGGGCUGAGGAAGGAAGAUUUGACUUGUGUGCCGCAGGCCUGCGGUACCAAUUUGUUCCAGAACUUGAUAAGGCCCAUAAACUGGUAGGCAAGUUUCAUUAUUUGGUCACCACUGAAUUUUGGCAGUAUGGCCACAAGGAAGGUAGGAAGGAGAGGGAGAAGAGAAAACCCCAAUUGCCAAUUGCAAGCUUCCGGUUGGCACAGUGCUCAUUGCUGACAUUUUCAUUUGAUUUUGACCUUGCAACAGAUACAGCUUAACAUGAUGGACCAGUUUUUCACAAUCUUGUGAUUCAUUACCCAACUUCUAGUAACAGUUUCUCAGCAGAUGACUCACCUAUGACAGGCUGAUGAUGUCUGCACACAACUUGAAAGGUAUUCAUGCCAAGGUGUGAAAGGUAAUAUUGUGACACCAUUUUGCCUAUUCCAGAAAAUGUAACAAAUGUAUGGCUGGUUCUUGACCUAAAAAUGCUGGCAUUGGUCACCAAGUGCUAGGGUGAUUCUUGACAAAAAAUGUUCGUAUUGUUCAGAACAAUGAUUUACAACUUCAGAUUGGCCAUCCAGUUAACGAUGAUAAUCACUUGUUUUACAAAGUUCAGUGUCAUAAAAGCAAAAUAAUUUUGUCAACAAAUAUGCGGAUAACUUUAUCAUAAUUACUACUUAUGGAAGUUAAGGAUAAGUUGGGUAAUGUGAGAAAGUUUUGGUCAGAGGAUAUGAGGAUAAAUUUGUUGCAAUUGCUAAGCUUCACCUCCUAGGACUACUAGGAGAAACGUAUGAGCAAUAGAACAAAUUUACAGUCCAUCCCCAUUAGCUGCAUGGAGAGGUUGGGCUUAUUGCUGCUAUGGUGGAGGUCACCUUCUUGUAGACUUUGAAAUCUGCGAAUGAAGAGGCAGAUUUCUUAGAGGAAUUGGUAGGACUCCAAGCCCCCCAAAUGACAGGGGGGUGGGGAGGAUGGGGGUGGUGGGGGGCCAUUUCUAAUUUCAUGUCUUCUCAAUGUGGAUUUGAGGUUUAACGAGAUUUUUGGGAAAUCAUUAAGGUUAAAAGUAAUUGAAAGAGUGUGUCUGUGGAGAGCAAGAGGGGGAAAUGUUUGGUUCCCAACUGGGGUUGCUUCAUCUGACCGUUAAUCUCACAGCAAACACCGACGGAGCGUUGUUGUUGGAGGCUUCCAGGUUCUCUGAUCAAUUCUCUUGUUCUUUGUUUUCUUUGGGGAAGCGGGAAACCUCUCUUUCUUCUAUUCCUUCUGGGCGGGAUGGGGAAGGUGUUGCCAUUGCCAGGGUUUCCGAUCAGGGCAGUGGUUUAGAAGCCGUAGGGGGAGCUGUUAUGGGCCCGUUAAGGAUGAUAUUGGCGGAUGGGAGGGAGGCCGAGGUCUCAAAUUUGGCGGGUAGGGAGUUUGGGACUUUCGAGGAGGCGUCAGAGGGGGUUUCGAAAAGGGUCUCCCAAGAGGAUGAAGAAGAGAGGGACAAAGAGGGGGAACUGUGUUGGCAUUCUAGUAGCUUGGCUAAGUUCAGCCGCUAUCUUGGAAUGCCGAUGGAGGGCUUCGAAGGGGAAAUUUUGUUUUUGCUUAAAAGAAUGAAAGAGAAGAAACUUCAAAAAGGAAAGUUGAAUGGCAGAAAAAGGAAAAAAUUGGAGUCAUCAAAAUUCGAAAUAGAAUUGAGAAAGUUGGAAUGGACAGUGAAUUAUCUUGGAGGAGGAGGAGGAGAGGGGGGGGAAGUACGAGCAGGUCUAAAUGAAGCUCCGACUGCUCACUUGGAAUGUAAGAGUGACCAAUAAUUGUGAUAAGAGGAAGGUGAUCAAAGCGUUGAUAAAGAAGAAUAGGGUGGAUCUGGUUUGCCUAUAGGAAACCAAGAUUUAGGAAAUGUCAAUGGGCAUUAUCCGUAGCUAAGGAGUGGGAAGAUUCCUUGAAUGGGGAGCUGUAGAUUCAAGGGCACAGCUGGAGGUAUAGUGGUGUUUUGGGAUAACAGGGUGUUGGAUUUGGUUGACCUUCAAAAAGGAUUGUUCUCUAUUUCUUGCACUUUUAAGAGUUGCGAGGACGGUUUCAUAUGGACGUUUACAAGGGUUUAUGGCCCAACAUUGAGGAGGAAUAGGGAGAGUUUUUGGGAGGAGUUGGGGGCCAUUAAGGGGCUUUGGAAUGGGCCGUGGUGUGUUGUAGGGGAUUUUAAUGCCAUUCUAAGUCCGGAAGAGCGCAACAGAGGAGGGAGCUUGAAUUCAAACAUGAGAAGGUUCUCAGAAGUUAUAGAAGAUCCAGAGUUAAAGGAUCUGCCUAUGGUUGGGGGUCCUUUUACUUGGAUUGGAGGGGUGAAUAACCAGUCUUUUUCAAGGCUGGAUCGUUUUUUGGUUAAUGAGGGGUGGGACAGUCAUUUUGGUGAUGCGAGGCAGUUUGUUCUACCAAGACCUGUGUCCGAUCACUUUCCGGUUCUUCUGGACGGAGGGGGCCUGAGAAGAGGCCCUUCCCCAUUUAGAUUUGAGAAUAUGUGGCUGAAACUGGAAGGUGUUAAGGACCUUUUGAAGCAUUGGUGGGAGGAAGGUAGCUUCAGUGGAUCCCCAAGUUUUAUCUUGGCCGAAAAACUAAAAUUUAUGAAGGCUAAGCUGAAGAAGUGGAACAGAAACACAUUUGGUAGGGUUGAAUAUAGAAAGAAUUUGGCUUUGGAGCAGGUGGAGUUUUGGGAUACCAAGGAGAAAAUUAGCAGACUGUUGUUGGAAGAGCUGGAAGCUAGAAAAGAAGCGAGGGAAGAUUAUAAAAAAUGGGUCUUACUUGAAGAAAUCACGUGGAGGCAAAAAUCUAGGGAAGUGUGGCUGAAAGAAGGGGAUAGAAAUACCGGUUUUUUCCACAAGAUGGCCAAUGCUCACAGGAGGAGGAAUAAUGUGGACAGAAUUAAGAUUAAUGGAGCCUAGCUUACAUAGGAGAAUGGAAUUAGGGAAGGGAUUGCCAAUGCUUUUAGGUUGUUGUUGUCCAAUCCGGGGGAAUGGCGCCCUUCUAUUUUCGAGCUGCAGUUUGAGACUUUGGAGCCUUUGGACGCUAGUGCCUUGGAGAUUCAUUUUUCGGAAGAGGAGGUCUUCGAUGCACUAUUGGGCUGUAAUGGGGAUAAAGCCCCGGGGCCAGAUGGAUUCUCUAUGACCUUUUGGCAAUUUGCUUGGGAUUUCGUGAAGGCUGAUGUGAUGUGUUUCUUCAAGGAGUUCAAUGAAAAUGGCAAAUUUGUUAAAAGCCUAAAUGCAACUUUUAUGGUCCUAAUCCCAAAAAAAGCAGGGGUUGAAGCCUUAGGGGAUUUUAGGCCUAUAAGCUUGGUGGGAAGCUUGUACAAGUGGCUGGCCAAGGUCUUAGCUAAUAGGCUAAAAAAGGUGGUUGGAAAGGUGGUCUCCAAGGCUCAAGGGGCGUUUGUGGAAGGUAGACAAAUCCUAGAUGCAGUGUUGAUAGCUAAUGAAGCCAUUGAUUUGGUUCUCAAGAAUAAUGAGAAUGGCAUUCUGUGCAAACUGGAUAUAGAGAAGGCGUAUGAUAACAUGGACUGGACUUUUAUUCUCACAGUUAUGCAGAAAAUGGGUUUUGGGGAAAAAUGGAUCAGGUGGAUUAAGUGGUGUAUAUCCACUGCAGGUUUCUCCGUGUUGGUCAAUGAAACCCCUACGGGUUUCUUCCAAAGCUCCAAGGGUUUGAGACAGGGUGAUCCCCUUUCCCCUUAUCUCUUUGUGAUAGUUAUGGAGGUCUUUAGUGCUUUUCUUAAAAGGGCUGUAGAGGGAGGUUUCUUAUCGGGUUGUAGGGUGAAGGGUAGGAGUGAAGAAGGGGUCCUAAUUUCCCACUUGUUGUUUGCUGAUGAUACACUGGUGUUCUGUAAACCUUCACAAGAUCAAUUGACUUAUCUCAGUUGGUUACUUAUGUGGUUUGAGGCCGUUUCGGGAUUGAGAAUAAAUUUGAAAAAAAGUGAACUCAUUCUAGUAGGGAGGGUAGAGAAUAUGGAUGAUCUUGCUUGGGAAUUUGGUUGUAGACUGGGUAGCCUUCCAACCACCUAUUUGGGGAUGCCCUUGGGUGCUCUUUUUAAGUCAGUUACAGUUUGGGAUGGUGUGGAAGAGCGCUUCUGAAGAAGGUUAGCCAUGUGGAAGAGACAAUAUUUAUCCAAGGGAGGAGGGCGACUCUUAUUCGAAGCAUGUUAUCGAAUUUACCCAUCUAUCUCAUGUCAUUGUUGUGCUUACCAAGCUCAAUUAGACGGAGAUUAGAGAAAAUCCAAAGGGACUUCCUUUGGGGUGCAAUUUGGAGCGAAAGCCUCAUUUAGUAAGAUGGGAGUUGGUGUGUUUAAGUAAGAAGAAAGGAGGUUUGGGGGUCAAAUGCCUUUCCAUUCUCAACAAGGCUCUUCUUGCUAAAUGGAAUUGGCGUUUUGCAAAUGAGAGAGAAGCUUUGUGGAAUCAAGUGAUUAGGGGGAAGUAUGGAGAAGAUAGAGGGGGUUGGUGCUCUCGGGAAGUGAGAGAGGCUCAUGGUAUGGGGUUGUGGAAAGGAAUAAGGAUGGAUUGAGAGUUGGUGAGCGAUAGGAUGGUUUUCAUUGUUAGUAAUGGGAGGAGGGUGAGAUUUUGAAGGGAUAGAUGGUGCGGGGAUUCUCCUUUGUGUAUGUCUUUUUCUUCUCUUUUUGAUUUGACUGUUGAAAAGAAAGCGUGGGUGGCAGAUUUUGGGACCCUUUGGCUAAGGGGGGUUUGGGGGGGGGGGGGGGGGUGGGAACCCCGUUUUUUAAAACUUUUCAAGAUUUGGGGGGAGAGGGAGGGGAAAAAUUUUUUGCGAAGGUUUCUGGUUAAAAAAUUUUUUGGGNNNNNNNNNNNNNNNNNNNNNNNNNNNNNNNNNNNNNNNNNNNNNNNNNNNNNNNNNNNNNNNNNNNNNNNNNNNNNNNNNNNNNNNNNNNNNNNNNNNNAAAAAAAGGGUGGGGGGGCAAUUUUUGGGCCCUUUUGGUUAAGGGGGUUUGGGGGGGGGGGGGGGGGUUGGAACCCCUGUUUUUAAGAGCUUUCAAUGAUUGGGAGGUAGAGGAGGCGGAAAGAUUUUUGCAGAGGCUUCAUGGUAAGAGAGUUAUUGAGGAUGUGGAGGAUAUGGUGUCUUGGACUGAAACUAAGAGUGGUAAAUUCUCGGUCAAGUCUCUUUAUGUUGCCCUUGAAGCGGGUUGUUCAUCUCUGUUUCCUUUAAGCUAUAUUUGGAAUGUGAAUGUGCAGCCCAAGAUUAGUUUCUUUACAUGGGAGGCUACGUGGGGCAAAGCCUUAACCUUGGAUAUGGUCCAGAAAAGAGGACGGGCAUUGGCAAAUAGAUGCUUUAUGUGUCUUGAGAAAGAGGAGACCAUAAACCAUCUGCUCCUUCAUUGUUCAAGAACAAGGGUGUUAUGGGAUCUACUUUUUACUUUAUUUGGGGUGUCUUGGGUAUUGCCUUCUUCAGUUAGAGAGACCCUUCUAAGCUGGAAUGGUUUUUUCGUGGGCAAAAAAUGCAAAAAGGCGUGGAGAGUUGCUCCUCUUUACAUUUUCUGGACGGUUUGGAAGGCGAGGAAUAGAUUGGCUUUCAAGGAUGAUAUGUUGUCAAUUUAGCAACUGAAACACUCUUUUAUCCUUUCUUUUUGGUCCGAGAUUAAGUUGUUUAUAGAUGAUUGCCCUCUAACUAUAGCUAAUUUUAUUGAUUGGUUGGGCUCUAAGUAGGAUUGGGUUGUUGGGCUAUCUUUGUUUUUUAGCCUUGUUGGAGGCGGGUGUAUAGGUAUUGUAUACCUUGAGUCACUUUUUUAGCGUUUCUUUUAUAUAUGAAAUCUUAUUUACUUAUCAAAAAAAAAAAAAAUGUAAUCGAAGACUUUCACAUUAAUGAGGUAAUGAAUAACCACUGAUACUUCUUCACCCCAAAGUUCCUUCACAAAAAUUUGGUAAGUGAAGAACCAUUUCUGAGUUGUGAAGCACCAAUUCCACCUUCAUUAUCUUGAUCUUUAGAAAGAGGGAUCCAACUUGAUUUGGGAUUUUAUACCUGUCAACCCAGUCACUAAUUUUUAGGAGAAUACUUCCAAUUUACCCUUGGGUUGCUUUAGAAAGUUUCUUAAUAGUGCCAUCUCUCUAGCUUAAGGGGCUUUUGUUAAUGGAAGGCAAAUACUAGAUGUGGUUAUCAUUAGUAAUGAAAUCCUAGACAAAUACUAGAUGUGGUUGUCAUUAGUAAUGAAAUCCUAGAUGAAAAAUUCUGUUCUAAGGACGAAGGGAUGGUUUUUAAAAUAGGUUUUGAGGAAGUUUAUGAUCACAUAGAUUGGGGUUUCAUGUAUGAUACAUACUUUGAAUAGGGAAGGCCUUGAACCUGGAUGGCACAAAGGGACUGGAUAUUUUGAGGUUGUUUUUCAAACUGCAGGCUCUUUAAUGGUGUUAUUGAAGCUGAGUGUUUAGCACUCGAGGAAGAUUCGGAUAUGGUUGUUUGCCUGGAUGUAAUGAACCUCCAUAUUGAAGGGGAUUCCUUUGUUAUUGUCUCAAAACCUUCUUUGAAGGCAAAGGUCCUUAGUGGAUUGCUCAUCAGAUGGGGUGGCUUCAUAAUCAUGCUAGAGACAUUGCUUGUUCUUCUCUAUUGAGGCCCAGAUCAGCUAGCCAGGUGCAUGGCUAUAUUUUUCUUAUAGGGAUGCUAAUAUCUGAAAAUUUUUAUUGAGAACACUUACUGCUCUUUGAUUGGUUUGAGGCAUGGAGUGGCUUUUCUGUUCUCUUCUUGCCAUACAUGCAUAUCAUCCCUCUUUUUUAUCUUGUUUAACUCAAUAAAUUCUCAUUUGUUAUAAGGAAAAAAAGAGAUAUUAUGUUACAUGAUGGAAGGACUUUAUUCUGUUAUGGAAUAGGCAAAACCUAGAUCUAUUGGCUAGAGCUAUACAGUAGGUUGUUGGGCUGUUCAGCAUUGUCUUUUUUUUGGAUAGGUUUGGCCAAUGCCCCUUGAUGUUACUUUUUGGUAAUGUAAUUUUCUUUGAUUUUUCUUGAAAAUUCCUCAUUUUUCAAGCUUGCUUGUAUAUCUUUCCUUCUUCCAUUAAUGAUUGUUUGAUUCCUUACUAAAAUAAAUAACAAAUUAUGAUGCAAAAGGAUUACGUUUAUGGAAAAUUUUGAGAUUUUCACCAUAUUAGAGUCUCUGAAGUUGGUACUUGUCUUGACACAGAUAAUAGGAAUCAUUUUCCCCCCAAACUACAUAAGACAUGUCUGCUACUUGGUAAUGUUCCAUUGGCAGUUAUAAACUCUCCUGUCAAAAGUGAAUCUGUUGUAGCAUUCCAAAUGGUGUAGUGUCGUACAUAGAUUGGUAAUUGAGGACUUUAUUAUGGAUUUUGUCCUGUUGUGGUUGUGCCAACAAGUUCUAUCCUGUUCUUUGUCUUGCUGAUUUGGGUGGUUGUGCAUCAUGUUCCUACAGCUGUAUAAUUAUGCUUCAGGAGCAUAGUUAUUCUGGUUUUACCAUCCAGAUGAUGGUAUUAAAGUAUUUGUAUUCUAGAUUGCGCAACUCCUUAUAUGGGAUAUUUUUGCACCAAAUGCUUAGUGAUCAAGAGAACUCUCAUAUUAAACACAGUCAUCUUCUAUUAAACUAAAUUCCUUAAGUAUGCAGUCUCACAACUACAUCAUACCAUUCUUUUCCUUUUUUAUUCCUUUCUUGCUAUUACAGGUUGGUUGCCACUAAUAUAGUAGAAAGCAAAUUACACGACCCUGCUUCCAUAAGACCUUUCUUAUUCCAUAGGUUGAAAUAGAAAAAACACUCGAUGGGACUAAUGUUUCUCUUUGCAACCAAGCAAAUUAAAAUGUUUUGAAACCCAUGCUGCCAUGAUCUUAGCUAAUUUGCAUUUUAUAUCUCUACCCCUUUCUAUUUACCAUAAUGAUGCAUGCAUCUAGUCAAAUUGUGUAUUUCUUAUGCUUAUAUUUAUUUCCUGAUGAGUUUAUUCUGACUCUUUGAUCAGGAUUUCUGCAAUCACAUUGCUUGCUAUUGAAUUUUCAAUGGCUUAAUAUGAAUUAUUAAUAAAGAUGUUGUUUAAUUAUUUCAGCAGCUUAUACUUGGUAAUUUCUUUUAACAACUCUUAUCUCUGAUGUUCAUUUGUAAUAUAUAGCUGGAGAAAGGGCCCAACGUGAACGCCUUCGGGACUUGGCUGUGUUUGAGAGGUUACAUGGAAAUCCUGGGAAAACAUCUCCAAGCCUUGCUGUCAAAAAGGUAAACCCUACAUCUCAUUCCUCUAUACCGCAUCUUAGCUUCUCAUCUUGCAUCGGACAAUGAUACUCUUAUUGAAUCAUCUUUACCAUAUCAGCCAUCAACAUGUGCACUUAUUGAGCGCUAAUUCAGGCACUGAUACUUGUGCUUUUGUUUUGUUUUGUUUUAUCUUGUCUUGUUUUGUUUUGGAGGUGAUUGUGUUGGAUGACCUAUAUCUGUGUUAGACACCAAAGCCUAUCUUAAUGCUACUGUAAAGUAAGACUAUGCUAAUAAGCUAUUGAUCUGUUACAGGGUUUAUGCCAAACUGAUUUUUUAGUUUCUCUAGUAGAAAACUUGUUUUUUCCCCUGUUAUAUCGGUGCUAUUGUUGGAUUUGUGUUUGUUGUUGAUCAAGCAUUUGCUGAAACCUUUUUUUUUUUCCUUUGCUUCUUGAUGUGCAAAGCAUUAUUGUUUGAAUUUUAAUGAUCCCAUUUGAUUCACUAUUCAAUAUUUUUAUUUGAUAUUACAUCUAUCUCAUUUGUUUUCUUUUCUUAGUUUGUUUGUUUGUUUUUUUUUUUUUUUUUUUUUUGAAUUUGUGACAUUUGAAUUUGAUGGAGCCACCAUUAAUUUAUUUUUCCUUAUUAUUGUGGGGUGUGCUUUAUUUUGUUCAAUUGUUGUUGCACUAUUAUUGUCAUGUAACUUUUCUUUUUUGUUUUGUUUCUAUUGUUCCUAUGAGCAUUAAAUGCUUCUAAAAUGUAUGGAACAGGCUAAACCUUUCUAUAGUUUUUUUAAAAAAAAAACUCAUUUAUUAUCUAUUUUCUUGUGCUCAAAAAAUUAUAUUUUUUUAGUAAAAUUGAAAAUUUAGGGAGCGCUUAGGCCUCAGCGGCUCAACCCCUUGAGGGUUUAGGCCUGUCAUAGCAAGAUGUAAACCCCCUUGCCUCUUAUGCUUUUACCUUAUGAAACUAUACCAAGAAACAAACACCACAACUCCCUGCUGCCAUCAAAGGAUACUUCAAAGUUUGCUUCAAAUCAAUCUUAAGGCCAAUUAUCAUAGGCUUGUCAUCAUGUCACUAAAAUUGGUAUUGUAACCAAAGUCCUAUUGCGAAAUCUUCAAGUUGCAGCUCCUCCUUUUCUGUUGGCUCUUGUAUUGUUAGGUGGCCGCAACCUGUUGCUUUUCUUAUGCUUUAUGAACUACUCCAGUUAAAAUAAUGCUUCAAGUAGAUGCUUUCUGGAUCUUGAUUCUAGCAAGAGGCUUAUAUUGCAAAUUUUUUUGUGGAGUCCUAGAUAGGUUAACUAGGAAGACAAUAGCUUGCUUAAGAGGAUUGCCACCUCUCCUUUUGGGUUUGUAAAAAUUUUGGUUCUCCCUUGACCUUGGGAGUCCUAUGGUUUCAAUUUUGGAUGUGCUCUAGGUUGUAGCCUGUGUUAUGCUUUCUAAAUGGUAAUCUUCUUCUUGUUUUAGCUGGGAUGCUUUUGUUUAUUUUGCUCGUUUGUUUUCUUUGUUUCUUUAUUGUGGCUGUAGGAUCACCAAUCAACUUUUUAUUCUCUGCAAAAACUGUUUAUGUUUCAUAACGAAAAAGGAAAAAACAAAGGCAAGUUAGCCUAGAAUAGGUUUUAUCUUGUUUCUUCUUUUACCAUUAGUGUGGAUUCAAACUCAGGAAGAGGCCUUCAAACAAGUGGCAUUUGUGUUUUUUAAACAUAUAUCUUUAUUCAAUCAUUGUUAAGUGUUUGUUGUCUUGUCUGUUCUUUUGGUUGUUUUUGUCUUUGUCAAAGUGUAUAAUUAUAAUAUCCCACAUUGUAUAGAGGAAAAAGUUUCUAACGCUAUAUAUGUAUGAACUUUUUUUAAUCUUGUUGAUUCGUUUUUAAGCCGCGAGGGUCGUUUAGGCUCAAAGCAAAUAAUAUCCACACAACUGGGAGUAGGUUGUUACAAAUGGUAUCAAAGUCAAUCCUCGACCUUGGUAGGAGAGUUUGCUUGGCCUAAAAUGGGUGUCCGUUUAUUUGACCUUACAAUCCUAUGGGACACAAUAAGGACGUUGUGUCUGCAUGAGAGGGUGAUUGUAAUAUCCUACAUUACAUAGGGGAAAAAGUUCCUAACGUUAUAUAUCAUAGUUUUAAAAGGCUCAAGGCGCACCAAGGCGCAAAGUAGUCCUGGAGCCUGAGGCGCAAGGCGCAUCUAAGGCGCGGGCUUUAGUGAAGUGAGGCGCACCCUAAUUUACAUAUAUAUUUUUAUAUAAUAUAAUCAAAUUUAACAAUCAUUUAUUUGUCCUAAACACAUAAAUCAUCAAAUAUCAUCCAAAACUUCAAUUUAAUAAACAAAAAACAUAAAAAUAAAGAACUCCAAGCAUAAAAACAAAUCCAAAUCCAUAUUGCUAAUUGCCUAAUACAUAUCCAAAUCCAAAGUUUCCAAACCUAAAGGUCCAAAACAUGAAAUUUGUCCACAAUUCAAAAACAUCAUUAAAAAACACUUAAAUCACAAAUUUGUCCACAACAAGCAAUCAUCACUCCUCCUCUAAAUCAACAAAAUCAUCAUCAUCAUCAUUUCCAUCACCACAUUUGUAGCCUUCCCCAUCUUCUUCAUCUGCUGAAUUAACCAUGUCUCCAUCUUCAUCUUCAUCUAUUAGUGAAUAAGAAGGCAAAGUUCUAGAACUUGAAGCUAUCCCCCUUGUUGGUGGUAUUAUGCUUGAGCUUGCUCUAGCUCUAGCUCUAGUAUCAAACCUGGCCUCCUCAUCUCCAGCAGCUCUAGCAACAUCACCCCAUGUCAAAUUGUCAUCAUCAAAUACAAAAUCAUCUUGUGCACCUCCAUGAGAAUCCUCAUCUUCCAUUCUCCCUAUCAACCAUUCAUUGCUAUCAUCUAUAUCUUUCAAGGAAAUUGGGUCAAUGGUGUUACGUUCAUUGUAUCUUCUCUUCAAGGCUCGAUUAUACUUGAUGUACACCAAAUCAUUCAAGCGUUGAUGAUCUAACCUAUUUCUCCUCUUGCUAUGAAUCUGCAAAAAUUCAUAAGCUCAUAAAUAUAUUUUAAAAUUUUAACUUUUAAGUUACAUUCAAGACUCUAUUAGACUAUUACUUGUAAUUAUUUUGGAUUUGGUCACUCACAUUCUCAAAGAUGCUCCAAUUCCGUUCACAACCCGAUGCACUGCAUGUUAAGUUGAGGACUUUCAUUGCAAACUUUUGCAAAUUUGGAGCUGAAGCUCCAUAUGCAGCCCACCAUUCAGCUGUAGUAUAGAUAUUAACAAUUUAGUGAAACAAUUCACCUAUUUUAGCAAAAAUACAAUCUAAUCAUUUAAAUAAACAAAACUAAAUAACUAACCUGGUGCUCUAGUCUUUCUUGUCCUAACAGCUAACUCAUUCCCGAAUAGUCCUUGGGCAUUUGUGAACAAACUCACUUCGGCCACAACUUUUUCUUGCUUAGCAGGGUCUCUUGUUAGCCUUAAGAUGCAUUUAUACAAAUCACUCAUAAUCUCGGCAUCAUGCUCUAUUUCUGGCUUAUCAUAGAAGAAUUCCGGGUUCAAAAAGUACCCUGCUGCAUGCAAAGGCCGAUGAAGCUGAAUCUCCCACCUCUUAUCAAUGAUGUUGAAGAUUUCUUUGUACUUCUCUUCAUUUCCAUUAAAACUUCUCACAAUUGCAUCCUUAGCUCUAUUCAUGGCCUCAUAGAUGUAUCCCAUAGGAGCUUUUUUUUCACCAUCAACCAAACGAAGCACACGAACUAGGGGACCCGAAACCUUUAAGCAAAACACAAUAGUGUUCCAAAAUGAAGGCAUUAGAACUAUGUUGGCUAUAGUUUUCCCCUUCUACUCUUUUGCCCAUUUACUAUCUAACCAAUCUGAGCUUGUAAACAUCUUCCUCAAAUUGUUUUUUUGUUCAUGCAAUCGCGAUAAUGUGAUGAAAGCAGUUGCAAACCGAGUCUUAGCAGGCCUAAGCAAUUCCCUUUGUCCAGUAAACCGCCUCAUCAUGUUGAGUAGCCCUGAGCGAUUAUAAAUAUACCGAUUUAGUGAUAUAGCCCUCUCCAAUGUCCUCUUGAUGUUUGGUAGCUUUCCAAUAUCUUCCAACAUCAAGUCAAGGCAAUGUGCAGCACAUGGUGUCCACUACAAAUGUGGACGCUUUAAUUCUAACAACCUCCCUAUAUGAAAUUGUAGAUAAUAAAUUUACAUAAGUUCUCAAGAUAAAUAAUUCAAAUUUUAAAAGUAAAUAAAAAUUCAAGAAAUAGUAUUUAUUACUUGCUAUCACAUAACUUGAGUGAUUAUCUGUUAUAACUUGAAUAACAUUCUCUUCACCAACUUGCUCUACCCAUUUGUCAAGUAAUUCAAACAUCUUUUCUCCCGUCUUAAUCAUUGAAGAAGCAUCAAUGGAUUGCAUGAACAUGGUUCCCUUUGAACAAUUAACCAAAAAGUUCACCAAAGUUCUCUCUUUCCUAUCGGUCCAUCCAUCCGACAUAAUUGAACAUCCAUUUUUCCCCCAUUCCACCAUAUGAUCUUUCAUCAAAUCUUUUGUGAGAGCCAAUUCUUUCUUAAGGUUAGUAACUCUUACCUCAUGAAAAGUUGGUCCCUUCAUACCCACACCAUAUUGGCCAAUAGUCUCAAUCAUUGGUUGGAAACUCGGAUAUGUGACUGCAUUAAAUGGAAUAGCAGCCUCAUACAUCCAUCUUGUGAUAAGCGUGCAAGCUCUUUCUCUUGCUUCCUUUUUGUAGGCAUCAUUGAUGGUAGUUUGAUUCAUCUUUCCACUCCUUUGAUUUUGAACAACCAUCUCUGCAUUAGGAGUGAAAAAAUGAUCCAUAGGACCUUUUUGUCUUGGUUUUUUUGAAGAAAACGUCCUACCACUACUUCCUCCUCGGUUACUACCUCCACUAGAAAUGUUGGUGACAUUCGUUCUACUAUUAAUCUCCUCACCAAUAUCUUCAUCUUCCAAACCAAACAAAUCUUCAUUAACAUAUUCGCUCCCCAUAUUCAUUUGCUCUUUUUGAUUUUUCUUGGAACUCAUAUACUCUUCCAUUUCUUCUCUAACAUGUUCCGGACAUUUUCUAAACUUUUUAGCAUUUCUAUAUCCACCAACAAGAUGUUGUUUGUGUCUAUAGAUGCCUCCUUUGGUUACUUUCUCACAAAAAAUGCAUAUGAUGGUGUUCAAAUCUUUUUCAUUAACCAAACGACCAUAUUUCCACCCCGGAUCUCUUCUUCCACUUGCACUAGAGUCCACUUGAGUUUCACUCUCAUUAUCCAUCUUGCAAACAAAUUAUCUAUACUCCACAAUAAAAUAAUUAUAAUUAAAUUAAGAAAAAAAAUUGAAAAAAAAAUGCAUAUCACAUUAUCAAAUAUCACAUUAACAACAAAUAUGCAUGAGUGCUUUUUAUUUAUUUAUUUUUAUUUUGUAAAAUUUUCAUGUCAAAAACUCAAAAUAUAAUAUUUAUUUUUAAAAAAAAAAAAUUACCAAUGAGAGUUAUGAGGUAAGAAUGGAAAAAAAUGCAGAAAAGUGAAGAAAAAAGAAAAAUACCGAGGUUCGGAAGGUACGUGACUAUUUCCCCUAUUUUUCUUCUUCUUUUUCUUCUUCUUCUUCACUUCUCCAGCACAGAAGAGGCUAAGGCAAAAAAUGGCAGUGGUCUCGGGUUGAGAAAGACCAGAAAAGGGGGCUGGAUGGAAGGAACAAGUCAAAACGGCGUCGUUUUGGUCCCUGUUCACUUAAAUGAACAGGCUCCAAAACGACGUCGUUUUGGGCCCAAAAAAAAAAAAAAAAAAAAAGCUAGGGCUGCGGGGCGUCUCUGCAACCCGACUGGAGGAGGAAGAAGAAGAAGAAGAAGAACAAGGAGAAGGAGAAGGAGGAGUGCGUACCUGGUCGGACCGUCGGAGGCGACUCGGGCGAUCGCCUCGCGCCUUGCUGGAGGCGAGCGCCUUGCGCGCCUAAGCGGCGCCUUCGUGAAGGGGCGUCGCCUCUCUUCAGGCGAGGCGCCGAGGGUGGCGUCGGGCCGCCCCGAGCCUAGGCGCGCCUUUCAGAACUAUGUUAUAUAUAUAUAUAUAUAUAUAUAUAUAUAUAUAUAUAUAUAUAUAUAUAUAUAUAUAUACUCCUCUUAACCUUGUACACGUAUUUUAAAGUCAUGAAGACCACUUGAGCAUAGGAUGGAUAAUAUCUAUACGGUUGGAUGCAGGUUGUUACAAUAAUUACUUUUGAUUUUCCUUUCAUAUGUUUAAUUGCAUAACAUUAUUAUAGCAAAAUAUUAAUCUAUCAUAAUGCAACGUCUUGUAAAGCUUAUGUUGGGUGUCAUGAUUUGAUCUCUUGUCAUUUUUAUUAUUCUGAUUCAACAUCAUCUUAGCUUAUAAUCAUUUAUACACUUGAUGCAUGAGAAAUGAAGAUGCUAUAAAUUGUAGGAUCUUUUUCUCCAAUUUGUUCCUUGAUAUUUUAUAAUGCCAUGAAAUGUCUAUAUUUUGAUGCAGAAAGCCGUUCACACUCCAUCUCUCUCACUAGUUUUGCAGAACCAUUGCCACUAAGCACAUGCAGGCGUCAGAUGUGCGGCCACUUCCAGUGUUGGAAGAGACUUUGAACUACCUAUUAAACCUGUUGGAUGCCACAGAACAUCCUUUUGAAGUGGUUCAUGAUUUCGUCUUUGAUAGGACAAGAUCAAUAAGACAAGAUCUUAGCAUGCAGAAUAUCAUUAAUGAUCAAACAAUUCAUAUGUUUGAAGAAAUGGUAUGAAUUUCUUGAAACAUAAUCUCAAUUACCUUUUUUUCUGAGCAUUCAUCUCCUCAACAUACAAUAAGUUAGCCAACCCAUUGCUAAACACUCUCCUAGUUGGAGAAAAUAAUCAAAGUAUACAAGAGAUAAAAUGUUGAAUAAUUGAGUCAUUAUCCUCUCUUUUUGCUUUAUUGAAUAAGAUAAUUUAUUCGAUGGAGUCCAAAUGAGGUGAAACUGUGAUCACACAACUUGAAGCCUACUUUACAAUGGAUAAAUGAAUGGUCUGAUUUUGAAUCUUUCUUGGCACAUUAGUUAUUAUCCAAUCCAUUCUAAUUAAAUUAUCCACUAUUAAGUGUCUAUUUCCAGUCACCCUCUAAGUUAUGAAAGACCCAUAGAACCAAAGCAACUCACACCACCUGUGAUAGGAAUUGGUGCUCUCUUCCAUAAUGUCAAGUUUUCCAGUACACUUGCUGACUUUGUAGAAUAUGCCUACAAAAAGGGCUGCCACCUCCUAAUUCCCAAUCAUAGAAGUUUCUUAACCAUAUUUCAAAAGUUGUAUUUCCUGUUCCCUCUCUUAAAGUUUUUUAAACCUAUAUAUCUUUAUCCUAGUAAUUCGGAAAAAUGAGGAAAUUAUUUAACAAGAACUCCAUCAAUUUGUUCCUCAAAAUUUUAUAUAGUUUCUCUCUCUCACUUUUGAUUCAAAUUCUUGAAGCAAAGGAACAAAUUCAUGGCCAGUAACAUUUUUAGCCAAGCAAUAGAAUGCACGACAAGCAUGUAUAUGAAUGAAUUGUGUUUUUUAAUGAUAAUAGAUCAGAUAUUUUAAUCUCAUCCUAAAACCUUUGAGUUAACUAAAAGCCGCAUCUUAUGUUCUGACUUGUGGUUUGUUUCAUAAUAUAGGUGAAAUUUCAUAUUAUAUCCCACCACAAGCUUCACAGUUGUAGCAGCAAGCCAAGUUUUUCUUCAGUUCAUUACCUCAAUAUGGAGCAGCUGAAAAAGUGUCUAAUAUCUCUAUAUGCUCUAUACAAAGAAAAUCGAAAUUCAAAUUCUAUUUACAAGAAUGAACCUGAGUUCUACUCAUUUCACGUUCUUCUUCAUCUUGGCUCUAACAACCAACCAUUGGUGGAUACUUGCUUCCGUUGUUUGUUUGAGUUCAUCUUUUUCAGUAUCUCUUGCUGCCUUGUACUGGUUUCUGAAUAUGUUACUAUUUCUGUUUUGAAGGGAGAGUCACUCUCUUUGUGGUUGGGUCGUGUACCUUCUCUCAUUUUAAAGUCAAAGGAAAUGUGUUUUGCUCGGAGACUUUUAAGGUGACCGUAAAGCUAUUAUAGAUUCGACUUGCAUUUAAAUUGUUUAUAUUCAUUUUACAUUUAACUCAAUGUAGAGUGGUUCUGUUUUCCAAUCGAUUUUUUUCUCUUCUUUUAGUACCCAAUGUUAAAAAUUUUGUUUUCAUGAACUGAAAGAUCUGUCUUUUCUUGUAACAGAUUAUUUCGGAUGGGCAAUUAUAAGCGUUUCCUUUGUACUACAGCAACUGAGGCAUCUUAUUUACAGUACUACAUAAUUGAACCUUACAUCAAUGAGGUUGCUUAAAUAUGUUGAUUUUGCUAGAUUUUUCAGUUUGAAAAAUAUAUGCUUCUUUGUUCAUUUAUUGUUUUCCAAUUUCAUUUAUGAGAAUAUAUCUAAAAUCUAGACUCGAGUACUUGUGCUUUUGGGUUUUAUUUUUCUUUCAUUUUUGUUAGUAGUUGUACUUCAUUAUUCUUAAAUUUCUCACAGUUGUUUCUUUAUGUGGUUUAUUGCUCCUCACUUUCUUCAUUCAUCUGAAGUGUUCAAAUUCAAUUUGCUUGUUUCAUAAACCAGGUCUUAUUUAGAAGUUCUUCUCAAUUGCCUUUUUUAGUGCUUUUAAAGGACAUGCCUGAUUUAUAUAUAUUUUUGUUGGUUUUCUUUUGACCGUAAAAGGUUCGAGCAUUGGCAUUGUCAUGUGUAAAUUAUUGUGGCUACAAACUUCAUCCGUAUCCAAUUGCACACUUGUCCAAACUCUUGAUGAUGAAGGUAUGAUUGCAUUUACUAGCAUUAAAUUGCUAAAAUUUGUCAUCCAAAGUUCCAAUAUCUUUUGAACCUUGAAGGCUUCAUUUGCAUUUUUGUAGGAAUUAGAUGUGGAAUCAUUUUGCAAUGCUUGUGGUCUUGAGACCAGCACUGAUGAACGGGGAAAUAAGUUCUUAUCAACCAAGCAAACAAACUUCCAUUAUCCCAAGGAAGUCUUUCCAAGCUAUUGCCUUCUGGGUUUGGAACACUUUUAGAGGUAACAAUCAAUUGGAACUAGUUACUCUUUCAAACUUCUUAUUGUACAAAUAUAACCUGCAUGUGCAACCAUUUCUGAUCCCAUAAUUUCAAGAAUUUAUGACACCUUCUAGUGGUUAGUUUUUCUGGGAAUAGAGUAAAGCAAUCUAUUCACUCCCAGAAACUAUCGUCAAAGGAACAGUAGAUAACCCCGCAAGACCAAAUUUAUGUGUGUGCAUGGAGAUGCAUGUUUUCUGCAUCCCAAUCAUGCAGUGUUGUGCCAAAUGGAAUAAUAGCAGCUGAUGAUAAGUGGUAUUUCUAAAAUCUUCUAAGAGUAUUCCAUCUAUUGUAAUAUUGUUUUCUCAAAAUUGUCUUUGAGUCUUAUAUGUAAAUAUUAGACUUGACCUCUUGUAAGCUAUCAACUGAUGUUGUAACUUAACUUGAAAGGGAAAUUCUAUAAAUUUAGCCUUGGUUUGGCUGUUGGAAAGCAAAGAAAAAUUAGGUUAAUAGUGAGUUGAUUUCUUCCCUUCCCAUGGAUGUAAGCACAUUCUUGAAUCAUGUUAAUUACUUUUUGGUUUAUUUUGUUGUUUUGUUGUUUUGUUGUUUAUUGUUCAAUUGUCUCCGCAUAACAAGUGGUAUCAGAGUUGUUUCCAACACAACAGAUGAUUCCUGUGCUAACACAAAGUUUGAGGCUAAACGUAAGAUGGUAAAAGUUUCUAGAAUAUUUCCCUAUGACAACUGCCAAUAAAGGAUGUACUUAACAGAAAGUUCAUAAGGUGUUACAUGGCAAGUUGAACAAAACCAAUAGCUAGAGAUAUCUGAAAUAUUUGGGGCCACUGAUCCAACAAUAGCAGAGAAUAACACAAGAAGAGACCCUCUAAUCACCAUUUUUUCUUUGAUUCUUCUCUACAAAGCAUCAUCUUCUUUAUACAAAAAGACAACCCAUUGCUGAGCCCACAUUAUUCUCUACAUAUCCCAAAAAAGCCCUCUAAAUUUUAGGGCAUGGUGCUCUUUUUAGGGGUAUUUUGGUACUAAAUUUGUGGUAGUCUCUCAAAUACCUAAACUACCCUCCAGAUUUUAAGGCAUGGCCCACUCUUUGAGGUGGUAUUUUGGGUACUAAUUUUUGUUAGGAGAGGUUUUGGUGUGGAAACUGGAGGGCUUUACACACGUUGCAUGUAUUUUCUUUUGCAUGCAUUACACAUAGAUUGGAGUUUAUGCAGUUACUCACUUUUUGUUCGUCCAACAAUACUAUAGUGCCACGUCACCAUAUGAUGGGCUCUUUAGUCUUUUCAAACCCAAAAAAAAACACUAAAAAAAAAAAAAACUAAUACUAAAAGGAUUGCUAACUAGCUAUGUGAAGAUGAACCUCUAUAGCUAGCUUCUUAGAGGGACCAUAAUCGCUUAGGCCAGGGAAGUUUGAGGUGAUAAUAUGUCUGUGAUGCCCUUAGAUGUUUUAGGCACAUGUGCGUUACAUUAAUGUAUUCAAUGAGUCUAUAACCUUGAUUGACAGGUCCGAGUAAUCUUUGAAAUUUCAUUGUGGUGGGAAGGUUCCAUGUGAACAACACUUGCACAUGGGUUAGUUAAUCUUAAGAGACGGGGGAAGCUCAUCUAACAGCACACAAUGUGCGAGCUUUGAAAGGCAAUCGGGUUAACAUUUCUGAAUUGGGACAUGACAGCGGACAACAACAUUAGGUAGUCCAAAGAUGUCGUCAUAUUAAUUGUUAUCAAUAUUUUUAUUUAUUCAAUAGAGAUUGAGGAUUAAAAAAAUACCACAAAAAUUAGAAAAAACAAAAUUAAUUACAUGGCUUACAUUUCAAAUAUUUAAUAAAAUAUUGUAUGAAAGUUGAAUAUCAUACACUAUUAAAUGGUUGGAUUCUCUUCUUUAAUUUUUUUAAUUGUCUCAUCCUAUUAAAUUACUCAUCUAAUAUUAAUUUAUUUUAAAGGUGAAAUUAAUUAUAUUGUAAAAAACUUUUAACUGACCAGAGUUUGUGCACAACAUCUAAUAUAUACUUAAAUAUAAUCCUCCAACUAAGAAAUGAAAUCAAAACUUAAAAAUCAUUUAUAUAUAUAGAUAUAUGUUAUCAAGUUUAGGUAGUGAAGCAAUUAAUGUGGAUAUAAAAUUAAUGCCAAAACUUUUGAUUGUUCCUUCACAUUCUCCACAACCAAACAAAGGAUAUAAGAAAAAUAAAGAAAGAAAUUUAGGGUAGUUUGAUUUUUGUUCUCAUCUUGUUGUGAAGUUAAUAGAGGAAUGCUUGGGUUGGUGCUCAAUAGUUAAGUGACAGCAGGGUAUAAUGAUUCUUCCAAUCGUGUAAAUAUUAUUUGUUUUAAUUUCAAUGGAUCAUCGUCACUUUAAAUUGCAUCCACAUGGUUAAGAGCAACUCAUAUGUAUAUAAUAUCAUGAAUUUCUUCUUAUUCGAUACGGAAUAUCAAAUUAGGUAUCUUUCAAUUUUAGGUAUUGUGUAAGUGUUUCAACUCAAAUGACUUGGCUUAAUGUAUACUCAAAGCCUUGACAAAGGAGCGUAUAUGUAAUAAAGUGAAAAUUAAACCUUGUCGCCCUUCUAUCUCUAGUACUCCAUUAUCCCUUAAACAUGUGCAAAAAAAGAUAUACACCUUUGAUACAUUAAUUAAAAUAAACGAUAGAAAAAGAGAUUUUAUAUAUCCAUGUACAUAAUUUGAUUAGAUUUGUUAUAUAUGAGAGAGAGAGAAAAAAAAAAAAACUGUUUAGAUUAAGGAUCUCAUUAAUUAAUACCUAGAAAAUAUAAAAGAAUAAAAAAAGAUUAGAAGGUGUGAAUCAGAAGAUAAGACUACAUUUUUUAAUUAGAUUCAUCGAAAGAUGGCAUAUUGUAUGAACAUUUUUACUCUACAUAUAAAAACUUAUAUUAUGGUUGAGAUGUAUUAAUUUGUCAUAUUUUUGGACAUUUAAAGUAAUGAGUAAUUACACUAAAUUAAAUUAUUGACCUUAUUAAUCAAUACCUCAAAAGUAUAAAAUAGUAAUAAAUGAAUAAGACAAACUUCAUCGAAAUAUUUUUAUGGGCACAUUACGUAAAUAUUCUUAUUUAAUAAAAGUUUAUAUGUCAUUAAAUGAAUAGAGAAUUUUAACAUUAAUUGCAGUGCUAAGUAGAGGAGAUCUCAUAUUUAAGCUGUUGAUUAAGGCUUAUUACUUAAUAAUUUAAGUUGACUUUAAGUUAGAUUAUAUUUAAGUUAUUUACGUAAAAUUUAUUAUUUAUUAUUUAAUAUUUACUUUAAGUAUUAAAGUUAUUUGAUAAAGUUAAUUUAAAAAUCAUUUUAAAUUAUCAAAUUGUCAUAUUUACCUUCAUUAAUUUGAUAACUAGAUGCAGAUAAAUGAAACAAAAAAAAAAUUGAGAUUAAGAAUAAGUUAAUUAAUUUGAUUUAACACUUAAAAGUAACUUUAAGAUAUAAUAUUAAGUUAUUUUAUCAAAUAUAUUUAAUCUAUUUAAUAAUUAAAUUAAGUUAUUAAGUUAAUGAAUGAUUACCAAACACCUUAUAAGACCCAAAAAAUCGAAUGAGUUUUAAUAGUUUCCAGGAUGGGCAUGACUAGGUGGUGGUUCAAUGCUGAUUAAUCAUAAUUCAAUCAAGGCAAAAUAUGUAACAAAUACAUGUCAAACUGCACCAUCCAAAUGGGCGCCAAGAACGUUACAUUUGACAAAUGCCAUUAAACCUCGACAGCUACCAAUUACUUGAAGCUCAUUAACUUCAUCUUAAUUUGAUCCAAAUUGCAGAAACAUGUGAAACUCCAUGAAUCUAUGGUGCUAUGGUGGCCUACAUUCAUAUAACUGGGGACACUUUGGUUUACACUACAAUGACCCCAAACAGGGUUUGUAGAGACUUUAUCAAGAUCACUAGCUUCAAAAGACUAAGGAAAGAAAGAUGUUCUCAAAACUUGGAGUCAAAUUGCAGAUAAAGACCUAAAACUCCCACUUAACGUGUUUGAGGAAUUGUUGUUUCAUGGGGAUAAGCUGUUUGGUUUGUACAUGUCUCCUUGGUGAUACUUAGAGUUCGGCGAAGUAUACGUAUCCUUUGUGAUCUGGUUUGUAUAUGGGCAGAUGAAUGUUGAUGCCAGGUUCAUAUAUGUUUCUGAUAUAUAUCACCCUGGAAGGAUCUAGAUCAAGGGGAUGAGUUUCAAAAGCUUGAGUAGGUUUAAGAUGUUCCGAGAAUUGGUGAGCAUGAUAUAUAUCAAUAUGAUAUUGCAGAAGACAACAGAGCUUCUGAAAUUAAUAUGUCAGGUUCAAUAGUGGGAAAUCUUAUCAGCUGUCACUUACUGUAAUCGUAUGCUCUCAAUAUUCAUUUGUUGAAGAAGAAAAAAAAAAUUGCUUUCACACUAUUCAAUUACAAGAGAAUGUUCAAUUAUAGAAGAAAAUAAUAUUCGCUAGUCUCUUUCAACUUAAUCAACAUGCAGAGAAAAGCAGUGAAUAAUAACUUACAUACAUUGUCUCUCUACCCCUACUUGUUACUCAUCAGCCAAGCUUAUGGUAAUAUAAGCUUGGGUUCAUCUCUCUAUGCCACUGAUGAAAACUCCACAUGGGCUUUGCCUUUCUGGUGAUUUUGCAUUUGGAUUCCGACCCUCUCCAAGUGAAGAGGACCUAUUCCUUCUUGCUAUCUGGACUGCAAAUGGAAGUUAACUGGUGCCAAGAGGAUCAAAAGUUUGGGCUUACCACCAAUGGACAGCUUGUUCUCUAGAGGCUAAGAUAUAUGGAAGACAAAGACUGGUAAUGUGAGCAGCGAACCAGUGCAUGGUGCCAUGCUUGGAGAUGGAAAUUGUAUACCAGUAUAUGGGAGAGCUUCAAGCACCCAACUAAUACCAUAUUGCCAAUCCAGGGAUUGGUGUUGGAGCCUACUGUGCAGUUGCUAUUUUUGAGGACCUGAGGUUUGCAAAUGGAACUGGAAGCUGUUGGAGGAAAAGACUACCUCUUUCAAAUGGGAGGUUGGAUCAAACUGCUGUUUCCAGAAGUGCUCUAAUCAAGAUAUUGAAGUCCAGUGAACUAACUUCAGGCAGAUGCAAGCAAAAUAAAGCAAUUCUAAUACUCUCAGUCCUCUUAGGCCCCUCUGCGUUCUUCUUCUUCGUUUCUCUAGCUGCAAUUUCACUAGUUUUCUACUGCUUGAACCUCAAAAAUCUGCAGCUUUAUCACAGAAUCCUGAGUACAAGCGAUGGUAGAAGCCUUUGGCACUGUCUAUAAAGGGAUAUUACCAUCAGGUUCUGGAAAUUCUGUUGCUGAAAAGUUGGAGAAGGUGGUGGGAGAAGAUGAGAAAGAAUUCAAAGCAGAAGUGAAUGUGAUGGGCCAAACUCACCAUAAGAAUCAAGGACACUUGCUGCGUUACUGUUGUGAGGGUGAACACUGACUACUGGUGUUUUUUUUUUAUGCACAAUGGCUCUUUAUCAAGCUUCCUUUCUGGAGGCGCCCGAAAGCCCUCAGAACACAACUCUUGGAUGAUUCUUUUACAGCCAAAGUUGCAAACUUGGACUGGGAAAGCUUCUGAUAAGCAACCAGACUAGAACACUCACAGGCAUCAGAGGGACUAUGGGGUAUAUUCAGACAACUCGGGCAGCCUAUGUCUCUUAUAAUAACACGUUAUGAAGCAUCAGCUCAAUGCUGGGGUUCAAUCUGCAAAGCAAGGGAUUCAUCAAUGUUUCCUUCAAACUAAAUAAUAAGGAACAGAAAUGGAUCAUUCUGCAUUUUCAGUGGUGUUUGUUAUAGCAUUUAUACAAGAACUCUAGGGGUUUCUAUGUAUAACUUCAUUCCCAUUUUGUAUAAUCCAAAUCUCUUCAAUCGAUUAAAUGUAUAAAUGAAUCCUAUUCAUUGUUUGGAGUAACAACAAAAUUCUGGAAGACUGGGAAAGUUUCAACACUGGAGAGAAAACAAAAUGACAAGACCAUAAAUUCUGGAAGAGGGCUUUGCUUUCUAACCAUUACCAUAAUUUUAGAGCUCAACCCGGAUGAGUAAAUUAUAUUUCAGAAUGUUCAGGAGAUAAUUCUAAAGUGAUGAACCUUCUACUCACAGUUUCUUGUUCUUCUUGAACAGAGCAAUGAACAUCAAUAGUUCAGCACCCAGGAAUCUCCCCUCUCCAAUUCCUCCACUGGGAAAAGUCACCUUUCCAGUUAAGAAAAUCUUCAGGAUUAAUUUGAGCAAAACAUCAGAGUAUACAUCAAGAAAGCCUUGAUCAAAAUCAAAAUACAUCAAGAGCUGCCAUUUUCUUCUAUUUCCUCUUCCUUGAAUGGAAUGCCUUUUGGACUGAGGUGAUCAAUGGUAACAGUCUAACACACUCCUUAAGCUUUGAUUGAGGUCAACGGGGAUUGGCACAUUUAAUGACUUUGAAAUCAUAGCUGUGUGAAGGGAGGCAAACAUGAAUCUCAGGAUAAUCAACAAGUCAACAACUAUCAAUCAGUAAGGAAAAGGAAAAGGAAAUACCUUUGGAUAUUUACAAAUAAAAAAUUUGAGAGAGUCCAGCUGCUCUGUACAGAAAGGCUUGAGCUUAUUCCAUGGCCAGGCUUUAGAUGGUUCUGAAUUACGGAUGAGAGGAUUGAGUUUUCUUUCAUUCUGCAAUAAGAUUAAAAACAUCAAUGAAACACUAAAAGUUUAUAUAUAGAAGCCCUUUAAAGAUGAGAAUUGGUAAGAGAGCUCACCCAUGGUCUAGUAAAACAACAUCUGUUAGAUAAGUAACCACCAUUCGAUUGUCCAGCUAAUGCAUUUAGACAGUCCAAAAUAGCUAAAGACAGUCCAAAAACUCAUUUGACUAAUAAUUUUCUAAAAGCAGUAACAUAAAACCUGGAUGAAGAAUCCACCCCUCUACCUGACACCACUUCAAUACCAAAUAAAAUGUUACGAUGACCAUUUAUAGUCUUAAGAGACAGUGGGUGUUGUUUGGGCUCAAGACCAUCAAAAUUGGCACAGAAACAAGUACAACAACUAUCUAAUAAAGAGAUUUAUGCAUGUAACAAAUGCAAAUGAAAUAUGAUACAAGAAGUUCAUAGAUUAAACAAAAAUAGAUGGCAAAAUAGAAGGAUAAGGUCACAGACAGGACAAUAUUAAAAGAAAUUAUUAUUUUUCCGACCUGAAAAUCGAGGCAUUUAGAACAGUACAAGUUUGUAAGUAGUCCAUGGAAACCAGGGAACUUAUGCAGAUGUUGUAUUCUAUUGCAUAAGGCAAACACUCAAUACUUACAAGCAUAAUCAUGCCCAGAAAGCCAUGAAUCCCUUUUUGUUUUGCUUUUUUACCUAUUCUCAUCUCUUAUUGCCAGAAGUGCCCAGGAUGAUACAACCUCACCAAAUAAGUUAGAAACCAGCCCAUUCAGCAGGUUGAGUAGCCAGCUUGCCCUCAAUCUUCUUUGAGUCAACAAACAGUUGGGCAUUAUUGCCUCCAAUGGAGGGUCUGGAAAUAUUAGAGCCGGCAGCAGGGGUGGCUGUAAAACUCUCUGUUCCAAAACCCCAAGUUUCAGGGCCAGAAGUUCCUUCUUUGGCUGGUUUGUUGUGAUGGCCAUUUCGGGUCCUACCAGACUUGCUAUUGUUGUCUGGGCACCUGCCUCAGAGAAAGCCUGCCAAAGAUUAGAGUCUGGGCCAGGGGAAACGGAUUUUCUUUGCUGGAGUUCCCAGUCUGUUGCUUCAAUCUUUUCUCUGUGCUGUUACGAGAAGAAAACCUAUCAGACACAUGAAUGGGUACAAAAAGGUAAACUUCAGGUUUUGGUUGUAUUGAAAAGCACAGGAAACUUCACAAGAGGCAAAUUAUACCCCAGACUUAUUGAAGAAAAAUGAAGUACAAUUGACUUACCCAAAUGUCUACUUCCUCAUUUAUAGAUUUCCUCCUAAACAAAUCCCCACAUCUAGGACAGGAAAAGGAAGAAGCUGGGAGUCAACAUUUUUUCAACCAAAUGUCAGCACUAACUUAUCAAAAAACAUAGUUUUCCAUUCAACCUCGGGAGCUGUACUUUCUGAUAUUGUCUUCUUAAAGUGCUUAUGAUUGGUGGAGGUGCUUCCAAAAUCACACAACUUCCAUGAUGCAUUAGGGCCCAAUAGAAGAUUCUCAGCAUUUAUAUAAGAACUUCAGGGCUUAUACGUAUGAUCAUGUUACAGUAUAAAUCAUAGUGAACUGGUGGAAUUUGAUUAUUAGCCAACCUCAUCAAAAACUGUUUCACAGUUGAGGGGAUUGUUAACCUUGCCAUGGGCCAAGCAGCAAUUUCUGGAGAAGCUGGGUGACAAAGAGUACCAUCAUUUGGACUAGUUUCAAUGGAAAUUCCUCUGUUUUUAUACAUGAUAUCUUCAGCUUCAGCUUUUCCUUUUGCUUUUGACAUGGCUGAAACUGAUCCUGAAAUAAAAAAUCCCACGCAAGUAGAUAUUUAACAGAAGAGGAUCCGAAUCUCUUCAAUUGAUUAAUGUAUAAAUGAAAUAAUCAAAAUUUUUAGAUAAUUAUAGGGAGAUGAACCUUGUACCUCUGAGUUUCUUAGUCUUCUUGAACAGAGCAAUGAGCAUCAAGUGUUGAGCACCCAGGAAUCUCCCUUCCUAUACAGGGAAAAUCUGAACAAUCUAUCUUUCUUCAUAUUCCACUUCCUUGCAAAAGUCAAAACAUGAAGAAAAUAUCAUCAAAAUUGAGACAAAAAUAAGUGCAUCAACUGUCUCAAGAAGAGAUUUAUGCCUAUUGCUUACCUUUUGCAGAAGUCCACUUGGUUAGAGCACAUUUUACAUGGACGCCCAAUCACUGCAAGCUGCUGAACCAAAGGAGAGUUCAAACAUCUAAAAAAUUUGACUAACUCAAGUAUCAUAAAAUACUUCACAUGAAUUCUAAAUGAUCUCAUAUCUAAAAAACAUUGGCAUAAAAUUAUUGUUGUUUACCUUACAUAUUUCUUCCAUGGUCAUAAUCGAAACUUUGUUUAUCAUAACAAAUCUUCUAUGCUCAUCCUGAUUACUAACAAUGAAAAUUGAAAUGAAAAGAAAAAAAAAACACAAAAAAUGAUGAUUAGUUUGGUUUGAUAAAUUUAGCACACACAAUUCCCUUUUUCUUGCCCGAAAAAGGAAAGAGUAAAAAAAAAAAAAAAAAAUUAAUAAUUUUUCAAAACUAGCAAUUAUAAAUCUAGUUUGGUUCUCAUAAAAUUUAUGGGAAAGCAGGGAAAAAAAAGUGUAAACUUUUUCUCUUGUUUGAUUGUUUAUGGGAAAAUUGAGGGAAAAACAAAUAUUUAUGAGGAAUCUAUUUAACACUUUUGAGGAACCAAAAAUGUUUUAGAUGUUGUCAAAUCGAUAAUUUAAAUGUAUUUAAUUCCAAUUAAAUGAGUUUAAUCAAACACAUGAAAUCGUGAAUAAAAUUAUUUAAAAGCAUUGAAAUUCAAGUCAUUAAAGUUGUCCAUAAAAUUUGGUAUAUUGAAGCAAGAAAAAAACAAAGCAAUUUGAAUGACUUGCUAAUAAAGCAGCUAACUAGAAUAUGCCCUAGAGUUGUUCUGUGCCUUGUAUAUAAGAAAUAAACAAAGAACACAAUAAAAAUAAAAAUAAAAACCAGAAAAUAAAAUACAAACAAACGAAAUAUCCAUGGUUCUUCGUUAUUUUUUUCUUAAUUUUUCAAUGGUUAUUUUUGCAAACCACCAAAUCAAAACAGAGCAUGAAAAUGUGUUCAAUAUUUAUUUCAGGCUUGAAGCUUCAAGAAAAAGAAAAUCUUAAAUCAAAUAAACAAGACUAGCGAAUGAAUUGGAACUUGAAAGAAAAGUUCAUGCGCAAAAGAAUUACCUGACUCUAUAUUGGCGGAGUGGCACUUUGAUUAAUAUAGCACACCAUUGAUCACUAUUUUUGGAACGUGAGCUAUAUAACGCCAUUCUUCCCCUUUCUCAAAUUGACACCGUUUUUCCAGUAAAGGACACCCAUCGAUGACCAGAAAAGAGAGAGAGUCUGGAAGUCUUUCUUUUGUCAAGUAUUUGAGCUUACGACAGUUCAUGAUCACCAAUGUUUUAAGAGAGGUGAGGUGUUGAAGACCCACUUUUGUCAAGGAUUGGAGCAUUCGGCAGUAUACGAUCUCCAAAUUUUCAAGAGAGGUGAGGUGUUGAAGACCCCCUUCUGUCAAGGAUUGGAGCAUUGGGCAGUGUUUGAUCUCCAAAUUUUCAAGAGAGGUGAGGUGUUGAAGAACCGAUCCUAUCAAGGAUUGGAGCCUUGGGCAGUAUAGGAUCCUCAAUAUUUGAAGAGAGGUGAGGUGUUGAAGAUCCGUUUCUGUCAAUGAUUGGAGCCUCAAGCAUCCAUAAAUUCCUAAUUCUUUUAGAGAGAUAAGGUGUUGAAGAACCGAUCCUGUCGGGAACUGGAGCUCUGGGCAGUUUCUGAUCUCUAAUUUUAGAAGAGAGGUGAGUUGUUGAAGACCCCUGCUGUCAAGAGACUUGAGAUCGGGAAAUGAUUCAAUUUGAAGAGAAGUCAGAGAAGAGGGCAGCAAACACUCCUUGGGAAAUAAUUCAAUGUCUUCACAUCCACCUUGGAUUCUUAAACGAGUAAGAGAGGUCAGCCUUUGCAAACCCCACUCCACCUGGGGCGUGAGUUGGUUGCACUUCUUAAUUUCAAGUAUACGUAGGUUGGAAGGCAAACCCUCUCUCUGAAACAACAAUUCUGGACAAUCACAUAAAUACAACUCCUGUACAGAUGACUGUGUGUGUGCCAACGACCUAAGGUUGAAGCACCUAUCAAUCAAACAAGACUCUAAGUUGAGAGCGUGCAAUUCGAUAGAUUCAAGAUCAGAGCAACCAAUUAGACGCAGGGAACAUAAAGAUGUGGGAUCACCCUCUGAAACCAAAAUGGAGAGCUUCUCAAGCCCCUUAAGACCAUCGAUUGUGAAAUCAGUCAACUUGGGGAAGAUGCCUAAUGAGAAGGAUAACGUGAGAGAAUCAUCGAUAACACCACCUUUGAUUUCUAGACUUUCAAGGACUGGGAGAUGGCAUCUGAACAACUCAGGUACGAGAAUCUCUAAUUUCGAGCACUCAGAGAUGAAUAGUGAUUUCAGUGUAGUGGGUAAACCAACUUUGUGCAGGGAUCUAGAAAAACUGCAAUCAUAGAUUUUCAGAUCAUGUAUGUUGGUUUGCGAGAUUUCCUCCUCUAGCAGAGACUCCGCAUUAUCACAUUCUCUAAUUGAGAGCUGGUGUGGUGCCAUUGGAAGUUGACUCCACUGAGACACAUCUAAAAUUUCAAUUUCUGAAGUUUGAAGAGCUGUGAAGUCACAACCUGCCAUUUGCAACUGCAGUUUACCGAAAUCCACCAUCCUCAACUGACGAAUUACAGGAACUGUGAGUGAAGCCAUAAGCAGUUGCGGACAUUCAUGAAUUUGAAGUUCCACCAAUGAAAGAAGCUGUUCUGGUAAUUUCCCAGUGAGUUUGGGACACCUUCGUAUAAAAAGCUUUUGGAGACGAGGGAAUUCUCCACAACAUAACCAUUUCUCCCAGUUCUGCAUAUCCUCAAAUGAUAGUGUUUCUAGGAAUUGAAAGGAAGCAUUCCCAUAGAACUCAUCACCCACACACUCUACUCCAUUCAUCCUUGAGAUUUGCAGAUAUUUAAGCUGGGUUAGCUGUCCAAGUGGUGGCAAUGUUGAGCAAUUGCCACAACCCCGAAGCUCAAGGGACACGAGAUUCAACACUGAAGGAUCUCCAAGCCAAUUUGGAAAUCCUUCACCAGGAUAGUUUGUGAUGGAGAGUUGUUUUAAAUUUGGGUGAGGUUGUAACUUGUUGAGUAUAUCAUGCGUUGUUGCACCACUUUGUGUAACACCAUUGGUACACUCGUCACCCCAAUCAAAGAUUAACUCAUCAAGAUAACUUUUAUCCUUCAUAUUAGCCCUUGAUGCAUCGUUAACACUCACUACAUUCUCCAUGUUUGAAAUAUAAAGUUUUCCUCGAAUCUCUGACAGCUCUCCCAAUUCUCCAAUUCUUAAUCCAUUGUUUUGGCCCACAAUAAAUUGAGUCAACCUUUGUAAACUUUUUAAUUGACCAAUUCCAUGACUUGACAUUUCUCUCAAUGAACCACAUCCAUGAAUAUCAAGAUAGCGCAAAUUAAUCAAUUUUCCCAUCUUUGAAGGCAAUUCAUUAAGUCUUGAACAUUUUAUUAGCAUCAUCGUUUGUAAAUUGUAUAAACAACAUACUGAUUCAGGUAAUUUUUUAAUCCUUGUAAAAGACAAAUCCAAGUGACGCAAAUGUUUCAAAUUGCCUAUUGAUAUAGGCAAAUCAGUUAUGUCAUAUGCACAUAAUGAUAACACGCGUAGACACCACAUUUUUGGUAAUAUAUCUUGCAAAACUCUUUUACUCAAAGUAUACCUAGGAUAGUCUUCCAUUGGCUUCACUCCUAAGAAUGUUCGAAGAGAUUUAGCUUUAGUCAUAGCCUCAAAAUUCUUAAAUGCUACCAAAUCGUUAUAAUCAUCACUAUUAAAGUACAAAAAGUGGUGAGCCUUCUCAGAUACUUUUGGUAAUUUAUCAUCAUCUUCCACUCGAGCACAAAAAUCUCCAGACACAUGUUGAGCCAAUUCAUGUAUUAGAUCAUGCAUUACAAAGCAUGAUCCUUUUCUUCCAAUAGAUUUUUGAAAGAAAGACUUGGCAAGAAGCUCAUCAAAAUAUGACUCACCGAUCUCUUCCAUUCUCCUUCCUUCGUUUUGUUGUGGAUGUAAAAGACCUUCUGCCAUCCAUAAUAAAAUCAGCUUCUCUUUGUAGAAUUGGUGGUCCUGGGGAAAAAUAGAACAAUAAGCAAAACAAUGCUUCAGAGGUAAAGAAAGAUGAUGGUAGCUUAAUAUCAAAGAUGGAAGAAUUUCGGAGCCACUCUGCGGAUGCCAUAUUUCACUUUUCAACACAUCGUCCCAUUCCCUUUUUUCGACCUUAGAAUACAAGAGACAGCCGAGUGCUUUCACAGCCAAAGGCAAUCCUUGGCACUUGUCCACAAUCUGUCUGCCUAUGCGUUCAAGCUCAAGGAAUGCGUUGGAGUCUCGAUCUUGAAAUGCAUGCUUUUUAAACAGGGACCAACUAUCUUCAGAGCUUAAUUUCCCAAGAUGAUGAGUAGGGACUGCUCGCAUGGUUGUUGCAACAGAUUGAUCACGACUGGUCACGACAAUCUUGCUUCCCUCUGCUGCAGCGAGGAGUGGAGUUCGUAGAAUAUUCCAACCUUCACGAUCACUAAGCUCCAUAUAACCUUCAUCACGAGGCUUCAAAUUCCAGACGUCAUCAAGAACAAGCAGAAAUUUCUUGUUACUAAGUUGCUCUUUGAGUUGAAGCUGAAGCAAAUUUAGGUUGUCAGCAGAAGUAGGUGGAGAACGAAUUUCCUCAAGAAUUGUUUUGGUGAGUUUGAUAAGGAGAAACUCAGUGGAAACACAGACCCAUGCUUGCAAGUCGAAGUGUUUCUUCACUUCCUCAUCGUUAUAGAGAAGCCGAGCAAGCGUGGUCUUGCCGCUGCCGCCCAUGCCCACCAUGGACAUCACCCCCAUUUUGUCGCCUGUUGUAUUGUCAGAAAGCAACCACUCCACCAUCUCCUUCUGAAUUUCAUCCCUGCCGACAACAAUGGAGUCAUCCUCCAAAGAAGUGGAUAUUGGUGAUCUUGGUCUUGGUGACCGUUUCUCGCCCCCACCUUCUGCCAGCCCCAACCCAACUUUUUCUAGUGCGAUUUUUUCCAGUAGAUCAAUCAUGCCCCUGACCCUGGACUCCAUGCUUUUGAUAGCAAAUGGAGUCUUCACAGAAGCAGAGAACUUGUUCCAUUUCCACGCCUUAAGAGUUCCGCCGGUUUGGGAGUCAGCAGCUUCCAUCUUGCAACGCAAAGCGUCGGUAGCGAUCUCGUCCAACAGGUCUUCCGCAUCAUACACAGCACCCGUGACAUGGACGAGCCACUCUUUGACAUUUGGGUUUGAAAAUUGCUUCACCUCCGCAUCAUCGAGCACAUUGAGAACAACCACGAGUUUCCUCUUCAACUCGUUGAGGAGUUCAUCGCUAAGGUUCCGUCGCCGAAUGAAGUUUAUGAGCUCUGGAGAAGCCAACCUUUCGAAUAGAACUUGAAGCGAAGCUGAGAGGAGGGCGUCCGCCAUAUCUGUGUCGACUGUUGCUUUGCAAUAGGAAUUUAGAGGAUUGGUUUCUGUUACCGCGAUACCACCAAACUGCAAAAGACUGGGUUUGGAUCACCACACUGCAGAAUGCUUGAAGGAAUCAUUGUUGGUGGUGGACCUAGCUGCCAGAUAUUGGUGGUGGACCCAGCUUCACUGCAGAAUGCUUGAAUACACUGCAGAAUGCUUGAAGGAAUCAUUGUUGGUGGUGGACCUAGCUGCCAGAUAUUGGUGGUGGACCCAGCUUCACUGCAGAAUGCUUGAAUACACUGCAGAAUGCUUGAAGGAAUCAUUAUUGGUGGUGGAUCCAGCUACACUGCGGAAUGCUUGAAGGAUACAUUAUUGGUGGUGGACCCAGCUGCCAAUAUUUGUCAAACACCAUAAUUGAGUGGUGAGAAAAAGAACAGGAAAAGCAAGUGGGAGGUAGAUGCGCUUUCCCCGAGGCGAACGCAAGUGGAAGCUGGAUGGCGCAUGCCCUACAACAACAACAUUCGGUAUUUUUCUUUUUCAUCGACGCAUUUCUUCUUUCUUUCUUCUAGUAUUAUUAUUAGUAGACAUAUGCACACGAAUAUUUGUUUAUAACAUUAUCAUUCAUAAUAUUAUAAAAUUUAUUAUUAAUAAUAUUUAUACUAAUAUUAUUUUUUAAUAAUUAUAUUAGUAUCAUGAUUUUAUAAUUAGUCUCCUUACUUUUAUUGUUUAUAAUAAUAAUAAUAAUUAUUAUUAUUAUUAUAUUAUAUUACGUAUUUUCACAUAAACAAUGAUAUAUGCACAAGACAUUAAAAUUUUGAAUAUUAUGGUUAUUAUUAUUUAAUAAUAAUAUUAUUAUUUGAUUCAAAAAAAGUUUAUAAUAUAAUAAUAACAAAAAUAAAUUUUUUUAAUAAAAUAAAUUAUAAAAAUAUAAUAAUUUUAUUAUUUAUAAAAUAUAUUUAUUUUAAUGUAAUUAAAAAAAUUAAAAUAAUUUUAAAAAAUUUAAAAAUUUUCAAAAAAAGUUAAAUGGAAUGGGAUUAGGAUGGGAUCGAUCCAUCCCAAUGUCAUCCCGUUGUCAUCCUAACUCACCUAAUGAUAAUUAAGGCCAUUUUUUAUCAUUGUUUUUUUAAAAUGGUCUUUUAUCCUUAAUAUAUAUAUAUAUAAUAAUUAGAAAAUAAAACAUAAUUUUUGUUUUUAAAAAUAAAAAAUAAGGCAUUUUUAGAUCAUACCCUUUUAGUUACUUUUACUUGUUUUUAAAAAAUUAUUUUAAAAAGUAAUUAUAUAAAUAUAAAAUAAUAAAAUAAUUUAAAUAAAAAUUAUUUUUAAAAUAUAGAAAAUUAGUUAAGAACACUUUAUCUUCUCAAGCUCUUGUUUUAUAAAAUAUCAUAAAAUAAUUUUCAAAAACUUUUUUUUUUUCACUAUUUUGACAACCUCAACUGGAAUAAUACACAACAAAAAUAAAUAAAUAAAAAUAAAAAGGUCCAAAGAAAGACAAACGUGUCCAGUAAUGCACUUAAAUUCAAUGAACCUAAAAGCCAAAUGUGCAGUGUUGACUUUUCAACCGAGAGUUCACACAUGCCCAUUUUUUAAAGCACUAUUAAUAUAAAAUAUAUAUUUAAAUAAAAAUUAGACUUUUAAAAAAAUUAAAAUAUAUUUUUAAAAUGUUAAAAAAAUAUUUACAAUAUUUCCUUAAAAAAAACAUCUUCCAAAAACAUUUCUUUAAAAAAUACUUCCACCGAUAACAAUUCAGACACACUUGUGAUUUAAUAGUUAAAUAUUCUUUCCAACAGGAAUUCAACUAUCGGUUUGUAUUACCACGAUACCAUCAAACUGCGAAAGACUAAUUUUGGAUUACCAAAAUGCAGAAGAGCUGAAGGAAUCAUUGAUGGUGGACGACCCAGAUGUCCACAUUAUUUGUCAGACACCAUAUUUGAGUGAUGAGGAAAUGAAAGAAAAGCAAAUAAAAAACAAAAAAGGUGAUGCCAAACAUGGUCUUAUAAGGUGGGAGGAGCGAAAGCAACAAAGGAAACUAGCAGGAUUUUUCAUUGCUAUUCCAUACCUCAAAGGACAAAUUUUGAAUUACCAAAAUACAAAAGACUUGAAGGAAUCAUUGAUGGUGGUGGACCCAGAUGUCCACAUUAUUUGCCAAACACCAUAAUGAGUGAUGAGAAAACAAAAGAAAAAGCAAAAAAGGUGAUGACAAACACGGUCUUGUAAGGUGGGUGGAGCAAAAGCAACAAAACAAACUAGUAGGAUUUUUCAUUGCUAUUCCAUAUCUCAAAGGACUAAUUUUGAAUUACCAAAAUAUAGAAGACAUAAAGGAAUCAUUGAUGGUGGUGGACCAAGAUGUUCACAUUUGCCAAACACCAUAAUUGAGUGAUGAGAAAAUGAAAAAAGAAAAGAAAAUGCCAAACAUGGUCUUGUAAGGUGGGUGGAGUGAAAGCAACAAAGUAAACUAGCAAGACUUUUCGUUGCUAUUCCAUACCUCAAAGGAUUGAUUUUGAAUUAUCAAAAUACAGAAUACUUGAAGGAAUCAUUGAUGGUGGUGGACCCCGAUGUCCACAUUAUUUGCCAAACACCAUAAUUGAGUGAUGAGAAAAUGAAAAAAAAAAAAAGUUAAGAAAAAACAAAGAAGUGAUGCCAAACAUGGUGUUGUGAGGUGGGUGGAGCAAAAACAACAAAACAAACUAGUAGGAUUUUUUGUUGUUAUUCCAUAUUGAGAAAAUAAAGGGCUACUCUAAAUAGAUAAAAACACCCAAGAAAGGAGGUGAAUAGAAGUUAAAAAAUUUCUUUUUAAACACAAUAAAAUUAAACACAAGAAGUACAAAUAUAAAGAAGUAAGGUUAUAGAAAGUAAACUCAAAUUUAUAGUGGUUCGACACUUCCUUACUUACAUCCACUCUCCUCAAGCUUCUAAUCGAGUGAGGGUUCCACUUAUACUUGAAGUUUCAACCAAACUUCUUAUCACUUUUUACACUUGGAUUCCAAUUCCAAUGAAGUCUUACACAAUCUCUUCAAGUCUUUACUCACUUGAAGGUUUUAACACUCAAUUAACAAGUUUGAAUCUCUCAACCUAGCUCAACAAUGACUCAAAUACAACUCAAGGCUAGGAUGAAUCACUAAGGUGCACUAAAGAAUAUGCAAAUGAAAAUUUAAUGCACUAAGAAAAUAAUGAGAGCUUUUAUGGCAAUAAUAAGUAGGUAAACAAAUAAAUGCAAGUGUUCUCUUACUCAUAAAUGAAGUAGAGCUCUCAAUUUAUAGGUUUCUAACCUCAGGAACUAAAAAGCCAAAAAACAGUCUCGACUGGUCGAGCUGGGGGUUGACUGGUUCACUAGUCGUUGAAACAUUAAAUGCUUGGCAUGUGACCGUUACCCUCGACCAAACCUUAAUCGAGAAGACAAAUCCAUCAACCAGGAAAGAAAGACUACUAGAAGAUAGAGAAUGUUUUUUACAUCUCUUAACUGGACCUCGACAUAGAAGGAGUAAUCGGUAGACCGGUACCCUAGCUGAUUGAGCCGGUUGGCCAGUGUCUCGACUAGUUCACCAUUUUUAGUCCGAAAACCUAUCUUUUUUUGGUCUUUUUGCUUCUAGCACUUAGGCAAGGACUUUAGAUAAAAUAAUAUGUCAAUUUUGAAAUGUUUUGCCUAAGGUUCAUUUGAUAGAACUCGGAUUUUGAUGGAAAUGUAACUUUAAUGCAUAAACCGAGUUUUAAAGAUGUAUGAAAUGAUAUGAAUAUCUUAAGUACAUUCAUGCAUUCAUCUUACGUAUGUUUCCUAUGAUUAAAAGGUCUUUCAUAAGUCUUGAUCUUGCAUUCAUUAGGUCCUUUAAUGAAUUUCCAAAUUAACACCUGAAAUUCUUUAUAAUUCAAAUCAAUUAGUAACUUAACCAUGAUUUUUUAUCAUCAAAACAUAAUUAGGAAAAUCAUUAGGCUAACACAUACCUUAAAGGACUAAUUUUGAAUUACCAAAAUAUAGAAGACUUGAAGGAAUCAUUAAUGGUGGUGGACCAAGAUGUCUACAUUAUUUGCCAGACACCAUACUUGAGUGAUGUGAAAACGAAAGAAAAGCAAAGGAAAAACAAAAAAAGGUGAUGACAAACAUGGUCUUGUGAGGUGGGUGGAGCGAAAGCAACAAAACAAACUAGCAGGAUUUUUUGUUACUAUUCCAUACCUCAAAUGAUUGAUUUUGAAUUACCAAAAUACAGAAGACCUGAAGGAAUCAUUAACGGUGGAUGACCCAGAUGUCCACAUUAUUUGUCAAACACCAUAAUUGAGUGAUGAGAAAAUGAAAGAAAAACAAAGCAAAGGAAAAAAAACGUGAUGUCAAACAUGGUCUUGUAAGGUGGAUGGAGUGAAAGCAACAAAGCAAACUAACAAAAUUUUUUGUUGCUAUUUCAUACCUCAAAUGACUGAUUUUGAAUUACCAAAAUACAAAAGACCUGAAGGAAUCAUUGAUGGUGGACAACCCAGAUGUCCACAUUAUUUGCCAGACACCAUAAUUGAGUGAUGAGAAAACAAAAGAAAAGCAAAGGAAAAGCAAAAAAGGUGAUGUCAAACAUUAUCUUAUAAGGUGGAUGGAGCGAAAGCAACAAAGAAAACUAGUAGGAUUUUUCAUUGCUAUUCCAUACCUCUAAAUCACCAUAAUAAUAAUAAUAAUAAUAAUAAUAAUAAUAAUAAUAAUAACAAUAACACCAAAUUUUAAGGUUAUUUUUUGUUAUAAAAAAAUACUAGGAAAAUAAAAAAAAAUUAAGGAAAAUGAUUUUUUUCAUAUUUGAUUUCACUAUAGAAAAUAUAAAAGAAAAUCAAAUAUAAUUAAAAUUAAUUUGAAAUUUAUAUAUUUUAAAAGUAUUUAAUCUUUUUAUAAUUUAGAAAAAUAAGUAAAACGAGUUUGAAGAAAUGUAUAAAAAUAAUUUAUUAAAUUUAAAUUUAUUUCUUAUUUUCCUUCAUUUUUUCUUUUCUUCUACUUUUUCUCUCUAUUUUCUUUCCUUCUCAUUUUCCCUCAAAUUUUCCAAGAGCCAAACAUAGCUUAAAGGUUUAGAAUCUUAUGCACAAGACUUUCAAUUUUUUUUACAAUAUUAUUUUAUUAGUUAAGAAUUAAAAUUUAAUGUACCAUAUCUAACACUAACAAAAAAAUUUAUAACAACCGGUCUUAUCUUUUAAGAAUGUAUUGUUUAAAUGAGAUUAAAAAUUAAAAAUAAAUUUUAAUUCAUUUAACAACUAAAUUAAAAUGAAAUUUAUAUAUAUCAUAAAUUUAUACAAUUUUGAAUCAUUUUAUAUGGAGGAUUGAGAAUGGAGAGAUUGAAGAAUUGUUUGGUGACGAGGAGAUUGAUUGAAGAUUUUAUAGUCUUAAGGUUCUAUGGGAUGAAUUUUUUUGUAAAGAGUUUAAAUUUUUGUAAAAAAUAAAAUUAGUUUUAUGUUAUCUUAUUUCAUGGAAAUAUAAAGUUUUAAUUCAAAGAUUAUGUUUCAAAAAUAUUAUUUUUAAAAUAUAUUUAGUAAAGAUUUAUAAAAAUUUAAAAUAAAAUUUAAUUAAUCUAUAAACUAAAUUAAAAUAAUAUUUAUAUAUUAUUUUUAUAGAUUUACAUGUAUAAAAUCUUUAAAAUGCCUCAACUUAAAAUAUCCUUACAAAAUUUCAUUAAUCUACUAGCAAUCCGCCUAUUGUCUCUAUAUAGAGUCUAUUUGCAUUAGGAUGAAUACCAUCAGAAUAAUAAUUACGUUCCACAUAUGACAUAUCUUAGCUUCCACUUGGAGGUUAAAAAUCAUUAUGAAGAUUUGGACAAUAAUUCAAGUAGGCAUCUUUGAAAUUUGACUUCCAAAUCCCUUUGUCAAUAUACACCACCCUAUGACAAUUAAAUAAAUUAGAAGGAAAAAAAAUGUUGAAGGAAUGACAUAAGAAUAAUUUAUGUAUGACUAGAUUUAAAGUUUAAUUAUAUGAGGAAUCCUUCAUUAUGAAAAUAUAAGGAACAAUUAUAUUUAAGGAGUGGAUGGGGUUGAUAAUGACUAAAGGGUACAAAUUUUGCAUAAUUGAACUAAAAAGGUAGAAAAAGUUUGUAGAUUGUUGUGGAAGAUAUAAACCCAUUUUGUGAGUCAAAAAUGCUCAAAAUACCCUUAAGAGUGUUUUAAAAAAAAGGACAAUUAAGUACUCAUGAUAAUUAAUAUAUUAAGAUUUCAAGAAAAAUUAAUAAUAAAUAAAAUCUUUUUCUAAAUCUAUUUAACAGUCAUAUAGUUUUUAUUUUGUUUUAUUUUUUCAAGUUGCAGCUAUUAUCUUAAUUUAUUUUUCAUUUUAAGGUUCAAUUAUUAUUAUUCUUUAUUUUGAUUAAUUAAAUGAAACUGUAUAAGACAUGUUUAUAUUAAUUAACUAAAAAGGAUAGAUUUUUUAGCAAUAGGAUUAAAAUAAAUAAAAACAAGGAAUUUGAUUUUCUUUAUGAAAUAGAUUGGGAAAAGUAUAUUUCGAUACAUUCGUAUGAAAAAAAAAAAUCAUAAAAUAGGAACUCAAGUUUAUAAAAUACAAAUUUUAAACAUCCAUCUAAAAAUAAUUAUCAUUUCAUGCAUUUUUUUUGGGUCAAAUAUAUUAUAUUUGACAAUUUAGGUAUUAUCUUUUAAUAAUAUAGGUACUACCUUCACCUGCAUAAAACUUGAAUUAUUUUUAGAUAGUUUAUAUUAUAUAAUUAGUUAAUCCUUUGAUAUAAAUAUUAAAUAAUUAAAAAAUAUAUCUUUUUUUUAAGAAUUUUAAUUAUAUUUGGCUUUCUUUUGUAUUUUCUAUUGUGUAAACCACAUAUAAGAAAAUCAUUUUCUUUUACAUUUUUUUUCUUUCCUUGAUAAUUUUCGAGAACCAAACAUGACUUGGAGGUUUGGAUAAUAGGGUAUAGAUGCCAGAAAUACUGGAAUGGGUUCAGGUUUUCCAUGCUAAAGGUCUUUAUUAUUAUUUGGUAGCACUUUUCCAAAAUUGUUCCAUUCCCAAAACCACUUAAUUUGCUUAAAUAUUUUUACCUCACGAUAUCAUAACAUUAUAAUGGAAUAGAUUUUGUUGGUGUUCAAAUCAUGUCAACUCAAUUUCCAAACCAUUCGGAUUGUCAUUUGGUGAAAAAUAGAAAGAAAUUUUACUUUAUUGAAAAGCAUUUCAUUUUGAUUUGAAUAUGCUGCAAUGAAAUAGUUACUAAACCAUGGGGUAGCAGAAGAAGUAAUCGAGAAAAUGAAGAAGGAUGUUCAAGAUUCUUUAUGCUGCCAUUGGAGGAGAAGAAUGCUUACACACAGCUACCAAAUAGCAUUGAAGGUUAUCACAAAGAAUUACUCAUUUUAUCAAUUUUUUAGAGUUUUCUUUUCAAUAUUUUUAUGAGUUUUGAUAAUUUUCAACAUUUUAAUCCUUACUUGAUGGCACUUUGCUCGAGUUUCCACCUUGUAUAUCAGGGCAAUCUUAGAUGAGUAUUGAUCAGAGCUCCAAAAGGUUUCAAUUUGCCUAUUAAAGUUGAUGGCCAAGAACCUUAAGAUCAAUCCUAACCAGCUCACAAAUAUAUUUGAGAAUGGAAGACAACAUGUGAGGAUGAAUUAUUUCCCCCUUGUGUGCAUGCAAGAAAGGUUGUGGGCAUUUAUAAACCUAUGAGCAAUGAGGAGUUUUCAAGACUUCGCCUGAGUAGAGGAAACUUAAUGGUAAGAGUACAAUAAGUCAUAUGAAAUUGGAGAAUUGAAAGAGCAUAAGAACCAUGUUUUAUUAGAAGACCUGUGAAAGUUUAAUCAGUCAUGGAACUACUAAGAGGGGAUGAAUUAACAGUUUUCUUAAAUUUUGUUCAAAGUUUAUGAAUUUUAUUUUUUAUAAUUUUUUUUACUUAGAUUGAAACUUAUUAAUCAAGGUAAGAUUUCAGUCACAUCGAGAAACAAACAUUUUAUGUGAAAAGCAACUGAUAAAAUCUUGAGUUUACAGAUGUAAAAACCAUAAGGCCAAAGACUGUAGAACUCCAACCCCAUUGAAUCAAGAAUAGAAACACAAAUUUAUCUACUAACCUACACUAAUCUCUUAUCUACAAUGCAACACCGUUAUAGUCUUAAGUGACUUGAAAGGAUGUGAAUCUUUCUCACAAACUUCAUAAUGAAAUUCAAAUUAGCUUUGAGAGUUUAAGAGUAAUAAUGCAUAGCUUUUGUGUGCGAGUUUUUAAGUGCUCCCCCAAAAGACAUAUUUAUACCCAAGUGAACUUAAGACUCAAUUUAAAGCAUGUAUUUUACUAUAAAAAAAAAUUAAAUACAAAUUUAAGAAACUUCAAGAAUUUUGGAAAGAUAAUUUUAAAAAAAAAUUCAAAGAGAGUCAGAAAAUGUUUCCUUUUUAAAUUCUCAAUUUAAUUUAUUUUCAAAUUUCUUAAGAGUUUAAGAAAUAUUUUCUUUUUAAAUUCUCAAUUUAAAACUCUCUUUUAAAUUAAUUUUCAAAUUUCUUAAGAGUUUAAGAAAUAUUUUCUUUUUAAAUUCUCAAUUUAAAACUCUCUUUUAAAUUAAUUUUCAUGUAAGUCUACUCUAUACAUUUUACAUCGUUAUUCUCAAUUAACUCAAAUGUAACAUCCCCGAUUGAUUUUGCACCAACCUUAAGUCUUCAAAGACAAUGAUUGAGGCAUUUCUUCUCCUAUUUUCUCCGAUGUAGAAAAAAAAAAAAAAAAACUAGAAUAAGGUUAAGGCAUUUCUUCUCCUAUUUUCUCCGAUGAAAAAAAAAAAAAAAAAAAACUAGAAUAAGGUCAAAGCUGGUUUAUAGCAAAAAGUCUUAAUUUGAGUUAGCCUUUUUUUUUUUUCAAAUGAUAUGCAGGUCCAUCAAACCUUCAACUCAAAUUUUUUAUUCAAAGAUCACAUGUGGAUAUGUGAACAAGUAAAAGUUGAGUUUUACCUAACAUAUCAUUUUGAAAAUUAGGAAAUUUAAAAGGUCUUAGAUUGUUGAACUCACCACCCUAUCUAUUCUACAAAACAAGUAGAUUAGCAAAGAAAGAAAUUGUACCCACGAGUAUAGAGUUUUGGGUUAAAACGACCCUUUUGAUGGGAAAAAUAUUAAAUUUAACCACUUUGUCAAACUUAUGUGUAAAAUGGUUCUUUUAUUACCACGUAGGAGUCAUAUCACUAAAAUAUAUACAUAUUUUUAAUUUAAGUUGAAGCCUCAAUUACCAAUUAAGGCUUCAAUUGUCAAUUACGAUUUUAUUUUUUAACCCGAAACCUUACUUGUCAAUUGAGGUUUUAACUAAAAAAUGAAACCUCAAUCACCGACUGAAACUUAAUUUUUUAAUUGAAGCCUCAAUUGAUAAUUGCGAUUUUAUUUUUGAACUGAAAUCUCAAUUGUCAGUUGAGACUUUAUUUUUGUGGAAGGAUUACGUGACACUCACGUGACUAGAAAAAAGCCAUAUUGAAUAUUAGUUUCAAAAGUGGCUUAAAAGAUAUAUAUUUAUGAUCAAAGAUGCCAUUUUGACCCAAAAUCCCAUGGGUGCAUGAGACUCUAGUUAAUCAUAGAUUUCAUAAAUAAAAAUAAGAGUUAGGAUGAUUCAACCCCAAAGCAUCAAGAAUUCUUUAACAUAAUGUUAGAACAUUUUCCAAUUUAAAUUCGAGAGUUAACUUUAUUUGAAUAUGCUUUUGAUUUUUUUUUCUUUUUUUAAAAUAAGCUUCAGUGUUUUUUUCAUAAAAAAAAAAAUAAAAAUAGGAGCUUCUAUAUAGAAAGAAAAAUUUUAUCCAACAAAUAUAAGGCUCACCUUAUAUCCUUAUAAAAAAUUUAAAAUUCAAAAUUUUUUAAUACCUCAAAAUUUUUAAUCAAUAUUUAAAAAUCAUUAUAUUUUCAAUAUGAUCCUUUAAAAGUUUAAAUUACCUAUAUUUUUUAUUUUCAAAAAUACAAAAAAAAGAAUGAUUUUUUUUUUUUGUUUUUUAAUUAUUAAGAUGAAUGAAAUAAUCGCAAAUUUGCAAAAAUAACUUCUUCCAUGUUUGAAUUUGAAAAAUAACUCAUUUCCAAUAUAAAUACUCUUCAAUAUUUGGAUUAUUUUAAUAUAAAUUUUAGAAGAAAGUGUUACUUUGACGGGAAAACAUGAAAGACAUUUUUAUUAAAAUUUGAUCUUUUUUUAAGGCUAAAAUAUAUGUAGGUUUAUAUUUACAAUUUGAGACCAUUUCGUCCUCUUAAUCAAAUAACUUAAAAAAGAAAAGAGUUAAUUCCACAAGUGGGUUUAAAAUACUCACAAAAUUGCAAAAUAUAUCUAUAUAUAUAUAUAUAUAUAUAUAUAUAUUACCCUUACUUAAUCAAUUCGUGUGUUGAGCACAUGACACUUCCGUUCAUUAAAGCUAACACCGUUAAAUAACAAAUGUACAUUGUAGCUAUUUAAGAAGUAUGAAGGGCACAUUGCUUAAUUUUAGUACAUGGUGAGAAACUUGUUGAACAAGUUAUGUGUAAAGUUUUAUGGUUCAUGUAUGAUAGGAAAUAUAGAUCUACUACAACACUGGAUUUGCAAUUUGGGUUAAUAUUUAAAGAAAAGACAAUAAGACAAAAAGAAUUAAACUUUUGGUGGAAAACAAUAAAGAAAGGACUACAUGGAAAAAGGGAAGAGAUCAUUAUAAAGGAAGAUUAUUGAAUAGAAAUAAUUCCAAGAACAUAAGGCAAGACAUAGAGUAUCACUACUACUAUCACAAAAAGGGCUAUAUCAUAAAAUUUAUGAAAUUUUGAAAAAGACCUAAAAAAUGAAGACAAAAAAAAAAAAAAAAAUCAAAGAAGCCUACAAGUGUAACUAGUGUUCUUAAAGUUAAGAAAUGAAGGUAAUAAAUCAAAAGCAGAUUUGUUAAUAGUUUUUAAAAUGCUUGAAUUACAAAUUGUCUACUUGUACCAUACGAGCCCUUGUAAAAACUGGUUUGACAUGUAAAUUGUUUGUAAAAUCAUUUUAAUGGGCAAUGAUGCACCAAGUUGCUCUAUGAGAAGCGUAGGGGUUUGCGAAACCAUCGCUUGUCGUGGCAUACAUCGUUGGGGAAUGACGGAUGAGGGCAUCCAUGGGAAGCCAAUGUCUACCCUCACUCCACACCCCUCUAGUACAAGGCUCUGGGAGGGAGAGAGGCAACAAGUGUGUGACACUAAGGUAAAUAUGCCCAACCUUAUGGCUUUGGGAGCAACGUGCGUUUAAAGACUUGAUAAUUCACAAAAUUCUACAAUUCAUACCAAGUAUUGCAUUUAACGACGUUCUUUAUCAAUGAGAGAGCCUAGAUAUCCAUUGUCAAGAAUUAUUUAUGUAUGAAAACAACAACACCUAACCGACAUGCCCAAGAUCAAGGCAACUAGAAGCUCAAGUUACUUAGUGCGUUUUGUGCCGAAGUUUGUUGUUUACUCAAGAGGGCUUUGUGAAUAUUUGUAAUAAAGGGAUAAUACAGAGUGAGCCGUAAUUUAGCAUCUUACACGCUCAGUUUCUUCCAUUGGUGGCAUAUAUUAUUUUGUUUGUCAUUGAUGAUUAUUUAAUAAAACUAUGAGAGUAUUUCAUGAAAUAUAAAUAAGAGGUUUUUGGGAUAUUUAAUCGAUGGUAAACAAAAGAUGAAAACUAAGUAGGGAGGAAGAUAAAAUAUUUUAGAUUUGAUAGUGGACUUGAGCAUUAGAACAAAAAGUUCACAAAGUAUUGUGAGAAUUCUUAUAGUACUUAACAUUUCACAUGUAUAGAAAUUACAAAGCAAAAUGGAGUGGUUGAAAAAUGAAUAGAACACCAUUGGAAUGACUAGGUGGCUAAGAUUAACCAUUCGGUUACUUAAGAAUUUAAGGGUUAAAGCUAUCAACAUAACUUAUCAUGUAAUUACUUAGUUGUCAAGUUUUACAAUUAUUUUCAAUAUUCCAAAAGAAGUGUCAAGUAAAUCAAUUGACUUUUCAUCUAUUGAAAUAUUUGAUUGUUGCACUUAUCUUCAUAUAUAGGUGAAAAAAAAAUUCAAUCCAAAAUAAAAAAAAGGUAUAUAUUCCUUGGGUUUGAAAAAAGGAUUAAUUAAAGACUGUAGAUUUGGGGAUCCAACAAUUAAAGGAAAAAAAAAAGUGGUGAGUAGAGAUGUAUUCGAUGAAAAACAUAUGUUAAAGAAAGAUCAAGGACAAAUGAAAUUGUUAUUGAAAAAAAAUUCAACUACAUGACCAAUCAUCGAGAUGAAAUUUGAGGAAAAUGUCGUUAAAUACGGAAAUGAAAUCCCUCCUAAUCGAUGUCCCUAUUGGAACUUUAUAUGGGCAUCUUUCUCUAUUGCUCUAAAGAAUCAUCGGAUUGGGUAAGGACAUCAAUUUGAAGAUUUUUAUUUUUUUUCAUUAUUUAUUGGAAUAGGAGAUCUUUAAAUUUUUUUGGGGCACAAUUAGGAGGGAUGAUAGUUAUCAAUGUCUUGGUGCUAUGUCAAAUGAGAAUCCAAUGCACAUGUUGACUAAAGUUGUUCUUAAGGAUAAGUUCAAGCAUUAGUUGAAUGUCAUUAAUUUUUCAUUUUGUAGAACAUGGAAGGUCAAUUUUAUUGAAGAGCUAGGUUAGUCAACUUCUAUUAGGACUUCUAUUGAUUCUUGAUUUGACUAGAGGGGCUCCUAGCAGUAAACUUGUAUGGAGGGGCCCUAUGGAGACGCAAGAGAUGCAAGAGCUGCCAAUCGGAUCGACCAAUAAAUGAUAGGCCCAUACAGAAAUGUCCCUAAAAUAGGGGAUUGGUUGAUUGGAAAGCUUAGGCAGAGUAUAAAGGAGAACAAUUUAGCAUUUUGGGAAAAGCACAUAUGAAGAUGUUUACAAGUUUGGAAAAUUGAGUUAAAGAAGAGAUGGUCUAAAAAUGUUUCAAAUUUCAAUUUUAUGUUUUUCUAAGUUUGAUAUAUCCUGUUUGGAUAUUUGGGAAGUCUUCUCUUGUUACAUAAGAUAGUCCUAUGAUGAGAUUUGUUAUGAAAAUAGGUUCUUCAUCGUGUGAAAUAUUCCUAUGAAAUUAAGAAGGAAUAUAGGAAGAGUUUUGAUUGAAAUUAUGAAUCUUUUUUUAUGUAAUUAGAACUAAAAUAUGAGAGUUUUAAAAUUGUAAUUACACCUUUGAAUAUAAAUAAUUGAUAAUAGUGAAUUAAUUUACCUUCUCCCUCUAGAUGUAGGUAAAUGCUAAAUUAUGUUAAAUCUUGUAUUCUCAUAUGAUUUUUUUUUUCAUUUAUUUUUCAUUUUCUUGCCCAUUUCUAACUUGCUAGUUGCUACUACAUAAUAACAGGUGGUAUCAGGCUUUUUGUGUUUGCACAACAAAUGGUCUCAGUUUUUCUAGCACCACAAAAAUGAUAUUUUACUUAAUUGCUCCUCAGUGGAAAAGUUGGAAAGAAAAAUUAAAUCAUCGACUAUACAUUUUUUUUUUUUCAAAACUUUUCUUGUCUUUGGCAAGAAAAUUAGUAUAUGAAGUAUAAAAGAAUUAGAAAAUAUUCAAAUUUUAAAUGAUUUUUAUUAUACUUUGUCCACUUCCUAUUUCAUAUAUCAAAUUACAAUAGAAUUUAAAAUUCUUUUAUAUGUUUUUUCUCCCUUUGCUACCACAUAAAUGCAAAGACAUUAUGUGAGUUAAAUACCUUAAAAGAAAAAGAAAUUAAAAUGUGAUAGAAAACAAAAGUAACCUCUUUAAAUUCAAGGAAACAAAACACUAAACUUUUUCAUGUAUCUUAUUCCAUUUAUAAAUGCAACAUGACAAAAAUAGACAAAAAUAUAAAUGGGAGCCCUUCAGGUCCUUUAUUUUAUAUUUUAUUAACUUCAACCAAUUCUAUUUCUAUAGCACAACCGAUGUUAUAAAGUUCAAUGAGUAUAUAAUAUAUAAAGAUACUAAUCAAUACGAAUUAUUCUUUCCUUCAAAUGGCUACUUGUAUUAAAAAUUAAAUGUAAUUCCUCCUAAACAAUAAAAUAUGUUGACACGAUUUCAAUGAAUAUACAGUACAUAAAGAUAUGACCAAUUAGUACGAAUUAUUCUUUCUUUUAAAUAGCUACUUGUACUAAAAUAUAAGUAAACGUAAUUCCUCCUAGAUAAUAAAAUAUGUUGACACGAGGAGGAAUAUAUUUACUAAUUAUAUCAUUUGCAAUAGCCUCAAUCUAGCGACGUUCUUCGAACCAACCAUAGACUUUAUUGAGAUAGGUUAACCAAGGGAGCUCCCACUCUCAUAACUCGUAUAUGAAAAUUUCAUCUUGUACAACUCAAAUAGAAACCCAUAAAUACUGGUUGAAACCAAAAUGUAAUAAAAAAUAAAAAAAAACAUAUUUCAAUGGAUCCAAUUAGUAUUUUUCCGAUCUCACAAACAAAUUUUUCUUCAUUUUGUUUUUUUUUCAUUAAUCUUUGUAAGUAAAUUAUAUUUUAAUUUAACAAAGCACUAAACUUUAAUUUUCAUGCAGGAUCAACUAGCUUUUCAUAAUAAAAUUUAUCAAUAUAGCUGAGCAGAGAUUUGAUGUAAUAAUACCAUACAAAAUUCAAGUAAAAUUAAAUUAAUCAAAUAGGACACUAUGGUUAUAUUUGGAUACAUAUUCUAUUUUUUAUUUUUAAAAUUAAAAUUUUGAUAUAAAAUAUGACAACCCUUUGUAUAAAAAAUAAAAAUUUAUCCUAUAAUCUUAAAACUACUUUUCAAUAUUUAAAAAAAAGAAAAAAAGAGGACGUGUCCUAAAAUUUUAAACAAAUUUAAAAAUAUUUUUAAAUACCCAAGAUAUCCACUUUUUUCUUUUUUUAAUAAAAAUUCCUAUAUUUUAAUAAAACUCUAUUUUAAAAAAUGAAAAAUAAAAAAUGUAUCCAAACAUAAGCUAAAUUGUUAGAUUUUAUUGUGAGAUUUCUUAGAUUCUACAAUUCAUAGUGAAAUGAAGAUGAGAGAUAACCGACUGAACUAUGAAAAAAAAAAAAUUAACAUUGAUGAGAUUCAAAAAUGCUAGUUAAUGAAAGAGUUUCUCCGCCAGGAUGACUAAGAAAAAUGCUGAAAUAUGUGUCAUGCCCAAAGCAAUGUUACAAUGAAGAAUAGAAUGAGAGCUAACCCGAAACAAAAUCCGACAAUCGCCAUGAAAGCCUGGAUGCAGAGGAAAUGUAACUAGAGACAUGUAAGGAAUCAUUAAGCAAGUGAGAACAAUAUCAAAAUCUCAUGUACGACUUACCUUUCCCUGAGAUUCAAACUUGAAUUUUACUGUAAACCAUGACAAUCCUCUAUCUACAAUAGGAGCAAGUGCAAGGGCCCUGCAUGAGAAGCACCUCUACAAAAAUCACAGAAAACCCAAAGGAAAAAAAAAAAGAUUAAAUAAAUAGAAACUAGUCUACCAGAAACCAGGAGGCUGCAACAAAUAAUCUCCAAAUGUCAGAUUUAAUAUUUAUUUACGAAUGCCGCUAAAAGGCCUUUUCAUCAGAGAAAUCUAAAAUAAAAAAGUAUAAGGAGCCAUUUGGAUUACAGAGGUCAAAGAUUGGGUUGGAUAGGAGCAAGUUUAACCUCUCAGUAAAAAUGAAAAUGCAAGGCCCAUCAUCAACGCUAGGUUCAAAAAUUGACACCAUUUCUUGAAGACUUUCUUUUUUCAUUCUUCAAUUGUCAUUUUGAUUCAAAGAAGCGGCAGCAUGAUAGACUAAACAAUCAUCAUAAACCCAGUUGCAAGUUAUAAGGAUAAGAAAGAAAAUGAACAAAAAACAUAUAUGAGAGAACUGAUAGGCCAAAAAAAUCAUUGUUGAAGGAAUCGAGCAUAAAUCUCUGAACAAAAUUUAGCUGAAAUUCACUGAUUUUGGGUUAUUUUGUGAUAAGAGCAUUGCAAUAUCCCAAUAAACUGUUACGCUAACUAAAGAUUUAAAACAGAAUUUAGCUGCUUACCCUCCAGCUCUGACAAGUUUAGUGACCUGGCUGCCUGCCCACACCAUAGCCAUGAUUUUGACAAAUCUGCCAAUUGGAUUCCAUAUGUCAAGAUAUUUUGAAAAACUUGUGCAAAAAGAAACUUUUUGGAAUAAGUUUUUACCUUUCAACUGCCGCCAAAUAACCCAUCCUUCCUGGUGCUGGAGCAAUAUAAAACCUAGAAGCAGCAUAGUGAAUUCAGAGUUAUACUGGUUAUUUGAAAUCUACUCUGAACACCUAUGAUAGAGACUGCAGGAUGUGGUAAAACACUAAGGCAUAUUUCAAACUACAUUAUAAGGUAUUUGAUUAGAAAAUUAAAUAAAUAAAUAAAUAAAAUAACAUAACAUAAAAUACAAAAAAGAAAAAAAAAAUUAACAAACUGAAUUUGUCCAUAUGCAACAAUAUGCAAUUGUUAGCCAUGAAUCCCAGUUAUGUCGGUUUCCAGUAUUAAUAAUUAAGCAUGAUGUUUAUGAACUAGACCAGCAUUCUAAUAACUCUAGAUUGAAGGGCAUGGAUGUCACAUUUGUAUUCCAUCAUGUGCAACUAACAUCACAUUGAAAUAAUAUCCACUAAAGCAAGUUAAGACCCAGUAUAUCAGAUUAAAAUUUUCUACCAUGAAUAUAAGCUUGAUAAAAAUGAAGAUGGAAAUGCAAUACUUCUUUAUAUGACAUAAUGAAGGGAACCAAAUACAAGGACUCCCCAUUCCAGAUGCAGAAAGCCAAGUUACAACCUUUGCCAAAUAAAGAGAUCCACCAUAAAUUCAUUUUUAGACAUGCUAUAGUUGAAUAUGCCAUCAAUAAGUGAUCAAAAGCCAAUUCAGAUGGGAAUAACAGCCACAAUGUUGGGAAGGUCAAUAACAAAAGCAUUGACUUGAAUGUUGGCAGUGUCAUUUACACUGGCCAUAAGAACCAGAGGUAAUGCAUACAGUUGGUAAGGUAGUGAGAAGGGGAUGAGAAAUUGAAAAUUCUUGAAUUUAAUUGUUUCAUGCAAUUCCGUUUUCCAAUACUCUAUACGAUAAUAUACAUUGUACAGCACAAGAAUAGGGUUGUUUUAAAAUUUUGAACAAAUAAAAAUUUCAUAUCAAUAUCUAAUAUUUAAUAAAAAAGAAUGAAACAAGAGUAAGUACAUUCUCUUCUCCUUAACAUGGUAUUAAAGCAGUCUCCAAAUUCUUAACUCCUAGUUGCAAACUUGAUUUGCACUGGAAGUUGCAGUUUGCUCAUUUUGUUAUUCAAGUAAGUUACUUCAAUCUAUCAUAGUUUAAAUGACUUGGGAUGGUAGUUGUCAUGGGCACGAAUUUUCCCACAAAUUUUUCGCAUUCACGCAGCGCUUAGAAGCCCUCUAAGCCAACAUACUCAAACCCACAUGAGAUUGCAAUCAAGAAAAAACUCACAAAGACACACAAGGCUAUGGAGCUCAAUCCCUAACUUGUAUUUUAUUUCUUCUCUAAAUAACAAUACAAGACAUAGCUUAACAAGACUUCCACAAUCUCUUUGGUGAGUUCAUGCUCUCUCUCAAGCUAUGUUUUAAGAAAGUUCCCCCUCUCAAUAUACCUCUGUAUAUUCUCUAUGAUCUCCAGAUUGCACGAUAAUUCAAAGGGCACUCCAGUCCUCCUUUUAUAGGUGUGACACCAACCACUCCCUAUUUGAUAAGGAGCAAGGAAUCCUAGUUCUACUCAAACUACAAUUAAAAUAAGAAUCUAAACUCUUAUUCAAACUCAAAUUACAAUAACAAUUUGAAUUCAACUCUGAACUUUCAAAUGUCUUCGGCCCAUUCCUCAUUCAUUUGAAACUCCUUGUAUCAGGCCACAUAUCAGCCCUUCAAUUCCCUGGUUUGUGGUGCAAUACAUCUUCCUUAAGCUUGUCCCAAUGCCAAGACAUCUUUGUUGUGUUCUGCCUGAAGUCUACCCACUCUUGUGCCUUGAGUCAGUCCAUUCAUGCAUUUGAAUCAGCUGAUGCAUCUGAUCAGCUUGCUAUAGCGUCUCUAGGCAGCCUACUACAUGUGUCUCUAUGCAACUAGUGUGCAUGCCAAGCCCUCUCUUAGCCUACAGAUCUAGCAAUUUUCCUUGGUGCCAAUCUUUCCUUUGGCUGUAACCCCUUGUUGUUCCUUGAGCGUGUCAGUCAUGCUCAUAUGUGUUCCCGCAUCUGGAUCACAUCCAUGCUGAGGCAACCUGCCCAAGUUUGCUCUGCCUAGCUGUUGUUAUGGCAUCAUGCCAUGCCCAAGCCCUCUUCUUGGUGCAGCAACGAGUCAUGGCAUUGCACCCAUGACUCCUCAUCUCUAUGCACAAGGCAUUGUGCCUUUGUGCUAAGCAUUAGGCAUCACAUCUGAGUCGGCUUCCCUUAUCUCUAUGCACAAGGCAUUGUGCCCUUGUGCCAAGCCACCUCAUUGCACAAGGCAUUUCCCCCUCAUGCUACCAUCGGGAAGGGAAGACUGCAUAGCACCCCAUGUCGUUGCAACCUUGAGUUGCACACCAUCACAUGUCAUGGAGCCCAUAUAUGGUUGCUAGCAAGGCUUGCCCAUGUGCCUUGCUCAUGUUUGAGGACUUGCACCAAAGCCCCUAAGUGUGGCCAUGCCCAUGCCACCUCGUCUCCCUUGAGUCACCCCCACCCUCACCCCCCUUAAAAGAGCAUUUUAAGCCCUUUUAAUUAAUUCAAGAAAAUCUAGAAAAUUCCGCUUCCACUUGGAGUCUCCCUUUUGAAGGUUCCUAUAAAUCUUUUAUCUCUAAGCAAAUUAACCAAGUCACUUAAUUGUUUUGCAACAUUCCUUCCCUUCCCUUAGUGUAUUUCAAGAUCUCUUAAUGAACAAGACAAUUGGUGGAGGGCAUGAAGUAAAUGGAAUUUAUCACCAUAUUGGCCCACCUCUUACUCCAAUUGCUCUACGUACUUCCAUUUCUUCUAUGUAGUGGCACACCUUUCACUUCGCAUCUUUAGCAUAUGGGACUUCUAGUUAUAUUGGACUCCAAGUUAAAGCACCAAGUUUGUGAGUCAAGCAAAUAGCAUCACCAUAGUGUUGUUCUAGUCCUUUUUGUUCUAUAAUCAAUAAGAGGAGUACUAGUCCUUUUCAUCUUGUUCAUUUAGACAUUUACAGUUUAUGUAGUGUUGUUCCUAAUGUUGAACUAAACUUUUUUAUUGCUAUUUUAUUAAUUAGAUCAAUGAAAAUGGUAUGAGCAUAAAGAGGCUGAAUAAUAGGUACUAAUCUCUUAAAAAAACCUAUCUUGUAGAAACAUCAUCAGGUGACUAUGCACAAGUAAAUGGUCUGAAAAGGCGUGAGAAAAACAUUCAUUUUUGUGCAACAACCAAGUAUUUGCAUCUUAAUCAACCAAAGAAUAAAUGGCUGAAGACAAUAAAUGACUGAACAAAAAGAAAAUCAUAAGUUUUAGGCCAGACACUUUUUUCAUCAAUUAUAUACAACAACAAUAAAUCAAAUAGUCCAAAAUUUCAAAAGAAUAAUGCUCAGCAGCUAUGCAUACUCACAAGUCACAAAUACCUCAUCCUUGACUAAUUUACAUGAAUGAAUUAUUUACUUACCAUACCAAGAGAAACGUUGUAAGAUAGUAUGCAGUAUUCAGGAGUCCAUAGGAUAAUAUUCCAGAAAUUCCAUAUCUCUUCAGUUUCUUUAGAAGACUGAAAGGUUAAGCAAGAAUGAGCUCUCAAUGUAAGUAGACAUGCAUUUCAGCGUACAAAGGGCAAAAGGAUUGAGGUAUCACUUCUUACAGAUUGUUUGCAUGAAAUUCAGUAGUAGAAGAGAAAUUAAAAUGAUUGGGACAAGAUCACUCAUCCAAACAAUAGUUUAUUUACAUAGAAAAGGUCUAAAGCAUAAUCAUGCAGUAGACAAAAUGAAUCUUUUGUGUCAUGUUCCAAUAAUGUUAACAAACUACAUUAAAUUUGUAAGGUUACAUAGAAAAAGAAAGAAAAGACAUUGUUACAAUAGUUUGGUUGUUACACUGCUAGCACCCAGACUACGACCAAAUCCUUGCAUUGAAAUUGAAUUUCAAACUCCCAAUGUGAAAAAGGAAGAUACAAAAAAGAAAAGAAAAACAGGAGGAAAAAAAAAAAAAGAGGGAAAGAAAAGAAACAUGGGAUUUCCAUGUAUAAUACAUACAUAUUAUAUCUAUAGAUAAAUGCAUGCAUGUGCAUAUGUCAUAGAGGCUGGUCAAACACAUUUCAAGAAGUUUGACAACUUGCUUUGGAAUGACAAACACGUGGAUCAAUAAAUGGCUUGUCUCCAUUAUUGAGAAAUUGCAGGUAAAUUUCAUCCACUACAGGCAUGGGGUGGCUGGACAAAGUUAUGCCAUUUGGUGGGAUGUAGUGGACUUAAGACAGAAAAUUCUCAAUCAUUCUUCUGUCCCUUGUGCAGUGUUGAAGCUGACAAUAUUAUUGAGCAUACAAGGAAUGUGAUGUAAAACAUCAUUGAGGAGCCAUGAGCUGCGAAUGCAGGGAGAAAUUAAGUUACAAUUAAGUUUUGGUGAGGGAUUUUCAGAUGCAGAUCAUAUGGCAAAUUAACUUCAGAGAAUUGCAUGUUUUUAUUCAUUUCCAUACACAUUGAAUAAUCAUAUUUAAAAUCCCUCAUUCACUUGUUUCGCUUCCAUUAGUGCUCCUUCCACAUGUGUAUUAGCAGCACAGACCUCAUGAUAGUUUUGUAAAGGUAAGACAAUAAAAUUGAAAAAUACAGCUAAAGCCUAAAAUAUUGGCUCAUAAAAAGAGAAACCAUCCAAGUUCUAUCUUAAAUGACUCUACAAGUUCUAAACAGGGAGACAAGGACUUCAACCUGGUCCAUCAAUGCAUAUAAAUGGGUAAACAUUCCAACAACCAUUACGUUAGAAGUACACUAAAAGAAAAUUAUUAAACAAUGUUGUUUCCAAAAAAAUUCCAUGUUAAAGAAUAGAAGAACAUACCGCUAUAAAUGAAAUUCAUUCAAAACAGUUCAAACAGUAAAGUUAAGAAUUGUGACUGCAUAUUUUUUUUUAAAAAGAAACAAGAAUUGUGACUGCAUAUCACCACACUUGUUUUAUUUAUAAUCCACACAAUGUAUUCUUCCCUAGCAUGUUAUCCCAUUAAGUAACCUCCAGAUAAAAUUCCCUUUCUGACUCUGUCAAUCAGUCAAAAAAUUUGAUGUAAAAUGUAAAAUACAUGGGUACACAAAAACAACUAUAUAAACUGCCAUCCCAUUAUUAAUAAAUCAGUAGGUCUAUAACAUAGACUAAUAGCAUUGUAAGGCAAGUAGGAAGUACUCUUUUGAUGUGUGCAGUUCUCCUUCACCAUUUUCGCCCUUUGCACUUGAGUCUAUAAAAAUAUGUAUAAGUAGAUUUUUAGAAAUAUCAAGUUUAUCAAAUGUAAAAUAUGGUAUCACAGAAAGCUACACCAUUUUUCUAGUUAUCAUUUGAAAGAUAUUGAUACCUUCAUGGUUGGCAGAGUAGUCAUGACCAUUUGACAUGCCAGAAGCCUAACCUACAACAAAGGCAAUGUUGAAAAAGCAAUAUUCAAAAUUCAAUGAAAAAAACAGAAGACAAACAAAUGAACAAAUAGCAAAUCAUCACACUCAAUUGUUUUCCAAAAAUGAAAAACCAAAUGAAAGGAACAAGGAAUAUAUUGAGAAAAAAACCUAUGAUCAAUGGAUAUGCAGUUGCAUUCUAGCACAUAUAGAGGAUCAAACAAGUAACUAAUCUAGACAUAGCUGCAACAAAUUUGUGUAUCUCUGAAUGCGUGUCUGCUUUUUGUGGGGGGAUAUUUAUUAUGACAUGUUCUUAGUGCAGACAAACCAUCUGCAUUUACUUGAGGAUUAGGUGAACAUACUUUCCAUUUAAAAUGAGGCCUUGAACAUCAAGCCUCGGUGAGUUUUCAAAUAAGGAAAAUGUAAUAGCUUUACAAUGAGUCCCAUAGCAAGAAGGCAUAUAAUUCCAUUCAUCAGCAUACCAGAAUAUAGAAUAGUGUGGACAUGUGGACACAUGCCAGAAUUAGCAUUGGACACACUAACAUGCCAGUCAUGCAUAGAAAGAAUUUCCAAAGAUAUUAAAGUAAAACACUGGUAGUAAGCAAAUUAGACCCUGAAAAACAUGCAAGUAUAGGCCAAGAUCAAAUCUUAAUUUUAAUUUCCAGAAAAAUAAAUAAAUUAUAUCAACCAAUAGAAAUGGUAUCACCAGCAAUUAACACCAAAGCACACCAACAUAUCGGAAUGCAUAACACGUGUACCCAUCUCCAAUCAGCAUUACACCUGUACAAGUUAGCCUGUAGCAGGUCAUAAUAGGUUCAGACUAUAAAACCUUCCAAAUCUUCCUUUGCAGGGCUUAGAAACCAUUUUCUAAGUAAUUUGCAGUUUUAAAAGCCUGUGACAAAAUUUUGGAUGAAGAGCUUGAACUAUAUACUCACAAACCCACUCCAAAAUUUCCUUAAGGUAAUACACAUUUUUUGAAGUCCUUUCCAAUGUCUUCUCUUAUUUGAGUUAGAAAAGCCAAUGUUUUUAUGAAUUGACUACUACGGCUGUUGAGGUUUGAGGUGUAUAACUAAUUUCUUAAUAUAUCAUAAUUUACAUCAGUCAUUAGAAAUUAAGGUUCCAUCCUUUUACACUAAGAAAAUCCUGAGAGCAAUUAAAAAAUACCUUCUUUUAUAUUAUUAAAUUUAAGUUUCCUUUAGGUCUUUGAGUCUAAUAGAAAUUAGUGUAAAAGGAAUUUUAAUUUUCUUACACUAAGAAAAUAAAAAUAAUAGGCAAAAUAAUUUUCACAUUUUGGAACUUUAUAGGUAAUGCUUAUUAAAAUAAAGCAACAAAGUUUGUCAUUUGCCAUUGAAUGAACCAAUUGUGGAAAACUAUGCAAAAAAUUUUAUUAGUAUGGAAUUUUUUUUUUUCUGCCAAUAUAUAGAAUUCAAUUUCAAACCUGCCCCUCCCAACCCACCACUUGCUGCUUGAGGCAAGCUUAGAGGCAGAAAAAUAUUUGCAAUUCUACGUAUGGAUAAAAAUUAUUUCUUAGAUUUUAUGCCAAUUCCAUAUUUAUAGGUAUCAAUUUAUUAUUCUACUGUUGUCAGAAGCUUCAAUUUUGGGCGUCCUCAUGGCUAUGCCACCCUUAAAUGAGAACAACUUUGGUCUUCUGUUUUUCUUUUUGAGCUCUUCAAAUUUUUGCAAGUUACUUCUAUCCAGGUUCUAGGAAACACCCAUUUUUUUAAAUCUCCAAUAAUUUAGGGUUCUGUGGCUGAGGGAAUAGACUUAUUUUUGGUUGAAGCACACAAAAUUCUUGGCUAUUUUUUUUUUUUUUUUGGCAUCAGGUCCUUUUAGGUUGAUUUUUCUACUUAUUUUUCACCCACCAAUUAACAUUGCCCUAACUCUAUUAUCUACCCGAGCAAAUGUUUAUGAACUAGCAAAUCAUACUAAAAUUUCUUACUAGUUGACAUGUGCAUCAUCUCAGCAUGUCAUUCCAACACCAAACUACAACCAUAAUCUCACUAACAUCCUAACUGCCUCAAUGAGUAUGGAUUACAGAAAUACAAUUAAAAUAUACUUCCCUAUUUAAUUUCAUAAUUUUUAUAAUAAUAUUUCGGCAAUAUUUCCACAUAGUAGCUUAUGUGGGAACCCUAGGAAUGCUGGGAUUGAAACCCUGGAUUGAAACAAGAGGAUUGUGAGAGAGAAUUGGAAAUUGAAGAAACAAACACAAAAAAUAAAUCCAAGAAAUAAAAAAGAAGCGUAAAAAUGAAAUAGAGAAGAGUGUGUAUGACGCACCUGAUGAUGUGAAAGCAGCUUCAGCUGGUGAAGGCAAACUUUCGACGGGAGAGACAUGAGCAUACCGGCCUCCGACAACAAUCCCUCCAAAAUAUUCUUUCUAUACCAUUUAUUAUUAUUAUUAUUAUUUUCAGGUUAUUUGAAGUGUAAUGUCUAGCUAUACCAUUUAUUAUUGUUAUUAUUUUCAGGUUAUUGAAGUGUAAUGUCCACCAUGAAGCCCUUAGAACUCUCCAUGGACCCUAAAUCUCGGGAUGCUAAUCACCCUAUAAUAACCAGCAUAGAGUAUAUUCAAAGUAUCAUUAAUGACAAAUUUUGAACUUAGGACCAUAUGUCAUUUACAGAGACCACACUUCUUAAUGUUCAUCCUUAGCGACAUACUCAUAUAUACCAAAUUACCCGAUAAUAUGCUUUUCCUAUUUUCUCAUUUUUAGAAAAAAAAAAAAAAAGAAUAACUUCUAUUUUUAAAAAUUUAAUUUUUUUUUAUAAGUAAAUUUUUGUUCUCAUUAGGACAUGUGGAACCUCCCACAAGUCCUCUUGAAUCCUUUACCACUUGAGUCAUGCCUUAAUGGCUUGUUUUUUUAAAAAAUAAUAACAACUUUUAUAUAAAAAAAUACUUAUAAAAAAUAUAUACAUGUCAUUAAAAGUCUAAAAAAAUAUAACUUUGUUAAUAAUUUUUAAAAUAAUUUAAUGUGUUAAUUGUUCUUAAAAACUAUAAAUAACCUAGAAAAGAAUAGUAUGUUUGACCAAAUUGUUAUAUGGUUUUAAAUAGUCACCUUAACAAUGUUACAAGUGAGUUGAUUAAUUUAUGGUAGAGAAGAAUUACAAUAGAAUUCAAUUAGUUAUCGCAUUUGAAGUCUUUGAUUAUUUGUUGAAUAAUAUUUGCAGCCAAUUAGAUAGGGUUGGCUAACCCAAGCCAAACCUACUUACUAAUAUGUCCAACCUAUGCUAAACUCGAUUCAAAGUUAGGUUGGUAGUUACUAAACUCAUUGACAACUAAAGUUUCUAUGGAUUCCCACGAGUUUUCAUGGAUUAUCAAAUAAACCACAUAUAAUGGAAUCUCCUAAUAUAUAAAAGACAUAUUUCAAAAUUAUAAAUUAAACCAUAUUAUAAAAUAAAAUUUUAACAAAGUCAUAAAUUAUAUUCCUAGUGACUAAUUUUAAUGGUAAGAUGAAACACAAGUGUGAAUAUUUAAAAAUAUUUUAAUAAUUAAACAAAAAUGAUAAACUUAUAGUGUAAUGUAAUAAAACUAGCAAAAGUUAUAGUUCUUUCAUUAUCCCUUUUAUAAAUUUCAUAUUUUAAAUAAACUAAUAAAUAAUAUAAUAGUAAUGAAUUUGCUUAGUCUUCAUCAUGUAGAACCAAUUUGAAGAAAUUUUUUUUAAUAGGACUGAUUAAUGACUUAAUUAAGGGUAGGUUACAGCUAAAAUAUUUAGUAGGACUGAUUAGUGACUUAAUUAAGGGUAAACUACAGCUAAAAUUUUCCUAGUAGUCUUCCACUAUGACAAAUUGUGGGAACUAGUAGUGGCCUGUCCAACCUAUAGAGGAAACAAAUAGGUGAGUGAGUUAUUGAAUAUGUGGCUGAGAGUGACCAACCAUUGAGGCUCACAUGAAGUUGUAGUGGCUGAGAGGAAGGGAUAAGAGACCAAAAACAUGCUCAGGGAGAUUCUUGUUAGGAUCAAAUUGGGGGCAUAGAUAUAUCUCUUUGGUAAGAGUUCCCAUAAUUUAGGUAUUAAUGAAAUAGGUAUAAAAGAAUUAUAUAUCUUGAUAUGAUCAUGUUGUUAAUGAUGAUCUAAUGAGUUGAAAUAUUAUGUUUUCAACUGUGUAUAUCUAAUAAAUACAUCAAGUGCUUAAACUUUAAUAUAGAAAUGGUCCACAAUGGCUUGUAUGACUCAUCGUCUUAUAAACAUAUUAUUUAGAUUAGGCUAAAGUGGUCAAAGUAAGAAGAAAAAUUGAUACUUGAUUUGAAGUAUAAAGAAUUCUUCUUAGACUUUGUGUGUAGUGUUGUUAGCUUAUUGUUGUGUUAAAGUCUAUUUUGAUGUAUUUUGGAAAGAAUGACCAACUAGAACCACAAUAAGAUGUUGCAAAACUUAUUUAAACAAGGGCUUGUGAGCAAGAUUUUUUUUUUUUCCUUUUCAUGUACAAAUAGUAUGAUGAAUGAAAAUUUGAUUCUCGAUUGUAAUUAGUAUUUUCUUUAAGUUUUAAAUCAUGCAAUGAAUACUUAAAAUUAGCUUACGAUGUCAAAGAAUGUAAGUAAACAAGGUUUUACAUGUUGGAUAUAUAAUAAAUUCAAAACCUUUACCUUCCACAUUGAAUGAUUACAUUUUUUCUUUAAGUGCCCUUUAAUCAUUCUCAUUUUGUUUAAUCAUUUUCUCUAAUGUCUUGAGCAUAGUAGAUUUCUAUAAAUUUACAUGAGCAUUCCUUAACUCUUCUUGAGUGAUCCUAAACUUAGCAUUGAAACAAUCAUAAUUUAGGCGAAGAUGCUUACACGUCUUCAUAAUCAUCCUUGGUUGCUAGCCAUUUUUCCUUAAUUACUUUAGGAUGUUUAGUGAAGAUGAUUACAAAUAUUAACUAGUUCACUCACACAUUUUUGUAUGAGUGUAGAACAAUUUUGCAUUCUUUCCACAUCACUUAUGCAUCUUCGUUCCAAGAAAGAAGAUAUAGAACUCUUAUCUUUUGCCUACGCCACUUGGUUCUCCAGCCCAUUAUGCUUAUGCAUCCUUUUUAUAUCACAUAUGCGACUUGCUUCUCAUUAAGAUAUUUCACUUACAUGUUCUUGUAUAUGCAUAAUUUAGGGAAAAAUAUUUUAAAAUAGCAAAAUAGAUUUUAAUACAUAUAUUUGGAACAAUUAAACUCAAACUAUGCAAGUGACCUUGUCUACUAUGUAGGUGACUUUGUUUACUACAUAGGCAAAGUAUAUGACAGUGAUAGUCAAGGAAGCUAUGUGGUUGCAUGGUUUAGUGGAGAAUUUAAGAGUAAAGCAAGAUCACAUUGUGAUUUAUUAUGAUAAUGGGAGUGCCCUAAAUUUAUUUAAGAAUAAAAUUCAUCACUCAUUGGUAAGGCAUAUUGAUGUCUAAUUUCAUUUUAUUUAAGAGAUUCUAGAAGAAAGUCAUAUCUUAUUUUAGAAAGAUUACUAAUGUUAAUGAGGUAGGUCAUAUUUAAAUGUGAUCCAUGUUGAAAGGAUCAAUGUACCUUUAGGUGUGUAGUAGCAAAAAAAUUCUAUUUGGACCUAUGUUUUUCUCUUGGAACCUCAAUUCUUUAUUUUUUUUAAAGAAAAAGUGGACAUAUCAAAUUAAGCAACAUCAGUCUUUUAUUUUUUUCAUUCUUGCUUGGUUUUUGUCUUGAAUUUAGAGUGGAGAAGAUGUAAUAAAUGAGUAAGGAAAGAGGUAGAAAAUAAAGAUAACAUUAGAACUAGGGAUUGUAAAAGAGGAAGAAGAUGAGGACAUUUUUGGCAAUGUUGCAUGUCAAUUUUCUAUUUAAUGAUUCCCCUAUAAUAGUUUUCAUAUUCAUUAACUCUCUCUAAACUAAGCAACAUAUUUCUUAAAUAUUUUAAAUUCUUAUUUAUUCUUAAACUCUUUCAUUCUCAACCGGCCUUUUCACCAUUCUCACAAACCUAAAAUUUGCUCUCAAUUUAUUUCAAUAAUGUUGACAUAAAAGUAAAUAGGUAAGUCAACAUUCAACUUUUUUUUUUUUUUACAAACCAAAAUCUAAUAUUUUUGUUUAGAAACAAAAAUUGAACAAAAAUGUAUAAACUAAGAGAAAGAAAAAGUAAAAACUAGAGACUUGUAAUUGUAUAAAUGUCAAGAUUUCAAGUUAGUAAUUUAUGUCAAUAUUUGUUUUUUUAUUUUUUUUCUUGAUUUUUAUAUACCAUUUUAAUUAAUAUUUUCAAUUUUGUGAUUGAAGUCUCAAGAAUUUAUGUUAUGCUUAUUUUAUUGUUUCCAUGUCAAAAACCAAUGUGAAAUUAGUAUGACAUGUACACUUAUUAUUUUGAAGCAUAGUGUUGAUAUCUUAUUUUGUAAAACCCAUGACGAUCAAUCAUUGUCUCUCAUGUGUCUCAUUUAUGACAUGUGAGUUUGACUAAUUAUAUAGCAUCAUGCCUCAAAGAUUAGUGUUACAUAUCCAAGACAUCUCUCUAAUAAACUUGACAUUCAUUACACUUUUCUUACCCUUAAUCUUUCAUACAUGGAUAGGUCCAUGUUCUACCUUCAUAUCUCCUAUGCCAUAGUGCUACAUUGUUUGAAAAUGAAUUUUUAUCUUCAAUAAGAUCCUAAGUCACAUGGAUGACUAUGAAGCAUGGAUGUCGCCCAUAGUGAAUGUCGAGGAGAGGGGUAGGGGUGUUUCUUACUCUAUUCUUCCUAAAGAUGGUAUCGCGUGCUUCUGAUAAUUGUUUCAUUUUUAAUCUAGAAAAUGCAUGCUUCCUAAAAACUAAUAGUUGUUAUUGGUUUAUGAUCUUUUAUACCCUCUUCUAAUAUGUCAACCUUAAAAUAAUGCCUUGAUGUUAAUAAAUCUACCUAGUUCAUGAGCAAAGCUUAAGGUUAUGAAAUGGACUUUGUGUCAUUAGUUGUAAAUCUAGUUUCCCUACCCAUUAGCAUUUCAAGAUUAGUUUGAGGGUCUUGGUUUAGUAGUUAGAUCUUAUACUUACCAAGGUCGGAUCAACACGCAUUGAUCUCAUUUUAGCUUAAAUGAGAGAGAUGACAAUUGUGUCUUCAUUAUAGGUGUCAUAUGAAGAAGUUUGUAUAUCCUUAUAGAAUAAUUAAUAUUCAAAAUACUAUUUCAGAGCAUUAUAAAAAAACUUCAUUUCUAGCCAAAUGAAAAAGAGUGAUAUUCUUGGUCUCUUUGAUCCUACUACCACCAUUUCCACCCAAUCAUCUACUCUCACUUUGCUUUGCUCUCAUUUUAAACUCUUGGCACAUUUAAAACUUUCAAGUUUUAGUUGUAAGCUUAUAGAUACUAUUUUAGAAAAAAAAUAAAAUUGCAAGUGAGAUCUAAUAUUUUGUUUUGAGAAAAGUAUUGAAAAAGCCCAAGGCUUAGAAACUUUGAUUUACCUAUGUCUAAUUAUGAACUUUCGAAUGAAGAUAACAAUGUUAUAUAAUUUAAUAGUUGAAGAGAGUUAGAAGGUUUUUUCUAAUUUUGGAGCAUGAUGUACAUUAUGAGCCUAAGUCAUGACAACUUAAGUCGCUAGGAAGAUCAGUUGCUUAACAUGCCAAUAGGGUCUUGUUUAGUGGGGGUUUGUGUGUUUGAAUCUCACCUCAUUAUUUCCAUGAUUUAUUGAGCCUCAAUGUAAGUCUAAUAUGAGGUUAGUUGUAUAGGAAAAUUUUUCUCUCCAUGUGUGGUAUGGGGUUGUAGUGAGAGAGAGUGUUAAAGAAUGGGAUUAAAUCUUAAUAGUUUAAGCUUUUAGAAAAAUCAAAAGUUCAACUUGGCAUUAGAGUCUUAUUUAUUCAAAGGUUAUUAGUUUGGACCUCAAGACAUAUUAUUUCCCUAAUUUAUUGAGCAAAAAGAAGGCUAGAUAUGAGGUUGCUGAUGAGAAGUUAAUGGAGGGUCCUGAGUCCAAGUUCUCCCCUCAUUAUUUAUCUAUCUAAUUAUUUAUGACCAUAAAGUGCUUCUCAUGGUAGGUAUGGGCUCACAUAUGGGGGGAGGAGGGGUGUUGGAGCAUUAUAUAUGUUAUGUGCCCAAAUUCUAACAACUUAGUUAAGCUUUUAGGAAAAUUUAUUAUCUAAAAUUAAUAUUGUUUUGUAAUCAAAGUAAAAUCAACCUUAGUUAUUCAACAUAAUAAAAAACAUUAGUUUCCUGAUUGAAAAUGGUAAGGACUAAGUAAACUGAUAUAAAAUAGAAUGUUAUUAUAGUUUAUGGGGUGAAGUAUUAGCACUAUAAAGUUAAGUAACUAAUUUGCUAAAAUUACUAGCUAAAACUUGAAAAGUCUUAUCAAAGUGAAAAAGAAAAUAAAAUUAAACUCUUUAUUUUACAUAAUAGCAUAUCUAUAUCCCCUUAAAUUAUGAAAUUCAUGUUGUUUUUUCAAAAAAAAAAAAGAAAGAAAGAAAGAAAGAAAAAAAAAAAACCUAGAAAUGCCUACUAAAAAAAAGUCGAUUGAUACACUCCCUAACCAUAAAAUUGAGUUGUAAAUAUAAAUUAUAGUUCAUCCAAGUCUUUAUACGACUUUAAGAAAUCAAUAGCUAGUUUCAUUUACACCAUUGGUUCGUUUUUUUUUUUUUAUUCCAUUGAAAAGAAAGCAAUAAAAAUGAAUUGAGACAAAAAUGAGAAUACAAUCCAUAAAAUAUCAAUAGAUUUGUAAACUCAUUAUAAAGUUCAUAAAUCUUUAGAUAAAAAAAGCAAUAUAAAGAGGUAAAAAAUUAGGAACUAUCAAGUUGAAAAAUAGAGUGUAUGGUAAAAAAUAAAAAAUAAAAAGAUAAAACAAACAACAUUUUAAAGUAAGGGUACAAUAGUUAUUAAAAUGAAUCACAAUAAAAGUUUUCUAAAAAUUGAAAAAAAAGAGGAAAAGUUUUUGGUAUGCUUUUAUGGUUUAGGGGGUAAAGGUUCAUAAUACUCGUCAUUUUAUCAUCUUUAUAGGAAAAAAAAUUUAGACUCAACUUUAUCACAACUCAUAUGAGUUAAAAAUUUCUUGAAUGUAUUUUCUCUCAAGUUUCUAAUGGAUACCCCUUUAUCAAAGGUGUGGACAUUGAGCUAAAUUCACCAUUAAAAUUCAUCAAGUUUCUAUUUUCCUUUUCCUAAUUCAUCAAGCUAUAUUUAUGAAAUAUCCUCAUUCUUCAUUAGUAAUAUCAUAUUGUCAAAAAAACCCUUAAUAGAUCUACACCUAUCACCAGUUAAUAGAUAAAAUAACUUAACAAUUAGUUUUAAGUUUUAAGGACUUUACAAGACAAGCUAAGAACCUCAUAUUGUUUGCACACAAUUGACAAGUUGAUUUGUUUUAAAAAGUAAAAUGCUAAAGAAAAUCCACAACACGUGUUGUUUUAAAAAUCUUUGUAUUUAUAUGACAAAAAAAAAAAAGAACCAAUAGUUUAAAUUGGAAAAGUUUAUGCAAAUUAGAUGAGGAAAAUGCAAGCCAUAAAAUAACAUUCAAACGUUAUCAUUCUCUAAGAAACAUCAAGAACAUAUUGAGAGAACCAUUACUCAACAUAAUAAAUUUGUCUUGAAAGGAAAAGAAAAUCAUCAAAGCAAUCAUAUUUGUGAUGCAUUCUGAUUUCCAUAGUGUUUCCAUAUUUACUAUUAGGAUAAAAAAAUGGAAGUUGAAAAUUAUGGCAAUUCCUUGAGACAAUGAAUUAGAGUAGUAGAAAAGGAAAAAAAAUAAAAAAUAAAGAGAAAAAUAUGGUGAGUGAAAAAUAUUUUAACCCCAUAAAUUUUUCUUUCACAUCUCUUUAAAUUUAUUAAUAUCAAUUCUUUUCUAAAUAAACAAUGAAAUUUUUGAAAUUUCUUGAAAUUUAAACAUAUUUACUAGUUGUAUCAUCUCCAGUCACCUAAAUCUCAAGAUGUUCUUCAAAUGAAUUAUAGACUUUAUUUAGAUAGGUAAACUAAGGGGACUCCCCCUCUAAGAACUGUAUAUAAGAAUUUCAUCUCAUACAACUCAAAUAGAAACACCUAAACACUAGAUGAAACGGAUAUAUAAUAGAAAAAUGUAUUUCAAUGGAUCCAAUUGGUAUUUUUCCUGUCUUAGAUAAACAAACAAAUUUUUCUUCAUUAAUCAUUGUAAGUAAAUUAUAUUUUAAUUUUAAAAAGUACUAAACUUUAUUUUAAUUUUCAUGUAGGAUCAACUAACUUAUCAUAAUUAAAAUUUGUCUCUAUGGCUGAAUAGAGCUUUGAUGUAAUAAUACUAUACAAAUUUCAAGUAACACUAAAUUAAUCAAAUAGGAAACUACAGUUACGUUUGAAUACAUAUUCUAUUUUUUAUUUUUAAAAUUAAAAUUUUGAUAUAAAAUUUUUUUUUAAAAAUAUUUUAAAAUAAUUUCAAAUACACAAGAUAUUGACUUUAUAUAUAUAAAAGUUCUUAUAUUUUAUAUAAAACUCUAUUUUAAAAAAAUAGAAAUAAAAAAAUGCAUUUAAACAUAUGCUAAAUUGUUAGAUUUCAUAGAUCCUACAAUUAAUAGUGAAAAUGAAGAUGAGAGAUAACUGACUGAACUAUGAAAAGGAAUUAAAAUUUAUGAGUUUCAAAAAUACUAGUUAAUGAAAGAGAUUUUGUGCCUGGAUGACUAAGAAAAAUGCUGAAAAAUGUGCUAUAGAGUGGCUUUUCCUUUCUCCUCUUGCUAUAUAUGCAUAUCAUCCCUCUUUUUUAUCUCGUUGAACUCAACAAAUUCUCAUUUGUUCUGAGAAAAAAAAGAGAUUAUGUUAUAUGAUGGUAGGACUUUAUUCUGUUAUGGAAUAUGCACACCCUAGAUCUAUUGGCUAGAGCUAUACAGUAGGUUGUUGGCUUGUUUAGCAUUGUCUCUUUUUUGGAUAGGUUUGGACAAUGCCUCUUGAUGUUGCUUUUUGGUAAUGUAUUUUUCUUUGAUUUUUCAUGAAAAAUUCCACAUUUUGAGAUUUUCACCAUAUUAGAGUCUUUGGAAUUGGUACUUGUCUUGACACAGUUAGUAGGAAUCAUUUUCCCCAAGCUACAUAACACAUGUCUGCUAAUUGGUAAUGUUCCAUUGGCAUUUAUAAACUCUCCUGUCAAAAGUGAAUAUGCUCUAACAUUUCAAAUAGUGUGGUGUUGUACAUAGGUUGGUAAUUGAGGAUUUUAUUAUGGAUUUUGUCCUAUUCUGGUCGUGCCAACAUGUUCUGUCUUGUUCUUUGUCUUACUGAUUUGGGUGGUUGCGCGUCAUGUUUCUACAAGCUGUAUUUUUAAGCUUCAGGAGCAAAGGUAUUUUGGUUCUACCAUUUAGAUGAUGGUACUAAAGCAUUUGUAUUAUGGAUUGCACAACCCCUUAUAUGGGAUAUCUUUGCACCAAUUGUUUGGUAAUCAAGAGAACUCUCAUAUUAAACAAAGUCAUCUUCUAUUAGUAAUAAUAAUAAUAAUAAUAAUAAUUGUGUGAUUUGGAUGCUUGUGAGUGACGAACAAUAGGGUUGUUUAGGUGUUGUUGGGUAUUGAAAAGUAUAGUAAUAAUAAUAGUAAUUUUUUUUUUAAAAAGUUUUAAUUUAGUUUAAGUAUACAAAAGAAAUAAAUUGUUAGAAUAGGAUUUGGAAGAAAUAUGAGUUUAUAAAAAAUUUGGAAAUUCAUUAAAUUAUAUUAUUAUUGUUUAAGAAGUUGAAAGUAAUAUGGGGUGGUAAUAAUAUUAUCAUACGAAAUUAAUUAGGAUCCCUAAUACUAAAUAAAAUAUCUUUAGGAUUGUCAAAUUUUUACCUUUAGAUAAUUGUGUAUGAUAUUAUAUUAGGUGGGGAGUAAAUUCAUCAAGCUAAAUACUUCAAGUUUUUGAGUGCUUCUUCAAGGUAAGGGAAAUUAAUGCAGAUUUUUAUAAAAGAAAAUAAUUUUCUUUUUAUAUUGUAUUUUGAAUUGUGUAAAAAUAUUAUUUUUAUCUUUACACAUGGAUCAAAUAUAUGUUUUGUAUGGAAAGUAUGUUUGAGCAUUUUCUUUAUUUAUGAAAAAUGAAAAAUUGAGGAGAUAUGAUGUUUUGUUUUGUAAGUUUGAAUUAAUGAAAUAAAGUGUUUGACUUUGGAUUAUAUGACCCUAGUAAACGAGUUAUAAUUGUUAACUUUUUUUGUCCUAGUCAACGAGUUAUAAUAGUUGAUAUUAUAUGGCCCUAGUCAACGGGUAAUAAUAGUUGACCUUAUGGUCAUAGUCAAUGGGUUAUAAUAGUUGACCUUAUGGUCCUAGUCAACGGGUUAUAAUAGUUGACCUUAUGACCCUAGUCAAUAGGUUAUAAUUGUUAACAUUUGGUUUUGUUCAUCUUAAAUGGAACAAAUUUGAAACUAGUUACUCAAUUGUGAAGUCCCACCUAAUUGGGCACCAUUUAUCAUACGAUAAUCAGAGUAAAGAUAUUUUGAAUGUAUUCGAUUUGGUUUUGAAGAGAAAUUGUUUUGAAAUGGAUAUGAGAAAGUUUUGUUAAAAAGUAUGAAUGUAUUAGCAUUUUGAACUCAAAAGUUUUUAUGAAAAUAAGUAUAUAUUAUAUCUCCUAUUUGCAAGCAUAAUUGAAAACGUUUGAUCCAUGAAACUGUAUUAAUGUUCCUUACUAUGCUUUGAGCUCAUCCCCUUUUGUUGAUAAUCUUUCAAGCAACCUCAGUUCGGGUGAGAAGUGACCGUUAUGAGGGAAAUUCGGCUUUAUUAGGACAUUUUUUUAAACUCUUUUUAUUUUGGAUAUUGUUUAGAUGUUAAAACUUAAUUCUUGUUUGAAUUAUUUUGAGUUUUGAGUUAUUUGGACAAUAACACUUUGGUUGAUGUAUUAGUUUUUUUUUUAAAGGUGAUACUUGGAGAUUUUAGAAUUUUGUCUUACUACUUUGAACAGAGAUUUGAUAAUUGGUAAAUUUCUAGUUAUAAUACGAAUGUUUGUGUCGCUUCCACUUUGAGCUUUUGGACUCGAGGUGUGAAAUGACCGUCAUGUCCUUGAAGUGGGUUUUGGGGCAUGACAUAGAGAGAUACCUAUAAGACUUUUUGGACUAUUGGGUUUGGAAUACUUGAAUUUAUUAUAUAAUUAUCUCGAUAGUCAGUUUCUUAAUUUGGAAAAAACGCAUAGAUUGAUGGUACUGAAUUUAUCACUUAAUUCUUUGUCAGGUCAGAUCCUAGAAAAUAUUUCCAAUCUUUGAAACCUAACGCCAUUGAACAUUUCAUAACAUUGCCUCUUUGGAAUGGUUCUAAAAGAGUGGGGCUAUUAGGAGGUUUCCAAGAGCAUUCGCAGGGAUCCAGAGCUAUUCGUGCAAUCCUUGGAUAAACAAUGUUAGAUAGCACAAGGACAUGCAAGCUUGAAAUAAAUAGAGGUAUUGUAGACCCUCAAUUUUGUCCCUUGACACUUGCAUUUUAUCCUAUGGGUGUCACAUGCACCCAUGCUUUCAUAUGAUUUCUCCAUGGCCUCCUUUUGGCCUUGAUAGGUUUCUGAGCCUUGUGUAGGUUCAUUUGCGGUCCAAUGUAGUGCGGGUGUGUAGUUCAUUUUGGAGUUCCAUCAUGGCCAAGUUCCUAGUUGUCACAUCAUGCUAUAGGGAAGGAAGUGAGGCCCCCCAAAAAUUUUAGUUCAGUUGGAAUUCAUAAGAGCGGGUUUGAAUUCAGAGCACUUGGGCUUGUUUUGAUCAUAUCUCCCUCAUCCGAACUUGGAAUUGCGCACCGUUUUUUUUUUUAUGGACUCCUUAUUCGUCAAGGAAAAUUUCAAAAUUUUUUUUCUCAACCAGCUUGACCGGUUCCCAAAGUUUGAGAUUUUUUCUCAAUCGGAUGAACCGGUUGGGAACCGGUUCAACAGGUGGCUUGGUGGCAGCCCCGUUUUAUAAAUGCUUUGCAUUGUUUCGGCCGGUUCUCCCUCAUCUGGGCUCAGAAUUGAGCACCGUUUGUUUUUUGGAUUCCUUGUUCUUUGAGGAAUCUUCUGGUAAAGUUUCAGAUUUUUUCUCAAUCUGAUGGACCAGUUGGGAACCGGUUCAACAGGUGGCUUGGUGGUAGCCCCGUUUUGUAAACGCUUUGCAUUGUUUCAGCCUGUUCUCCCUCAUCUGGGCUCAGAAUUGAGCACCGUUUGUUUUGUUGGAUUCCUUAUUCUCUGAGGAAUAUUUUUAUAAAGUUUAAGAUUUUUUAUCAAUCGGAUGAACCAGUUGGGAACCGGUUCAGCAGGUGGCUUGGUGGCAGCCCCAUUUUAUAAACGCUCUGCAUUGUUUCGGUCGGUUCUCCCUCAUCCGGGCUCGGAAUUGAGCGCCGUUUGUUUUGUUGGAUUCCUUAAUAUCUGAGGAAUCUUCUGGUAAAGUUUUAGAAUUUUUUUCUCAAUUAUUCGAGCCAGUUGGGAACCGGUUCAACCGGUUAUGCUAGGUAGCUCCAGUUUCAGCGUGUUUUAACCCCCAUUUUUGUUGUGGCUUGGGCCCUUAGACUCCAAGGCACUUGUAGGCCACCUUUAGGGUCUGAAUCCAAAUUUGGUUUGAAUUAAUGUGGGCCUACCUAUGAGUCGAGGGUAUUAUUGGCUAGGAAGGUUAGGGGGUUAUUGUGAAUGUUUGGCUUGGGUACAUUUUGAUGUUUGAUUAAAAAUGCUUGUAUCUAUUGAUUUGCCCUUGUUUGCAGCGCUUGGCUGGGGACCCGAGGUACGUACUUGACUUGUUGGGAAUUGGAUUCAUUUGCAUGCGUGGGGCUUGGAUAUGUUUGCUUGUUGUGUGUUUAUAUUGCUUGACUAACCUCUUAUGUAGCGCUUAGCUAGGGACCUCAGGUACACACCUUUUAGCUUUGAUUUGUGGAGACUAAGUGCACGCUAGAUACUGAGCAGGUUCGUGUGAUCUAUGUCAUUUGUUUAGCCUGAUUGAUCAAUUGAUUUUUGACCCAUAUGCUCCCAUGUGCCCAAUUCAUUAGUAGAGAGUAGAGACCGAGUUCCAGGCCUAAAGAGGUGCUCCCUCACAUGAGGUACCUUCCCAAUAGGUAACCUGAUCCCCGGACCCAGAAUCUAGUUUUCCCAGAUUGCUUUUUCCAUAUUGGAGUCAUUAAGGGUUUUUGUUCUUACUUGAUUUUCCCCUUUAUAAAAUAAAAAUAAAAAGUAAGUGGCGACUCCAAACAAUCCUCACCGGGAACGGAUUUUCCAAAACCCAAAAACACACUUACUUUCUUAUUCUUUUAAAAAGCGUGUCGCGUCGGCCCGUGGAUCGGGUGAGAGUCCACAAAUUGGUGACUCCACUGGGGAUCGAACCUAGGAUCUCUGGUUUCAUAAGAGAAUCAAGCUUGAACUUGAAUUGGGUAUAUUGGAGCACAUGGUUCUCUGAUCAGUAGACUCUUAGGCUACAUAGAUGACUAAUGAUCACGUACUUGAUUGGUAUCUGGCUUGCACCUUUGAUGUGUUGAUGCUUGUGUGUCCACUUGAUUGGUUUUAACAUGCUUGCUCAUUGUUGAUUGGUACUUAGUUAUGAGAUUUGGGAUUGUCAUAAAUGGUCAGAUUGUGUGUAGAUUUUAUGGUAGGCCUUGCCCUUUGCGCAUAACUGUUUGCUGCAUGGCUACACUUUUUCUUGCAUGACUGUUUGCCGCUUGUGUUUUGGGGCGCGCUUGUAUCCCCUUAUUUUCGAAUUACUAGUCUUGGUUGACUAUUCCUCAUUGAUUGCUUGAGUUGUUUGGGAGUCAUUCCCAACUGUUUGCCUUCGACCAAGAUAGGGGUUUGGGAGUAGGGUCUAGCAUAAGGGUUAUAUUGAUGUUUGGGAGCACUAUGAAGAUGAUGGAUAUCCGAGCAAUGAAGAUCUGUAUAGCCCUGAGCUGGAUUUCAUGGAUACAUGCGUGGCCAGUGUGUCGCUUUGAUUGUUGAUUGAUUGUAGGUUAGGAUCAGAAGUUGCGUAUCCCUGUGGGUACAUUCAUCUAGCUUGUAGGACUUGCCUUUUCCCAUUAUUAGCUUUUGAGCCACCUUACUUCUGAGGUAUCACCAUGUCAGAGUCCUGUUCCUACCUGUGGAGCCAUAUAUUGGAUUAGCUGUUGACAUCACAUGUCAGCUCAUUCCUUUAGAGGAUUUAGUUGUAAGAUUGCAUUACUAGAUUGAUUUAAGGAUUAAUAGUCACGGGAACUGACGUACCCCUUUCCUUUUGUAGGAUUGUUGAUCGAGACCGACUUGGGUUCUCGAGCUUGGAUCUAGAUCGGAGGUUGAUUGGUUAGAGGAUCAGAUCUACACAGUCAGUUAGAGCAGAUAUCAGAUCAUAGAGAUAUGGACCCCCAAUACGCCACUAUUGACCAGUUGACUGAGAUUACAGAUACCAUGGCAUCACUCCGGGAUGCUAUAUUGGGAUUGGGUCAGAGAAUAGAUGGGCACCAGGCCCAGCCAUUGCCGGUUCCGGGGAGCACCCCGCUUGACUCUACUGCACCUCCACCUCCACCAUUGCCAUCUAGGCCUACUAUACAGUAGGAUUAUAUAGUUCCAUCUCCGCCACCACCCCCAAUUUAGUCAGCCCCGUGGGCUAGGGCCUUUAUCUUACAUGGUCAGACUGAGACUACGCCACAUUCUGUUGUGUCACCUACACAGAUUGUUGAUGACACUCAGGCCCAUAUCGAUAGGAUUGAGCAGAGGAUCAGGUCUCUACAUGUUUUUGAUGGAUGGGUUGGGACGGAUAUGAUGACUUGCCAGUGGCAGCUUUGCUAGUUGAGUUCUGCAUGUCGGACAUUGAGAGGUACACGAGGAUAGGGUGCCCCUGUAUUCAUUUACAAUUGUAUAGCACUAUUAUGCGCUGGCAUAGAUUGGACAAGGCACAGAUGAUCAUGCUAUUCCUUCUGUCUCUAAGUGGUGCCGCUCAGCGUUGGUUUGCCUCAUUGGACCCUUCAAGGCACCGGACAUGGGCUGAUUUGGCACAGGAGUUUCUUAGACAAUAUUCUUUUAAUACUAUAGUGGAUGUAUCCCGAAGGGAGCUAGAGGCCCUCAAGCAAAGGCCAGAUGAGUCAGUUACUUCAUUCAUCUCCUGCUGGAGGGAGAAGAUAGCACAAAUUAUAGAUAGAUCCUCCGAGCGUGAUCAGAUCAGCAUGAUUAUGUGCAGUCUUCACCCUCGCUUUGCCAAGCAUCUCAUGGGCUUUCCACAGACAGACUUUGGAUCAUUGGUUCAGGUCCUCUAUGGCAUUGAAGAGGGCAUAGCUAGAGGAUUAUGGGUAGACUCUUCCCGUUCAAACUCAAAGGGGAAGAAGCCAGGGUCAGGAUCCAGGCCUUCAGAUGUUGGUACCAUUGGCACGAUAGGGCACAGGUCCCAUCGUCACCCUCCUUCUCAGAGACAGUUCUUAGACACUCUUUACCAGAUGAUACAACACGAUCAGUACAAACCAGUUGCUCCCUAUAGGCCGACAGGGCCUACUUAUCUAUAUCUGGCACCGUAGCCGAUAUAUGCUACAUAGGCUCCUUAGAGGCCACCUGUACAGUUCCAUCAGCAGUAUAGAGCACCGCCUCCACCGAGGUCGGCUAGGCAGUUUACAUAGUUAGAGAUUGGUUGAGGGGGGUUUGAUUGCUCCACUACCACCCAGACCAUCACCACAUCCUACCCCACUAGGAUUCAGGAUAGAUCUUCACUAUGCCUACCAUCAGAGAGCUGGCCAUGAUACAGACAAUUGUGCGAUGCUGAGGCACGCCAUUCAGGACUUGAUUAAUCAGGGUUUGGUUGAUUUAGGACGCCCUGCAGUGACUACAGACCCACUACCUACUCAUGACAUUAGAGCUGUAUCUUCACCCCCGGGGAACGUACAUUUGAUUGAUUUUUCAGGAGAUGAGAUAUUCAUGAUGGGGUGGGACGGAGAGGCUCCUCAACCUAUUAGUCUGUACGAGGACUCAGAUUUUAGUGGAUAUAUCCAUGGACAGUAAGCUCCCAGGCCAUUCAGAUUGAUCCCGAAUGAGAUUCCCCAACAGACAGCAGUAUCGUCGGUAUACUUACAACAUGUUCUGCCCAUGACACCCUUCAUUCUAUUCCUGGAAGAGUAUAGGCCCGUUCACAGAGAUGUUCAGAUUGUUACACGGAGUGGGAGAGUAGCUCAGCCUCUACCCUUUGAUAAGUCUUUUGUUGGCACAGAUGUUAGAGAUGAUGUUUAGAGAGAGGAUGAUGAGAUAUUGCACCAGCUGUGCACCACACAGGCUCGCAUAUCCAUUUGGAGCCUCUUGGCAUUGUCCAGCACACAUAGAGAUGCCUUGGUCAGAGCUCUUAGUUAGAUCAGAGUUGACACUGCUACUACUCCUGAUGGACUGAUUCACUUUCUGACGGUUGAUAAAGCUACAUGCAUUGUAUUUUCAGAUGAUGAUUUACCACCUAAGAGAUCAGAUCAUGUUUGACCCUUAUUCAUUGAUGUUGCUUGUUCAGGUUGUUGGGUGCCGUUUGUCCUGCUAGACAACGGCUCCGCCUUGAACAUAUGUACAUUGGUUACUGCCAUUGCUUUGGAAUUUUCACCAUCCGAUUUUGGGCCAUCUACGCAGACCUUCAAAGCAUACGAUGGGACUCAGAGGACAGUUAUGGGUACUCUCACUACACAUGUCAUGAUAGGGUCGGUCAGAUAUUCUAUACUCUUUCAGGUUUUGAGGAUCCAGACAUCCUUUAACUUACUUCUCGGCUUCCCCUAGAUUCAUGAGGCGGGUGUUAUACCAUCUUCCCUUCAUCAGAAGGUGAAGUUCAUACACGAAGGGUGCAUUAUCACGAUACAGUCAGACAGAGACGUUGUUACCUCUUCCAAGCCAGUGUUACAGAUCAGUCACAAUGAGAAUGACUUGCACUUGACCGGAUUUACUUUUGAUGAGGUUCAGGUUGUUAGUUUAGAGGAUGACAACAGAGACAUGGUACCUAUGUCUUUUGAUCAGUAUAGCGGCACUUUGGUACUCAGUAUGAUGAGAGGCAUGUCCUAUAUGCCUGGCUUGGGAUUGGGUCACCGCCAACAGGGGUCGUGCGAGUUUGCUUUCACAGUUGAUCAUGAUAUACCACAUGGAUUGGGUUACACUCCUUCUGAGGAGGAUGCAUGACACAUGGCGCGAUUGAUCCGAGAUAAGGUGAGAGCUCGCUUGUCCGAGGUUCCAUUCGAUUACCCCCUUCGCCCAUACACUUUUCAGUUGGCUGACUAUUUUGCCAAAGGAUUAGAGCAUGCACCCCACACAAAGGGAGUUGAUCGUGUUCAUGAGGUAGUUGAGAUUCAGGGUAUUCAAUAGGCCUUAGGACAAAUGUGUUUUGAGUUCUGAGACCACCGAGCCACCCAAGGCCAUGGUAGUUGCAUCCCCAUCGACAUUGGUCGUAUCCUUGACACAGCCCCAGGUGGGCCCCAUUAUGCUUUUGAUAUGUUUGGAGUUUCUAUGAUUAAUUCUGAUGGUGUGACACUUUAUGACGCUUGCACUGACACGAUGGACAUGAUCGGCACUGGCCGCAUUUUGGAUACUUCCCCACCUAGGCCCCGAUCCGCUUUUGAUGUGUUUGGGAUUUCUAUGCUUGAGUUUGAUGGUGAUGGACUUGUUGCUACUAAUAUUACUCAUGAUACUAUUUUUGUUGAGGGAGUGUUCGACUCUGUGGACCUACCUCUUUCUUUUGACACUAUGUCCGGGUUUGUCACCCGCUUUGAUGACAUUUCUGAUGGUAAUAAUGACAUGAGUAUUUUCGAGUAUUUGCCUGUGUCACAACAUUUUCCUUUGAUUGCACCACGAGCAUCCACAGCACAUGUAUGUGAUGUUGAUGAUGUGGAAGACACAGAUGACCCACUAAGUGGUCAGUCAGAGUGUGACUCUGAUUCAGAUACGGAGGAUAGGAAAGCUACACCCAUUUCUGGUAUCACUGAGUUGAUAGAUUUUGGGGCACCUAACUAGCCUAGGGAGCUUAGGAUUGGCUCUUCCCUAUCUCCCGAUGAGAGAAGUAGAUUGAUAGACCUAUUCAGGUCAUCCUUAGAUGUAUUUGCAUGGUCGUAUGAGGACAUACCGGGCCUUGACCCCACUAUAGUUCAGCAUCACCUGCCCAUUUUGCCAUAUGCUAGGCCAGUUAAGCAGAAAUUGAGAAGAGUACACCCUCGAUGGAGUUUGUAGGUGAAAGAGGAGAUUCAGAAGUAACUCAGUGUUGGAUUCUUGUCAGUGGUUGAGUAUCUUGAGUGGCUGGCUAAUGUCGUCCCUAUUCCCAAAAAGGACGACAAGGUUAGAGUUUGUGUUAACUUCCAAGAUCCGAACAAGGCCAGUCCUAAGGAUGAUUUUUUCUUCCAGCACAUCUGAUUCGUGCCCAGUCGGUGUAUCAGUUGAUUCAUGUCCAGCUAGUGCUCCUUGCUUGAGGAAGUAAUCAACAAAAUUUAUAACCUAUUACACCAUGAACUAGGGUAGCAAAGACAAAGCUACUAUAGCAUAGUGGCUCUAGGAUUGUUCACUGGGAAGGGUUUUUAAUUCAUAAAUGAUACCAAUUCAAAGCUGAAUUGGUGCCUUUUGAUUUCAAGGUUAGCUUUAAAAGAAAACAUAAUUUUUGGAUGAAAAAGGUUUGGUUUAAACUAACGGUAAAGAAAGUAAUGGAAAUUACUUAUGAAGAAAAACAUUCCUUGAAGGUUUAGGUUCACAGGGGAGGUUCCUCGUGCAAAAACAGAGCUCUGGUCAUUUGGUUCAUUUCCUCGCAUUAGAGAAUUAACAUAUAGUCAAUUCUCUAAUCGGCUCUGUACAGAUGCUUCCCUUUAAUGGGUUCAAACACUAAAUCACUCUCACUGAUGCACCUUGCAAUGGCUCAUACCUCUCACCUAGCACUUGCCAUUCAAGGUGAUCUUUAACCUUGGACUUCCCGUCAAAAGCUCGUAAGAGAUAACUAAUGGAUGUCUCCUUGGAGUCCAAAAGCUUACCAAGUGUUAGCUAUUCUAGAAAAUCCUACCUUCAAACCACCUCCCAAAGGCUCGCAAUAGAUAAACUAGUGCAUCUCAAUGGAGAUCACUUGCCUUAUCAAGUGUUGGCCUAGGUGAUUUAAAGGUGUUUUAAGUUAACUAAAAACAUAGAAAUCAUUAAUGGGUCAUACUUUCUCUUCAUUAAUGGCUGAAACCGCAAAGCUACUAAUUCUUGCACUUGGAACCUUUCCCAGCAACCUUAACUCCAAGGAACUAAAAGUCUAGCCACUCAUUCUCUGAGGAAACAUCCUUAGAGCUUGUUUGGCUAGUAAGAAAAUACAAUUAAAAUGAGAAGGUAAAGCAGAGCAAAACUUUGUAUUUUUCUUCCUUUUAAAAACUAUACAAAAGUUUUUUCGUCGUCCUUUUUUGGGAACAGGCUCCCGAGAGAUAUAUAUAUGGAAAAUUACAAAAUAUCUAUCUGAGGUUAUUCACCCUUUUUCCAAACUUAAUAACUAAGGAAUCCUAUAAUUGGUGGGUUACAAGGAGAUUUUGGGGAUUUAGACAACAAAUAUCUAAAGCAAAAUAUCUCAAAAUAUCCCAAAAUAUCGGUGGCAAAUAUUAGGACGCUUCAGGAGAACACCGCAGCACUGUGCAAAAUGGCUGCUCUUCCAUCCGGGUAGACGCUAUCAGAUGAUCCGGAUACGUCCGUCCGGAGAAGUUGAAACACUCUCCUUUUCUAUCCGACAUCAGAAUUCUGGACGUGAACAUCUGGGUGGAAGUGGUGGCAGUCGGGUACAAAUUGGCGGCAGCCGGGUGCAAAAUGGCGGCAGCCGGGUGCAAAUGGCGGCGCACAUCCAGAUACAAAUUAGCGGCAGUCGGGUGCAGAAUGGCGGCAGCCGGGUGCAAAUGGCUGCGCACAUCCGGAUACAAAUUGGCGGUAGCCGGGUGCAAAUCCUAUCUGGAUAUGUGGUCCGGAUGCUCUCCGAUGGUGUAUCCGGACGCCCUGUCCGGGUAUACUCCUUACAUAGAUUCCAAAUAACUCUCCUCAAUUUCAGAUUUGCUUUGGUGAUAAAAAAGCUAUCAAAACACCAAAACUUAACACAUUUUUUAUUAGAAUUGAUUGCAAGGUCCUUAACAUGCCAAUUGAGUUAAAAGGUGAUAACUACUACUCAAAAGUGUUUAAAAGAGUUAAUUACAAGCUAUGAAAUAGCACAUUUUGAGUAGUAAUCACUCCCCCUAACCGACAUAUUGCUAGUCCCUUAGCAAUGAAAGAGAGAAAAAAUAAAAAUAAAAAGUACUGUAAUUUACAACAUCAUGCUGAUAAAAAAAAAACAAUUUCCAAGCGGCAUGAUGAUCUAACUCUCACAUGGAAUAUUAAAGAAAUAAAACUCAAACUUCAACAAGAGUUAUCAAAAAAUUUGUCUAAUCACAAUUCUUAAAGAGAAGGCUUUAUGCAAAUUUAAGCUUUAAAAGAGUUUCCACUCCCAAAGGGUCAAACCUUACUCUUCCACAAAAAUCUAAGUGUUACUUGAUAGCUUCCGAAUAUAGUAUGUUGAACUAAUCUCUCCCCCCAACCUAACUCUUUUCCAACACUUAGUAAACUGACCAAAUUCAAUAGGCUAAGAACGCACCCUUUUAUUUCACAUUUAAGGUAUUCUUUUCUAAAUUGUCCAUGUAACGGGGGUCCAUCGAUGACUCCCAACCAAUUAAGGUUUAGGGCAUCAAGCUUUAAGGAUCUUUCAACCACUAACUCCUCGAAUUUUACCCCGGACUUUUGAGAAUGAAUUUUUAUACCCAAGCACCUACAGUAUGUUAAACUCCACCUAUUCACCCUUGUAACGAGCAUUGAGGUCGGUGACUCCCAACCAACGAAGGCUUAGGGCACCAGGUUUUAAAGAUUUUCACCAUAUACCCCUCAGACCUUGCUCGGGUUUCAAGGCAAGCAAACAUUUUUUUAUUUUUUUAUUUUUUAUUUUUUUAUUUUUUUUUCCCAAAGGCUCAUUGGCCUUUUACAAGGUGUCCUAACACUAUUAAAUGAGGGCAAAGGUACCAAGUCUAAAAUUUUCUUAAGUCAAGAGGGAAAUAGUUUUUCAUCUUAUACUCGGAACUUAUUGUGCACAGUGUGUGAAUAGCUUAAAGUGGAAGACAUAAGCUUGAAUUCAAUAGAAAUUUCAACAAUUCAUCAACUUUAAUAAGCAUAAUACAAACUCUAAGUUAAGUAAAAAGACAAAAAUUCAAUUUCUCCCAUUUCAUUUUGAAAAUUUUUCCUUAAUAACCAUGGAGAGUAGAAUAAAAACUUAAAAAUUAAGCAAAAAACAACUAAAUUACCAAAAUAGCUUAGCAUUAAUAACAAAAACUUCCUUCCUCAACUCCCCCCCCAACCAAGCUGAACAUUGUCCUCAAUGUGACAAAGCGAUUAAAAAAUAGGGAGAAAGUGGUACCUCCUGAGUGGCGUGAAGUCUGAGAUGUAUAGGAGAAACCACAUGUUUCAAAAAAACAAUAAAAGAUAUGAGUAGAGGAAUUAAAAUAAUAUAAUGCUAAGUGUGGUCACAUACAACCAAUCCCACUAUAUAACACUAAAAAGAUGGGGAUUUCAAAAAGGAAAUACAUAAAGUAAAGUAUGUAAAUGAUCAGAAAUGGGGAGGAUGAUGCUGGUAAGCUGAUGACUCAGGCAUGGGGCUCUGCAGUGGUAGGGGUGAGAUGCUCAAUAGCUGAUGGAAGACCCAGAUGGUGCUGAAGCUGACUCAGGAUGGCAGUGUGCUGAGUCUGGGUGGUCAAAAUCUGCUCCUGCUGAGAACGAAUAGCUGACAUCUCUUGAGCAAGGCUGCUCUGAGUCGCGGUCAGUGUCUGCAAUGUGUGGCAUAGGUCUCUAUACUCUGAAAUGGGUAUGGUCAUUCUAAGCUCGGUUGAAGUAGAAGGCUCUGAUGCAGCUGGAAUAACUGGCGGGGUGCUAUGGGUGGCAGGAAAAGCAGAGGGUAUAUCCUCAUGUAUGGGCUCUGUAGAUGCUCUCCUGGCAGCUGGUAUCUCAGCUGGCUGUGGGUCCUCUGACUGCUGUGGCUGUGGAAGCUCUGGAUGCUUUGUUCUAUAUGCUGUCAUAUUGGUUCACUUGUCGAGAGUGAAUACCUCUCGGCAUAUGCGUUUGCGCUCCAACUGAGGGUCUGAUGGAUACCCCAGAUGCUCCAAAAUUUGGCAUAGCAAUCUCGGGAAAAGAAGUGGAAUAGCAUCUGCUCGCAGCAGCUUCUUCCUAUGCACCUUCUCUUCAUAGUAGAGAAGGACAGCCAUAAUUAGAUGGUGAGGGCCAAAGAAAUAUCCCUCUGAUAUCCUAAACAGGGCUUCUAGCAGAACUCCUCUCCUCUGCACCCAAUGCUGAAGUGGAUAAAUGUUGUGGCGCAAGAGUGCAUCAAUGAAGAACAUGCUCGGAGGAAGUUCCUUCCUCAACAGAUAUGGAUUUGUGGAUGUUCCUCUGGACAAGAGAUGAACCAUUUCAAGCUGGGGAGGAUUAGUCCAUACUCGAUAAUCCUCUAGACGGGCUGGCUCAUAUGGAAUAUGCAGGGCCUCUGCUAUGUGGCGAGCUCCUAAAAUACAAUGACGUCCGUCAAUGGUGAAGUGAAUAAGAGUAGCAUCUCUGACCUGAUUAGUAGUCAUGGACUGAUAGAGUUCCGUUGCUACUCGGGGAUAGAAAAAAUCCCUGGGGGUCAACAAAUGCUCCAUGCGAUAUCUGUGCAGUAGAUGGAAUGAGUCUGCUAGCUCCGGCUGAAGCCUGAAGGUGGCUGUGUCAAAACACAGCUCAGAGUGAAAUGGUCGAGCUCGGCAGUCCAAAUUCCCUUCAAUGGGCAGCUGAGGCUCCACCGGAGGUUCUAAAGACGACGCCAGAGUUGGGUCUGGCGAGGGCUCUAGAGAGGGCUCCGUUAAGUCGAUUGGCUUUGCAUUUACUACCCUGGGUUUCUUUUGAGGGGGACGGCCACCUGACCUGGUCUGAUAACGCCUCGCCGGAUGACUCAACGGCAUGGGCUUGGCCGAAGGUGGGGCGGCUACUUGUCGCGGAGGCUCUAAUGUGGAGCCUUGAAUAGGCGCCUUUCGCAAGACUCUCAUGCGGCUUGACGGAAAUGAUGACUUUGCUCCUCUGGUUCGCGCCAUGGCGGACUGAAGAAAAUGGCCGGAGGUGAUGGCCGAUGGCUCGCGCGGCUUCGGGCUCAGGUGAAAGAGAAAACAGACGGUUGCUCUGAUGUUCUUCCUUUCUGAACCCUUUUGGCAGCUUAAAUGACCGAUUUUUAUAAAAAUAAAGGAAUAUCAAGGGUCGUUUUCACAGCUCAUUUCGCAACUGCGAAAUGAGGGGAACUGUGCUGCGAAAUGGCACUCGUGUGCCAAGAGGGUGCUUCACAGCUGCGAAAAUUUUCGCAGAGAGGGGCCUGAGGUUGCGAAAUGAUUUCACAAAGGCUUCUUUUAGGUUGCGAAAUCUCGCAGACCUCUGUUUUUCCCCUGUUUUACACUCUUUCUUGCUCCAAACGACUUUCCUUUAAUUUCUUUGCAAUUCCUCCUACAUGAGAUCAUUUAGAAAUACUAAGUUACAUAUAAAUACACAACUUAAGACCAAAAAUCACAAGAAUUGAUAAAGCUUGAAAUUAACAAAAUUAACAAAAACAAACAAAACAACAAAAAAAAAAAUUAUGGACUUUGGUGAAACCAAGUCCAUCUAACCCUUAUUUGAUUAGGCUUUCUGUGGCUCAAGGAGGUUGAUUUCCUCCUUUUCUGGUUUGAAUGGCUCAAUGAAUGGCUUGAGACGAUGACCAUUGACCUUGAAAAUGUCAGUGCUUUUGGAAUUUAGUAAUUCCACCACUCCAUUGGGAUACACUUGGUGAAUAAUGAAAGGGCCUAUCCACCUUGACUUGAGCUUUCCUGGAAAGACAUGGAGUCUUGAAUCAUAAAGCAAGACUCUUUGUCCUUUAUGGAAUUCUUUGUUGGAGAUUAAUUGAUCAUGCCACCUCUUCAUCCUCUGUUUUGCAACUUUGGAAUUGAUGUAAGCAUCAUUUCUUAAUUCCUCCAUCUCAUUAAGGUCUAAGCACCUCUUUGCCCCAACUCUGAUCAAGUCCAUGUUUAACUUCUUGAUUGCCCACCAAGCUUUAUAUUCAACUUCCACAGGGAGAUGGCAUGCUUUGCCAUAGACUAGGCGAUAAGGAGACAUACCAAGAAUAGUCUUGUAAGUUGUUCUGUAUGCCCAUAGUGAAUCAUGAAGCUUAAUAGACCAAUAUUUUCUGCUCGUGAUCACCACCUUCAUCAGUAUAUUCUUGAUUUCCCUGUUUGCUAGCUCCACUUGCCCGGAAGUUUGAGGAUGAUAAGGUGUAGCUACCUUAUGCUUCACUCCAUACUUGGCUAAUAGGGUUUCAAAAGAUUUGUUGCAAAAAUGAGUACCUCCAUCACUGAUUAUGGCCUUGGGCACCCCAAAUCUUGAGAAGAUGUUCUCCUUAAGAAAUUUGAGAACCACCCUGUGAUCAUUAUGUUUACAGGGGAUUGCCUCAACCCAUUUAGAAACAUAGUCUACCCCCACCAAGAUAUAAGAGUUACCAAAAGACAUUGGGAAAGGUCCUAUGAAGUCAAUACCCCAAACAUAAAAAAGAUCAACUAUUAGAAUGGGGUUCAUAGACAAUUGAUUUCUUUUUGUUAGCUUCCCAAGCCUUUGGCAUCUAUCACAGCUCCUACACAUGAUGUGGGAAUCUUUGAAAAGAAAUGGCCAAGGAAACCCUGAUUGCAACACCUUCAUGACUGUUUUCUGAGAGGCAAAGUGGCCUCCACAUGCAUUUUCAUGGCAAUGGCUGAGGAUCCCUUGUUGCUCUUCUUUAGGGACACACUUUCUUAUGAUCUGAUCUGCACAAUACUUGAAAAGGAAGGGCUCUUCCUAAUAAUAAGCAUGAAUCUUUGCAAAGAAGUGCUUCAUGUCUUGUGCAUUCCACUCACUUGGAACUUCACCAGUAACUAAAUAGUUAGCAAUAUGAGCAUACCAAGGAGCUUUCUCUAGCAACAUAAGUGAUUCCUCAGGAAAGUCAUCAUUAAUAGGUAAGACAUGGGAAUUGUGUGCUAUAGCCAACCUUGACAGGUGGUCAGCUACCACAUUCUCCACCCCUUUCUUGUCUCUGGUCUGGAGAUCGAACUCUUGUAACAAAAGAAUCCAUCUAAUCAGCCUUGCUUUUGCAUCUUGCUUCGUCAAUAAAUACUUCAAGGCUGAAUGGUCAGUGAAAACAAUGAUGAAAGACCCUACCAAAUAAGCACGAAACUUGUCUAAGGCAAACACCACAGCUAACAAUUCUUUCUUUGUAGUUGUGUAGUUCCUUUGAGCCUCGUUCAAUGUUUUGCUUGCAUAGUAGAUCACGUAGGGCUUCCCAUCUUCUCUUUGGCCAAGUACAGCUCCUAUAGCAAAGUCACUGGCAUCACACAUCACUUCAAAGGGUAGUUGCCAGUUAGGAGCCCUCACUAUUGGAGCGGUUGUUAAGAAUUGCUUCAGUUGAUCAAAGCUAUUUUGACAUCUCUCAUCCCAGACAAACUUAGCAUCCUUAGCCAAAAGCUCACAAAGAGGUUUUGAAAGAUUAGAGAAAUCUUUUAUAAAUCUCCUAUAGAACCCUGCAUGGCCAAGAAAUUGCCUUAUUUCUUUCACAGUUGUUGGGGACGACAAUUUGACAAUAAGCUCCACCUUUGCCUUAUCAACUUCAAUGCCUUUCUCGGAGAUGAUAUGGCCAAGGACAAUUCCUUGACGUACCAUAAAAUGACAUUUCUCCCAGUUGAGCACCAAGUCCUUCUCAAUGCAUCUGUUCAGAACUGCUUCCAAAUUGACUAAGCAUUCCUCAAAUGUACCUCCAUAAACGGUGAUGUCAUCCAUGAAAACCUCCAUAAUUCGCUCCACCAUAUCACUGAAGAUACUAAGCAUACAUCUUUGGAAUGUUGCAGGUGCAUUGCAUAAACCAAAAGGCAUUCUUCUGUAGGCGUAUGUUCCAAACGGACAUGUGAAAGUGGUCUUCUCCUGAUCUUCCACAUCAAUUUCAAUUUGGAAAUACCCUGAGUACUCGUCCAAGAAACAAUAAAAAGGAUGGCCUGAGACUUUCUCUAGCACCUGAUCAAUAAAUGGGAGUGGAAAAUGAUAUUUCCUUGUCACAACAUUCAACUUUCGAUAAUCAAUACACACCCUCCAACCUGAAGUGAGGCGUGUAGCAAUUUCUUCUCCUUUUUCAUUCUGAACCACAGUAAUCACUGACUUCUUUGGUACCACUUGAGUAGGACUCACCCAAGGGCUGUCAGAUAUGGGGUAAAUAAUACCUGCUUGAAGUAGCUUCAGCACUUCAGCUCACACCACCUCUUGCAAAUGAGGAUUCAAUCUUCUUUGAGGUUGACGAAUUGGUUUAGCUUCUUCCUCCAUAUAAAUGUGAUGUGUACAAACCAAAGGGCUAAUGCCUUUCAAGUCAGAUAUUUGCCAUCCUAUUACUUUCUUACACCUCUUGAGAACUUCAAGUAAAGAAAUUUCCUGAUGACUAGUAAGAGAUGAAGAUAUAACAACAGGACAUUGAUUAUUUUCUUCAAGGUAUGUAUAUUUCAGCUCCACAAGCAGAGGCUUCAAAUUGAGCUUUGGGGUCUCUUUUUCAGCAGCUUCUCAUUCCUCUUUAUUGAACAAAGGUAGAAUCUCUUCUCUCCUCCUCCAACCUUGUAGAGUAGCAAGCACAUUAGGGGGUUCAGAAAACCCUUCUUCAAGAUCCCCAAGACUUUCAUUCAGCUUGUCUUGCAUAUUCUGAUUACAGUGCUCCUCCACUAGAGUGUCGAUAAUGCAUACCUCUUCUGGAUCUUCUUCUUCUUCCGGAGUGAUUUGCUUUUUAGACAUAUGAAAAAUGUUGAGUUCAAGUGUCAUAUUGCCAAAAGUGAGUUGCAUGAGUCCAUUCCUACAAUUGAUGAUUGCAUUUGAAGUAGCAAGGAAUGGCCUUCCAAGGAUGAUAGGAACUGAAUUAGCUUCCUUUACAGUAGGAUCUGUAUCAAGAAUAACAAAAUCUACUGAAUAGUAGAAAUUAUCAACUUGAACUAAGACAUCCUCAAUUACCCCCCUUGGAAUUUUUACUCAUCUAUCUGCUAGAGAUAGGGUGAUUGAUGUUGGCUUCAACUCACCAAGUCCCAAUUGCUUAUAGACAGAGUAUGGUAGCAAAUUCACACUUGCUCCCAAGUCUAACAAAGCUUUCUCCACUACCUUUCCUCCAAUCAUGACUGAAAUGGUAGGACAUCCCGGAUCUUUGUACUUCAAAGGAGACUUGCAUUGUAUGAUUGCACUUACUUGCUCAGUCAAGAAGGCUUUCUUGUUCACAUUCAACCCUCUUUUGAUAGUACACAGGUCCUUUAGGAAUUUUGCAUAUGUUGGAACUUGCUUAAUCAUAUCCAGCAAUGGAAUGUUGACCUUCACUUGUCUCAAUACUUCAAGGAUUUCUGAUGCAUUUUUUAUCCCCUUUUUCCCAUGCAAAGCUUGAGGAAAAGGUGGAGAUAUACGUUUCUUCAUCAAUUCUUCCUUAAUAAGCUCUUUCUCCAUAUUUGCAUUCACUGUUGAAUCACGGUCCUCCUUCUCUUCACUAACAUCUUUCUGUUUUCCUUUCAUUUCCUCCCCCUUCUUUGUUUCUUCUUCUUCUUCAACAUGUGGCUUGGGUGUUGGUGGCUCAACCUUUUUACCACUCCUUAGAGUGAUCAAGGCUUUAACAUUUUUCACCUGUGACGAUUCUCCCUCAUGGAUUUCCAUUUCAUGGAUACCCUUGGGGUUUUGGUGAGGUUGAGAAGGAAAUCUACCCUUCUCUUGCACUGUGUUCAAGUUAGUGAGCCUUGAUAUUGAGUAUUGGAGAUUAUCUAUCUUUUGAGAUAGAUGAUUUUGCAUCCCAUUCAUCCUUCUCUCUACACUGUCAAUUCUUUGACUGAGUUGAGCAUUGAUGGCUUUUUGGUCUCCAACAAAAUCUUCCACAACCUUGCUUAGAUUCGCUAUUGCUUUUUCAAGACUUGAAGAUUGUUGAGAUAGUUGAGCCGGUUGAGAUGGUGGAGCCGGUUGUUGGUAUUGAGGUGCUCUUGCCUUCCAUGAGAAAUUUGGAUGAUUCCUCCAACUUGAGUUGUAAGUAUUUCCAUAUGGUGCAUUGUUAUUGGGCUUGAAUUGACCAACAACAUUUGCUUGAUCUCCAAACAUUUCCCUUACAGUUGGAAUUGUAGGGCACUCCUCCACCAAGUGUUCAUAAGACUGACAAAUAGGACACAACUUUACUUGCACUGGUGCUUCAGCAACAGCUUGCACUUCAUGCAUCUUUUUCAGUUCUAGCUCCUCCAAUCUUCUUGUCAUAGCUGCAAAUUUUGCUUUCAUAUCAUCAUCUUCAUUCAAGGUGUACAUCCCAGCCUUAGCAUUGAAAGCACUCGAUUGAGACUUCAUCUUUCCCACUUCUCCUUUGUUGGGUUCAUCCCAUCCCCUUGAAACUUCAGCCACAUAACUCAAGAAAUCCAUAGCUUCCUCAGGAUUCUUACUCAUGAAAUCCCCUUCACACAUUGUUUCAAGGAGUUGCUUCAUUGAGGAAGACAUCCCAUCAUAAAAAUAGCUCACCAACAGCCAUGUAUCAAAGCCAUGGUGAGGACAAGCAGUUAUGGCUUCUAUAUAUCUUUCCCAACACUCAUAGAAUUUCUCAUUCUCUUUAGCUGAGAAGUUUGAAAUUUGCCUUUUCAAGCCAUUUGUUCUGUGAGUAGGAAAAAAUUUCUUGAGGAAUUCAGCUUGUAAGUCAGUCCAAGUACGGAUACUCCUUAGCCUUAAAGAAUUAAGCCAGAUCUUGGCCUUAUCCUUUAAAGUAAAAGGAAAUAGCUUAAGCCUCAUCAAGUCGAUAGAAGCUCCUUCCUCUCGGAAUGUAUUACAAACAUCUUCAAAUUCUUUGAUAUGGGCAUAGGGAUUCUCACUUUCCAUUCCAUGGAAAGUUGGUAGAAGUGGCACAAUAUGAGGUCUGAUCACUAGCUGCUCUGUAGGGGGCACUAUACAUGAUGGUGCACUCAUACGAGGUGGAUGCAUUCGGUCCCUCAUUGAGAUGAAAGCAUUGGGAUUAUCCUGGUGACCAUGGUGACUAUGCUGAUCUUCAGGUGUAGCUUCCAUGAUAUUCAAGCUCAAUUCCAAUUCCUUGUUAUGAGGUUAUCAAGUUUAACAAGCCUUCUUCCACUGUCUCGUAUCUAAUUUGGCAUACACAACUAGUAUCGAUUGUAACUAAGAAAGAAAAACAAAAAUAGAGGAAAACAAAAAAAAAACUACCAAAAAGAGUUCGAUUAACUAAAACUAAAUUAAAAACUAUGCUAGUAUAUAAACGAGUAAAAGAAAAAACUAAAAGAGUUAGUAAAAUGAGAGAAAAUUCACUAAACUUGUGAUGAAAACCACAGGUACCUUGAAAUAAUAUCACUAUGAAGUUGGCACCUUCCCCGGCAACGGCGCCAUUUGAUUCGUGCCCAGUCGGUGUAUCAACUGAUUCAUGUCCAGCUGGUGCUCCUUGCUUGAGGAAGUAAUCAACAAAAUUUAUAACCUAUUACACCAUGAACUAGGGUAGCAAAGACAAAGCUACUAUAGCAUAGUGGCUCUAGGAUCGUUCACUGGGAAGGGGUUUCAAUUCAUAAAUGAUACCAAUUCAAAGCUGAAUUGGUGCCUUUUCAUUUCAAGGUUAGCUUUAAAAGAAAACAUAAUUUUUGGAUGAAAAAGGUUUGGUUUAAACUAAUGGUAAAGAAAGUAAUAGAAAUUACUUAUGAAGAAAAACAUUCCUUAAAGGUUUAGGUUCACAGGGGAGGUUCCUCGUGCAACAACAGAGCUCCGGUCAUUUGGUUCAUUUCCUCGCAUUAGAGAAUUAACAUAUAGUCAAUUCUCUAAUCGGCUCUGUACAGAUGCUUUCCUUUAAUGGGUUCAAACACUAAAUCUCUAUCACUGAUGCACCUUGCAAUGGCUCAUACCUCUCACCUAGCACUUGCCAUUCAAGGUGAUCUUUAACCUUGGACUUCCCGUCAAAAGCUCGCAAGAGAUAACUAAUGGAUGUCUCCUUGGAGUCCAAAAGCUUACCAAGUGUUGGCUAUUCUAGAAAAUCCUACCUUCAAACCACUUCCCAAAUGCUCGCAAGAGAUAAACUAGUGCAUCUCAAUGGAGAUCACUUGCCUUAUCAAACUAGUGCAGUCGGGUACAAAUUGGCGGCAGCCGGGUGCAAAAUGAUGGCAGCCGGGUGCAAAUGGCGGCAGCCGGGUGCAAAUGGCGGCGCACAUCCGAUACAAAUUGGCGGCAGCCGGGUGCAAAUCCUAUCCGGAUAUGUGGUCCGGACGCCCUCCGAUGGUGUAUCCAGACGCCCUGUCCGGGUAUACUCCUUGCAUGGAUUCCAAAUAACUUUCCUCAAUUUCAGAUUUGCUUUGGUGAUAAAAAAGCUAUCAAACACCAAAACUUAACACAUUUUUUAUUAGAAUUGAUUGCAAGGGUCCUUAACAUGCCAAUUGAGUUAAAAGGUAAUAACUACUACUCAAUAGUGUUUAAAAGAGUUAAUUACAAGCUAUGAAAUAGCACGUUUUGAGUAGUAAUCAACAUCGAUAUGCUAGUUGACAGCACUGCAGGGCAUUCGAUGUUGUCCUUCAUGGAUGGAUUUUAUGGGUAUAACCAGAUUGUAAUAGCUCUAGAGGAUAUGGAGAAGACUUCUUUCAUCACUAAGUGGGGUACUUAUUGCUACCUGCUUAUGCCAUUUAGGUUGAAGAAUGCGGAAGCCACUUAUCAGAGAGCUGCUACUACUUUAUUCCACGACAUAAUGCACAGAGACGUCGAGGUAUAUGUGGAUGACAUGAUAGUGAAAUCCCGAGACAGGGCAGAUCACUUAGCAGCACUACAGAGAUUCUUUGAGAUGAUCUGACAGUUCAGGCUAAGAUUGAAUCCCAAGAAGUGUACAUUUGGGGUGACUUUUGGGAAAUUGCUAGGACAGAUCGUCAAUGAGCGUGGUAUAGAGGUUGAUCCCGAAAAGAUCAGAGCCAUACUUGACAUGCUUGCUCCGAGGACUGAGAGAGAGAUUAAAGGCUUUCUUGGCAGACUACAGUAUAUAAGUUGUUUCAUUGCUAGAUUGACAGACAUAUGCGAGCCUAUCUUCCUUCUUCUGAGGAAGAACCAGCCUACAGUUUGGAAUGAUGAUUACUAGCGCGCUUUCCAGAAGAUUAAGGAGUGUCUCCUCUCUUCUCCAGUUUUAGUGCCUCCCACACGGGGGUGGCCUCUGCUUCUGUACUUGUCCGUUUCAGACAUGGCUUUGGGAUGCAUGUUAGCUCAGCUCGAUGAUUCAGGGAAGGAGCGAGCCAUUUAUUAUCUGAGUAAGAGGAUGCUGGAGUAUGAGUGCAAAUACAUUAUGAUUGAGGGCCUCUAUUGAGCAUUUAUUUGGGCCACCAAGAGGCUGAGGAACUACGUGACAGAGUAUUCCAUAUUAUUAGACUCACGAUUGGAUCCAUUGAGAUAUUUGUUUGAGAGGCAUGUCCUGACUGGUAGGCUCAUGAGAUGGUUGGUGCUGUUGACAGAGUUUGAUAUUUAGUAUGUUACACAGAAGUCGGUAAAAGGGAGCAUUGUUGCAGAUCAUUUGGCUUUUUUUCCCGUAUCUAACGACAAACCGAUUGACGAUGAUUUCCCUGAUGAGCAGUUUGUCUUAGUGACCAGUAUUGCAGGAUGGUGGUUAUACUUUCAUGGUGCUGCCAAUCAGUCGGGGUUUGGUAUCGGUAUCCUAUUGAUAUCACCACAAGGUGAUCACAUUCCCAUAUCAGUCCGAUCGGCAUUCUUUGAUCAUCAUCGACUGACGAAUAAUAUUGUUGAGUAUGAGCCGUGCAUUACAGGUUUGUAGACUGCGCUAGACCUUGGAGUCAGAUAGUUGGAGAUCCAUGGGGAUUCCAACUUGGUUAUUCAGCAAACUUAGGGUAUUUGAAGGACUUAGGAUGAGAAGUUAAAGCCCUAUCAUGCUUAUUUGGAUUUGUUGGUUGAUAGGUUUGAGCAGUUGAGAUAUAUACAUCUGCCUAGGGCAGAAAAGUAGUUUUCUGAUGCAUUAGCCACCUUAGCUUCUGUGAUUGAGAUUCCUGCGGGAGUGAUAGUGUGACCAUUGGUGAUUGAGACUAGGUCCGCACCAGCUUACUGUUGUUUGAUUGGGGAUAUUGAGGACCAGGAUGAGUUGCCCUGGUAUCAUGACAUUUAUCAGUUCUUGUUAUGUGGCGCUUACCUUGAGUCAGCCUCAACCAAGGAUAGGAGAGCUUUGAGGCAGCUAGCCACUAGAUUCGUGAUUUGUGGAGAGUCCUUCUAUAGACGAUCACCCGAGGGCUUAUUAUUGCUGUGUUUAGACCAUACCUCUGCAGAUAGAGUAAUGAGAGAGGUUCAUGCAGGAGUUUGUGGCCCACACAUGGGGAGACAUAUGUUGGCCCGAAAGAUUAUGAGGACAGGUUAUUUCUGGUUGACUAUGGAGGUAGAUUGUUGCCAGUUCGUUCAGAGGUGCCCAGAGUGUCAGAUGCAUGGUGAUCUCAUUCACGUGCCACCUUCGGAGUUGCAUGCACUCACAUCCCCUUGGCCAUUUUCAGUGUGGGUUAUUGAUGUUAUUGGAAAGAUCUCACCCAAGUCUUCUAGCGGGCAUGAGUAUAUCUUAGUUGCCGUUGAUUAUUUCACCAAGUGGGUGGAAGCUGCUUCUUAUGCUAGAUUGACAGCGGCCAAGGUGGCCAAAUUCAUCAGGUCACAUAUUAUCUACCGAUAUGGGGUCCCCCCGAGCUGAUUUCUGAUAGAGGGUGUAUUUCAGGGGCGAGGUGGAUAUAUUGAUUAAGGAGUAUAGCAUUUAGCAUCACAGAUCGUAUGCGUAUAGGCCGCAGACUAAUGGGGCAGUUGAGGCUGCAAAUAAAAAUAUCAAGAGGAUUUUGAGAAAUAUGGUCGAGACUUCUCGGGAUUGGUCAGAGAAGCUCUCUUUUGCAUUAUGGGUUUACCGUAUAUCUUUUCGUACUUCUACCGGGGCUAGCCUGUAUUCUUUGGUAUAUGGUAUGGAGGCGGUGCUGCCUGUUAAGAUUGAGAUGGGAUCCUUGAGAGUAGCAUUAGAGCAGCAAAUAUUUGAGACUGAAUGGGCUCAGUCCCAUUAUGACCAACUUAGUCUUCUAAAUGAGAGGAGAUUGAGGAUAGUAGAUCAUGUUCAAGCUUAUUAGAGGAAGACGACUCGUGCAUUUAGAAAGAGGGUUAAGCCUAGGAAAUUUCAGAAGGGUGACUUAGUCUUGAAAGUCCUCAGGGGAUUGAUCAGUGACCCUAGAAGCAAGUUUAGACCGACUUGGAGCGGGCCUUAUGUUAUUCGAGAUUUGACCCGAGAGGGAGCCGCCUGGCUGACGGACUUAGACGAAAAUCAGUUUAAGGAGCCAGUCAAUGUGGAUCAGUUGAAGAAGUUUUAUGCGUGAGAUCAUGGUUAGAGGAUGGGUGGCCAUCAUUUUUUAGUAGCCAUUUUUCUUGUUGCACACCCACACAUUGAUAUAUCCUAUUGCUAGCCUGUUGUGCCUCAUGUGGUUUGUUAUGGCCUAUUCAUUCACUUAGCCUUGCAUACAUUUUCUCACCUGGGUUGGGGGCCUGUCCUUUGCGCUUUACAUUUAUUGAUUGGAUCUGUGAGUAUCGUGAGCUUUCUGUCAUUGUUCAUGUGUUCUUUCUUUGGUCAUUCAUGGUUUCUUCUUUCGUCCAUUGUGCAUUUUCAUUUCAUCUGGCUUUGAGUUCUGUUUCUAUCAUCUCGACUCUAUUCGCUUCUGUUUUCUCUUAUGUGAUGAUAACACGCUCUUGUCUUGGAGCUACAGGUCAGGCCUUUCACACCCUUCAUUCCACUUGUAGUCUUUGAUCUAGGAUUCUUAGGUUGAGGUGGGACCAUUUGGGAUGAGAGUUUUGAGGUUCUUUUGGUUGGACUAUGCUAGUGUGGCAUUCAGCUAGCUUUGGUUAUUUGGCGCAAAAAAAAAAAAAAAAAGAAGUGCUUAUUUGGUAUUUGUUGUUAUACUUGGGAUUAUCAGAGAUCAUUUGGGUUUGAGAGAUUUAUUAUUCCUCUGAGAGUUGGAUGAGAGCAUUGUACAAUCCUUCUCCAUGGAUUUGGGUGACACAUUGGGAGUAAGGUUUGGGUUUCUUUGGCACUCGGUCCCCUGGAUCAUUGUUUACAUCACCUUUCCCAUCUUACAGUGACUUGCUUCAGUCUGGCGUUCUUGGGAUGAGUUGUUCAUCGUUGUCACAUAUUGCUACAUUUUUAUCCUAGCUUGUUCCUCCAUUUUCUACUACAUCCAAUCAUCAUUUGUCUUAUCCCUUUUCGCCUUCUUCUAUCCUCAUCGAAUGUCGUUUAGCUUUAUGAACGACGAGUUCUUUGGUGCACAUCACCUAUUGUUUGACAUUAUUCAUUUGGAUGUAGGUUGAGUCACCUUGCUCACUGAUUUCGUGCCCAGCUGGUGUACCUUGAUUUUGGUCCUUAGAUAGGAGUAAUCAACAAAAUUUAUAACCUAUAUCACCAUGUACUAGGAUAGCCUCAGCUAACAUAGCAUAGUGGCUCUAGGAUCGUUCACUAGGAAGGGUUUUCAACUUGCAACUGAUAAUAAUUCAUAGUUGAAUUGAUGUUUUUUUUCAUUUCAAGGUUACCUUUAAAAGAAAACAUAAACUUUGGUUUAAAAAUGAUUGGUUUUAAGCUAACUAAAAAUAGAGUAACAAAAAUGACUUAAGUGGAGCUAAUAUCCUUGCUUUCUUCUUAGGAGGACGGCUAGUUGACUUCUUUGCACGAGAAGAGCUUGCCCCGAGUGUGGUGGGUGAUCUUCUUGUCUCAUAUCGCCUCGAAUGAGAACUCAAAGGCGCGCCCUCUACUGAAGGUGGGACGACAAGUGGCUGUGAAGGCUCAAUCAUGGAGCCUUGCAUAGGGGCCACUCUUGGUGCUCUGGGAUGGCCUGAGGGAGAUGAGGUCUUGGUUCCUCGGGUUUUUGCCAUGGCUGACUCAGAGAGGUUUGAGAGAGGGUGGUCGGAGGUGCGUGCGCGGCUUGGGCUCAGAUGGAGGUCCUCUGGAAAUGGUGCUUUGGCUUGGCUCCUAUUUUGCACCAAAGGGAGGUUUUCGCAAGGCAAAUGACCGGUGUAAAGUGAAAAAAAAUGGAAUUUAAAAAGUUAAAUUAGAAGCCAAGUGACGGUUGAGAUUUUUCGUAGAGGAGCGGGCAUUUCGCAGCGGAGGCCCAUUUUCACAGCCAAGGACCAUUUUCGCAGCCCAUUUUGCAGCUGCGAAAUGAGAAAGUGGGGCUGCGAAAUGGCACUCGUGUGCCAAAGUGGGGUUUUGCAGCUGCGAAAUGGAGCUUUGGCUGCGAAAUUGAGCUUUUGAGGGCCUUGGAUGGUUUCACAGAAGGUUUCGCAGUUGCGAAAUGAAGGCUUGGGCUGCGAAAUGACACUCGUGUGCGAAAAGAAGGUUUCGCAGCUGCGAAAAUUUUGGCAGAAGAGGGCUAUGGGGCUGCGAAAUUGUUUCGCAGAGGAGGACCCAUUUCGCAGCAAACCCUUGAUUUCACAGCGAGUCCCUUUUGGCUGCGAAAUUAUUUCACAAAGGAUGGUCGUUUUCGCAGGGGGCUAUUUUGGGCUGCGAAAUUUUGCAGGCCACUGAAAUUUCUUGUUUCUGAGCUCCUUUUGGCUCCCUGAGACCUUCCUUCACCUCUUUUGCAAUUCCUCCUAAAUUAGAUCAUUCAAAAAGUCUAAGUUACAUAAAAAUAACAUAAAUUAAGACUAAGAUUAAAAUCAAAACAAUUAAUAAAGUUCUUAAAUUAACAAAAUUAAACAAAAAAUAUGGACUUUGGUGAGACCAAGUCCAUUUAACCUCUUUCUGAUUAGGAUUUCUGUGGCUCAAGGAGGUUGAUUUCCUCCUUACCUUGCUUGAAUGACUCAAUAAAUGGUUUGAGACAAUGGCCAUUGACUUUAAAGGUGUUAGUGUUGUUGGAAUUCAGUAAUUCCACCACUCCAUUGAGAUGCACUUGGUGAAUAAUGAAAGGGCCUAUCCACCUUGACUUCAGCUUCCUAGGAAAGAUAUGGAGCCUUGAUUCAUAGAGUAAGACUCUUUUUCCUUUUCGGAAUUCUUUGUUGGAGAUUAACUGAUCAUGCCACCUCUUCAUCCUCUGUUUUGAAACUUUGGAAUUGAUGUAGGCAUCAUUUCUUAAUUCCUCCAUCUCAUUAAGGUCUAAGCACUUCUUUGCCUUGGCUCUGAUCAAGUCCAUGUUAACCUUCUUGAUUGCCUACCAAGCUUUAUAUUCAACUUCUACAAGGAGAUGGCAUGUUUUGCCAUAGACUAGGCGAUAGGGAGACAUGCUAAGAAUAGUCUUGUAAGCUGUUCUAUAUGCCCAUAGUGAAUCAUGGAGCUUAAUAGACCAAUCUCUUCUGCUCGUGUUCACCAGCUUCAUCAAUAUAUUCUUGAUUUCCCUGUUUGCUAGCUCAACUUGCCCGGAAGUCUGAGGGUGAUAAGGUGUAGCUACCUUAUGCUUCACCCCAUACUUGGCUAAUAGGGUUUCAAAAGGCUUGUUGCAAAAAUGAGUACCUCCAUCACUGAUUAUGGCCUUGGGCACCCCAAAUCUUGAGAAGAUGUUCUCUUUGAGAAACUUGAGAACCACCCUAUGAUCAUUGUGUUUACAGGGGAUUGCCUCAACCCAUUUAGAAACAUAGUCCACCCCCACCAAGAUAUAAGAGUUACCAAAAGACAUUGAGAAAGGUCCCAUGAAGUCAAUGUCCCAAACAUCAAAGAGAUCAACUAUUAGAAUGGGGUUCAUAGGCAUUUGAUUUCUUCUUGUUAGCUUCCCAAGCCUUUGGCAUUUAUCACAACUCCUACACAUGGUGUGGGCAUCUUUGAAGAGUGAUGGCUAACUAAACCCUGAUUGCAACAUCUUCAUGGCUGUUUUCUGGGAGGCAAAGUGGCCUCCACAUGCACGCUCAUGGCAAUGGCCGAGGAUUCCUUGUUGCUCUUCUUCAGGGACACACUUCCUUAUUAUUUGAUCUACACAAUACUUGAAAAGGAAAGGUUCUUCCCAAUAAUAAGCAUGAAUCUUUGCAAAUAAGUGCUUUCUAUCUUGUGCUUUCCACUCUCUUGGAACUUCACCAGUAACUAGAUAGUUAGCAAUAUGAGCAUACCAAGGAGUUUUUUCUAGCAACAUAAGUGAUUCCUCAGGAAAGUCAUCAUUAAUAGGUAAGACAUGGGAAUUGUGUGCUAUAGCCAACCUUGAAAGGUGGUCAACUACCACAUUCUCCACUCCUUUCUUAUCUCUGAUUUGGAGAUCGAAUUCUUGUAGUAAGAGAAUCCAUCUAAUCAACCUUGAUUUUGCAUCUUGCUUUGUCAAUAAAUACUUCAAGGUUGAAUGGUCAGUGAAAACAAUGAUGAAGGACCCUACUAGAUAAGCAUGAAACUUGUUUAAGGCAAACACUACAGCUAACAAUUCUUUCUCUGUGGUUGUUUAGUUCCUUUGAGCUUCGUUCAAUGUCUUACUUGCAUAGUAGAUCACAUAGGGCUUUCCAUCUUCUCUUUAGCCAAGCACAACUCCUAUAGCAAAGUCACUGGCGUCACACAUCACUUCAAAGGGUAGUUGCCAGUUAGGAGCCCUCACAAUUAGAGUAGUUGUCAAGAAUUGCUUCAGUUGAUCAAAACUCCUUUGACAUCUUUCAUCCCAUAUAGACUUAGCAUCCUUAGCCAAAAGUUCACAAAGAGGCUUUGAAAGCUUAGAGAAAUCUUUUAUAAACCUCCUAUAGAACCCUGCAUGGCCAAGGAAUUGCCUUACUCCUUUUACAGUUGUUGGGAAUGACAAUUUGACACAAUAAGUUCCACCUUUGCUUUAUCAAUUUCAAUGCCUUUCUCGGAGAUGAUAUGGCCAAGGACAAUUCCUUGCUGUACCAUAAAAUGGCAUUUCUCCAAGUUGAGCACCAAGUCCUUUUCAAUGCAUCUAUUCAGAACCGCUUCCAAGUUGACUAAGCAUUCUUCAAAUGUACUUCCAUAUGUGGUGAUAUCAUCCAUGAAAACCUCCAUAAUUUGCUCCACCAUAUCACUGAAGAUACUUAGCAUACAUCGUUGGAAUGUUGCAGGUGCAUUGCAUAAACCAAAAGGCAUUCUUCUAUAGGCAUAUGUUCCAAAUGGACAUGUGAAAGUGGUUUUGUCCUGAUCUUCAAUAUCGAUUUCAAUUUGAAAAUACCCGGAGUAGCCGUCCAAUAAACAAUAGAAAGGAUGGCCACAGACUCUCUCCAACACUUGAUCAAUAAAUGGCAAUGGAAAAUGAUCCUUCCUUGUCACAGCAUUCAAUUUUCUAUAAUCAAUACACACCCUCAACCCUGAAGUGAGGCGUGUAGAAACUUUUUCUCCCUUUUCAUUUUGAACCACCGUGAUCCUUGACUUCUUUAGUACCACUUGAGUAGGACUCACCCAAGGGCUGUCGGAUAUGGGAUAGAUAAUACCUGCUUGAAGUAGCUUCAGAACCUCAGCUCGCACCACCUCUUGCAAAUGAGGAUUCAAUCUUCUUUGAGGUUGAUGAAUUGGUUUAACUUCUUCUUCCAUGUAUAUAUGAUGUGUAUAGACCAAAGGACUGAUGCCUUUCAAGUCAGAUAUUUGUCAUCCUAUUGCUUUCUUACACCUCUUGAGAACUUCAAGUAGACACAUCUCCUGAGGAGUAGUAAGAUAUGAAGAUAUAACAACAGGGCACUUUUGAUUUUCUUCUAGGUAUGUAUAUUUCAACUCCGUGGGUAGAGGCUUCAGAUUGAGUUUUGGGGUCUCUUCUUUAGCAGCUUCUUGUGCCUCUUCUUUAUUGAACAAAGGUAGAAUCUCUUCUCUUAUUCUCCAACCUUGUAGAGAAGCAAGCACAUCUGAGGGUUUAGGCAACCCUUCUUCAAGAUCCCCAAGACUUUCAUUCAACUUGUCUUGCAUUUUCUUAUUACAAUGCUCCUCCACUAGAGUGUCAAUAAUGCACACCUCUUCUGGACCUUCUUCUUCUUUCGGAGUGAUUAGCUUUUUGGACAUAUAGAAGAUAUUGAGCUCUAGUGUCAUGUUGCCAAACGUGAGUUGCAUGAGUCCAUUCCUACAAUUUAUGAUUGCAUUUGAUGUAGCAAGAAAUGACCUUCCAAGGAUGAUAGGAACAUAAUCCGUUUCCUUGACAAUUGGGUCUGUGUCAAGAACAAUAAAGUCUACUGGAUAGUAGAAAUUAUCAACUUGAACUAAGACAUCUUCAAUUACCCCCCUUGGAAUUUUCAUUGAUCUAUCUGCUAGAGAUAGAGUGAUUGAUGUUGGCUUUAAUUCACCAAGUUCCAAUUGCUUGUAGACAGAGUAUGGUAGCAAAUUCACACUUGCUCCCAAGUCUAACAAAGCUUUCUCCACUACUUUUCCUCCAAUCAUGAUUGAAAUGGUGGGACAACUCGGAUCUUUGUACUUCAAAGGAGACUUGCAUUGUAUGAUAGCACUCACUUGCUCAGUCAAGAAGGCUUUCUUAUUCACAUUCAACCCUCUUUUGAUAGUACACAAGUCCUUUAGGAAUUUUGCAUAUGUUGGAACUUGUUUAAUCAUAUCCAGCAAUGGGAUAUUGACUUUCACUUGUCUCAAUACUUCAAGAAUUUCUGAUGCAUUUCUGAUCCCUUUUUUCCCAUGCAAAGCUUGAGGAAAAGGUGGAGAUGUGUGUUUCUUCAUCACAUCUCCCUUGAUGAGUACUUUAUCCGGAUUUGCAUUCACUGUUGAAUCAUGGUCCUCCUUCACUUCACUGGUAUCUUUCUUCUUUCCUUUGAUUUCCUCCCUCUUCUCUGUUUCUUCUUCUUCUUUUUCUUCCUCUUUAACAUAUGGCUUGGGUGUUGGUAGCUCAACCUUUUUACCACUCCUUAGAGUGAUCAAGGCUUUGACAUCUCUCACCUGAGAAGAUUCUCCCUCAUGAGUUUCCACUUCAUGGAUACCUUUGGGGUUUUGGUGAGGUUGAGAAGGAAAUCUACCCUUCUCUUGCACUAUGUUCAGGUUAGUGAGCCUUGAGAUUGAAUAUUGGAGAUUAUCUAUCUUCUGAGAUAAGCCAUUUUGCAUGUCAUCCAUCCUUUUAUUCAAUGUAUUCUCUACACUGUCAAUUCUUUGACUAAGUUGAGCAUUGAUGGAUUUUUUAUCUCCAAUAAAAUUUCCCACAACCUUGCUUAGAUUCACUAUUGCUUGUUCAAGAUUUGAAGCUUGUUGAGAUGGUUGAGCUGGCUGUUGGUACUAAGGUGCUCUUGGCUUCCAGGAGAAAUUUAGAUGGUUCCUCCAAUUUGAGUUGUAAGUAUUUCCAUACAAAGCAUUGUUGUUGGGCUUGAAUUGUCCAAUGACAUUUGCUUGAUCUCUAAACAUUUCCCUAGCAGCUAGAAUUGUAGAGCACUUCUCCACCAAGUGCUCAUAAGAUUGAAAAAUAGGACAUGGCUUGACUUGCACUGGUGUUUCAGCAACAGCUUGCACUUCAUGUAUCUUCUUCAGUUCUAGCUCCUCCAAUCUUCUUGUCACAGCUGCAAACUUUGCCUUUAUAUCAACAUUUUCAUUUAAGGUGUACAUCCCAGCCUUAGCAUUAAAGGCAUUCGGUUGAGACUUCAUCUUCUCCACUUCUCCUUUGUUCGGUUCAUCCCAUCCCCUUGAUACUUCAACCACAUAACUUAAGAAAUCCAUGGCUUCCUCCAGAUUCUUACUCAUGGAAUCUCCUCUACACAUUGUCUCGAGGAGUUGCUUCAUUGAGGAAGACAUCCCAUCAUAAAAGUAACUCACCAAUAGCCAUGUAUCAAAACCAUGGUGAGGAUAAGCAUUGAUGGCUUCCAUGUAUCUUUCCCAACACUCAUAGAAUUUCUCACUCUCUUUAGCUGAGAAGUUUGAAAUUUCCCUUUUCAAGCCAUUUGUUCUGUGAGUAGGAAAAAAUUUCUCGAGGAAUUCAACUUGCAAAUUAGUCCAAGUCCGGAUACUCCUUGGCCUUAAAGAAUUAAGCAAAAUCUUGGCCUUAUCCUUUAAAUUAAAAGGAAAUAGUUUAAGCCUCAUCAAGUCGAUUGAAGCUCCUCCUUCUUGAAACGUAUUACAAACAUCUUCAAAUUCCUUGAUAUGGGCAUAGGGAUUCUCAUUUUCAAUCCCAUGGAAAGUUGGUAGAAGUGGAACAAUAUGCGGUCUAAUUACUAGCUGCUUUGUAGGGGGCACUAUACAGGAUGGUGCACUCAUACGAGGUGGAUACAUGAGGUCCCUCAUUGAUCUGAAUGCAUUGGGAUUGUCCUGGUGACCAUGGUGACUAUACUGAUCUUCAGGUGUAGCUUCCAUGAUAUUCAAACUCAAUUCCAAUUCCUUGUUAUGAGGUAUUUCAAGUUUCACAAGCCUUCCUCUACUAUCUCGUAUCCAAUUUGGCAUACACAACUAGUAUCAACUGUAAUAAAAACAAAAACAAAAGAAAACAAAAGAAAACAAAAGAAAACAAAACUACAAAAAGACUAAGAUUAAUUAAAACUAAAUUAAAAAAAAUGCUAAAAUAUGAACAAAUAAAAGAAACAAUUAAAAGAGUUACUAGAAUGAAAGAAAAAUCACCAAACUUGUGAUGAAAAUCACAAGUACUCUGAAAAGAUAAUAUCACUGUAAAGUUGGCACCUUCCCCGACAAUGGCGCCAUUUGAUUUCGUGCCCAGCUGGUAUACCUUGAUUUUGGUCCUCAGAUAAGAGUAAUCAACAAAAUUUAUAACCUAUAUCACCAUGUACUAGGAUAGCCUCAGCUAGCAUAGCAUAGUGGCUCUAGGAUCGUUCACUAGGAAGGGUUUUCAACUUACAAUUGAUAAUAAUUCAAAGUUGAAUUGAUGUUUUUUUUCAUUUCAAGGUUAGCUUCAAAAGAAAACAUAAACUUUGGUUUAAAAAGGAUUGGUUUUAAGCUAACUAAAAAUAGAGUAACGAAAAUUACUUAUAAAGAAAAGUGUUUCUUGGAGUUUUAGGAUCACUGGGAUCAGGCUCCUAAUACAAAAACAGAGUUCCGGUCACUUGAAUCUUUUCCUCGCAUUAGAGAAUUAACAUAUAGUUAUUUCUCUAACCGGUGUGGUACAGAUGCUUCCCUUUUAUGGAUUCAAACACUAAAUCCCUCUCACUGAUUCAUCUUGCAAUGGCUCGUGCCUCUCACCUAGCAUUUGUCAUUCAAGGUGAUACUUAAUCUUGGAUUUCCUUUCACAAGCUCGCAAGAGAUAACUAAUGGAUGUCUCCUUAGAGUCUAAAAGCUUACCAAGUGUUGGCUAUUCUAGAAAAUCCUACUUUCAAACCACCUCCCAAAGGCUCGCAAGAGAUAAACUAGUGCAUCUCAAUGAACGGAGAUCACUUGCCUUACCAAGUGUUGGCCCAGGUGAUUCAAAGACGUUUUAAGUUAACUAAAAACAUAGAAACCAUUAACGGGUACACUUUCUCUUCAUUAAAAGUUGAAACAACAAAACUUCCAAUUCUUGCAUUCGGCACCUUACCCAACUACCUUAACUCCAAGAGACAAAAAGUCUAGCCACUCAUUCUCUGAGGAAACAUCCUCAUUUGUCUAGUAAGCAAAAUACAAUCAAAGUGAGUAGGUAAGGCAGAGCAAAACUCUGUAUAUUACUUCCUUCAAAACUAUACAAAAGGUUGUCUUUAAGAACAAACUCCCGAGAUGUCUGUGUAAAGAAAAUUACAAACCAUAUAUAUGAGGUUAUUCACCCUUUUGUUCUUACUUAUUAACUAAGGAAUCCUAUGAUUGGUGGAUUACAAGGAGAGAAUGGGGAUUUAAACAACAAAUAUUUGAAGAAAAAAAUCUAAAAGAGUCGGUCGCAAAUAUCUGGAAGCACUCAGGUGGAUUUCGCAGGCAUGCAAGAUGGGCUGCGAAAUUUCGCAAGUUGAAAGUCUCCAUUUCGCAGCCAAAGGUUGAUUUCAACUUUUAGCUUGGUGUGAUUGGCUUCCAAUGACUAUAACUCCUUCAUUUCAGCUCCAAUUCAUGCACCGUUUGAAGCGUUAGAUUCCUGACUUCCCAAGCUUCGAAACAACAUAUAGUAUGCAUGAAAUGGACUCUAGAAAGUGCUCUAAAUGUGUCCAAAGUUGUUGUCCUCUUGAAUUCUUCAUGUUAGAUUUCUCUCUUUGCUUUCCCUCAUUGCAUUCAUGAUUUGCUUUUGGAAAAGGACUAUAGAGCUUCAAAACUUGGGUUCUUAAUGUAAAUGAGCUUUCAAUUGCUUUGCCAUGGAUUCUAUAGAACUCUCCUCAAUCUUGAAUUGCUUUGGUGAUAAAAAAGCUAUCAAAAACACCAAAACUUAACACAAAGUGAUUAGAAAUGAUUGCAGAGGUACUUAAUAUGCCAAUUGAGUUAAAAGGUAAUAACUACUAUUCAAAAGUGUUUAAAAGAGUUAAUUAUAAACUAUAAAAUAGCACUUUUUGAGUAGUAAUCACUCACAUGAUUCUAUGAUAUUUGGCAUUGCAUACAGGGGUUUGGCAUUUAGUUAUUGGGUAUUUGGGCCUUUGUGUCCCAUCAUUUCAUUCACCUGUCACCCCUGGCCUACAUUACGGUCCGAGUCGUAAGACCACCCUGAGGCCAUGAGAUCUCGUAUCUGCUUCGAUGCGGUUCAUUCGGAUAGGCUCCAUCUACUGAUUGAGUACGGGAUGUCAACAGGUCUCCAUUGCUUCAGGGAAUAUCGAGGGUCACAUAUUGCCUUUCCAUUCAGUUUGCUUGCCUCAAGUCCAUGAUCAGAGGCAAAUGAUACAGAGAGUUGGGACCGUUGAAAACGUCUUUGCUUGAUGCUUUGACAUGUUCAUACUAGGGCAUACCCUCAUCCUUGCAUACUGGCUUCGACUCUUACACAUGUACGCAGGCAGUUCGUUUCGCCUAGAGAUGUUUUGGAUAUCAGAGUUUAAGUAAGCCCCACAUUCAACUUGGUUUCUUCAUACAGCAGAGUGCUUUUGGGAGCUGACCUGAGAUCAAAUUCACGGUAUUCAUUGACCCAGCAGGAGUGUGCACACCCGGGCAUACCCCAUUCAUUGUCUUGUUCGCUAGCUCAGACAAUUGGGUCUUCAAUGAUGUAUUUCAGAGUUUUCAUUGAGAUAUUUGAGUUUCAGAGGUAAACAUUGGGGCAUACCCCUUAUCAGUUUUUUUGUGGAUAUUGGAUGUUAUGGAUUAGGGUGGAGGGUUUUUCCUCAUGGAUGGAUGUUUGUGAUAUUUCCAGCUUUUUGACUUUGAAUCUAUGUGCAGUUGUGGGUUUCUAACAUGGUUUUGAUGCCUUAGACUGGAGCAUGGCCCUUUCUUUGCACUUUUGGUCACUUUUAAGAGUUGUCAUACAGGGGCAUACCCCCCAUCUUUCUAUCUUGUUGGUGGGGUUAUUCAUUUCUUGUUUAUCGGCGUUUUCUGAUGUCACACUAAGGCACACCCCCUUUCUUUCGUCAUGAUUGACGGGUUUGACUUUUCUCUUAUUUGAUUCAUUUAUUGACAUUUUUCGGACGCCACACUAGGACAUACCCCCCUUUUUCAUGGUGCCAUUACUUUUCAUUUCCUUUCAUUUCAAUGGCUCUCUAGCAUCGUGCCCGGAUCCCCUAGUCAUUUCGGCGGCUCUCUAGCAUCGUGCUCAGAUCCCCUAGUCAUUUCGAUGGCUCUCCAAUAUUGUGCUCAGAUCCCCUAGUCUUUUGGGGGCUUACCCGCAUCAUGCCCGGAUGCCCUGGUCAUUUCGGCUGCUCUCCAGCAUCAUGCUCGGAUCCCCUAGUCAUUCGGCGGCUCUCCGGCAUCAUGCCCGGAUUUCCUAGUCAUUUCGGUGGCUCUCCGGCAUCGUGCCCAGAUCCACUAGUCAUUCCGGCGGCUCUUCGACAUCGUGGCCGAAUCCUUUAUUUUUCGGCAUCGUGCCCGAAACCCCUAUUUUUCGUCAUCGUGUUGGAUUUUCUUUUAUCUUUCUCGGCAUCGCAUACUGAUUUCCUUUGUUUUCUCCGGCAUCAUGCCCGGAUCCACUAGUCAUUCCGGUAGGUCUUCGACAUCGUGCCCAAAUCCUCUAUUUUCCGGCAUCGUGUCCGGUUUCCUUUUAUCUUUCCCGGCAUCGCGCCCGGAUUUCCUUUGUUUUCUCCAGCAUUGUGCCCGGAUCCCCUAGUCAUUCCGGUGGCUCUUUGGCAUCGUGCCCGAAUCCCCUAUUUUCCGGCAUCGUGUCUGGUUUCCUUUUAUCUUUCUCGGCAUUGUGCCCGAAUUUCCUUUGUUUUCUUCGGCAUUGCGCCUGGAUCUUAUAUCUCUCCCGAAAACGCGUCCGAUUUUCUCCUAUCUUUUCUGGCACCGUGUCCAAAUUCCUUUAGCUUUCUCCUGCAGUGUGCCUGGGUCCUUUAGUCCUUCGGUCAUCAUGGCUCAUUCCCUUAGCCUCUUUAUGGUUGUGUGGGGACAAAAUUGUUGGUCAUUGGAAUUCUUCACUAGAGUUCAUUUCACUCAUUCAUUCUUGCACUUUGCAUUCGUGACUCACUCGUUCAUUCACUCUACUAAAGAGGGGCAUAUUUGUAAACCCUCAAUUUUGUCCCUUGACACUUGCAUUUUAUCUUAUGGGUGCCACAUGCACCCAUGUUUUCAUAUGACCCCGCCAUGGCCCCUUUUUGGCCUUGAUCGAUUUCUGAGCCUUGUGUAGGUUCAUUUGCGGUCCAAUGUAGUGCGGGUGUGUAGUUCAUUUUGGAGUUCCGUCAUGGCCAAUUUCCCUAGUUGUUCACAUCAUGCUAUAGGGAAGGAAGUGCAGCCCCCCAAAAAUUUCAGUUCAGUUGGAAUUCAUAAGAGCAGGUUCGAAUUCGGAGCACUUAGGCUUGUUUUGAUCAUAUCUCCCUCAUCCGAACUCGGAAUCACGCACCGUUUUUUUUUAUGGACUCCUUAUUCAUCAAGGAACAUUCUGUAAAAAUUUCAAUUUUUUUUCUCAACUGGCUCGACUGGUUCCCAAAGUUUCAGAUUUUUUCUCAAUCGGAUGAAUUGGUUGGGCACCGGUUCAACAGGUGGCUUGGUGGCAGCCCAGUUUUAUAAAUGCUUUGCAUUGUUUCGAUCAAGUCUCUCUCAUCCAAGAUCAAAAUUGAGCUCUGUUUGUUUUUUUGGAUUCCUUAUUCUCUGAGGAAUCUUCUGGUAAAUUUUCAGAUUUUUUUCUCAAUCGGAUGAACUAGUUAGGAACCGGUUCAACAGGUGGCUUGGUGGCAGCCCCAUUUUAUAAACGCUUUGCAUUGUUUUGGCCGGUUCUCCCUCAUCCAGAAUCAGAAUUGAGCACCAUUUGUUUUUUUAGAUUCUUUAUUCUUUGAGAAAUCUUCUGGUAAAUUUUCAAAUUUUUUCUCAAUCGGAUGAAUCAGUUGGGAACCGGUUCAACAGGUGGCUUGGUGGUAGCCCCAUUUUAUAAAUGCUCUGUAUUGUUUCGGUCGGUUCUUCCUCGUCCGGGCUCAGAAUUGAGCGCCGUUUGUUUUGUUGGAUUCAUUAUUCUCCAAGGAAUCUUUUGGUAAAGUUUUAGAUUUCUUUUCUCAAAUGGUUGAGCUGGUUGGGAACCGGUUCAAUCGGUUUUGCUAGGUAGCUCUAGUUUCAGCGUGUUUUGACCCCCAUUUUUGUUAUGGCUUGGGCCCUUAGGCUCCAAGGCACUUGUAGGCCACCUUUAGGGUCUGAAUCCAGAUUUGGUUUGAAUUAAUGUGGGCCCACCUAUGAGUUGAGGGUAUUAUUGGCUAGGAAGGUCGGGGGGUUAUUGUGAAUGUUUGGCUUGGGCACAUUUUGAUGUUUGAUUAAAAAUGCUUGUGUCUAUUGAUUUGCCCCUGUUUGUAACGCUUGGCUGGGGACCCGAGGUACAUACUUGACUUGUUGGGAAUUGGAUUCAUUUGCAUGCAUGGGACUUGGAUAUGUUUGCUUGUUGUGUGUUGAAUUGAAGCCCCAUUUUAGAUGAAGUGGCACACUAAAACCCAGUGAACAUGAGCUCUAAAAUGCAUACAUUCAAUUUCUUUCCAAACAACCAGCGAUAAGCAGAGCCCCAUGCAAUUCGUAGAGUUCUCCUCAUGCAAUUUAUAUCAGCAAUGUAGUCUCAAGUACAUUCUCGGACCUCACUCUAGCAUUGGCUACCUUGGUGCACCUUACCCUCAUAAUUUUUUUUCUUUUCUUUGUGAUCUUACACAUCUUAAAUCUGGAUUUCAAAACCUUUUUCCAUCAAAAUAACUCUACUUUUCUUUAAAAUUCAUUCCUUAGGAGUUUCUAGGCAUAAAAUCCAAAUUUUAACAUACUAUUUGCUGCAAUUUUCCUUCUAGCACGCGUUCUCACUAUUUUCUACUAAUUUUCUUGAUUUUCUUGUUUUUCCUAAACAAGCAUGAAUAAACUUCAUGAUUCCAAAUAAUGGAACUCAUUAAACCAAUUCAUGCAAAAGUAAUUUGGACCUUGGUGGGUGGCGCGACAUCCAUGAAUUUUUUUUUAGAUAUUGAUUCAAAUGAGGUGUUUGCUUGAUAUUUAAUUGAAAUUGAUCCUCUUCAUGAUACAUGAGUUUGUUUUAUAGUUAUUUUUGAACUAACCAUGCUCCCCAUUAAAGCGCUUAGCUUGCUACUCUUGUACGCUAUCUAUCACCUAAUUUUCAGAAUUCUAUGAAUAUGCAUAUUAUUAUGAGCUAUAUCUAUGUUCAAUUCUAUCAUUGGAUGCCUAAAUGUUUGUUUUAUUUGCUCUAACAAAAUGCAUGUUGUGUGUCAUAUUUGUAAGCUAACUUUGAUGUCUUAUGAUAGUGCUUGAGGAGCAAUCUAGGUACACACCCUAACUCUCCUUUAUGAUUAUGAUUUGAUUUAUUAUUGGGCAUGCUUGUUUUGAAAUCACCUUAGCCUACCUAGGCAUUCAUAAUCAACUUAUUAAUUGCCACAUUUACCUCAAUUUAGUCAAUAGAGACCUUUUUAUGGCUUAGAGAGGUACUACCUCUUUGAGGUACCUUCCCAAAAGGUAACUUGAUCGCCGAACCUCCUUUUAAAAUAAAAUAAAAUAAGCAAUGACUCUAACUUUGACCAAAAUUAAUUUUUCACCAAUAAAAGCAAGUAUCGCUGAUGAGUGGGGACACACGUGAAAAUUGCAGGUCCACAGCAUGCACCUAGUCAAAUUGUGUAUUGUUUGCAAGAGAUGCUUGUAUUUAUUUCCUAAUGAGUUUAUUCUAAUUCUUUGAUUAGGAUUUCUUCAAUCACAUUGCUUGCUAUUGAAUUUCCAAUGGCUUAAUAUAAAUUAUUAGAAAAAUGUUGUUUAAUUAUUUCAGCAACUUAUCCUUUAUAAUUUUUUUUAACAAAUAUUAUCUCUGAUGUUCAUUUGUAAUAAAUAGCUAGAGAAAGGGCCCAAUGUGAACACCUAUGAGACUUAGUUGUGUUUGAGAGAUUACAUGGAAAUCUUGGCAAAACAUCUCCAAGCCUUGUUGUCAAAAAGGAAACCCUACAUCUCAUGCCUUUAUACUGCAUCUUAGCUUCUCAUCUUGCAAUGGACAAUGGUACUCUUAUUGAAUCAGUUUUACCAUACCAGUCAUCAACAUUUGCACUCAUUAAGCACUAAUUUAAGCACUGAUGCUUUUGUUAAAGUUAUUUCCUUUUUUGUUUGUUCGUUUUUGUUUUCUUUUGUUUUGGAGGUAAUUGUGUUGGAUGAUUUAUGUUUGUGUUAGACAACAAAGCUUGUCUUAAUGCUAUUGUAAAACAAGACUAUGCUAAUAAGAUUUUGAUGUUUACAAUGUUUAUGCCAAAUUGAAUUUUUAGUUUUCCUAAUUGAAAAUUUGCUUGUUUUCCCCAUUAUAUCGAUGUUAUUGUUGGAUUUUUGUUUCUGUUGAUCAAGCAUGUGCUAAAAGUUUGUUUUUUUUUUUUUUUUCCGUUGCUACUUCAUGUGUGUGGAAUUCUAGCUUAAAGUUAGUGAGGAAUUCUAGGGUUUGUUAAGGCCAUUUUUGGUAUUUUGUUAUUAGUUCCUAAUUUAAUGUUUUUCCUUAUUUAGUGGAGAUUUUGUUCUCUAAUCAAUUAAGAUUGAAUCCUGGUCCUUAUGGUGACUGAUUGCACUAUUCUCUUGUAUAUAUAUACCAUGUUGUAUUCUAUAGAAAGUAAGAGAAUUAAUAAAUAAAUAAAAAUUAACUUCUCAUAAAUCUUCAUGGUAUCAAAGCCUUCCCUCUAAAACCCUAAUUUUCCACAUCACCAAAUUCGUCAUGGCUAUUGAGAGACAAAUCUCAACCUUUGAAGUGACCUUCAAUCCAGAAACGAUGCCAACGAUGAACAACCAUGGAAGAGCCGAGAACCCAUCUAUGCUCAUCACAGGUCACAAACUCAAUGGCCAUAAUUUUCUCUAGUGGUCUUAGUUAGUGAUGAUGUAUGUCUGUGGAAAGGGCAAGGAUGAAUAUCUCACCAGUGAAGUAGUUAUCCCUGAGAAGACCAAUCCCAAAUUCAGGGUGUGGAAGACCGAGAAUCACAUGGUGAUGUCUUGGUUGAUUAAUUCGAUGAAUACCGACAUAAGAAAGAAUUUUCUCCUCUAUGGAACUGCCAAAGAAUUAUGGGAUGUAGCAAGGGAGACAUACUCAAAUUCUGAAAACACUUCAAAAAUAUUUGAGAUAGAAGCCACUUUACACAACCCUACGGCAGGGAGAUCUCUCUGUUACCCAAUACUUCAACAUUCUUUCUCGUCAUUGGCAGCACCUAGACAUGUUUGAAGUUCACACCUGGAAGUGCCCUGAAGACACUGCAUUGUACCGAAAAAUUGUGGAGCAAAAGCGAACAUUCAAGUUUCUCCUUGGCCUCAACAAGAAUUUGGACGAGGUUAGGGGGAGAGUGAUGGGGACCAAACCUCUUCCAAGUAUUAGAGAGACAUUCUCAGAAGUUCGCCGUGAGGAAAACAUGAAAAAGGUUAUGAUGGGAUCUCAGAAUUCUGCCCUAUCAAUUGAAGGAUCUACCUUUGUAGCACGAGGACUUCCAUCAAACACCAACAGUGAAAAUCGCCAGAAAAUGGGAAACCUUAGUGUGACCACUACCGAAAACUAUGACAUUCCAGAGAAAAUUGCUGGAAGAUUCAUGGCAAACCAGCUAAUUGGAAGCCAUCCAAACCAUUCAAUGAUAGAGAAAGUAGUGUCCAUAAUGUUGCUACCUCAGAAGACAAGCCAACCUCAACCAAGACCAGUCCUUUCAGCAAAGAGCAGCUUGAGAUGCUUCAACAACUCAUAAGUCAAAACUCCCUAUCUCAAUCCAGUAACUCAGCAUCUGGUAUAGGCAUGUUGGCACAAAAAGGUGAUUUUUCAAAUGCCUUUGCAGUAAAUAAACAACACUUGAAUCCUGGAUUAUUGACUCUGGAGCAUCAGAUCACAUGACAAGAGAAGGAACCAUAUUUCAUGAGUACAACCCUUCUAAAGAGAAAUAUACAGUUUGGAUUGUUGAUGGAUCUCUAUCCAAAGUUGCUGGAACAGGCUCAAUCAGGGUUACAAACGACCUUAAUCUAAACCCUAUUCUCCAUGUCCCUAAUUUGGAAUGUAAUUUACUCUCAAUCAGCAAAUUAACUCGUGAUCUUCAUCGUGAAGCUAAAUUUUUCUCAAACUUGUGUAAAUUUCAGGAACUGGAUUCGAGGAGGAUGAUUGGCAAUGUUGAGAUGUGCUCUAGACUCUAUCUUCUCAAGGGUGAUACUCCUCUAAGAAGACGAACUCAAAAUGCAAGUUGUGUGUCGCUUAAGAGUCGGUCAAUUUUAGAUUUUUGUGUCAAUAAAGAUAAUGAGGUCAUGUUAUGGCAUUAUCGUCUGGGUCAUCCAAAUUUUAUAUAUCUUGAAAAAUUGUUUUCAUCUUUAUUCAUCAAUAAAAGUCCAAAAUUUUUCAGUUGUGAAAUCUACCAGCUUCCAAAACAUACUCACAGUAGUUACCCUAGUCUUUCAUAUACACCAUCUCACCCAUUUGCCAUGAUUCAUAGUGAUGUGUAGGGUCCUUCGAGGAAAAACAAUAUAACAGGAGCACGGUGGUUUGUCUCGUCUGUUGAUGAUCACACUAGAUUGACCUGGGUAUUCCUGAUGAAAGAAAAAUCUGAAGUUGGAAAAUUUUUUCAAAUUUUCAAUUCCAUGAUCUAAACUCAAUUCCAGACCAAAAUCCAAGUUCUAAAAACUGAUAAUGCCAAAGAGUACUUCAAGUUUGUUCUAGGUAGUUACCUCAUGAGUCAAGGAAUAGUCCACCUAAGUUCUUGUGUUGUCACCCCUUAAUAAAAUGGGAUUGCAGAAAGAAAAAACCAACAUUUGUUAGAGGUAGCUAGGUUCCUCAUGUUUUCCACUCACGUUCCUAAACAUUUUUGGGGGGAGGUAGUACUUAUAGCCACGUAUCUCAUCAAUAGAAUGCCAUCCAGAAUUCUUAAAUUUAAAACGCCUUGUCAAUCCCUUCUCUAGAUCUUUCCACAUACAAAAAUCAUCUCUUCAUUAGAUCCAAAAAUAUUCGGGUGUUCAACUUUUGUCCAUAUACAUCAGCAACAUCGUAGCAAAUUAGACCCUAAAUCCAUCAAAUAUAUCUUUAUAGGGUACUCUUCACAUCAAAAGGGUUAUAAGUGUUAUUCUCCCAUCACUAAAAGGGUAUACAACUCUAUGGAUGUGACAUUUUUUGAACAUCAAGCUUACUACCACAAAACCGACAUGCACGGGAAGAACAUGAGAGCAUUCCAGUUUUGGAAGACACUUGAUCUUGGGGACACCCUACCAUUACCUCAUCUUACUUCUCAGCCAAUUUUCAGUCAACAACCAAAAGUCAUUAAUCAAAUUCCAGUUCAAAUUUCAAUGUCUUCACAACCUAAACCUGAGAGUCAUCCUCCUACUACCUCACCUCAAACUCUAGUCCAUAAUUACUCUAAAUCACCACUAACUGCAAAUAAUGAGUUUAGCGUCUACAUUAGGAGAAAAAGGCCUAAGAGAACAAUAGAGCAACCAACUCCUCUAAAAAAUGACCAAAAAUCUUAACCUAGUCCAAGUCCUACUCAAAUUCACUUGGGUAAGGGAACUACUAAUCUUGAAAAGCUAGUACCAUUUGUAGAUGAUUCAAAUAUUCCGAUUGCUUUGAGAAAGAGUGUUAGAACUUGCACAAACCAUCCUAUCUAUAGAUUUAUUUCAUAUGAUGGAUUGUCUCCCUCCUAUCAAGAUUUUGUUUUAGUUCUUGAUAGUGUGCAGGUUCCUAAUUCUAUUUAGGAGGCUCUCAAGAAUCCAAAGUGGAGAAAGGCAAUUAGCGAAGAAAUCAAAGCUUUGGAGAAGAAUGGAACAUGGGUAAUCUCUGAUCUUCCUCAUGGAAAGAAACCAAUCGGGUGUAAGUGGAUUUACCAUUAAACAUAAGGCUAAUGGAAGUAUUAAGAGAUUGAAAGCUCGCCUUGUUGCCAAAGGCUUUACUCAGUCUUAUGGAAUAGACUAUCAAGAAACAUUUGCUCCAGUGGCCAAACUCAACACUAUUCAAGUUCUUUUUUAUCUUGCAGCAAACCAAGAUUGGCCAUUACAUCAACUAGAUGUCAAAAAUGCUUUUCUGAAUGGUAACUUGGAGGAAGAAGUGUAUAUGGAGAUACCAUCAGAGUUGGAAACUUCUUUCAACAACAACAGGGUGUGCAAGCUUAAGAAAUCUCUGUAUGGACUCAAAAAAUCACCUCGAGCAUGGUUUGACAGGUUUGCAAAGUCAGUUACAAAGCAAGGAUAUACUCAAUGUCAAGCGGAUCAUACACAAUUUGUGAAGUUCUCUUCAGAAAAGAAAAUAGCAGUCCUCAUAGUGUAUGUUGAUGAUAUCAUCUUAACAGGUGAUUAUGAAGAGGAACUAUUGGGAAUGAAGAAACACUUAGCCAAAGAAUUUGAAAUCAAAGACCUUGGCUAUCUUAGAUACUUUCUCGGUAUGGAGGUGGUAAGAUCUAAGAAAGGCAUAUUUUUCUCCCAACGUAAGUAUGUUCUAGACUUACUAAAAGAGACAGGUAUGCUUGGAUGUAAACCUGCAGACACUCCAAUGGACUCAACCAAGAAAAUAGGAACUGAGAAGAACAGUGCACCAGUUGACAAGGGGAGAUACCAGAGACUUAUAGGACUUCUUAUCUACCUUUCACAUACUCGACCUGACAUUAGAUUCUCUGUUAGUGUUGUGAGUCAAUUUAUGAACAACCCAAUAGAAGAACACAUGGAAGCUGUGAAUACAAUUUUGAGGUAUCUGAAUAUGACCCUAAGAAUAGGACUGUUGUACAAAAAGAAUGAUACUAGAGAUGUUGAAGUUUUCUCAGAUGCAGACUGGGCAGGUGAUGUGUUAGAUAGGCGAUCAACAUCUGGAUAUCGUUCCUAUGUAUGGGGAAAUCUCGUGACUUGGAAAAGCAAGAAACAGUUUGUAGUCUCAAGAAGUAGUGCAGAAGCUGAAUUGAGAUCUUUGGCUCUUGGUAUUUGUGAAGGAACCUGGAUAUAGAGACUGCUGAAUGAGUUGGGAAUAUCUACUGAGAAGCCUAUUAAAAUGUUCUGUGACAACGAAGCUGCCAUAAGCAUUGCAAAGAAUCCUAUACAUCAUGAUAGGACGAAACACAUCGAGAUAAAUCGACAUUUCAUUUCAGAAAAGAUUGAGAAGGCAAUUGUACAGUUGGUCUAUACUCCUACAAAAUCCCAAAUGGCACACAUACUCACUAAAGCUUUUUCAAGAACUAACUUUGAAGAACUGAGUCACAAGCUGUGCAUGUACAAUAUCUAUGCCCCAGCUUGAGGGGAAGUGUGGAAUUCUAGCUUAAAGUUAGUGAGGAAUGCUAGGGUUUGUUAACGUUAUUUUUGGUAUUUUGUUAUUAGUUCCAAAUUUAAUAUAUUUCCUUGUUUAGUGGAGAUUUUGGUCUCUAAUCAGUUAAGAUUGAGUCCCGGUCCUUAUGGUGACUGAUUGCACCAUUCUCUUGUAUAUAUAUAUCAUGUUGUAUUAUAUAGAAAGUAAGAGAAUUAAUAAAUAAAUAAAAAUUCACUUAUCAUAAAUCUUCAAUGUGCAAAGCAUCAUUAUUCAAAUUUUUUGUUUGUUUGUUUUUGUUUUGUUUUGUUUUGUCUUGUCUUGUUUUGUUUUGGAGGUAAUUGUGUUGGAUGACUUAUGUCUGUGUUAGACAACAAAGCCUAUCUUAAUGCUACUGUAAAGCAAGACUAUGCUAAUAACCUUUUAAUGUUUACAGUGUUUAUGCCAAACUGAAUUUUUAGUUUCCCUAAUUGAAAAUUUGUUUGUUUUCCCUAUUAUAUCGAUGCUAUUGUUAGAUUUGUGUUUCUAUUGAUCAAGCAUGUGCUAAAACUUUGUUUUUUUUUUUUCCUUUGCUACUUCAUGUGCAAAGCAUUAUUAUUUGAAUUUUAAUGAUUCCAUUCAAUUCAUUAUUCAAUAUUUUCAUUUGAUAUUACAUCUAUCACAUUUGUUUUCUUUUCUUAGUUUGUUUUGUUUUGUUUUUGUUUUUUUUUUUUAAUUUGUGAAAUUUGAAUUUGAUGGAGCCACCAUUAAUUUAUUUUUCCUUAUUAUUGUGGGGUGUGCUUUAUUUUGUUCAUGUAAAUAUCAUCGUUGUGGCACUAUUAUUAUUAUGUAACCUUUUUUUUGUUUAAUCUAUUGUUCCUAUGAGCAUUAAAUUCUCCUAAAAUGUAUGGAACAGGCUAAACCCUUUCUAUAGUUAUUUUAAAAAAUUUAUUUUUCAUCUAUUUUCUUGUGCUCAAAAAAUUAUAUUUUUUAGUAAAAUUGAAAUUUUAGGGAGCGCUUAUGCCUUAAUGACUCAACCCCUUGAGGGUUUAUACCUAUCUUAGCAAGAUGUAAACCCUCAUGCCUCUUAUGCUUUUACCUUAUGAAACUAUACCCAAAAACAAACACCACAACUCCUUGCCCCGAUCAAAGGAUACUUGAAAGUUUGCUUCAAAUCAAUUUCAAGGCUAAUAAUCAUAGGCUUGUCAAAUUCAUGUUGCUAAAAUUGGUAUUGUAACCAAAGUAAUAUUAGGAAAUCUUCAAGUUUCAGCUCCUCUUUUUAUGUUGGCUCUUGUAUUGUUAGGUGGCUUCAACCUUUUGCUUUACUUAUGCUUUAUGAGCUACUCCAAUUAAAAUAAUGCUUCAAGUAGAUGUUCUUUGGAUCUUCACUCUAGCAAGAUACUUGCAUUGCAAAAAUUUUUUGUAGUCCUAGAUAGGUUAACUAGGAAGACAAUAGCUUGCUUAAGAGGAUUGCCUCCUCUUCUAUUGGGUUUGUAAAAGUUUUGCUUCUCCCUUGACUUUAGGAGUCCCGUGGUUUCAAAUUUGGGUGUGCUCUAGGUUGUAGCAUGCCUUAUGCUUUCUAAAUGGUAAUCUUCUUCUUGUUUUGGCUAGGAUUCUUUCAUUUAUUUUGCUUGUUUGCUUUCUUUGUUUCUUUAUUGUGGUUGAAGGAUCACCAAUCAACUUUUUAUUCUCUGCAAAAAUUAUUUAUGUUUCAUACCUAAAAAAGAAAAAACAAAGGCUAGUUAGCCUAGAACAUGUUUUAUCUUGUUCUUCUUUUACUAUUAGUAUGGAUUCAAACUUGGGAAGAGGCCUUGAAACAAGUUGCAUUUGUGUUUUCUUAACAUACAUCUUUAUUCGAUCAUUUUUGUUAAGUAUUUGGUGUCUUGUUUGUUCUUUUAGUUGUUUUUGUCUCUGUCAAAGUGUAUAAUUGUAAUAUCCCAUAUCAUAUAGGGAAAAAAGUUUUUCGUGCUAUAUAUAUGUAUAAACUCCACUUAAUCUUGUAAAUGUGUUUUAAAGUCACGAGGGUUUCUUAGGUUCAGAGCAGAUAAUAUCUACACAGUUGGAAGUAGGUCAUUACUAAUGGUAUCGGAACCAAUCUCCAACCUCAAUGUGAGAGAUUGUUUAGCACCGAAAGGAGUGUCUAUCUAUUUGACCCUACAAUCAUGUGGAAUAUAAUAAGGAAAUUGGGUUUGCAUGAGGAGUGUGAUUAUGAUAUCCUACAUCGAAUAUGGGAAAAAGUUUCUAAUGUUAUAUAUGUAUGGACUCCUCUUAACCUUGUAAACGUGUUUUGAAAUUGUAAAUGUCACUUAAGUUUAGAGUGGACAAUAUCUAUACAAUUGGGAGUAGGUUGUUAUAAUAAUUUUGAUUUUCCUUCCAUAUAUGUUUAAUUGCAUAACAUUAUCAUAGAAAAAUAUUCAUCUAUCAUAAUGUAGCGUCUUGUAAAGCUUAUGUUGGGUGUUAUGAUUUUAUCUCUCAUCAUUUUUAUUAUUCUGAUUCAACAUCAUCUUAGCUUAUAAUCAAAAGGCUAUAAAUUGUAGGAUUCUUUUCUCCAAUUUUUUACUUGAUAUCUUAUAAUGCCAUGAAAUGUCUAUAUUUUGAUGCAGAAAGUCGUUCAUCCUUCAUCUCUCUCACUAGUUUUGCAGAACCAUAGUCAUUAGGCACAUGCAAGCGUUAGACAUGCAGCCACUUCCAGUGUUGGAAGAGACUUUGAACUACCUCUUAAACCUAUUAGAUCCACGGAGCAUCCUUUUGAAGUGGUUCAUGAUUUCAUCUUUGAUAGGACAAGAUCAAUAAGACACGAUCUUAGCAUGGAGAAUAUUGUUAAUGAUCAAACAAUUCAUACGUAUGAAGAAAUGGUAUAAAUUUCUUGAAACAUAAUCUUAAUUACCUUUCUUUUCUUAGCAUUAAUCUCCUCAAUAUACAAUAAGUUAGCCAAUCCACUACUAAACACACUCCUAGUUGCAGAAAAUAAUCAAAAUAUACAAGAGAUGUUGUAUAAUUGAGUCAUUAUCCUCUCUUUUUGCUUUAUUGAAUAAGAAAAUUCUAUUCAGUGGAGUCCAAAUGAGGUGAAACUGUGAUCACACAACUUUUAAAGCCUACUUUAUAAUGGAUAAAUGAAUGGUCUGGUUCUGAAUCUUUCUCGGCACAUUAGUUAUUAUCCAAUCCAUUCUAAUUAAGUUAUCCACUAUUGAGUGUCUAUUUCCAAUGAAAGUUAUGAAAGGCCCAUAGAACCCAAGCAACUCACACCGCUUGCGAUGGGAAUUGGUGUUCUUUCCCGUAAUGUCAAGUUUUCUAGUACACUUGGUGACUUUGUAGAAUAUGCCUACGGAAAGGGCUGCCACCUUCUAAUUCCCAAUCAUACAAGUUUCUUAACCAUAUUUCAAAAGUUGUAUUUCUUGUUCCGUCUCUUAAAGUUUUUUAAACCUAUAUCUCUUUAUCCUUGGCAAUUCAGAAAGAUGAGGAAACUAUUUAACAAGAACUCCAUCAAUUUGUUCCUCAAAAUUUUAUAUAGUUUCUCUCUCUCACUUUCAAUUUAAACUCUUGAUUUAAAAGAACAAAUUCAUGGCCAGCAACAUUUUUAGCCAAGCAAUAGAAUGUACAACAAGCAUGCAUAUGAAUGAACUGUAUUGUUUAAUGAUAAUAGAUCAAAUAUUUUAAUCUAAUCCUAAAACCUUAGAGUUAGCUAAAAGCCUCAUCUUAUGUUCUAACUUGUGGUUUGUUUCACAAUACAGGUGAAAUUUCAUAUUAUAUCCCACCAAAAGCUUUGCAAUUGUAGCAGCAAGCCAAAUUUUUAUUUAGUUAUUACCUUAAUAUGGAGCAACUGAAAAAGUGUCUAACAUCUCUAUAUGCUCUAUACAAAGAAAAUUGCAAUUCAAAUUUUAUUUACAAGAAUGAACCUGAGUUUUGCUCAUUUCACGUUCUUCUUCACCUUGGCUCUAACAGCCAACCACUGGUGGAUAUCUGCUUUCAUUGUUUGUUUGAGUUCAUCUUUUUCAGUAUUUGUACUAGUUUCUGAAGGUGUUACUAUUUUUGUUCUGAGGGGAGAGUCACUCUCUUUGUGGUUGGGUCUUGUACCUUCUGUCAUUUUGAAGUCAAAGGAAAAAUGUUUUGCCCAAGACUUUUAUAGUACGUUUGGUAGUGAUUUUAGGAAGUGUUUCUAGUCUUUUUUAUGCUUGAAAGAUAAAAAAAAAAAAUUAAGUGGUAAAAAGACUAGAAACACUUUAUAAAAUAACUGCCAAACGCACUCUUAAGAUGACCAUAAAGCUGUUGUAGAUUCCACUUGCAUUUAAAUUGUUUUUAUUCCCUUUACAUUUAACUCAAUGUAGAGUGGUUAUGUUUUUCCGUUGAUUUUUUUCUCUUUUUUAGUACCCAAUGUUAAAGUUUUGUUUCACGAACUGAAAGGUCCGUCUUUUCUAGUGACAGUGGAUGGGCAAUUAUAAGUGUUUCCUUUGUACUACAACAAUUGAGGCAUCAUAUUUGCAAUAUUACAUUAUUAUUAUUUUUUAUAAAUGAGCACAAAAUAUAUAAUAAAGGGCGGAAAGCCACAAAGCAUACAGGGAGUAUACAAAGCAGCUAAAAAGCAAAAAACUCAUAAACAGAACAAACUCACCAGCCCUUAAAGAGCCGCUAACCACUCUAAGAAGCCUAAAAUCAAAGAUGACUCCUCUCCCAUAUACAUCCUAGUCCAACUCCAUAAAUUACAUGCAAAAGAAUUCUUGAGUUUCUGAAUAGCUAAAGAACCCCAUCUAAAAGCUAACCUAUUUCUUUCCUUCCAAACCGUCCAAAAUAUACACAACGGGAUGGAAUUCCAAAUCUUUUUCCUCUUUUCCCCAUAAAAGGGCCCCUCCAACAAAAUAACACCUCUUUGACUGUCUCUAGGAACACCCAUUGAGCCCUAAACAAGGAAAGAACGAUCUCUCAGAGGACCCUGACCACUGUACAGUGUAAAAGAAUGUGAUUUACAUUUUCCUCUUCACAGCCACACAAAUAACAACGAUUAGGGAGCUGCCACCCUCGUUUUUGAAGCCUAUCCAAUGUGAGGAUUUUUUCCCAAGUGGCUUCCCACGCAAAGAAAGCAACUUUGGUUGGAACCUUAUCCACCCAAAUGAUUUUUUUCGGAAAGACGAGGGGAUUGGGGGUGAUUCGUGUUUUCCCAGCUGGUGUACCUUGAUUUUGGUCCCCUGAUGGGAGUAAUCAACAAAAUUUAUAACCUAUAUCACCAUGCACUAGGAUAGCCUAAGCUAGUAUAGCAUAGUGGCUCUAGGAUCGUUCACUGGGAAGGGUUUUCAACUUACAAUUGAUACCAAUUCAAAGUUGAAUUGGUGCCUUUUCAUUUCAAGGUUAGCUUCAAAAGAAAACAUAAACUUUGGUUGAAAAAGGUUUGGUUUCAAGCUAACUAAAAAGAAAGUAAUGGGAAUUACUUAUAAAGAAAAAGCGUCUCUUGGAGUUUUAGGAUCACUGGGGUCAGGCUCCUCAUGCAAAAACAGAGUUCCGGUCACUUUGGUUCUUUUCCUCGCAUUGGAGAAUUAACAUAUAGUUCAUUCUCCAACCGGUGUUGUACAGAUGCUUCCCUUUUAUAAAUUUCAGCACUAGUUCCCUCUCACUGAUUCAUCUUGCAAUGGCUCGUGCCUCUCACCUAGCAUUUGCCAUUCAAGGUGAUCAUUAACCUUGGACUUCCCUUCUCAAGCUCGCAAGAGAUAACUAAUGGAUGCCUCCUUAGAGUCCAAAAGCUUACCAAGUGUUGGCAAUUCUAGAAAAUCCUACCUUCAGGUCACCUCCCAAAAGCUCACAAGAGGUAAACUAGUGCAUCUCUGUGGACAGAGAUCACUUGCCUUACCAAGUGUUGGCUCAGGUGAAUUGAAGGCGUUUUAAGUUAACUAAAAACAUAGAAAUCAUAAACGGGUUACACUUUCUCUUCAUUAAAAGCUGAAACAUCAAAACUACCAAUUCUUGCAUUCGACACCUUCCCCGGCUACCUUAGCUCCAAGAAACAAAAAGCCUAGCCACCCAUUCUCUGAAGAAACAUCAUCAGAGCUUGUUUGGCUAGUAAAUGAAAAAUACAAUCAAAGUGAGAAGGUAAUGCAGAGCAAAGACUCUGUAUUUUACUUCCUUUCAAACUUUUACAAAAGGUUCGUCUCCUUGAUAACAGGCUCCUGAGAGCUAUUUAUAUGAAAAUUACAAUAAUAAUUAUUACCUGGAUAUUUACCCUUUUUCCUAACUUAAUAGCUAAGGAAUCCUAUAAGUGGUGGAUUACAAUGAGAGAAUUGGGAUUUAGACAUCAAAUAUCUGAAGCAAAAUAUCAAAAAUUUGUCGGUCGUAAAUAUCUGGAAGCACUCAGGAGAAUUUCGCAGGCGCACAAAAUGGCUGCGAAAUUUCGCAGACGUACAAGAUGGCUGCAAAAUCAUUUCGCAGCCAAAGGCUGAUUUCGCAGCCUUGCGAAAUUGGCCUUCAGCUUGAUGUGAUCAUCUUCCAAUGGCUCUAACUUCUUCACUUCAACUCCGAUUCGCGAACCGUUUAAAGCGUUAGAUUUUUUACUUCCCAAGCUUCGAAACAACAUAUAGUAUGCAACAAAUGGACUUCAGGAAGUACUCCAAAAGUGUCAAACAGUUGAUGUCCUCUUGGAUUCUUCAUGUUAGAUUUUUCUCUUUGUUUCAUCCUUGCAUUCAUGAUUUGUUUAUGGCAAAGGACUUUAAGGCUUCAGUUCUUCAUGUUUCUGAGCUUUCCAUUGCUUUGCCAUGGAUUCCAAAGAACUCUCCUCAAUCUCGGAUUGCUUUGGUGAUCAAAUUACUAUCAAAAACACCAAAACUUACACAAUUUGAUUAGAAACGAUUACAAAGGUCCUUAAUAUGUUAAUUGGGUUAAAAGGUAAUAACUACUACUCAAAAGUGUUUAAAAGAGUUAAUUACAAGCUAUCAAAUAGCCCUUUUUGAGUAGUAAUCAAGGGGUAGUGAUUCAUGCCCAAUUGGUGUCUUAGCUGAUUCGUGUCCAGCUGGUGUUCCUUGAUUGAGGGAGUAAUCAACAAAAUUUAUAACCUAUUACACCAUAUACUAGGGUAGCAAAGAAAAAGCUACUAUAGCAUAGUGGCUCUAGGAUCGUUCACUGGGAAGGGUUGGCAAAUUAUCAAUGAUACCAAUUCAAAGUGAAUUGGUAUUGUUUCAUUUCAAGGUUAGCUUAAGAAAUAAAACACAAACUUUGGUUGGAAAAGAUUUAGAUUUAAACUAACUGCAAAGCAAGUAAUGGAAAUUACUUAGGAAGAAAAACAUUCCUUGGAGAGUCAGGUUUACAGGGGAGGUUCCUCAUGCAAAAACAUAGCUCCGGACAGUUGGUUCAUUUCCUCGCGUUAGAGAAUUAACAUAUAGUCAAUUCUCUAACCGGUGUUGUACAGCUACAUCCUUUAAUUAGAUUUCAGCUUUGAUUCUCUCUCACUGAUGCAACUUGCAAUGGUUCGAGCCUCUCACUAAGCCUUAACCAUUCAAAGUGAUCUUUAACCUUGAACUUCCCUUCUCAAGCUCGCAAGAGAUAACUAAUGGAUGUCUCCUUGGAGUCCAAAAGCUUACCAAGUGUUGGCAAUUCCAAAAAAUCCUACCUUCAAGUCACCUCCCAGAGGCUCGCAAGAGGUAAACUAGUGCAUCUCCAUGGUCGGAAAUCACUUGCCUUACCAAGUGUUGGCCCAGGUGACUCUAAGGUGUUUUAAGUUAACUAAAAACAUAGAAAUCACUAAAAGAUUACACUUCCUCUUCAUUCAUGGCUGAAACCACAAAGCUAUUCAUUCUUGCACUUGGAACCUUUCCCGGCAACCUUAGCUCCAAGGAACUAAAGGUUUAGUUACUCAUUCUCUGGGGAAACUUCCUCAGAGAGUGCAUAACUUAGUAAAUGAAAAAUACAAUCAAAGUGAGAAGGUAAGGCAAAACAAAGGUCCUGAAUUUUACUUGCUUUCCAACUUUUUACAAAAAGGUUUCUCUCUUGGAACAGGCUCCUGAGAGCUAUUUAUAUGAAACUACCAUCAUAGCUAUUACAUGGAUAUUUUUCCUUUUUCCUAACUUAAAAGCUAAGGAAUCUUAUUAUUGGUGGCUUACAAGGAGAAUUUUGGGAUUUAGACAACAAAAAUCUGAUGAAAAAUAUCUCAUUGUGUCGGUCGUAAAUAUCGGGAAGCACUAAGGACCAUUUCGCAAGUGAAAACGAGGUCUGCGAGAUUUCUCAGAUGCACAAAAAGAGCUACGAAAUCACUUCGCAGCAAACGGUUGAUUUCGCACCGCUGCGAAGUGAUCUUUCAGCUUGCGGCAUUCGGCUUCCAACGUGUCGGGAAACUUCAGGGGGAAUUCCUCAGCACUGUGCAAAAAGGCUGCGAAAUCAUUUCGCAACAAAAGGGUGAUUUCGCAACGCUGUGCAAAAUUCUUCCUUCAGCUUGGAGUGAUCGGCUUGCAAUGGCUGUAACUCCUUCAUUUCAACUCCAAAUUGCAAACCUCUUGAAGCAUUGGAUUGUUGACUUCCUGAGCUUCGAGACGACAUAUAGCAUGCAUCAAUUGGACUUCAGAAAGUGCUCCAAAAGUGGCUGACAUGACUGUCAUCAAGAAUAUGCUUCAUGGCAGAUUUCUCUUUGCUUCCUCUCCUUGCAUUCCGGAUUUGCUUAUGGAAAAGGUCUUCAAAGCUUUGGUUCUUCAUGUUUCUGAGCUUUCCAUUGCUUUGCCAAGGAUUCCAAAUAACUCUCCUCAAUCUCGGAUUGCUUUGGUGAUUAAAAAGCUAUCAAAACACCAAAACUUAACACAAUUUGAUUAGAAGUGAUUGCAAGGGUCCUUAACAUGUUAAUUGGGUUAAAAGGCAAUAACUACUACUCAAAAGUGUUUAAAAGAGUUAAUUACAAGCUAUGAAAUAGCACUUUUUGAGUAGUAAUCAGGUAGCCAUCAAAUUAUAAGCAUCCCGAAUCCGAAAAAUAUCAAGACCCCCUCCUUUCCAUAACACUGAGUCCUCUUCCAUAUCAAGCCUUUUUACAACUAACUUGGGCAUUCGAAAAAGGGAUAAUUGGUAGAUGGGUAUACUGGCCAAUGUACUUUUAAUGAGGGUAAUUCUCACACCCUUAGACAUGUAUUGCAUUUUCCAAAUAGCUAAUCUUCUUCUUAUUCUUUCCUCCACCCCAUCCCAUAUAGACAAGGCCUUGUGAUGGGCUCCAAGGGGCAGCCCCAAAUACUUAGUAGGAAAAGCCCCCACUCUGCACCCUAACUUCUCAGCCAUAUCCUCAAUAUCUUCAACCUCCUCAACAGAAAUUAAUUCACUCUUAGCUAGAUUAAUCCUAAGACCAGAAGCUGCCUCAAACCACCCCAAAAUCCAGCCAAGAUGAGUUAGAUGCUCCUUCCUUGCUUCAUAGAAGAUGAUUGUGUCAUCAACAAAGAGCAAGUGGGACACAUUCAUCUCCAUCCCCCAUUUUCCUCGAAGUUUGCAACCAGAAAUGAAGCCUCCAUCAAUAGCCUUUCUUAUAAGUGCACUCAGCACUUCCAUACCCAAAACAAAAAGGUAAGGAGAAAUGGGAUCUACUUGACAUAGCCCCUUGGAACUGGAAAAGAAGCCUACUGGCACCCUGUUGACAAUAAUAGAAAAUUUUGCAGUUGAGAUGCACCACCAAAUCCACUCCAUCCAACGAGACCCAAAGCCCAUCUUGUGCAAAACCUUCAUGAGAAAGUUCCAAUUAAUACUAUCAUAAGCUUUUUCAAUAUCCAAUUUGCAAACCAGUCCUUUCUCUUUAUGUUUCUGCCAAUAAUCAACCACCUCAUCAGUUAUGAGAGAGACGUCUAGAAUCUGUCUUCCCCUCAUAAACACAUUUUGAUCCACCGAGACCAUCUUACCUAACACUUUCUUCAACCUAUGGGCUAGCACUUUGGCCAGAAGCUUGUAUAGCCCCCCUAAAAGGCUGAUAGACCGAAAAUCCCCGAGGUCCACAGCCCCACCUUUUUUUAGGAUGAGGACCAAGAAGAUAGUAUUUAGACUUUUGGCAAAAUAUUUUUGGUCAUAAAAUUCCUUAAACAGCUCUACAACCUCCUCCUUCACAAAAUCCCAACAAGAUUGCCAAAAGGCCACAGUAAACCCAUUCGGCCAUUCAUUUCCAACAGAGUUAAGUGAAUUUCUUCCUCAGUAAAGGGCAUCUCCAGAGCUUCAACUUCACCGUGGUUUAGACGUUGAAGGUGCAACCCCUCAAUGUCAGCUCUCCAUCCUGGCUCUUCUGAGAGCUAUUGUUGAAAAGCAUUCACAAUCCCCUCCCUCACCUCCUGCUCCUCAUCCAACUCCACCCCAUUGAUCUUGAUUUUAUCCAAGGAGUUGUUUCUUCAGUGGGCAUUGGCCAUUCGGUGGAAAAAUCCUAUGUUCUUAUCCCCUUCCUUUAGCCACAGCUCCCUUGACAAUUGUCUCCAAUGGGUUUCUUCUAAAAGCACCCACUUUUUAAAGGUUUCCUUAGCUUCAUUUUUCAACUCCGUUUCUCCUUCUGGCGGGCCCCUUUCACAUUCCACCCCAUCCCAAAAUUCAACUUGCUGGAGAGCUGAGCUUUUAUUAAUUUCCAACCUACCAAACACAUCCUUGUUCCAAACUUUGAUUUUUUUCCUUCAACACCUUUAGCUUAGCAGCCAGUCUAAAGUUGGUCCUCUCUCGCCUCCCCGCUCCCUACCACCAAUCCCGAAUGAGAUCCUUAAAACCAUCAACUUUAAGCCACAUGUUUUCAAACCUGAACGGGGAGGGUCCUCGUCUUAACCCGCCACCCUUCAAUAGAAUGGGAAAAUGAUCUGAAGUGGGCCUGGGAAGCCUACUUUGGACAACCUCCCUAAACAAGUCAAGCUAGUUUUGGGUCACCAGGAAACAAUCCAGUCUAGCCCAGGACUGAUUGUUCCUAUCUCCACUCCAGGAAAACACAACCCCUUGCAAAGGAAGAUCUAGGAGCUCUAGUUCAUCAACCACCUGAGCAAACCUUCUCAUUGCACCAUUUAAACUAUCCUGACUGCUCCUUUCCCUUUGGAAAAGGGUGACAUUAAAGUCGCUCCCUAAACACCAGGGAUCAUCCCAGAUGCCCCUUAUUGGCCUUAGCUCAUCCCACAAAGUCUCCAUUUCAUUCCUAGUGAACGGUCCGUACACUCUUGUGAAGAUCCAAACAAGCCCAUCUUCAACAUUCCUGAGCCUACAGGAAAUAGAAAAUUGUCCCACCUCCAUCUUUAGCAUUUCCAGGGACCUUUUAUCCCAGCAAAUCAAAAUCCCACCCGCAAAGCCUUGAGCACCCAUGGCUCCCCAAUCUAGAAACCUCCCAGAGCCCAAAGUCCUCACCACACCCACUAACAUUGACUGAAUUUUCAUCUCCUAAAUACAGAACAAAUUCACCCUCUGACUUCCAAUCAUAGCCUUGAUCACCUUUCUUUUAGAGCUAUCGUUAGCUCUACACAUGUUCUAGUUCAACAACCUUAACUUCAUUAGACAACCAAAAUCUGGCACCCUCUUCCUUGCAUGGUACCUUUUUAUUUCCUCCCCCCUUCAUAAUUAAUGGAUCAUUCAAGUCUCUUCAAUUCCCUUUCAAAUUUCGAUUUUUCUAGAAGAGUUUCACUAUGAACUCUUUCCCUUCUUUUUUUUAUUUUGACCAGAAACUCCAAAAUGUCCUUCAAUCUCUCUGUCAAAAACCCCAAAAACCUGCUGAACCUCACUAGAUCGCUUUCCUCCCAACUAGUUUCCUCUCAUCCUCUAACUUCGAGUGGCAUAGCACUAGCUAAGCAAAGUUCCUCUCCACUUUCUUCAAUACUACCAUUAUUAACUUUCAUUAGCUCCCAACGAGUAACAGUCUCCAUCAUUGAAGACUCCGUACCAUUAACCAUGCAGCCCGGUCAUUCCCUCUGGAAUUUUUCCAAUCUGGCCCUAGAACAGUCGUAAUACUCCCCCAAUUGAGUCCGACCAGAAAAAGAAGAGGGGGGAGAUGAGAAAUCACAAAGCAACGUUCCACAAGGGUUAGAGGUGUUCUCAUACCUCGAAGCUUCCUCCAUUAGAGCACAGUUAGUCUUCAAACUCUUCUCUAAAAGUUGUUCCUUAGUCGAAGGUCUUCGCAGACCUUCGUGCACCCAAAAGGAAAAGAUGGAAUGGUCUGGAGCCCCCAAAAGUCUUAGGCCAAAAAGAUUGUAAAGACGGGAUGCUCCCAGCUGGGCUCUUCCCUCAGCUAAGGGCAAGGUCAGGCCUCGGCAAACCAGCCCAAGCACCACAAUAGGCUCCUUUUCCUUGGCCCACCUAGAACCCUUAAUAAACGACAACCCAAAAUGAGAUGGCCCAGUCUCGCAGAGAAAGGCCACAAGAGGAGCAGGCCCAGUAAUCACAAUGGGCUCUGCUCAACACGGUGACGAAGACCAACCCGAACCUUGGGACCCAACUGACAGCCCAACAAAGCACCAACCAUGACCCAUGGCCUGUCCCGACCCACUAGUCUGCCCCCUCGUCCCAUCAGCAGGUAGUAGCAAGUCCUCAAGCCUCGAGGCAUCGUCCUCCACCCGCACGCGCUCGAUUGUGCAUGCGAUGGCCUCACCCCCAACCUCGCCUUCUGUACCGAUAAUGUUUCCACUCUUUCUUGCCAUCGUCAUUCUCAGGAUUGGCCUGACCUCCCACCGGAGGGUUACCUCGUAGUAGAAUUCCUCAGCCCAAACCUCCACCACGUUGGGAAGCUUCUCGUCGUUGAGCUUCAUCAGGAUCCUUGCCCACUGCAAAUCCUCCAGCUUCUCCAUUUGGGAAUCGACUGCGAUGAAGCCCCCGCACUCCUCCCCUAUCCUUCUCAUAAUGGCUCGAUCCCAUAAGGAAAUGGGUAAUCCCAUAAUACGCACCCAAGCCUUGCUCUUUUUCACCCCAUCCAUCAGGCAUCCCAUCUCGGGCCUCCAUUUCUCCAAACGAAUGAGAGACCCCCCAACCGAAAUACCCCCGAUUUUUAAGGUUUUCUCUGCUUCUACCAAAAACUCAAAUUCAAGUAAAACUUUGCCCCUUUCCAAUUUCGCUAGCCCUAGAUUACCCUUCAGUCUCCAAAUAUUCUCCAAAUGGGUCCUUCUACUUCUUAGGUCAUCCCCUCUCACAGAGCUAGGAUUCCAAAUCCCAACUAAACAGUGAGCCAGCUUGUUUAAGUUUCGGCUCAGCUCCUUCUUUCUUAUCUCCACCCUAAUCAUUGUUUUUUCUUUUCCUCUUGGCUAUUUAGCCACUUCCGCGUAGGUUUUCCCCAUGCUAGAUUUCGACAACAACGCUUCUUUUUUUUGGCAUCCCUCUUCUCCGUUAGUAAAACCCAAUCGCCAUAGCGUCUCCACCAUUGAAACCCAGCCACCCUUAGCUCUUCUUCCUUUUGGAAUAAAGAUGCAAAACCUUUUGUUUUCCAGGUCCGCAACCUCUAAUCGAAGAAAAUACCCCCCUUAUUUUGAUCCCGCACCAGAGAAUAGGCUCUCCCACUUUCCUUCCACUUUCUUUCCCUUUUACCAGUUCCCGCGUCCUUAAUACAAAGAACUAGACCAUCGAAAAAAAACCCAAUGAUCUUCGGUCCCAACCUAAUCCACGAGAAGAUCCCUCAUUUCAGUUCCACAAUUGUAGCUUGCACUUUACCUUUCUGCUCCUCCACCUCGACCUCGAACGACUUCAACUCCACUCCAAAACUACCCUUUCUAAAGCUUUUCCUAGUCCCCACGAAGACAACACCCUCUGCACCCUCGCUCGCUCCACCAUCUACACUUUCUCUCGCUCGCCGCACGCCUCACUCUCCAUCGGAGCUCUCGCUCGUUCUCUCUCUAGCCCUCUCUCCUCCAUUUCUCAUCUGUCUACUAUAUUAUUGAACCUUACAUCAAUGAGGUUGCUUAAAUAUGUUGAUUUUGCUAGGUUUCUCAAUUUGAAAAAUAUAUUAUUCUCUGUUCAUUUAUUGUUUUCCAGAUUCAUCUCUGAGAAUAUAUCUAAAAUCUAGAGUUGAGUAUUUGUGCUUUUAGGUUUUAUUUUCCUUUCAUUUUUGUUGGUAAUUGUAUUUCAUUAUUCUUAAAUUUCUCACCAGCUAUUUCUUUAUAUGGUUUAUUGUCCCUCACUUUCUUCAUCCAUCUAAAGUGUUCAGAUUCAAUUAGCUUGUUUCGUAAUCUAGGUCUUAUUUAGGAGUUUCUUCUCAACUGCCUUUUUUAGUGCUUCUAAAAGACAUGCCUGAUUUAUAUACAUUUUUAUUGGUUUUUUUUUUUUACCAUAAAAGGUUCAAGCAUUGGCAUUGUCAUGUGUUAAUUAGUGGCUAUAAACUUCAUCCGUAUCCAAUUGCACACUUGUCCAAACUCUUGAUGAUGAAGGUAUGGUUGCAUUUACUAGUAUGAAAUUGCUAAAAUUUGUCAUCCAAAGUUUCAAUUUCUUUUGAAUCUUGAAGACUUAAUUUGCAUUCUUGUAGGAAUUAGAUGUGGAAUAAUUUUGCAAUGUUUGUUGUCUUAAGACCAGCACUGAUGAACGGGGAAAUAAGUUCUUAUCAACCAAGCAAACAAACUUCCAUUAUCCCAAGGAAGUCUUUCCAAGCUACUGCCUUUUAGGUUUGGAACACUUUUAGAGGUAACAAUCAAUAGGAAUUAGUUAUUCUUUCAAACUUCUUAUUGUACAAAUAUAACCUGCAUGUGCAACCAUUUAUGAUCCCAUAAUUUCAAGAAUUUAUGACACCUUCUAGUGGUUAGUUUUUCUAGGAAUAGAGUGAGACAAUCUAUUCACCCCCAAAAACCAUCGUCAGAGGAACAGUAGAUAACCCGCAAGACCAAAUUUAUGUGUGUGAAUGGAGAUGCAUGUUUUUUACAUCCCAGUCAUGUAGUGUUGUGUCAAAGGGAAUAAUAGCAGGUGAUGAUAAGUGGUAUUUCUAAAAUGUUCGAAGAAUAUUCCAUCUGUCAUGUAAUAUUGCUUUCUCAAAACUGUUUUUGAAGUCUUAUUUUUAAAUAUUAGAGUUGACCUCUUGUACACUAUCAACUGAUGUUGUAACUUAACUAGAAAGAGAAAUUAUAUAAACUUAGCCUUGGUUUGGAUCUUGAAAGAUAGCAAGCAAAGAAAAAUUAGGUUAAUAGUGAGUUGAUUUAUUCUCUUCCCAUGGAUGUAAGCACAUUCUUGAAUCACUUAAAUUAUUUUUUUCUUGUCUAUUAUUCAAUUGUCUCUGAAAAAAAAAGUGGUAUCAGCGUUUUUUCCAACACAACAAAUGAUUCAUGUGACAACUGCCAAUAAAGGAAGCACUUAAGAAGGAGUUUGUAAGGUGUUACAUGGCAGGUUGAACAAAACCAAUAGCUAGAGAGAUAUAUGAAAUAUUUGGGGGCCAUUGAUCCAACAAUAGUAGAGAAUAACAUAAGAAGAGACCCUCUAAUCACCAUUUUUGCUUUCGAUUCUUCUCUACAAAACAUCAUCUCUUUAUACAAAAAGACACCCCAUGGCUGAGCUCGUAUUAUUCUCUGCAUAUCCCAAAACUGCUCUCCAAAUUUUAGGGCAUGGUACUCUUUUGAGUGGUAUUUUUGGUACUAAAUUUAAGUAUUCUCUCAAAUACCUAAAAUGCCCUCUAGAUUUUAGGGCAUGACCCACUCUUUGAGGUGGUAUUUUGGGUACUAAGUUUUGUUAUGAGAGGUUUUGGUGUGGAAAUCGGAGGGCCUCUUGGGAAUAUGAAAUUAGAAAUGUUACACACGUUGCAUGUAUUUUCUUUUGCGUGCAUUACACUUAGAUUGGAGUUUAUGCAGUUACUCACUUUUUGUGUGUCCAACAGUACUGUAUGUCACAUCACCAUAUGAUGGGCCCUUUAGCCUUUUUUUAACCCCCUCCCCCCAAGAAAAAAAAAACCUAAUACUAAAAAUAAAAAAAUAAAAAAAAACCUAAUACUAAAAGGACCUUAGCUUGCAAACUAUGUGGAGGUAGGCCUCCACAUCCAACUUCUUAGAGGGACCAUGAUCACUUAGGCCAAGGAAGUUUGAGGCAAUAAUACGUCUACGAUGCCCUUAGAUGUUUUGGGCACAUGCACGCUACACUAAUGUAUUCAACGAGUCUGUAACCUUGACUAACAAGCUUAGGUAAUCUUUGAAAUUUCAUUAUGAUGGGGAAGGUUCCACAUGAACGACACUUGCACAUGGGUUAGUUAAUCCUAAGAGAUGGGGGAAGCUCGUCAGACAACGCGUGACACUCGAGCUUUGAAAGGUAAUUGAGUUAACAUUCCUAAACCGGGACAUGACGGUCUACAACAAUGUUAGGUAGUCUGAAGAGUCAUGUUAAUUGUUAUCGGUAUUUUUAUUUAUUCAAUAGAAAUUGAGGAUUUAAAAAAUACCACAAAAAUUAGAAAAAAAAAUUAAUUAUAUGAAUAACAUUUCAAAUAUUUAACAAAAUGUAUGAAAGUUGAAUAUCAUACACGAUUAAAUGGCUAGAUCAUCUUCUUUAGUUUUUCCAUGAUCUCAUCCUAUUAAAUGACUCAUCCAAUAUUAAUUUAUUUUAAAGGUAAAAUUAAUUAUAUUAUAAUACUUAAAUACUUUACCAUGCUAUAAUCCUCUAGCUAAUAAAUGAAAUCAAAACUUAAAAAUCAUUUUUAUAUAUAGAUAUAUAUUAUUAAGUUUAGGUAGUGAAGCAAUUAAUGUGGGUAUAAAAUUAAUGCCAAAACUUUUGAUUGUUCCUUCACAUUCUCCACAGCAAAGGAAAUAAGAAAAAUAAAGAAAGAAAUUUAGGGUAGUUUUAUUUUUUGUUCUCAUCUCAUGGUGAAAUUAAUAGAGGAAUGCUUGGGUUGGUGCUCAACAAUCAAGUGACAUCCGAUAUAAUGAUUCUUCCAAUCCUGUAAAUAUUGUCCGCUUUAAUUUUAAUGGAUCAUCAUCACUUUAAAUUGCAUUCACAUUGUUAAGAGCAAUUCAUACGUACAUAAUAUUAAGAACUUUUUCUUAUUCGAUAUGGAAUAUAAAAUUGGGUAUCUUUCUGAUUACUACCAAAAAGUGCUAUUUUGUAGACCUAAUUAUAAUGGUUUUAAGCACCUUUGAGUAGUAAUCAUAUUCAUUUAACCCAAUUAAUUCAUUAAGGUCCUUAGUAAUUGGUUUUAACCAUUUUGUGGCAAGUUUACAUGUUUAUAUCAGCUUAUGAAUCAAUUCAAGCAUGCCAAAUGAUGGAGGAGCUACUUGGACAAGUUAAAUCAAGCUUUUAGCUACACCAAAGCAAGCCAACAAAAGGAGAAAAGCAAAGAAAAGCAAAGAAAAGCAAGGAGGAAAACAGAGGACAGCAGCUGCAGUCUUCGUUGGCACUUUUGGAGCACUUCCCGAAGUCCAUUCUCUACAUGCUAUAUACCAUUUCAAAGCUCAGGAAGUCAAGAAUCCAACGCUUCAAACCGUGCAUGAUUUGGAGCUGAAACGAGGAAGAUAUGGCCUUCGGAAGACAACUGCUCCAGGUGUGCGAGAAUUUCGCACACCCCCCUUUAGCUGUGCGAAUGGUGUGCGAAGUUCGCACACCUUCUUCAGGUGUGCGAAAAUUUCGCACACCCCAUGCGUGGUGCGAAUUUUCCCCUGUUUCUGCCGACUCCACUUUAGAUCUUUUCUUUUAGAUAUUUUUGUAUAAAUUUCCAUUCUUCUCCUUGUAAUCCACCAAUCAUAAGAUUUAUUAGCUAGGAAAGUUGGAAAAACUUCUCUAUUUAUAUCCCCUUGCAUCCGUUGUAACAAAUAAUUGAUAUAUAGAUAUAUAAUACAUAUUACGUUUUACACUCUCUCGUUUUCUCUUUUCUCUUCACUAUUUUAUUUUCUUGGUAGCCAAACAGCCUCUAAGGGCUUUUCCUCAGAGGAUGAUUGGCUAAAACUUUUAGUUUCUCAAAGUAUGGAUGUUAUGUGAUGACUUGGAUGCAAUCCCAUGGAAAUUUCUCACACCCGGAAGGUAAGGUAGUCGUUUUUCAUUAAAGGUUCAUUAAUGCAAAGUUUGGUUUUUAUUUCCUUUGGACAACUUCCAACGGCCAAUACUUGAUAAGCUUUUGGAUUUCUAUCCAUUAGUUAUCUCCUACGAGCUAUUGGAAGGUGAGGUUUUCAAUUCCAAGUUUUGUAUUAAUCCGUUAGAACCAAUUUCAAUGGCCAUUGAAAGGUGAGUUUAUCACCUGGAAUGACUUUGAGUUGCCAAUAUUUGGUAAGCUUUUGGCUUUAGACCAUUAGUUAUCUCUUACGAGCCAUUCAAAGGAAGUCUAAGGUGAAUAACCAUUGAUGAAAUUCACUACCAUCUGUUUUGCCAUUUUAAAGGAUUAAAACGUGAUUUGCUAAAUCCAUACCGGUUCGGGAAGCAAGCAUCACCAUAGUUGCAACCCCAACGCGAGGAGCCUAUCCUGAGAUUUCCAAUUUGCAUAAGAGCCAGAGCAUAGCUAUCCUAUCUUUGAGAAACUUGUUUUUACACCCUUUCAUUUUAGUCUUUAAUGUUAGCUUAGAUUAGUUUAAAUCUUUCUAAAACAUUUACAUCUUCUUUUAAAGCUAACAUCCAUAAGAAAAUCACCUAUUUUCCUAACUUGAAUAUCACUUGUGUUUGCGAAAACCCUUCCCAGUGAACGAUCCUAGAACCACUAUGCUAUAGUAGCUUGGCUACUUUAGUAAUAGUAUUCAAGGUAUAAAUUUUGUUGAUACGCCUUUAAAGCUAAGCUACCAUGAGUCGCAUCACUUUCAAUUUUAGAUGUUGCAUAAGCAUUCCAACUCCUAUAUAGACACAUUGCGUAAAUAUUCUUAUUUAAUAAAAGUUUAUAUGUCAUUAAAUAAAUAUAGAAUUUUAACAUUAAUUGCAGUGCUAAGUGCAAGAGAUCUCAUGUUUAAGUCAUUGAUUAAGAUUUAUUUGAAAACUUAACAUUUGUUACUUAAAUAACUUAAGUUGACUUUAAAUUAUAUUAUAUUUAAAUUAUUUGCUUAAAAUUUAUUGUUUAAUAUUUAUUUUAAGUAUUAAAGUUAUUUGAUAAAGUUAAUUUAAAAAAUAUUUUAAAUCACAAAUUGUCAUAUUUACCUUCAUUAAUUUGAAUUAGUAUUUACAUUCAUUAAUUUUAUUUAAUAUUUAUUUUUAUUAAUCUUAAAUAAUAAAUUUGUUUAUUAAACAUUUAACAGAUUCAUAAAAUAACUACACAAUAUUCACAAUAAUAAAUGAGUCAUGAAUUUGAAGUCAUGAUUUUAAAAUGUACGCUAACAAGAUAUGAACAAAUGAGACAAAAAAAAAUGAGAUUAAAAAUAAGUUAAUUAUUUUGAUUUAACACUUAAAAUUAAAAGUAACUUUAAAUUAUAAUAUUAAGUUAUUUUAGCAAAUAUAUUUAAUCUAUUUAAUGAAUUAAAUUAAGUUAUUAAGUCAAAUGAUUACCAAACACCCUAUUAAGACCCAGAAAAUGGAAUGAGUUUUAAUAGUAUUCAGGAUGGGCAUGACUAGGUGGUGGUUCAAUGCUGAUUAAUCAUAAUUUAAUCUAAGCAAAAUAUGUAACGAAACUCAAACUGCACUAUCCAAAUGGGCGCCAAGAACGUUACAUUUGACAAAUGCCAGUAAACCUCUACAGCUAGAAAUUAAAAGAUCACUCUCUUGUUGUAUCUCUCUUUUUCUCCAAGCCCCGGAAGGAAAAACUCGAACCCCAUUAUUUUGAUCACAGAAAAAGUGGCAAAAAAGUGUGUUGUAGUUCAUCUUGAAGCUCAUUAACUUCAUCUUAAUUUGAUCCAAAUUGCAGAAACAUGGGAAACUCCAUGAAUCUAUGGUGCUAUGGUGGCCUACAUUCAUAUAACUGGGGACACUUUGGUUUAAACUACAAUGACCCCAAACAGGGUUUGUAGAGACUUCAUCGAGAUCACUAGCUUCAAAAGACUGAGGAAGAAAGAUGUUCUCAAUGAAAACUUGGUGUCAAAUUGCAGAUAAAGACCUAAAAAUCCCACUUAAUGUGUUCUAGGAAUUGUUGUUUGAUAGGGAGUAAGAACAGAGUGCACGAGUUUUGGGGUGGGGUGAUACCUAAAGCACUAGAGUAGCACGUGAUCAAGCCUCACUUAGUGAAAAGCUGUUUGGUUUGUACAUGUCUGCUUAGUGAUACUUAGGAUUGGCGAAGUAUACAUCUCCUUUGUGAUCAGGUUUGUAUAUGGGCAGAUGAAUGUUCAUGUGAGGUUCAUAUAUGUUUCUGAUACAUAUCACCCUGGAAGAAUCUAGAUCAAGGGGAUGAGUUUCUAAGCUUGACUAGGUUUGAGAUGUUUGAGAAUUGGUGAGCAUGAUAUAUAUCAUGAUAUUGCAGAAGACAACAGAGCUUCUGAAAUAUGUCAGGUUCAAUAGUAGGAAAUCUUAUCAGCUGUCACUUACUUUAAUCCUAUGAUCUCAAUAUUCAUUUGUUGAAGAAGAAAGAGGUAUCUUGAAAAAAAUUUGCUUUCACACUAUUCAAUUACAAGAGGAUGUUCAAUUAUAGAAGAAAAUAAUAUUCACUAGACUCUUUCAACUUAAUCAACAUGCAGGGAAAACCAGUCGGGUGACCAAUUAUUCACAUAAUAACUUAGGUGGUGUUUGUUUUUUUGGCUUUUUGCUGAAAACCAUUUAGUUUUAGAAUUUAGGUAGUUUGUUUUUUUACUUUUUCAUAACUUAUCAUAAACUUUUUACUAAAUAGAAAAAGCCAAAAUAUGUGGCUUUUUCUAAAUAGAAAAAAUAACACAAUGGUUUUUUUUACUUUUUAAUACUUAAUAGAAAUAAAAUACUACAAAAACAAACAACCUAAUAUUUAAUACUAUUAAGUAUUAAGGUUCUAUUUAGAAUUAAGUAAAAAAACAAACACCACCUUACUGUCUUUCUACCUCUACUUGUUAAUCAUCAGCCAAGCUUAUAGUAAUAUAAGCUUGGGUUCAUCUCUCUAUGCCACUGAUGACAACUCCACAUGGGCUUCCCCUUCUGGUGAUUUUGCAUUUGGAUUCCGACCGUCUCCAAGUGAAAAGGAUCUAUUCCUUCUUGCUCUCUGGACUGCAAAUGGAAGUUAACCGGCGCCAAGAGGAUCAAAAGUCGAGCUUGCUACCAAUGGACAGCUUGUUCUCCAGAGGCUAAGAGAUAUGGAAGACAAAGACUGGUAAUGUGAGCAGCAAAGCAGUGCAUGGUGCCAUGCUUGGAGAUGGAAAUUGUAUACCUGUAUAUGGGAGAGCUUCAAGCACCCAACUAAUACCAUAUUGCCAACUCAGGGAUUGGUGUUGGAGCCUACUGUGCAGUUGCCAUUUUUGAGAACCUGAGGUUUGCAAAUGGAACUGGUGUAUGAGUUUAUGCACAAUGGUUCUUUAUCAAGCUUCCUUUUUGGAGGCGCCCAAGGACUGGUGUACCUACAUAAAGAAUACAGUAAACAGAUCAUCCAUUGCGACAUAAAGCCCUCAGAACGUAACUCUUGGAUGAUUCUUUUACAGCCAAAGUUGCAAACUUGGACUGGGAAAGCUUCUGAUAAGCAACCAGACUAGAACACUCACAGGCAUCAGAGGGACUAUGGGGUAUAUUCAGACAACUCGGGCAGCCUAUGUCUCUUAUAAUAACACGUUAUGAAGCAUCAGCUCAAUGCCGGGGUUCAAUCUGCAAAGCAAGGGAUUCAUCAAUGUUUCCUUCAAACUAAAUGAUAAGGAACAGAAAUGGAUCAUUCUGCAUUUUCAGUGGUGUUUGUUAUAGCAUUUAUACAAGAACUCUAGGGGUUUCUAUGUAUAACUUCAUUCCCAUUUUGUAUAAUCCAAAUCUCUUCAAUCGAUUAAAUGUAUAAAUGAAUCCUAUUCAUUGUUUGGAGUAACAACAAAAUUCUGGAAGACUGGGAAAGUUUCAACACUGGAGAGAAGACAAAAUGACCAGACCAUAAAUUCUGGAAGAGGGCUUUGCUUUCUAACCAUUACCAUAAUUUUAGAGCUCAACCCGGAUGAGUAAAUUAUAUUUCAGAAUGUUCAGGAGAUAAUUCUAAAGUGAUGAACCUUCUACUCACAGUUUUUUGUUCUUCUUGAACAGAGCAAUGAACAUCAAUAGUUCAGCACCCAGGAAUCUCCCCUUCCUCCAAUUCCCCCACUGGGAAAAGUCACCUUUCCAGUUAAGAAAAUCAUCAGGAUUAAUUUGAGCAAAACAUCAGAGUAUACAUCAAGAAAGCCUUGAUCAAAAUCAAAAUACAUCAAGAGCUGCCAUUUUCUUCUAUUUCCUCUUCCCUGAAUGGAAUGCCUUUUGGACUGAGGUGAUCAAUGGUAACAGUCUAACACACUCCUUAAGCUCUGAUUGAGGUCAACGGGGAUUGGCACAUUUAAUGACUUUGAAAUCAUAGCUGUGUGAAGGGAGGCAAACAUGAAUCUCAGGAUAAUCAACAAGUCAACAACUAUCAAUCAGUAAGGAAAAGGAAAUACCUUUGGAUAUUUACAAAUCAAAAAAUUGAGAGUCCAGCUUCUCUGUACAGAAAGGCUUGAGCUUAUUCCAUGGCCAGUCUGAAUUACGGAUGAGAGGGUUGAGUUUUCUUUCAUUCUGCAAUAAGAUUAAAAACAUCAAUGAAACGCUAAAAGUUUAUAUAUAGAAGCCCUUUAAAGAUGAGAAUUGGUCAGAGAGCUCACCCAUGGUCUAGUAAAACAACAUCUGUUAGAUAAGUAACCACCAUUCUAUUGUCCAGCUAAUGCAUUUAGAUCUAAGAUAAGCUAUGGAAAAAUAGUCAAAAAUAGCUAAAGACAGUCCAAAAACUCAUUUGACUAAUAAUUUUCUAAAAACAGUAACAUAAAACCUGGAUGAAGAAUCCACCCCUCUACCUCACACCACUGCAAUGCCAAAUAAAAUGUUACAAUGACCAUAUAUGGUCUUAAGAGACAAUGGGUGUUGUUUGGGCUCAAGACCUAAGACAAGCCAAAAAACAAGAAGAAAACAACAUCAAAAAUAGAUGGCAAAAUAGAAGGAUAAGGUCACAGACAGGACAAUAUUAAAAGAAAUUAUUAUUUUUCCGACCUGAAAAUCAAGGCAUUCAGAAGAGUACAAGUUUGUAAGUAGUCCAUGGAAACCAGGGAACAUAUGCAGAUGUUGUACUCUAUUGCAUAAGGCAAACACUCAAUACUUACAAGCAUAAUCAUGCCCAGAAAGCCGUGAAUCCCUUUUUGUUUUGCUUUUUUACCUAUUCCCAUCUCUUAUGGCCAGAAGUUCCUUCUGUGGCUGGUUUGUUGUGAUGGCCAUUUCGGGUCCUAACAGACUUGCUAUUGUUGUCUGGGCACCUGCCUCAGAGAAAGCCUGCCAAAGAUCGGAGUCUGGGCCAGGGGAAACGGAUUUUCUUUGCUGGAGUUCCCAGUCUGUUGCUUCAAUCUUUUCUCUGUGCUGUUAUGAGAAGAAAACCUAUCAGACACAUGAAUGGGUACAAAAAGGUAAACUUCAGGUUUUGGUUGUAUUGAAAAGCACAGGAAACUUCACAAGAGGCAAAUUAUACCCCAGACUUAUUGAAGAAAAAUAAAGUACAAUUGACUUACCCAAAUGUCUACUUUCUCAUUUAUAGGUUUCCUCCUAAACAAAUCCCCACAUCUAGGACAGGAAAAGGAAGAAACUGGGAGUCGACAUUUUUUCAACCAAAAGCACUAACUUAUCAAAAAACAUAGUUUUCCAUUCAAUGCCCAUUUCUUCAGGCUUCUUAAAGUGCUUAUGAUUGGUGGAGGUUCUUCCAAAAUCACACAACUUCCAUAAUCCAUUAGGGCCCAAUAGAAGAUUCUCAGCAUUUAUAUAAGAACUUCAGGGUUUAUACAUAUGAUCAUGUUACAGUAUAAAUCAUAGUGAACUGGUGGAAUUUGAUCAUUAGCCAACCUCAUCAAAAACUGUUUCACAGUUGAGGGGAUUGUUAACCUUGCCAUGGGCCAAGCAGCAAUUUCUGAAGAAGCUGGGUGACAAAGAGUACCAUCAUUUGGACUAGUUUCAAUGGAAAUUCCUCUGUUUCUAUACAUGAUAUCUUCAGCUUCAGCUUUUCCUUUUGCUUUGACAUGGCUGAAACUGAUCCUGAAAUCAAAAAUCCCAUGCAAGUAGAUAUUUAACAGAAGAGGAUCCGAAUCUCUUCAAUUGAUUAAUGUAUAAAUGAAAUAAUCAAAAUUUUUAGAGAUAAUUAUAGGGAGAUGAACCUUGUACCUCUGAGUUUCUUAGUCUUCUUGAACAGAGCAAUGAGCAUCAAGUGUUGAGCACCCAGGAAUCUCCCUUCCUCACAGGGAAAAUCUGAACAAUCUAUCUUUCUUCAUAUUCCACUUCCUUGCAAAAGUCAUAACAUGAAGAAAAUGUCAUCAAAAUUGAGACAAAAAUAAGUGCAUCAACUGUCUCAAGAAGAGAUUUAUGCCUAUUGCUUACCUUUUGCAGAAGUCCACUUGGUUAGAGCACAUUUUACAUGGACGCCCAAUCACUGCAAGCUGCUGAACCAAAGGAGAGUUCAAACAUCUAAAAAAUUUGACUAACUCAAGUAUCAUAAAAUACUUCACAUGAAUUCCAAAUGAUCUCAUAUCUAAAAAACAUUGACAUAAAAUUAUUGUUGUUUACCUUACAUGUUUCUUCCAUGGUCAUAAUCGAAACUUUGUUUAUCAUAAGAAAUCUUCUAUGCUCAUCCUGAUUACUUACAAUGAACAUUGAAAUGAAAAGACAAAAAACACAAAAAAUGACGAUUAGUUUGGUUUGAUAAUUUUUUAAAAUUAGAAAUUAUAAAACUAUUUUGGUUCUCAGAUUUAUCGGAAAAUUGAGGGAAAAACAAAAAUCUAAGAGAAAUUUAUUUAACACUUAUGAGGAACCAAAAAUGUUUUAGAUGUUGUCCAAUCGAUAAUUUAAACGUGUUUAAUUUCAAUUAAAUGAGUUUAAUCAAACACAUGAAAUUGUGAAUAAAAUUAUUUAAAAGCAUUGAAAUUCAAGUCAAUAAAGUUGUACAUAAAAUUUGAUAUAUUGAAGCAAGAAAAAAACAAAGCAAUUUGAAUGACUUGCUAAUAAAGCAACUAACUAGAAUAUGCCCUACAGUUGUUCUGUGCCCUGUAUAUAAGAAAUUUAAAAAAAACAUUCCUAGAAAAAAAACAAACAAAAUAUCCAUGGUUCUUACGUUAUUUUUUUCUUAAUUUUUCAAUAGUUAUAAAUGGUUCAUUUAAUUCUUGCAAACCACCAAAUCAAAACAGAGCAUGAAAAUGUGUUCAAUAUUUGUUUCAGGCUUGAAGCUUCAAGAAAAAGAAAACCUUAAAUCAAAUAAACAGGACUAGCGAAUGAAUUGGAACUUGAAAGAAAAGUUCAAGCGCAAAAGAAUUACUUGACUCUAUAUUGGCGGAGUGGCACUUUGAUUAAUAUAGCACAUUAUUGAUCAAUAUUCUUGGAAUGUGAGCUAUAUAACGCCAUUCUUCCCCUUUCUCAAAUCCACCGUUUUUCCCCUUUCUCAAAUCGAUGAAAAGGUAGCAUAUAUUUUUCAUUUCCUAAUUAUAUCAACUACUUCAUGGUGCCUUUGUCUGAUAAGCUUAAUAGUUCUUCUACAUUUCCACCAUCUAAUUCUCUAACGUUCAUCAUGAUAGGGUUGUAAAUUUCAUCAUCAAAUCAAAACAUAUCCUCCUAUAAGAGGCCUUUGAAUUAUGAAAUAAUCAAUUCACUUGAUUCUCAUAUUGGCAAAGACAAGCUUACACUAUUGGAAAGACUACCCCUCACCUUUGCCUUCCCAAAUAGCAAAGAUGAGAGAGAACCUUUCACAAAAUCACAAGAAUUAUUCAAGUUUGGAAUUCAUAGGCAUUGUUAUUGAAUUUCAGUUGUAUAAAAUUGGUGUGUUGUGUUUAUUUUGUUGGUAUUAAAAUUGAAUUUUUUUAAUUGCAAAUUGAUGAUUUUUUCUCUCUCUCACAUUUAUACCCAUUAGAGUUUCUUAUUAGGGUUUGUGUUUGAAAUUUGGAGAAAGUAUGGUGCAAUUGUUCACCGGUGUGGUGUACCAUCUUGUUUGUUGUAUUUGAUCUUUGGGUAUUUGAUUUAAUUUUGUUGUUGUGAAAUUGAAAGUUGAAAUCCAAGUUAAUUGUUUAACUAGCUAUUUGUAGUUGACUUGUUUGCACCGAUCUUGAUUAUCCAUUUCAUGGGAAUAAUUGAUUCCAAUUUUCCUUCAUGGUUACUGAAAAUAUAUUGUGGGUGAAGGACUAUUAUGGAGUAUAUUUAAUUUACAAGAUUGAAUAUUGAACAAAGAUAUGCCCUAGGUCUAGCUUAUAUGGAAUAGCAUAUCUUACAUUUAUUUAAUUAAAUAUACUAUACAAAUUUUGGUUAUAUAUAAUAUCUAUGUUACAAAUUUGGAUAAUUCGAAGUCUAAGUGACUUCAUAUAAUUAUUGUUACAUCUUAAAAAUGAUUUCACAAAUUAGAAUUACAAUGACUCCUACACACCUUAGAUUCUAACUCAAAUUCUCACUUGAUUUUAUUUUAUUUUUAUUUUUAUUUUUUUGUUUUCAAUCAAUUAAUAAUAUGUUAUGGGCUAGUUUAGCUUAUAGUUGAGAAGAAUUUUAUCUAAGAGCACCUCAAUUUGAAGCAAAUUGAAGAAAAAAAAUGACUUAUUAUACCUUAUGAAAGAUAAUAUUAUUAAUUUCCAUGUUUUUUUUUCAAAUAACCUUUUCAUGACAUGAACUUAUAUGGAACAUUGUUGUAUUAAUUGAUUAGGAAAUCACUAAGCCUAAGGAAGUGAGAAAAUUUAAAAGGGAAGGAAUGUCACCAUUGCAUUUUAGCACAAAGAAAGAUGAUCUCUAGCUAUGACGAAAAUUCAAGAAAUGAACAACUUCCAUUAAAGAUGAAGGCACAAUUGGGUGACAUUUAAAAAAAAAUAACAAAGGAAGUUAUUGUUUUAGCUAGGGAUAUGUUUUUUUUUUUUUCAGACUUCUUGUGUUACUCAUAUAUACAAUAUGCAAUGUGAUUUCUCUUUUAUAUUAUAAAUUUAUUACUCUUAGCACUUCAUUUAUGGGAUAGAUAAAUAAAAAUUACUUUAAUUUUAUUUAAUUAUUGGAUAGUUGUUGGAUGGAUAAAUGAUUGUUAUUUUCUUUAUAUUUGAGUUAUUUCAAUAUCAAAUGCCAAUUAAAAUAAAAGAGCAAUAGGUGAAGCUAAUUUUAGAUUGUCACAAUCCUUGGCACUUCCACUAAGUGUCAAGGUUUAGAGCAAUCAACAAUGGAAAAGGUGAACAAUGAUACUUCCAAAAGACGUCAAGGUUAUUUCAUCUUGAACAAUAACAGUUUUUGUAAGUGUCAUUAUUUACAAAAUCAACAAUAACAUUGGCAAAUUGGUACACCUCAAUGCUUCUAAAAAACAUCAUUAUUUGUUCCAUAUUUACAAUGACGCUAUUAAAAGUGUCAACAUCGCUAAACACUCUUUACAAUGACACUCGAUUUCAUGGCGCUUUUAAGAAGUGUAAUGUUUGUAGAAACUUAUUAUUGAUCACCGACUUUUUGCAACCAUACAACACUACAUAACCUUAAUACCUAUUGUUCAUUAUGAUGUUGUAAGAACAUAUGCCUCUAUGUGACCUAUUAAAUAAACUGGUCUUAUCAACUGAAAAAUGUUCCUCUAGUUAGUAAAAACUUCAUUCAUGUGGUCAUUUAUGAGCAUCAUAAUAAUCCAUAUUAAAAAUAUUUAAAAACAUUAAUGCACUAAAACAUUGAUUUCAUCAACAAAAUUACACUCAUUCUUUUGACUUAUAGCAUUCAAAGAUGUUUAAAAAUAUAUAUGUACAAUAAAACAUCAUCAAAUUUAUUAACAAUUAAACUUUUAACCCCAAAACAAUCCGCUACUUUAGUAGAUAAGACACUAUUUGGAAUAACAUUAUUUUUAGCUCAAGUUAGAAGUUAAAAUGAUAAGGUUAAAAGAAUAAAACCAACAAAAAAAGAAGAAGUUAUUUUUUGUCAAACUUGACACUAGUUCAAGUUAGAUAAUGUAGCUCAACGCCCUAUUGAAUUGAGUCAUAUAACUAGACUCCCUAAUUAUAUAUUAUGAUACACACACAACCUUUGGUCUAGUAUACAUGAUUAAAUUAAAUGCCCAACCUAGUUUGCAAAGCUAAACUAGAAUCCCAAAUCUAGUUCAUUAUAAAUGCUCUUCAACCAACUUGCUAUAGCAUUCAAAUAAGACAAUGACAAUGAUAAAAAACCAAAAAAAAUACCUAAUAUAUCAUUGAAAACUCCUUCCUAAAGGAGGUAAAAAAAAAAUCAUGAAGUAACUUUCUUCUAUUAAUAAAAAAAUGGGAAUACAGUGAUCUAUAUAGUGUUUUAACUCGAAACUUAUGGUAUUACAAAUAUUAAAGAAGCGAUUUAAAACACACACACACACAACAAGCAUGUUGUCAAGCUUAUAAAAGUUGGAGAAAUCUCUACAUAUAAGUCUUCAAAACAUGAUGGAGAGUAACCUUGACAUUUAAGUCAACAAUAUACAAGGAAAGGCAACCCAAAAAGAUACAACUUUGAGAACAAACCCUUCUUUUUGCUUUUUUACAUAACCCCUUUUUUUUUUUUCUUUUUGAAAACUUCUCUCAUUUCCUCUAAUUGUUACACUACACAACAAUCCUAAAAAAACAGAGUUUAAAGGUCUGUUUGAUAAUUGUUUUUAAAAAUAAUUUUGAAAAAUAGUUUUUGAAAAUUAUUCUUUAAUGUUUAAUUUGUAGAACAAAAGUUUGUUUGGAAACCCUAAAUAUUUUUAACAUGUUUUUAAUGUUGUUAAAUAUGUUUUAAAUUUUUUUUUUUUAAUGUCUAGUAUUUUAUUUUUAAUCAUUCUACAUGUUUAUAUAAUUAUUUUUUAAGACAACCCUUAAAAAAUAAGUAAAAAUAACAUAAAACAGUUAAAAGAUGUUAUCUAAAAACACCUUAUUUUAUUAUAGCAGAAAAUAAAAAAUGGUUUUUGGUUGUCAAACAUGUUUUCUUAGUUUUUUUAUUCUGAAGAAUAAAAAAUUGUUCUUGAAAACAGUUGUCAAACAAGAAUCUUUUCAUGUUAGUCUAAGUAUCACAUUAGUUAUUGCUUAAAAACUAGUCUUUCAACUAAAAAAGAAGGUCCACUACUUAUGGGUCAAACCUUCAACUUUCAAACCUCAACACAGUUAUAGUCAAGACUAAUAUUCACAUAUUAGUAUUAAUAUAGUUCAUUAAAUAUGAAAUUUCUAUAGAAGCCAAAAUCAAGUUUUUAGGGGAAGUAACAUUCACUUUCAUAAUAAGCACUUUUUAACUCAUAAGUUAGUACUUGCAACAAGAUUUCUUAAUAGAGACUUUAAUUGAGUUUUAAGAAGAAUUUUUUGUUUGUCAAAAACCAAUUCAAACAAAAUCUAAAACUAAUAUUAUUAUCUAAAAGACAUAAUGAACAACAUAAACCAUAAACUAAAGUGGUAGUGACAACCAAUACGUAGCGUUAAUGAAUAAUUGAAAAUAGCCUCAUUUUCUAAUGACCUCAAACCUAGAAGCUCUAAAAUCCUUGCCUAAUUCUUUGUGAUGACUUUAGUUCAACCUUAUUGGCGAGGGCAAAAUUCUAAAUAAUUUUUGUCACAACUCAUAAAUUUAGAAGAAAAAAUGAAAAUAAAUGGAAUCCCUAAUGAGAAAUUGUUAUUUUUCCCCUUUAUGACAAAAAUAGUAACCAACUAGUAUUAUUAAAUAACAUGGAAAUUGUUUUUUCAACUUUAAUACCAUGUAUGACAUAACUUUAAUAACCUUAAUUUAUAAGAUUAUUUAAUUUAAAAGGAUAAAACAAUUACAUAUUCAUAAGAAUCACUUCUAUUUUUUAAAAACAAUAAAUUCCAUUUUUUGGACAAAAAUACGCUCCAUUGUUUUUAUCAACAUUUCAUAAUCAAACAAUUAUUGGAAAAAAAAAAAAAAAGGUAUAAGGGUAGCUAUAUUAAAAUGAGGUUAUAAUUAUAAUACUCAAUAAGUGGAGAUUGUUUUUCCUAAUAUUGGGAUCAUCUUGUCCAUUUGACAUAAAAAAAUUUAAUUUAUAUUAUAAUUACUCUUAUAGUAAGAGAGAGAGUAAUUUCACAUGAAAUGGACCCAUAAACAUAGGUUUAUUAUGAGGCAUGAUACUAUAAUAAUAAUAGGAAAUAAGACGAGUGCUACCAUAAUAAUAGAAAAUAAGAUAAGUAAUUCAAUACUUAAUAAAGGUCUAAAACAAUUAUGCUCUCAUUAAAUGAUAUUAAUGAUGGAAAAAAACUAAGGGGUGUUUAACAAAAUUUAAUAUUUAUUACUUCAUGAUUUAAGUUGACUAUAAGUUAAAUUAUAAUUAAGUUGUUAAUUUAAAACUUAUUAAUUUUUAUUUUAAAUAUUAAGACUACUUAAUAAAAUUAAUUUAUAAUUUAUUAAGACUGUUUGAUAAAAUUAAAUUAAAAUUUAUUCUAAAUUAUCAAAUUGAUAUAUUUAUUUUCAUAAAUUAGAACUAAGGCAAAGGAGAUCAAGUAACAAUGAAUGUCGUGGAGUAGUAAAAAAGAUCCUAGAGGUAACGGGAUAAAUUAUGGUAAAAAAUGUCAAAUAAAAAUAUGAAUUUAAGAAUAAAUUAAUUGUUUGUACUUAUUACUUAAAGUUGUUUUUUAUUUUAUAUCAUUAAGUUAUUUUAUUAAACAUGUUUAAUUUAUUUAAUGACUUAAAUUAAGUUAUUAAGUCACUUUAGGCUAUAUAAUCGGUUUACCAAUCAUAUGGAGUACAUUUGGCUAGUAGGCCUGGAGUCAAGAAUAUUGCUAUCAUAUGUUUUAUGUAUUAAGGUGCCAAGAAUAAUUGACCACAAAAUAUAUGAUUGAUAAGUAUAGGAUACAAUCUAAAAAAUGCACUUGAUUUCAUCAUCUAAAUAAAUGCUCUCGGCAAAUGGAUCAUCCUAGCUGAAACCAGAGCACAAGCCGCCAUGGACAGGAGGCAACGGAGAAACCCUUCUGCUUCUUCUUCUGCCUUUUCAUCUCCAGCUUCAUCCUCAUCGCGUUUCCGCUCAGAGAAAUUCUCCUCGAAUCCCCCAAAAACUAGUAACUCCCUGGAGGAUGCUCACCAAUUGAAAAGCAAAUGUGGGAAGCCACAAAGACCAGAGCAAGAGGAGGAAGAAAAGCAAGAUCCGAGCAAUCUUCUCUCCUUAGUUGGAACUUGCCCCUUCAUGUGCCCUGGUAAAAAUGCGUGCUUAUUUUUCCAUUUUUUUAAAUUCUAUUUUCCUGUUAUUCUGUGUUUGGUUUCCGAGAAAUUGGAGGAAAACAGUAGAAAAGAGAAGUGAAUCUGGAGUUUGUGUCAUUUUUGUGGCUUUUACAUAAAUUUUACAAAUAAAAUUGAUAUUUCCCCCCCUUUAUUAGAUACCAAUCUGCAGAAGAUGUAGGAAUCCCAAAAAAAAAUUCGCUUUUGCCUUUACUUCCCCCAAAUCUUUCAUAAUGGAAAAUGGACUUACCACCUCUUUUAUCACUUUUCCUUUACCAUGUCAGGUUUACAUGUAAUCAAACACUGUAUUUGGAGUAGAGCACUUAUCCUAAUGUCAAAUGGUGUUGAAAACUUGAAUUACUGGAUCUUAAGACUCCAGAAGAAAUUUAAUUGUUUAUGAUUAUUGCUCCAUGAGAAGGGAAAGGGAUUUCUUUUGUUUUUGCUUACAUAUAUGGCCAAAUUGAUCUAUCUCCUUCUCAUACGAACAAAAUAAGGACAUUUCUUGUCUUGCUGCCUUUUAUGCCACCGGUUCCACAUGCUGAUGUGACAACCCUUGUGCUAUUCUGUACAAAUGGUAGGAAAAUUCUGGUAAGACUGGUGGCCAGCCUAUCAUGUUCAGAGAAUAAAUUCAUUGUAUAUCUGGAAUUCACUCUAUAUCAGCAUAGGGUGUUGAUAUUGAUUAUAAAUGACUAAAUUCAAUUUAUUAUCCUUACAUUAGGGAGUGCUAAAAGGAUGCAAAUUGUUCGUGUUAUACCCAAAGACAUACAAGUGAUGCUAGAGAUUUUCACAAUGUAGAUAAUCAUAGAGUAGAGAUGAACACUAUGGAGUCCUUUGGCAUGUGUUCAUUCCAUGUAUGGGAACAUGCAUUGGAAGAUUAUGUUUCCUCCUCCCUCCCCUCCCCUCCCCAAAGUUAAUACUAUGUUGUCAUGGCAAGAACUUUGGUGACAUGCUUCUGAGUGGAAUAGCCUCCUAGAAGUCCAUUUAUGUGGCAAUUGGCAAAUUCUUCCAGUCAAUGAGAACUUUGUGACUGUCUGAUUGUUGUACUAAUCAUCAUCAGAUUUUUUUUAAGUUCAAGUUGCAAAUAGCCUUUCACAGUUGAAGGUAGCAAUGAAGAGGCCUGUUGACAUAAUUAUUUCUUCUGCUUGAAUGGAUUAAAAUCAGAUACCACACCUUCAGCCUAGAAAACUAUGGACUUUCCUAUGUACCUGCAAUUGGCUGAAUACUGGUGUGACACUGAGCAAAGGCUCUCUGAUGCUGUUAUUAAUUUCCCGAGCAAAUAAGAGAAAACAGAGAGGUCAUAAUGUGAAUCAGUUACCUGUUGAGUAGGGAUGAAGGCUUUUUAUAUUUUUUUACUUUCUGGUUAGGCCUUGGAAGCACUUCUGUGAACCAUGAUUUUGUACUGUAAAAUUAGAUGGGAUGGAUAGGUCACCUUAACUCUACUUUUGGAAGUGAUUCGGGAGUGCAUGACCGUAUGAAUAUUGAUGUAUUCUCCCCAUACAGAGCCCAACUUCUUUUUGAACUAGGAAGCAUGAAGGGUGGGUGGAUGUGGGCUGAGGAAGGAAGAUUUGAAUUGUGUGCUGCAGGCCUGCAGUACCAAUUUGUUCCAGAACUUGAUAAGGCCCAUAAACUGGUAGGCAAGUUUCAUUAUUUGGUCACCACUGAAUUUCGGCAGUAUGGCCACAAGGAAGGUAGGAAGGAGAGGGAGAAGAGAAAACCCCAAUUGCCAAUUGCAAUCUUCCAGUUGGCACAGUGCUCAUUUGCUGACAUUUCCAUUUGAUUUUGACCUUGCAACAGAUACAGCUUAACGUGAUGGACCAGUUUUUCGCAAUCUUGUGAUUCAUUACCCAACUUCUAGUAACAGUUUCUCAGCAGAUGACUCACCCAUGACAGGCUGAUGAUGUCUGCACACAACUUGAAAGGUAUAUAUGCCAAGGUGUGAAAGGUAAUAUUGUGACACCGUUUUUCCUAUUCCAGAAAAUGUACCAAAUGUAUGGCUGGUUCUUGACCAAAAAAUGCUGGCAUUGGUCACCAAGUGCUAGAGUGAUUCUUGACAAAAAAUGUUUGUAUUGUUCAGAACAAUGAUUUACAACUUCAGAUUGGCCAUCCAGUUAACGAUGAUAAGCACUUGUUUUACAAAGUUCAGUGUCAUAAAAGCAAAAUAAUUUUGUCAACAAAUAUGGGGAUAACUUUAUCAUAAUUACUACUUAUGGAAGUUAAGGAUAAGUUGGGUAAUGUGAGAAAGCUUUGGUCAGAGGAUAUGAGGAUAACUUUGUUGCAAUUGCUAAGCUGCACGUCCUAGGACUACUAGGAGAAAAGUAUGAGCAACAGAAUGAAUUUACAGUCCAUCCCCACUAGCUGCAUGGAGAGGUUGGCCUUAUUGCUGCUAUGGUGGAGGUCACCUUCUUGUAGACUUUGAAAUGUGCAAAUGAAGAGGCAGAUUUCUUAGAAGAAUGGGUAGGAUUCAGCUUGUGGUAGAUAUUGAGCUUAUCGCCUCUAAUUUCAUGUCUUCUCAAUGUGGAUUUGAGGUUUAACGAGAUUUUUGGGAAAUCAUUAAGAUUAAAAGUAAUCGAAGACUUCCACAUUAAUGAGGUAAUGAAUAACCACUGAUACUUCUUCACCCCAAAGUUCCUUCACAAAAAUUUGGUGAGUGAAGAACUAUUACUGAGUUGUGAAGCACCAAUUCCAGCUUCAUUAUCUUGAUCUUCAGAAAGAGGGGUCCAACUUGAUUUGGGAUUUUAUACCUGUCAACCCAGUCACUAGUUUUUAGGAGAAUACUUCCAAUUUACCCUUGGGUUGCUUUAGGAAGUUUCUUAAUAGUGCCAUCUCUCUAGCUUAAGGGGCUUUUGUUAAUGGAAGGCAAAUUCUAGAUGUGGUUAUCAUUAGUAAUGAAAUCCUAGAUAAAAAAUUCUGUUCUAAGGACAAAGGGAUGGUUUUUAAAAUAGGUUUUGGGGAAGUUUAUGAUCACAUAGAUUGGGGUUUCAUGUAUGAUACAUACUUUGAAUAGGGAAGGCCCUUGAACCUGGAUGGCACAAAGGGACUGGAUAUUUUGAGGCUGUUUUUCAAACUGCAGACUCUUUAAUGGUUAUUGAAGCUGAGUGAUUAGCACUCGAGGAAGAUUCGGACAUGGUUGUUUGCCUGGAUGUAAUGAACCUCCUUAUUGAAGGGGAUUCCUUUGUUAUUGUCUUAGAACCCUCUUUGAAGGCAAAGGUCCUUAGUGGAUUGCUCAUCAGAUGGGGUGGCUUCAUAAUCAUGCUAGAGACAUUGCUUGUUCUUCUCUAUUGAGGCCCAGAUCAGCUAGCCAGGUGCAUGGCUAUAUUUUUCUUAUAGGGAUGCUAAUAUCUGAAAAUUUUUAUUGAGAACACUUACUGCUCUUUGAUUGGCUUGAGGCAUGGAGCGGCUUUUCUGUUCUCUUCUUGCCAUACAUGCAUAUCAUCCCUCUUUUUUUUAUCUUGUUUAACUCAAUAAAUUCUCAUUUGUUAUAAGGAAAAAAAGAGAUAUUAUGUUACAUGAUGGAAGGACUUUAUUCUGUUAUGGAGUAUGCAAAACCUAGAUCUAUUAGCUAGAGCUAUACAGUAGGCUGUUGGGUUGUUCAGUAUUGUCUCUUUUUUCGAUAGGUUUGGCCAAUGCCCCUUGAUGUUACUUUUUGGUAAUGUAAUUUUCUUUGAUUUUUCUUGAAACUUCCUCAUUUUUCAAGCUUGCUUGUAUAUCUUUUCUUCUUCCAUUAAUGAUUGUUUGAUUCCUUACUAAAAUAAAUAACAAAUUAUGAUGCAAAGGAUUACGUUUAUGGAAAAUUUUGAGAUUUUCACCAGAUUAGAGUCUCCGAAGCUGGUACUUGUCUUGACACAGAUAAUAGGAAUCAUUUUCCCCCCAAACUACAUAAGACAUGUCUGCUACUUGGUAAUGUUCCAUUGGCAGUUAUAAACUCUCCUGUAAAAUGUGAAUCUGUUGUAGCAUUCCGAAUGGUGUUGUGUCGUACAUAGAUUGGUAAUUGAGGACUUUAUUAUGGAUUUUGUCCUGUUUUGGUUGUGCCAACAAGUUCUAUCCUGUUCUUUGUCUUGCUGAUUUGGGUGGUUGUGCAUCAUGUUCCUACCAGCUGUAUAAUUAUGCUUCAGGAGCAUAGUUAUUCUGGUUUUACCAUCCAGAUGAUGGUACUAAAGUAUUUGUAUUCUAGAUUGCACAACUCCUUAUAUGGGAUAUUUUUGCACCAAAUGCUUAGUGAUCAAGAGAACUCUCAUAUUAAACACAUUCAUCUUCUAUUAAACUAAAUUCCUUAAGUAUGCAGUCUCACAACUACAUCAUACCAUUCUUUUCCUUUUUUCUUCCUUUCUUGCUAUUACAGGUUGGUUGCCACUAAUAUAGUAGAAAGCAAAUUACACGACCCUGCUUCCAUAAGACCUUUCUUAUUCCAUAGGUUGAAAUAGAAAAAACACUCGAUGGGACUAAUGUUUCUCUUUGCAACCAAGCAAAUUAAAAUGUUUUGAAACCCAUGCUGCCAUGAUCUAGCUAAUUUGCAUUUUAUAUGUCUACUCCUUUCUAUUUACUCAAAUUGUGUAUUUCUUAUGCUUGUAUUUAUUUCCUGAUGAGUUUAUUCUGAUUCUUUGAUCAGGAUUUCUGCAAUCACAUUGCUUGCUAUUGAAUUUUCAAUGGCUUAAUAUGAAUUAUUAACAAAGAAGUUGUUUAAUUAUUUCAGCAGCUUAUACCUUGUAAUUUCUUUUAACAACUCUUAUCUUUGAUGUUCAUUUGUAAUAAAUAGCUGGAGAAAGGGCCCAACGUGAACGCCUUCGGGACUUAGCUGUGUUUGAGAGGUUACAUGGAAAUCCUGGGAAAACAUCUCCAAGCCUUGCUGUCAAAAAGGUAAACCCUACAUCUCAUGCCUCUAUACCGCAUCUUAGCUUCUCAUCUUGCAUCGGACAAUGAUACUCUUAUUGAAUCAUCUUUACCAUAUCAGCCAUCAACAUGUGCACUUAUUGAGCACUAAUUCAGGCACUGAUACUUGUGCUUUUGUUUUGUUUUAUCUUGUCUUGUCUUGUUUUGUUUUGGAUGUGAUUGUGUUGGAUGACCUGUAUCUGUGUUAGACACCAAAGCCUAUCUUAAUGCUACUGUAAAGUAAGACUAUGCUAAUAAGCUAUUGAUCUGUUACAGGGUUUAUGCCAAACUGAUUUUUUAGUUUCUCUAGUAGAAAACUUGUUUUUUCCCCUGUUAUAUCGGUGCUAUUGUUGGAUUUGUGUUUGUUGUUGAUCAAGCAUUUGCUGAAAGUUUUUUUUUUCCUUUGCUUCUUGAUGUGCAAAGCAUUAUUGUUUGAAUUUUAAUGAUCCCAUUUGAUUCACUAUUCAAUAUUUUUAUUUGAUAUUACAUCUAUCUCAUUUGUUUUCUUUUCUUAGUUUUUAUUUUUUUAUUUUUUAUUUUUAAUUUAUUUUUUAUUUUUUGAAUUUGAUGGAGCCACCAUUAAUUUAUUUUUCCUUAUUAUUGUGGGGUGUGCUUUAUUUUGUUCAAUUGUUGUUGCACUAUUAUUAUCAUGUAACUUUUUUUUUCCUUUUUUUUUUUUUUUGUUUAAUCUAUUGUUCCUAUGAGCAUUAAAUGCUCCUAAAAUGUAUGGAAUAGGCUAAACCUUUCUAUAGUUUUUUUAAAAAAACUCAUUUAUUAUCUAUUUUCUUGUGCUCAAAAAAUUAUAUUUUUUUAGUAAAAUUGAAAAUUUAGGGAGCGCUUAGGCCUCAACGGCUCAACCCCUUGAGGGUUUAUGCCUAUCGUAGCAAGAUGUAAACCCCCUUGCCUCUUAUGCUUUUACCUUAUGAAACUAUACCAAGAAAAAAACACCACAACUCCCUGCUGCCAUCAAAGGAUACUUCAAAGUUUGCUUCAAAUCAAUCUUAAGGCUAAUUAUCAUACGCUUGUCAUCAUGUCACUAAAAUUGGUAUUGUAACCAAAGUCCUAUUGCGAAAUCUUCAAGUUGCAGCUCCUUUUUUUCUGUUGGUAUUUGUAUUGUUAGGUGGCCGCAACCUGUUGCUUUACUUAUGCUUUAUGAACUACUCCAGUUAAAAUAAUGCUUCAAGUAGAUGCUUUCUGGAUCUUGACUCUAGCAAGAGGCUUAUAUUGCAAAUUUUUUUGUGGAGUCCUAGCUAGGAAGACAAUAGCUUGCUUAAAAGGAUUGCCACCUCUCUUGUUGGGUUUGUAAAAAUUUUGCUUCUCUCUUGACCUUGGGAGUCCUGUGGUUUCAAUUUUGGGUGUGCUCUAGGUUGUAGCCUGUGUUAUGCUUUCUAAAUGGUAAUCUUCUUAUUUUGGCUGGGAUGCUUUUGUUUAUUUUGCUUGUUUGCUUUCUUUGUUUCUUUAUUGUGGCUGUAGGAUCACCAAUCAACUUUUUAUUCUUUGCAAAAACUGUUUAUGUUUCAUAACAAAAAAGGAAAAAACAAAGGCAAGUUAGCCUAGAAUAGGUUUUAUCUUGUUUCUUCUUUUACCAUUAGUGUGGAUUCAAACUCAGGAAGAGGCCUUCAAACAAGUGGCAUUUGUGUUUUUUAAACAUAUAUCUUUGUUCAAUCAUUGUUAAGUGUUUGCUGUCUUGUCUGUUCUUUUGGUUGUUUUUGGCUUUGUCAAAGUGUAUAAUUGUAAUAUCCUACAUCGUAUAGAGGAAAAAGUUCCUAGCGCUAUAUAUGUAUGAAUUUCUUUUAAUCUUGUUGAUUCGUUUUCAAGCCGCGAGGGUCGCUUAGGCUCAAAGCAAAUAAUAUCCACACAACUGGGAGCAGGUUGUUACAAAUGGUAUCAAAGUCAAUCCUCGACCUUGGUGGGAGAGUUUGUUUGGCCUAAAAUGGGUGUCCGUUUAUUUGACCCUACAAUCCUGUUGGACACAACAAGAACGUUGUGUCUGCAUGAGAGAGAGAGUGAUUGUAAUAUCCUACGUUAGAUAGGAGGAAAAGUUCCUAACGUUAUAGUGUGUGUGUCUUGUAAAGCUUAUGUUGGGUGUCAUGAUUUUAUCUCGUCCUUUUUAUUAUUCUGAUUCAACAUCAUCUUAGCUUAUAAUCAUUUAUACACUUGAUGCAUGAGAAAUGAAGAUGCUAUAAAUUGUAGGAUUCUUUUUCUCCAAUUUGUUCCUUGAUAUUUUAUAAUGCCAUGAAAUAUCUAUAUUUUGAUGCAGAAAGCCGUUCACCCUCCAUCUCUCUCACUAGUUUUGCAGAACCAUUGCCACUAAGCACAUGCAGGCGUCAGAUGUGCGGCCACUUCCAGUGUUGGAAGAGACUUUGAACUACCUAUUAAACCUGUUGGAUGCCACGGAACAUCCUUUUGAAGUGGUUCAUGAUUUCGUCUUUGAUAGGACAAGAUCAAUAAGACAAGAUCUUAGCAUGCAGAAUAUCGUUAAUGAUCAAACAAUUCAUAUGUAUGAAGAAAUGGUAUGAAUUUCUUGAAACAUAAUCUCAAUUACCUUUUUUUUUCUGAGCAUUCAUCUCCUCAACAUACAAUAAGUUAGCCAACCCAUUGCUAAACACUCUCCUAGUUGGAGAAAAUAAUCAAAGUAUACAAGAUAUAAAAUGUUGAAAAUUGAGUCAUUAUCCUCUCCUUUUGCUUUAUUGAAUAAGAUAAUUUAUUCAGUUGAGUCCAAACGAGGUGAAACUGUGAUCACACAACUUGAAGCCUACUUUACAAUGGAUAAAUGAAUGGUCUGAUUUUGAAUCUUUCUUGGCACAUUAGUUAUUAUCCAAUCCAUUCUAAUUAAAUUAUCCACUAUUAAGUGUCUAUUUCUAGUCACCCUCCAAGUUAUGAAAGACCCAUAGAACCAAAGCAACUCACACCACAUGUGAUGGGAAUUGGUGCUCUCUUCCAUAAUGUCAAGUUUUCCAGUACACUUGCUGACUUUGUAAAAUAUGCCUACAAAAAGGGCUGCCACCUCCUAAUUCCCAAUCAUAGAAGUUUCUUAACCAUAUUUCAAAAGCUGUAUUUCCUGUUCCCUCUCUUUAAGUUUUUUAAACCUAUAUCUCUUUAUCCUAGUAAUUCGGAAAAAUGAGGAAAUUAUUUAACAAGAACUCCAUCAAUUUGUUCCUUAAAAUUUUAUAUGGUUUCUCUCUCACUUUUUAUUCAAAUUCUUGAAGCAAAGGAACAAAUUCAUGGCUAGUAACAAUUUUAGCCAAGCAAUAGAAUGCACAACAAACAUGCAUAUGAAUGACUUUUGUUUUUUGAUGAUAAUAGAUCAGAUAUUUUAAUCUCAUCCUAAAACCUUGGAGUUAGCUAAAAGCCGCAUCUUAUGUUCUGACUUGUGGUUUGUUUCAUAAUAUAGGUGAAAUUUCAUAUUAUAUCCCACCACAAGCUUCGCAGUUGUAGCAGCAAGCCAAAUUUUUCUUCAGUUCAUUACCUCAAUAUGGAGCAGCUGAAAAAGUGUUUGAUAUCUCUAUAUGCUCUAUACAAAGAAAAUCGAAAUUCAAAUUCUAUUUACAAGAAUGAACCUGAGUUUUGCUCAUUUCACGUUCUUCUUCAUCUUGGCUUUAACAACCAACCAUUGGUGGACACUUGCUUCCAUUGUUUGUUUGAGUUCAUCUUUGUCAGUAUCUCUUGCAGCCUUGUACUGGUUUCUGAAUAUGUUACUAUUUCUGUUCUGAAGGGAGAGUCACUCUCUUUGUGGUUGGGUCGUGUACCUUCUCUCAUUUUGAAGUCAAAGGAAAUGUGUUUUGCCCGGAGACUUUUAAGGUGACCACAAAGCUAUUAUAGAUUCGACUUGCAUAUAAAUUGUUUAUAUUCAUUUUACAUUUAACUCAAUGUAGAGUGGUUCUGUUUUUCAAUCGAUUUUUUUCUCUUCUUUUAGUACCCAAUGUUAAAAUUUUUGUUUUCAUGAACUGAAAGAUCUGUCUUUUCUUGUAACAGAUUAUUUCGGAUGGGCAAUUAUAAGCAUUUCCUUUGUACUACAGCAACUGAGGCAUCUUAUUUGCAGUACUACAUUAUUGAACCUUACAUCAAUGAGGUUGCUUAAAUAUGUUGAUUUUGCUAGAUUUUUCAGUUUGAAAAAUAUAUGCUUCUUUGUUCAUUUAUUGUAUUCCAGUUUCAUUUAUGAGAAUAUAUCUAAAAUCUAGACUCGAGUACUUGUGCUUUUGGGUUUUAUUUUUCUUUCAUUUUUGUUAGUAGUUGCACUUCAUUAUUCUUAAAUUUCUCACCAACUGUUUCUUUAUGUGGUUUAUUGCUCCUCACUUUCUUCAUUCAUCUGAAGUUUUCAAAUUCAAUUAGCUUGUUUCAUAAACUAGGUCUUAUUUAGAAGUUCUUCUCAACUGCCUUUUUUUAGUGCUUCUAAAAGACAUGCCUGAUUUAUGUACAUUUUGUUGGUUUUCUUUUGACCGUAAAAGGUUCGAGCAUUGGCAUUGUCAUGUGUAAAUUAUUGUGGCUACAAACUUCAUCCAUAUCCAAUUGCACACUUGUCCAAACUCUUGAUGAUGAAGGUAUGAUUGCAUUUACUAGCAUUAAAUUGCUAAAAUUUGUCAUCCAAAGUUCCAAUUUCUUUUGAACCUUGAAGACUCCAUUUGCAUUCUUGUAGGAAUUAGAUGUGGAAUCAUUUUGCAAUGCUUGUGGUCUUGAGACCAGCACUGGUGAACGGGGAAAUAAGUUCUUAUCAACCAAGCAAACAAACUUCCAUUAUCCCAAGGAAGUCUUUCCAAGCUACUGCCUUCGGGUUUGGAACACUUUUAGAGGUAACAAUCAAUUGGAACUAGUUACUCUUUCAAACUUCUUAUUGUACAAAUAUAGCCUGCAUGUGCAACCAUUUCUGAUCCCAUAAUUUCAAGAAUUUAUGACACCUUCUAGUGGUUAGUUUUUUUGGGAAUAGAGUAAAGCAAUCUAUUCACUCCCAGAAACUAUCGUCAGAGGAACAGUAGAUAACCCCGCAAGACCAAAUUUAUGUGUGUUGCAUGGAGAUGCAUGUUUUCUGCAUCCCAAUCAUGCAGUGUUGUGUCAAAUGGAAUAAUAGCAGGUGAUGAUAAGUGGUAUUUCUAAAAUCAUCUAAGAGUAUUCCAUCUAUUGUAAUAUUGUUUUCUCAUAACUGUCUUUGAGUCUUAUAUGUAAAUAUUAGAGUUGACCUCUUGUAAGCUAUCAAUUGAUGUUGUAACUUAACUUGAAAGGGAAAUUCUAUAAAUUUAGCCUUGGUUUGGCACUUGGAAAGCAAAGAAAAAUUAGGUUAGUGAGUUGAUUUCUUCCCUUCCCAUGGAUGUAAGCACAUUCUUGAAUCAUGUUAAUUAUUUUUUGGUUUAUUUUGUUGUUUUGUUGUUUAUUGUUCAAUUGUCUCCACAUAACAAGUGGUAUCAGAGUUGUUUCCGACACACUAGAUGAUUCUUGUGCUAACACAAUGUUUGAGGCUAAAUAUAAGAUAGUAAAAGUUUCUAGAAUAUUUCCCUAUGACAAUUACCAAUAAAGAAUGUACUUAACAGGAAGUUUGUAAGGUGUUACAUGGCAAGUUGAACAAAACCAAUAGCCAGAGAUAACUGAAAUAUUUGGGCCAUUGAUCCAAUAAUAGCAGAUAAUAACACAAGAAGAGACCCUCUAAUCACCAUUUUUGCUUUUGAUUCUUCUUUACAAAGCAUCAUCUACUUUAUACAAAAAGACAAUCCAUGGCUGAGCCCACAUUAUUCUCUACAUAUCCCAAAAAAGCCCUCCAAAUUUUAGGGCAUGAUGCUCUUUUUGGGGGUAUUUUUGGUACUAAAUUUGUGGUAGUCUCUCAAAUACCUAAACUAGCCUCCAAAUUUUAAGGCAUGCCCCACUGUUUGAGGUGGUGUUUUGGGUACUAAUUUUUGUUAGGAGAGGUUUUAGUGUGGAAACUGGAGGGCUUUACACAUGUCGCAUGUAUUUUAUUUUGCAUGCGUUACACGUGGAUUGGAGUUUAUGCAGUUACUCACACUUUUUGUGCGUCCAACAAUACUGUAGUGCCACGUCACCAUAUGAUGGGCUCUUUAGUCUUUUCAAACCCAAAAAAACACCCAAAAAAAAAAACUAAUACUAAAAGGAGUGCUAACUAGCUAUGUGAAGGUGAACCUUUAUAGCUAGCUUCUUAAAGGGACCAUGAUCGCUUAGGCCAAGGAAGUUUGAGGUGAUAAUAGGUCUGUGAUGCCUUUAGAUGUUUUAAGCACAUGUGCGUUACACUAAUGUAUUCAACGAGUCUAUAACCUUAACCGACAGGUCCGGGUAAUCUUUGAAAUUUCAUUGUGAUGGGAAGGUUCCAUGUGAACAACACUUGCACAUGGGUUAGUCAAUCUUAAGAGAUGGGGGAAGCCCGUCUAACAACGCACAAUGUGCGAGCUUUGAAAGGCAAUAGGGUUAACAUUUCUGAAUUGGGACAUGACAAUGACAACAACAUUAGGUAGUCUAGAGAUGUUGUCAUAUUAAUUGUUAUCAAUAUUUUUAUUUAUUCAAUAGAAAUUGAGGAUUAAAAAAUACCACAAAAAAUAGAAAAAACAAAAUUAAUUACAUGGCUUACAUUUCAGAUAUUUAAUAAAAUAUUGUAUGAAAGUUGAAUAUCAUACACUAUUAAAUGACUGGAUUCUCUUCUUUAUUUUUUUUAAUUGUCUCAUCCUAUUAAAUUACUCAUCUAAUAUUAAUUUAUUUUAAAGGUAAAAUUAAUUAUAUUGUAAAAAACUUUUAAUUGACCAGAGUUUGUGCACAACAUCUAAUAUAUACUUAAAUACUUUUCCAUGCUAUAAUCCUCCAACUAAGAAAUGAAAUCAAAACUUAAAAAUCAUUUAUAUAUAUAGAUAUAUGUUGUUAAGUUUAGGUAGUGAAACAAUUAAUGUGGAUAUAAAAUUAAUGCCAAAACUUUUGAUUGAUCCUUCACAUUCUCCACAACCAAACAAAGGAUAUAAGAAAUAAUGAAAGAAAUUUAGGGUAGUUUUAUUUUUUGUUCUCAUCUUGUUGUGAAGUUAAUAGAGGAAUGCUUAGGUUGGUGCUCAAUAGUUAAGUGACACCAGGGUAUAAUGAUUCUUCCAAUUGUGUAAACAUUAUCCGCUUUAAUUUCAAUGGAUCAUCAUCACUUUAAAUUGCAUCCACAUGGUUAAGAGUAACUCAUAUGUAUAUAAUAUCAUGAAUUUCUUCUUAUUCGAUAUGGAAUAUCAAAUUAGGUAUCUUUCAAUUUUAGGUAUUGUAUAAGCGUUUCAACUCAAAUGACUUGGCUUAAUGUAUGCUCAAAGCCAUGACAAAGGAACGUACAUGUAAUAAAGUGAAAAUUAAACCUUGUCGCCCUUCUAUCUCUAGUAUGAAACACAACUCCAUUAGCCCUUAAACAUCUGCAAAAAAAGAUAUACACAUCUGUUACAUUAAUUAAAAUAAAUGAUGCAAAAAGAGGCUCUACAUGUCCAUGUACAUAAUUUGAUUAGAUUUGUUAUAUAUAUAGAUAGAGAGAAAAAAAAACUGCUUAGAUUAAGGAUCUCAUUAAUUAAUACCUAGAAAAUAUAAAAUAAUAAGAAAAGAUUAGAAGGUGUGAAUCAUAAGAUAAGACUACAUUUUUGAAUUAGAUUCAUCGAAAGAUGGCAUAUUGUAUGAACAUUUGUACUCUAUAUAUAAAAAUUCAUAUUAUGGUUGAGAUGUAUUAAUUUGUCAUAUUUUUGGAAAAUUAAAGUAAUGAGUAAUUACACUAAAUUAAAUUAUUGACCUUAUUAAUCAAUACCUCAAGAGUAUAAAAUAGUAAGAAAUGAUAAUACAAACUUCAUUGAAAUAUUUUUAUACACAUUGUGUAAAUAUUCUUAUUUAAUAAAAGUUUAUAUGUCAUUAAAUAAAUAGAGAAUUUUAACAUUAAUUGCAGUGCUAAGUAGAGGAGAUCCCAUAUUUAAGUUGUUGAUUAAGGCUUAUUUGAUAAAACUUAAUAUAUAUUACUUAAUAACUUAAGUUGACUUUAAGUUAGAUAAUAUUUAAGUUAUUUACUUAAAAUUUAUUAUUUAAUAUUUACUUUAAGUAUUAAAGUUAUUUGAUAAAGCUAAUUUAAAAAUCAUUUUAAAUUUUCAAAUUGUCAUAUUUACCUUCAUUAAUUUGAUAACUAGAUGCAGAUAAAUGAAAAAAAAAAUGAGAUUAAGAAUAAGUUAAUUACUUUGAUUUAACACUUAAAAUUAAAAGUAACUUUAAAAUAUAAUAUUUAGUUAUUUUAUCAAAUAUAUUUAAUAUAUUUAAUAAUUAAAUUAAGUUAUUAAGUCAAUGAAUGAUUACCAAACACCCUAUAAGACCUAGAAAAUCGAAUGAGUUUUAAUAGUAUUCAGGAUGGGCAUGACUAGGUGGUGGUUCAAUGUUGAUUAAUCAUAAUUCAAUCAAGGCAAAAUAUGUAACAAAUACAUGUCAAACUGCACCAUCCAAAUGGGCACCAAGAACGUUACAUUUGACAAAUGCCAUUAAACCUUUACAGCUAGCAAUUAGAAGAUCACUCUCUUCUUGUAUCUCUCUUUUUCUCCAAACUCCAGGAGGAAAAACGCGAACUCCAUUAUUUUGAUCACAGAAAAAAUGGCAAAAAAGUGUGUUGUACUUCAUCUUGAAGCUCAUUAACUUCAUCUUAAUUUGAUCCAAAUUGCAGAAACAUUCGAAACUCCAUGAAUCUAUGGUGCUAUGGUGGCCUACAUUCAUAUAACUGGGGACACUUUGGUUUGCACUACAAUGACCCCCAAACAUGGUUUGUAGAGACUUUAUCAAGAUCACUAGCUUCAAAAGACUAAGGAAAGAAAGAUGUUCUCAAUGAAAACUUGGAGUCAAAUUGCAGAUAAAGACCUAAAACUCCCACUCAAUGUGUUUGAGGAAUUGUUGUUUCAUGGGGAUAAGCCGUUUGGUUUGUACACGUCUCCUUGGUGAUACUUAGAGAUUGGCGAAGUAUACGUCUCCUUUGUGAUCUGGUUUGUAUCUGGGCAGAUGAAUGUUCAUGCCAGGUUCAUAUAUGUUUCUGAUAUAUAUCACCCUGGAAGGAUCUAGAUCAAGGGGAUGAGUUUGAAAAGCUUGAGUAGGUUUAAAAUGUUCCGAGAAUUGGUGAGCAUGAUAUAUAUCAACAUGAUAUUGCAGAAGACAACAGAGCUUCUGAAAUAUGUCAGAUUCAAUAGUAGGAAAUCUUAUCAGCUGUCACUUACUGUAAUUCUAUGCUCUCAAUAUUCAUUUGUUGAAGAAGAAAAAAAAUUGCUUUCACACUAUUCAAUUACAGGAGAAUGUUCAUUAUUGAAGAAAAUAAUAUUCGCUAGUCUCUUUCAACUUAAUCAACAUGCAGAGAAAAGCAGUCGGGCGACCAAUUAUUCACAUAAAACUUACAUACAUUGUCUCUCUACCUCUACUUGUUACUCAUCAGUCAAGCUUAUAGUAAUAUAAGCUUGGGUUCAUCUCUCUAUGCCAUUGAUGAAAACUCCACAUGGGCUUUGCCUUUCUGGUGAUUUUGCAUUUGGAUUCCGACCCUCUCCAAGUGAAGAGGACCUAUUCCUUCUUGCUAUCUGGACUGCAAAUGGAAGUUAACCGGUGCCAAGAGGAUCAAAAGUUGGGCUUACCACCAAUAGACAGCUUGUUCUCUAGAGGCUGGUAAUGUGAGCAGCGAACCAGUGCAUGGUGCCAUGCUUGGAGAUGGAAAUUGUAUACCAGUGUAUGGGAGAGCUUCAAGCACCCGACUAAUACCAUAUUGCCAACCCAGGGAUUGGUGUUGGAGCCUACUGUUGAGUUGCUAUUUUUGAGGACCUGAGGUUUCCAAAUGGAACUGGAAGCUGUUGGAGGAAAAGACUACCUCUUUCAAAUGGGAGGUUGGAUCAAACUGCUGUUUCCAGAAGUGCUCUAAUCAAGAUAUUGAAGUCCAGUGAACUAACUUCAGGCAGAGGCAACCAAAAUAAAGCAAUUCUAAUACUCUCAGUCCUCUUAGGCCCCUCUGUGUUCUUCUUCUUCAUUUCUCUGGCUGCAAUUUCUCUAGUUUUCUACUGCUUGAUCCUCAAAAAUCUGCAGCUUUAUCACAGAAUCCUGAGUACAAGCGAUGGUAGAAGCCUUUGGCACUGUCUAUAAAGGGAUAUUACCAUCAGGUUCUGGAAAUUCUGUUGCUGAAAAGAAGUUGGAGAAGGUGGUGGGAGAAGAUGAGAAAGAAUUCAAAGCAGAAGUGAAUGUGAUAGGCCAACUCACCAUAAGAAUCACGGACACUAGCUGCGUUACUGUCGUGAGGGUGAACACUGACUACUGGUGUUUUUUUUUUUUAUGCACAAUGGCUCUUUAUCAAGCUUCCUUUCUGGAGGCGCCCAAGGACUUGUGUACCUACAUGAAGAAUGCAGUAAACAGAUCAUCCAUUGUGACAUAAAGCCCUCAGAACAUAACUCUUGGAUGAUUCUUCUACAGCCAAAGUUGCAAACUUGGACUGGGAAAGCUUCUGAUAAGCAACCAGACUAGAACACUCACAGGCAUCAGAGGGACUAUGGGGUAUAUUCAGACAACUCGGGCAGCCUAUGUCUCUUAUAAUAACACGUUAUGAAGCAUCAGCUCAAUGCCGGGGUUCAAUCUGCAAAGCAAGGGAUUCAUCAAUGUUUCCUUCAAACUAAAUGAUAAGGAACAGAAAUGGAUCAUUCUGCAUUUUCAGUGGUGUUUGUUAUAGCAUUUAUACAAGAACUCUAGGGGUUUCUAUGUAUAACUUCAUUCCCAUUUUGUAUAAUCCAAAUCUCUUCAAUCGAUUAAAUGUAUAAAUGAAUCCUAUUCAUUGUUUGGAGUAACAACAAAAUUCUGGAAGACUGGGAAAGUUUCAACACUGGAGAGAAGACAAAAUGACAAGACCAUAAAUUCUGGAAGAGGGCUUUGCUUUCUAACCAUUACCAUAAUUUUAGAGCUCAACCUGGAUGAGUAAAUUAUAUUUCAGAAUGUUCAGGAGAUAAUUCUAAAGUGAUGAACCUUCUACUCACAGUUUCUUGUUCUUCUUGAACAGAGCAAUGAACAUCAAUAGUUCAGCACCCAGGAAUCUCCCCUUCCUCCAAUUCCUCCACUGGGAAAAGUCACCUUUCCAGUUAAGAAAAUCAUCAGGAUUAGUUUGAGCAAAACAUCAGAGUAUACAUCAAGAAAGCCUUGAUCAAAAUCAAAAUACAUCAAGAGCUGCCAUUUUCUUCUAUUUCCUCUUCCCUGAAUGGAAUGCCUUUUGGACUGAGGUGAUCAAUGGUAACAAUCUAACACACUCCUUAAGCUCUGAUUGAGGUCAACGGGGAUUGGCACAUUUAAUGACUUUGAAAUCAUAGCUGUGUGAAGGGAGGCAAACAUGAAUCUCAGGAUAAUCAACAAGUCAACAACUAUCAAUCAGUAAGGAAAAGGAAAAGGAAAUACCUUUGGAUAUUUACAAAUAAAAAUGAAAUAUGAUACAAGAUUUUCAUGGAUUAAACAAAAAUAGAUGGCAAAAUAGAAGGAUAAGGUCACAGACAGGACAAUAUUAAAAGAAAUUAUUAUUUUUCCGACCUGAAAAUCAAGGAAUUCAGAACAGUACAAGUUUGUAAGUAGUCCAUGGAAACCAGGGAACAUAUGCAGAUGUUUUAUUCUAUUGCAUAAGGCAAACACUCAAUACUUACAAGCAUAAUCAUGCCCAGAAAGCCAUGAAUCCCUUUUUGUUUUGCCUUUUUAUCUAUUCCCAUCUCUUAUUGCCAGAAGUGCCCAGGAUGAUAUAAGCCUCACCAAAUAAGUUAGAAACCAGCCCAUUCAGCAGGUUGAGUAGCCAGCUUGCCCUCAAUCUUCUUUGAGUCAACAAACAGCUGGGCAUUAUUGCCUCCAAUGGAGGGUCUGGAAAUAUUAGAGCCGGCAGCAGGGGUGGCUGUAAAACUCUCUGUUCCAAAACCCCAAGUUUCAGGGCCAGAAGUUCCUUCUGUGGCUGGUUUGUUGUGAUGGCCAUUUCGGGUCCUAACAGACUUGCUAUUGUUGUCUGGGCACCUGCCUCAGAGAAAGCCUGCCAAAGAUUAGAGUCUGGGCCAGGGGAAACGGAUUUUCUUUGCUGGAGUUCCCAGUCUGUUGCUUCAAUCUUUUCUCUGUGCUGUUAUGAGAAGAAAACCUAUCAGACACAUGAAUGGGUACAAAAAGGUAAACUUCAGGUUUUGGUUGUAUUGAAAAGCACAGGAAACUUCACAAGAGGCAAAUUAUACCCCAGACUUAUUGAAGAAAAAUAAAGUACAAUUGACUUACCCAAAUGUCUACUUUCUCAUUUAUAAGUUUCCUCCUAAACAAAUCCCCACAUCUAGGACAGGAAAAGGAAGAAACUGGGAGUCAACAUUUUUUCAACCAAAUGUCAGCACUAAAUUAUCAAAAAACAUAGUUUUCCAUUCAACCUCGGGAGCUGUAUGUGCAGGUGUACUGUACUUUCUGAUAUUGUCUUCUUCAAUGCCCAUUUCUUCAGGCUUCUUAAAGUGCUUAUGAUUGGUGGAGGUGCUUCCAAAAUUACACAACUUCCAUAAUCCAUUAGGGCCCAAUAGAAGAUUCUCAGCAUUUAUAUAAGAACUUUAGGGUUUAUACGUAUGAUCAUGUUACAGUAUAAAUCAUAGUGAACUGGUGGAAUUUGAUUAUUUAGCCAACCUCAUCAAAAACUGUUUCACAGUUGAGGGGAUUGUUAACCUUGCCAUGGGCCAAGCAGCAAUUUCUGAAGAAGCUGGGUGACAAAGAGUACCAUCAUUUGGACUAGUUUCAAUGGAAAUUACUCUGUUUUUAUACAUGAUAUCUUCAGCUUCAGCUUUUCCUUUUGCUUUUGACAUGGCUGAAACUGAUCCUGAAAUCAAAAAUCCCACACAAGUAGAUAUUUAACAGAAGAGGAUCCGAAUCUCUUCAAUUGAUUAAUGUAUAAAUGAAAUAAUAAAAAAUUUUAGAGAUAAUUAUAGGGAGAUGAACCUUAUACCUCUGAGUUUCUUAGUCUUCUUGAACAGAGCAAUGAGCAUCCAGUGUUGAGCACCCAGGAAUCUUCCUUCCUCUACAGGGAAAAUCUGAACAAUCUAUCUUUCUUCAUAUUCCACUUCCUUGCAAAAGUCAAAACAUGAAGAAAAUAUCAUCAAAAUUGAGACAAAAAUAAGUGCAUCAACUGUCUCAAGAAGAGAUUUAUGCCUAUUGCUUACCUUUUGCAGAAGUCCACUUGGUUAGAGCACAUUUUACAUGGACGCCCAAUCACUGCAAGCUGCUGAACCAAAGGAGAGUUCAAACAUCUAAAAAAUUUGACUAACUCAAGUAUCAUAAAAUACUUCACAUGAAUUCUAAAUGAUCUCAUAUCUAAAAAACACUGGCAUAAAAUUAUUGUUGUUUACCUUACAUGUUUCUUCCAUGGUCAUAAUCGAAACUUUGUUUAUCAUAAGAAAUCUUUUAUGCUCAUCCUGAUUACUUACAAUGAUCACUGAAAUGAAAAGACAAAAAACACAAAAAAUGACGAUUAGUUUGAUUUGAUAAUUUUUUAAAAUUAGAAAUUAUAAAACUAUUUUGGUUCUCAGAAAAUUUACGGGAAAGUAGGGAAAAAAAUUGUAAACUUUUUCUCUUGUUUGAUUGUUUAUCGGAAAAUUGAGGGAAAAACAAAAAUCUAAGAGAAAUUUAUUUAACACUUAUGAGGAACCAAAAAUGUUUUAGAUGUUGUCAAAUCGAUAAUUUAAACGUGUUUAAUUUCAAUUAAAUGAGUUUAAUCAAACACAUGAAAUUGUGAAUAAAAUUAUUUAAAAGCAUUGAAAUUCAAGUCAUUAAAGUUGUCCAUAAAAUUUGAUAUAUUGAAGCAAGAAAAAAACAAAGCAAUUUGAAUGACUUGCUAAUGAAGCAGCUAACUAAAAUAUGCCCUAGAGUUGUUCUGUGCCCUGUAUAUAACAAAUUUAAAAAAAAAAAAUCCUAGAAAAAAAACAAACAAAAUAUCCAUGGUCUUAUGUUAUUUUUUUUCUUAAUUUUUCAAUAGUUAUAAAUGGUUCAUUUAAUUCUUGCAAACCACCAAAUCAAAACAGAGCAUGAAAAAGAAAAUCUUAAAUCAAAUAAACAGGACUAGCGAAUGAAUUGGAACUUGAAAGAAAAGUUCAAGCUCAAAAGAAUUACCUGACUCUAUAUUGGCGGAGUGGCACUUUGAUUAAUAUAGCACAAAAUUGAUCACUAUUUUUGGAAUGUGAGCUAUAUAACGCCAUUCUUCCCCUUUCUCAAAUUGACACCGUUUUUUCAGUAAAGGACAUUUGUAGAUGAACAGAUAAGAGAGGGAGUCUGGAAGUCUCUCUUUUGUCAAGUAUUUGAGCUUACGACACUUACAGAUCCCUAAUGUUUUAAGAGAGGUGAGGUGUUGAAGACCCACUUUUGUCAAGGAUUGGAGCAUUGGGCAGUUAUCGAUCCACAAACAUUCAAGAGAGGUGAGGUGUUGAAGACCCACUUCUGUCAAGGAUUGGAGCAUUGGGCAGUUUUCGAUCGACAACAUUUCAAGAGAGGUGAGGUGCUGAAGACCCACUUCUGUCAAUGAUUGGAGCCUCGAGCAUCCAUCAAUUUCUAAUCGUUUUAGAGAGAUAAGGUGUUGAAGAACCGAUCCUGUCGAGAACUGGAGCUCUGGGCAGUUUCUGAUCUUUAAUUGUAGAAGAGAGGUGAGUUGUUGAAGACCCCUGCUGUCAAGAGACUUGAGAUUCGAAAGCUCUACAAUUUGAAGAGAAGUCAGAGAAGAGGGCAGCAAACACUCCUUGGGAAAUAAUUCAAUGUCUUCACAUCCACCGGUGAUUGUGAAAUGAGUAAGAGAGGUCAGCCUUUGCAAACCCCACUCCACCUGGGGUGUGAGUUGGUUGCACUUCUUAAUUUCAAGUUCACGUAGGUUGGAAGGCAAACCCUCUCUCUGAAACAACAAUUCUGGACAAUCCCAUAAAUUCAACGACCUGAGCUUGGAGCACCUAUAAAUCUUACAAGACUCCAAGUUGAGAGCGUGCAAUUCGAUAGAUUCAAGAUCAGGGCAACCAUCUAGAGACAGGGAACAUAAAGAUGUGGGAUCACCCUCUGAAACCAAAAUGGAGAGCUUCUCAAGCCCCUUAAGAUCAAGGAUUGUGAAAUUAGUCAACUUUGGGAAGAUGCCUAAUGAGAAGGAUAACGAGAGAGAAUCAUCGAUAACACCAUCUUUGAUUUCUAGACUUUCAAGGACUGGGAGAUGGCAUCUGAACAACUCAGGUAGGAGAAACGCUAAUUUCGAGCAGUCAGAGAUGAAUAGUGAUUUCAGUGUAGUGGGUAAACCAACUUUGUGCAGGGAUCUAGAAAAACUACAAUCAUAGAUUUUCAGAUCAUGUAUGUUGGUUUGCGAGAUUUCCUCCUCUAGCAGAGACUCCACAUAAUCACAUUUUCUAAUUGACAGCUGGUGUGGUGCCAUUGGAAGUUGACUCCACUGAGACACAUCUAAAAUUUCAAUUUCUGAAGUUUGAAGAGCUGUGAAGUCACAACCUGCCAUUUGCAACUGCAGUUUACCAAAAUCCACCAUCCUCAAUUGACGAAUUGCAGGAACUGUGAGUGAAGCCAUAAGCAGUUGCGGACAUUCAUGAAUUUGAAGUUCCACCAAUGAAAGAAGCUGUUCUGGUAAUUUCCCAAUGAGUUUGGGACACCUUCGUAUAAAAAGCUUUUGAAGAUGAGGGAAUUCUCCACAACAUAACCAUUUCUCCCAGUUCUGCAUAUCCUCAAAUGAUAGUGUUUCUAGGAAUUGAAAGGAAGCAUUCCCAUAGAACUCAUCACCCACACACUCUACUCCAUUCAUCCUUGAGAUUUGCAGAUAUUUAAGUUGGGUUAGCUGUCCAAGUGGUGGCAAUGUUGAGCAAUUGCCACAACCCCGAAGCUCAAGGGACACGAGAUUCAACACUGAAGGAUCUCCAAGCCAAUUUGGAAAUCCUUCACCAGGAUAGUUUGUGAUGGAGAGUUGUUUUAAAUUUGGAUGAGGUUGUAACUUGUUGAGUAUAUCAUGCGUUGUUGCACCACUUUGUGUAACACCAUUGGUACACAUGUAACGCCAAUCAAAGAUCAACUCAUCAAGAUAACUUUUAUCCUGCAUAUUAGCUCUUGAUGCAUCAUUAACACUCACCACAUUCUCCAUGUUUGAAAUAUAAAGUUUUCCUCGAAGCUCUGAUAGCUCCCCCAAUUCUCCAAUUCUUAAUCCAUUGUUUUGGCCCACAAUAAAUCGAGUCAACCUUUGUAAAUUUUUUAAUUGACCAAUUCCAUGACUUGACAUUGCUCUCAAUGAACGACAUCCAUCAAUAUCAAGAUAGCGCAAAUUAAUCAAUUUUCCCAUCUUUGAAGGCAAUUCAUCAAGUUCUGAACAAUUUCUCAGCAUCAUCGUUUGUAAAUUGCAUAAACAACAUACUGAUUUAGGUAAUUUUUUAAUCCUCGUGACAGACAAAUCCAAGUAACGCAAAUGUUUUAAAUUACCUAUCGAUUUAGGCAAAUCAGUUAUUGUAUAUGCACAUAAUGAUAACACACGUAAACACCACAUUUUUGGUAAUAUAUCUUGCAAAACUCUUUUACUCAAAUUAUAUAUCGGAUAGUCUUCCAUUUGCUUCACUCCUAAGAAUGUUCGAAUAGAUUUAGCUUUAGUGAUAGCCUCAAAAUUCUUAAAUGCAACAAGCCUCUCAUAAUCACUUUUAAAGUACAAAAAGUGGUGAGCCUUCUCAGAUACUUUCAGUAACUUAUCAUCCUCUUCCACUCGAGCACAAAAAUCUCCAGACACGUGUUGAGCCAAUUCGUGUAUUAGAUCAUGCAUUACAAAGCAUGAUCCUUUUGUUCCAAUAGAUUUUUGAAAGAAUGACUUGGCGAGAAGUUCAUUAAAAUAUGACUCACCUAUCUCUUCCAUUCUCCUUCCUUCGUUUUCUUGUGGAUGUAAAAGACCUUCUGCCAUCCAUAAUAAAAUCAGCUUCUCUUUGUUGAAUUGGUGGUCCUGGGGAAAAAUAGAACAAUAAGCAAAACAAUGCUUCAGAGGUAGAGAAAGAUGAUGGUAGCUUAAUCUCAAAGAUGGAAGAAUUUCGGAGCCACUCUGCCGCCAUAUGUCACUGUUCAACACAACGUUCCAUUCCCCUUUGUCGGCCUCCGAAUACAAGAGACGGCCGAGUACUUUCACAGCCAAAGGCAAUCCUUGGCACUUGUCCACAAUCUGUCUGCCUAUGGGUUUAAGCUCAAGGAAUGCGUUGGGGUCUCUAUCUCCAAAUGCAUGCUUUUUAAACAGGGACCAACUAUCUUCAGAGCUUAAUUUCCCAAGAUCAUGAGUAGGGGCCGCUUUCAUGGCUUCUGCAACAGAUUUAUCACGACUGGUCACAACAAUCUUGCUUCCCUCUGCUGCAGCGAGGAGUGGAGUUCGUAGACGUUCCCAACCUUCACGAUCACUAAGCUCCAUGUAACCUUCAUCACGAGGCUUCAAAUUCCAGACGUCAUCAAGAACAAGCAGAAAUUUCUUGUUACUAAGUUGCUCUUUGAGUUGAAGCUGAAGCUUAUUUAGGCUGUCAAAAUCAUCAGUUUUAGAACCGAUUUCGUAUAGAAUUGUUUUAGUGACCUUGAUAAGGAGAAACUCAGUGGAAACACAGACCCAUACUUGCAAGUCGAAGUGUUUCUUCACUUCCUCAUCGUUAUAGAGGUGCCGAGCAAGCGUGGUCUUGCCGCUGCCGCCCAUGCCCACUAUGGACAUCACCCCCAUUUUGCCGCCUGUUGUAUUGUCAGAAAGCAACCACUUCACCAUCUCCUUCUGAAUUUCAUCCCUGCCGAGAACAAUGGAGUCAUCCUCCAAAGAAGUGGACGUUGGUAAUCUUGGUGUUGGUGACCGUGAUCCUGCUAGCCCCAACCGAACAAUUUCUCCUCCGAUUUUUUCCAGUAGAUCAAUCAUGCCCCUGACCCUGGACUCCAUGCUUUUGAUAGCAAAUGGGGCCUUCACAGAAGCAGAGAACUUGUUCCAUUUCCACGCCUUAAGAGUUCCGCCGGUUUGGGAGUCAGCAGCUUCCAUCUUGCAACGCAAAGCGUCGGUAGCGAUCUCGUCCAACAGGUCUUCCGCAUCAUACACAGCAUCCUUGACAUGGACGAGCCACUCUUUGACAUUUGGGUUGGAAAAUUGCUUCACCUCCGCAUCAUCGAGCACAUUGAGAACAACCACGAGUUUCCUCUUCAACUCGUUGAGGAGUUCAUCGCUAAGGUUCCGUCGCCGAAUGAAGUUUAUGAGCUCUGGAGAAGCCAACCUUUGGAAUAGAACUUGAAGCGAAGCUGAGAGGAGGGCGUCCGCCAUAUCUGUGUCGACUGUUGCUUUGCAAUAGGAAUUCAGAGGAUUGGUUUCUGUUACCGCGAUACCACCAAAGUGCAAAAGACUGGGUUUGGAUUACCACACUGCAGAAUGCUUGAAGGAAUCAUUAUUGGUGGUGGACCCAGCUGCCAGAUAUUUGUCAAACACCAUAAUUGAGUGGUGAGAAAAAGAACAGGAAAAGCAAGUGGGAGAUGGAUGGUGCUUUCCCAACGGAAAGCAAAAGCAACAACAACAUUCGGUAUUUUUCUUUUUCAUCUACGCAUUUCUUCUUUCUUCUUUCUUCUUGUAGUAUUAUUAUUAGUAGACGUAUACACACAAAUAUUUGUUUAUAACAUUAUCAUUCCUAAUAUUAUAAAAUUUAUUAUUAAUAGAAUUUAUUAUAAAAUUUGUUAUUAAUAAUAUUUAUACUAAUAUUAUUUUUUAAUAAUUAAUUAGUAUCCUUACUUUUAUUGUUUAUAAUAAUAAUAAUAAUAAUAAUAAUUAUUAAAAUUUAUUAGUAUUUUCAAGUAAACAAUGGUAUAUGCAUAAGACAUAUUAAAAUUUUGAAUAUUAUGGUUAUUAUUAUUUGAUUCAAAAAAAGUUUAUAAUAUAAUAAUAACAAAAAUAUUUUUUUUAAUAAAAUAAAUUAUAAAAAUAUAAGAAUUUUAUUAUUUAUAAAAUAUAUUUAUUUUAAUAUAAUUAAAAUAAUUAAAAUAAUUUUAAAAUUUAAAAAAAAAGUUAAACGUGACAGGAUUAGGAUGGGACCGACCUAUCCCAAUGCUGCCCAUUGCCAUCCCUAACUCACCUAGUGGUAAUUAAGGCCAUUUUUUAUUAUUAUUUUUUUAAAAUGGUCUUUUAUUCUUAAAAAAAGAAAAAGGAAAAUAUAUUUAAUAAUUAGAAAAUAAAACAUAAUUUUUGUUUUUAAAAAUAAAAAAUAAGGCAUUUUUAGAUGAUACCCUUUUAGUUACUUUUACUUGUUUUAAAAAAAUUAUUGUAAAAGUAAUUAUAUAAAUGUAAAAAAUAAAAUAAUCUAGGUAAAAAUUAUUUUUAAAAUAUAAAAAAUUAGUUAAGAAUACUCUAUCUUCUCAAGCUCGUUUUAUAAAAUAUCAUAAAAUAAUUUUCAAAAACUUGUUUUUUCAUUAUUUUGACAACCGGAAUAAUACACAAUAAAAAUAAAUAAAUAAAAAUAAAAAGAUCCAAAGAAAGACAAAUGUGUUGCAGUAAUGCACUUAAAUUCACUGAACCUAAAAGCCAAAUGUGCAGUGUUGACUUUUCAACCGAGAGUUCACACAUGCCCAUUUUUUUUAAUUAAAGCACUAUUAAUAUAAAAUAUAUAUUUAAAUAAAAAUUAGACUUUUAAAAAAAUUAAAAUAUAUUUUUAAAAUGUUAAAAAAAUAUUUACAAUAUUUCCUUAAAAAAAAACAUCUUCCAAAAACAUUUCUUUAAAAAAUACUUCCACCUAUAAUAAUUCAGACACACUUGUGAUUUAAUAGUUAAAUAUUCUUUCUAAUAGGAAUUCAACUAUCGGUUUGUAUUACCACGAUACCACCAAAAUACGAAAGACUAAUUUUGGAUUACCAAAAUGCAAAAGAGCUGAAGGAAUCAUUGAUGGUGGAUGAUUCAGAUGUCCACAUUAUUUGUCAGACACCAUAAUUGAGUGAUGAGGAAAUGAAAGAAAAGCAAAUAAAAAACAAAAAAGGUGAUGCCAAACAUGGUCUUAUAAGGUGGGUGGAGCGAAAGCAACAAAGGAAACUAGCAGGAUUUUUCAUUGCUAUUACAUACCUCAAAGGACAAAUUUUGAAUUACCAAAAUACAAAAGACUUAAAGGAAUCAUUGAUGGUGGUGACCAGAUGUCCACAUUAUUUGCCAAACACCAUAAUUGAGUGAUGAGAAAACAAAAGAAAAAGCAAAAAAGGUGAUGCCAAACAUGGUCUUGUAAGGUGGGUGGAGCAAAAGCAACAAAACAAACUAGUAGGAUUUUUCAUUGCUAUUCCAUAUCUCAAAGGACUAAUUUUGAAUUACCAAAAUAUAGAAGACAUGAAGGAAUCAUUGAUGGUGGUGGACCAAGAUGUUCACAUUAUUUGCCAAACACCAUAAUUGAGUGAUGAGAAAAUGAAAAAAAAAAAAUGAAAAACAAAAAAGGUGAUGCCAAACAUGGUCAUGUAAGGUGGCUGGAGUGAAAGCAACAAAGUAAACUAGCAAGACUUUUCGUUGGUAUUCCAUACCUUAAAGGAUUGAUUUUGAAUUAUCAAAAUACAAAAUACUUGAAGGAAUCAUUGAUGGUGGUGGACCCCGAUGUCCACAUUAUUUGCCAAACACCAUAAUUGAGUGAUGAGAAAAUGAAAAAAAAAAGUUAAGAAAAAACAAAAAAGUGAUGCCAAACAUGGUGUUAUGAGGUGGGUGGAGCGAAAACAACAAAACAAACUAGUAGGAUUUUUUGUUGUUAUUCCAUACUGAGAAAAUAAAGGGCUACUCUAGGUGAAUAGAAGUUAAAAAAUGUCUUUUUAAACACAAUAAAAUGAAGCACAAGAAGUACAAAUAUAAAGAGGUAAGGUUAUAGAAAGUAAACUCAAAUUUAUAGUGGUUCGACACUUCCGUGCUUACAUCCACUCUCCUCAAGCUCCUACCUGAGUGAGGGUUCCACUUAUACUUGAAGUUUCAACCAAGCUUCUAAUCACUUUUUACACUUGGAUUCCAGCUCCAAUGGAUUCUUAUACAAUCUCUUCAAGUCUUUACUCACUUGAAUGUUUUAACACUCAAUUAACAAGUUUGAAUCUCUCAACCUAGCUCAACAAUGACUCAAAUACAACUCAAGGCUAGGAUGAAUCACUAAGGUGCACUAAAGAAUAUGCAAAUGGAAGUUUAAUGCACUAAGAAAAUAAUGAGAGCUUUUAUGACAAUAAUAAGUAGGUAAACAAAUAAAUGCAAGUGUUCUCUUGCUCAUAAAUGAGGUAGAGCUCUCAAUUUAUAAGUUUCUAACCUCAGGAGCUAAAAAUCCAAAAAGCAAUCUCGACUAGUCGAGCUGGGGGUUGACUGGUUCACUAGCCGUUGAAACAUUAAAUGCUUGGCAGGUGACCGUUACCCUCGACCAAACCUUAACCGGGAAGGCAAAUCCAUAAACCAGGAAAGAAAGGCUACUGGAAGAGAGAUAAUGUUUUUUGCAUCUCUUGACUUAGAAGGAGUAAUCGGUAGACCGGUACCUAGCCGAUUGAGCCGGUUGACCAGUGCCUCGACUAGUUCACCAUUUUUAGUUCGAAAACCUAUCUUUUUCUGGUCUUUUUGCUUCUAGCACUUAGGCAAGGACUUUAGAUAAAAUAAUAUGCCAAUUUUGAAUGUUUUGCCUAAGGUUCAUUUGAUAGAACUCAGAUUUGGAUGGAAAUGUAACUUUAAUGCAUAAACCGAGUUUUAAAGAUGUAUGAAAUGAUAUGAAUAUCCUAAGUACACCCAUGCAUUCGUCUUACGUAUGUUUCUUAUGAUUAAAAGGUCUUUCAAAAGUCUUAAUCUUGCAUUCAUUAGGUCCUUUAAUGAAUUUCCAAAUUAACACCUGAAAUUCUUUAUAAUUCAAAUCAAUUAGUAACUUAACCAUGAUUUGUUAUCAUCAAAACAUGAUUAGAAGAAUCAUUGGGCUAACACAUACCCAAAGGACUAAUUUUGAAUUACCAAAAUAUAGAAGACUUGAAGGAAUCAUUAAUGGUGGUGGACCAAGAUGUCUACAUUAUUUGCCAGACACCAUAUUUGAGUGAUGUGAAAACGAAAGAAAAGCAAAGGAAAAACAAAAAAAGGUGAUGACAAACAUGGUCUUGUGAGGUGGGUGGAGCGAAAGCAACAAAGCAAACUAGCAGGAUUUUUUGUUGCUAUUCCAUACCUCAAAGGAUUGAUUUUGAAUUACCAAAAUACAGAAGACCUGAAGGAAUCAUUAACGGUGGAUGACCCAGAUGUCCACAUUAUUUUUCAAACACCAUAAUCAAGUGAUGAGAAAAUGAAAGAAAAGCAAAGGAAAGGAAAAAAAACGUGAUGCCAAACAUGGUCUUGUAAGGUGGAUGGAGUGAAAGCAACAAAGCAAACUAACAAGAUUUUUUGUUGCUAUUUCAUACCUCAAAUGACUGAUUUUGAAUUACCAAAAUACAGAAGACUUGAAGGAAUCAUUGAUGGUGGACAACCCAGAUGUCCACAUUAUUUGCCAGACACCAUAAUUGAGUGAUGAGAAAACGAAAGAAAAGCAAAAAAGGUGAUGUCAAACAUUGUCUUGUAAGGUGGAUGGAGCGAAAGCAACAAAGAAAACUAGUAGGAUUUUUCGUUGCUAUUCCAUACCUCUAAAUCACCAUAAUAAUAAUAACAAUAACACCAAAUUUUAAGGUUAUUUUUUGUUAUAAAAAAAUACUAGGAAAAGAAAAAAAAUAAUUAAGGAAAAUAAUUUUUUCAUAUUUGGUUUCACUAUAGAAAAUAUAUAUAUAAAAAAUCAAAUAUAAUUAAAAUUAAUUUGAAAUUUAUAUAUUUUAAAAGUAUUUAAUCUUUUUAUAAUUUAGAAAAAAUAAGUAAAACGAGUUUGAAGAAAUGUAUAAAAAUAAUUUAUUAAAUUUAAACUUAUUUCUUAUUUUCCUUCAUUUUUUCUUUUCUUCUACUUUUUCUUUCUAUUUUCUUUCCUUCUCAUUUUCCCUCAAAUUUUCCAAGAACCAAACAUAGCUUAAAGGUUUAGAAUCUUAUGCACAAGACUUUCAAUUUUUUUUACAAUAUUAUUUUAUUAGUUAAGAAUUAAAAUUUAAUGUACCAUAUCUAACACUAACAAAAAAAAUUAUAACAACCAGUCUUAUCUUUUAAGAAUGUAUUGUUUAAAUGAGAUUAAAAAUUAAAAAUAAAUUUUAAUUCAUUUAACAACUAAAUUAAAAUGAAAUUUAUAUAUAUCAUAAAUUUAUACAAUUUUGAAUCAUUUUAUAUGGAGGAUUGAGAAUGGAGAGAUUGAAGAAUUGUUUGGUGACGAGGAGAUUGAUUGAAGAUUUUAUAGUCUUAAGGUUCUAUGGGAUGAAAUUUUUUGUAAAGAGUUUAAAUUUUUGUAAAAAAUAAAAUUAGUUUUAUGUUAUCUGAUUUCAUGGAAAUAUAAAGUUUUAAUUCAAAGAUUAUGUUUUAAAAAUAUUAUUUUUAAAAUAUAUUUAGCAAAGAUUUAUAAAAAUUUAAAAUUAAAAUUAAUUAAUCUAUCAACUAAAUUAAAAUAAGAUUUAUAUAUAUUUUUAUAGAUUUACAUGUGUAAAAUCUUUGAAAUGCCUCAACUUAAAAUAACCUUACAAAAUUUCAUUAAUCUACUAGAAUUUGCAUUAGGAUGAAUACCAUCAUAAUAAUAAUUACGCUCCACAUAUGACGUAUCUUAACAUCCACUUGGAGGUUAAAAAAUAAUUAAAGUAAGGGAAACUAAUAUAUUUAAAAUUUAAAAAUCAUGAUGAAGAUUUGGACAAUAAUUCAAGUAGGCAUCUUUGAAAUUUGACUUCCAAAUCCAUUUGUCAAUAUACACCACCCUAUGACAAUUAAAUAAAUUAAAAGAAGGAAAAAAAAAUGUUAAAGGAAUGACAUAAGAAUUAUUUAUGUAUGACUAGAUUUAAAGUUUAAUUAUCUGAGGAAUCCUUUAUUAUGAAAAUAUAGGGAACAAUUAUAUUUAAGGAGUAGACGGGGUUGAUAAUGACUAAAGGGUACAAAUUUUGCAUAAUUGAUCUAAAAAGGUAGAGAAGGUUUGUAGAUUGUUGUGGAGGAUAUAAACCCAUUUUGUGAGUCGAAAAUGCUCAAAAUACCCUUAAGAGUGUUUUUUUAAAAAGGACAAUUAAGUACUCAUGAUAAUUAAUAUAUUAAGAUUUCAAGAAAAAUUAAUAAUAAAUAAAAUCUUUUUCUAAAUCUAUUUAACAAUCAUAUAGUUUUUAUUUUAUUUUAUUUUUUCAAGUUGCAACUAUUAUCUUAAUUUAUUUUUCAUUUUAAGGUUCAAUUAUUAUUAUUCUUUAUUUUGAUUAAUUAAAUGAAACUGUACAAGACAUAUUUAUAUUAAUUAGCUAAAAAGGAUAGAUUUUUUAGCAAUACGAUUAAAAUAAAUAAAAACAAGGAAUUUGAUUUUCUUUAUAAAAUAGAUUGGGAAAAGUAUAUUUCGAUACAUUCGUAUGAAAAAAAAAAUCAUAAAAUAGGAACUCAAGUUUAUAAAAUACAAAUUUUAAGCAUCCAUCUAAAAAUAAUUAUCAUUUCAUGCAUUUUUUUGGUUAAAUAUAUUAUAUUUGACAAUUUAAGUAUUAUCUUUUAAUAAUGUAGGUAAUACCUUUGACCUGCAUACAACUUGAAUUAUUUUUAGAUAGUUUCUAUUGUAUAAUUAGUUCAUCAUUUGAUAUAAAUAUCAAAUAAUUAAAAAAUAUAUCUUUUUUUUUUAAGAAUUUUAAUUAUAUUUGACUUUCUUUUGUAUUUUCUAUUGUGUAAACCACAUAUAAGAAAAUCAUUUUCUUUAACAUUUUUUUUUCUUUCCUUAAUAAUUUUCGAGAACCAAACAUGGCUUGUAGGUUUGGAUUAUAGGGUAUAGAUGCCAUAAAUACUGGAAUGAGUUCGGGUUUUCCAUGCUAAAUGUCUUUAUUAUUAUUUGGUAGCGCUUUUCCAAAAUUGUUCCAUUCCCAAAACCACUUAAUUUGCUUAAAUAUUUUAACCUCACGAUAUCAUAACAUUAUAAUGGAAUAGAUUUUGUUGGUGUUCAAAUCAUGUCAACUCAAUUUCCAAACCAUUUGGAUUGUCAUUUGGUGAAAAAUAGAAAGAAAUUUUACUUGAUUGAAAAGCAUUUCAUUUUUAUUUGAAUAUGCUGCAAUGAAACAGUUACUAAACCAUGGGGUAGCAGAAGAAGUAAUCGAGAAAAUGAAGAAGGAUGUUUAAGAAUUCUUUAUGCUGCCAUUGGAGGAGAAGAAUGCUUACACAUAGCUACCAAAUAGCAUUGAAGGUUAUCACAAAGAAUGCUUAACAGUUUUCUUAAAUUUUGUCCAAAGUUUAUGAAUUUUUAUUUUUUAUAAUUUUUUUUUACUUAAAUUGAAACUUAUUAAUCAAGGUAAGAUUUCAGCCACAUCGAGAAACAAUUUACGUGAAAAGGGACUGAUAAAAUCUUGAGUUAACAGAUGUAAAAGACAUAAGGCCAAAGACUCUAGAACUCCAACCCACUGAAUCAAGAAUAGAAACACAAAUUUAUCUACCAACCUACACUAAUCUCAUAUCUACAAUGCAACACCAUCGUACUCUUAAGUGACUUGAAAGGAUGUGAAUAUUUCUCACAAGCUUCAUAAUGAAAUUCAAAUUAGCUCUGAGAGUUUUGGGUUAGGCACAAAGAGUAAUAAUGCAUAGCUUUUGUGUGUGAGUUUUUAAGUGAACUUAAGACUCAAUUUAAAGCAUGUAUUUUACUAAAAAUAAAAAAAUAAAUUUAAGAAACUUCAAGAAUUUUGGAAAGAUAAAUUUUAAAAAAAAUUCAAAGAGAGUCAGAAAAUGUUUCCUUUUUAAAUUCUCAAUUUAAUUUAUUUUCAAAUUUAUUAAGAGUUUAAGAAAUAUUUUCUUUUUAAAUUAUCAAUUUAAAACGCUCUUUUAAAUUAUUUUAUUAUUAAUUUUCAUGCAAGUCUACUCUAUACAUUUUACAUCAUUAUUCUCAAUUAACUCAACAAUAUUAGAGUGUAACAUCCCCAAUUGAUUUUGCACCAACCUUAAGUCUUCAAAGACAAUGAUUGAGGCAUUUCUUCUCCUAUUUUCUCCGAUGUAGAAAAAAAAACUUGAAUAAGGUUAAAGUUGGUCUAUAGCAAAAAGUCUUAAUUUGAGUUAGCCUUUUUUUUUUUUUUUUUCCAAAUGAUAUGCAGGUCCAUCUAGCCUUCAACUCAAAUUUUUUAUUCAAAAAUCACAUGUGGAUAUGUGAACAAGUAAAAGUUGAGUUUUACCUAACAUAUCAUUUUGAAAAUUAGGAAAUUUAAAAGGUAUUAGUUUGUUAAACUCACCACCCCUGUCUAUUCUACAAAACAAGAAGAUUAGCAAAGAAAAAGUAUUCAUAUUUGUACUACAAAAUAAAAAGAUUAGCAAAGAGAGAAAUUGUACGCAUGAGUGCAGAGUUUUGGGUUAAAACAACCCUUUUGAUGGGAAAAAUAUUAAAUUUAACCACUUUGUCAAACUAAUGUGUAAAAUGAUCCUUUUAUUAUCACAUAGGAGUCAUAUCACUAAUAUAUAUAUAUAUAUUUAAUUUAAGUUGAAGCCUCAAUUGCCAAUUAAGGCUUCAAUUAUCAAUUACGACUUUAUUUUUUAACCCGAAACCUUACUUGCCAAUUGAGGUUUCAACUAAAAAAAGAAACCUCAAUCGUCAACUAAGACUUAAUUUUUUAAUUGAAGCCUCAAUUAACAAUUGCGGUUUUAUUUUUAAACUGAAAUCUCAAUUGUCAAUUGAGGCUUUAUUUUUGUGAAAGGAUUAUGUGACACUCACGUUACUAGAAAAAAGCCAUACUGAAUAUAAGUUUCAAAAGUGGCUUAAAAGGUAUAAAUUUUAUGAUCAAAGAUGCCAUUUUGACCCAAAUCCCAUGGGUGCAUGAGACUCUAGUUAAUCAUAGAUUUCAUAGAUAAAAAUCAGAGUUAGGAUGAUUCAACCCCUAAGCGUCAAGAAUUCUUUAACAUAAUGUUAGAACAUUUUCCAAUUUAAAUUUGAGAGUUGACUUUAUUUGAAUAUGCUUUUGAUUUUUUUUUUUUUUUAAAUAAGCUUCAGUGUUUUUUUUAAAAAGAAAUAAAAAUAAAUAAAAAUAGGAGCUUCUAUAUAGAAAGUAAAAAUUUUAUCCAACAAAUAUAAGGCUCACCUUAUAUCCUUAUAAAAUAAAAAAUUUUAAAUUUUUUAAUACCUCAAAAUUUUUAAUCAAUAUUUAAAUAUCAUUAUAUUUUCAAUAUGAUCCUUUAAAAGUUAAAAUUACUUAUAUUUUUUAUUUUCAAAAAAAAAAAAAAGAAUGAAUUUUUAUGUUUUUUAAUUAUUAAGAUGGAUGAAAUAAUCCCAAAUUUGCAAAAAUAACUUCUUCCAUGUUUGAAUUUGAAAAAUAACUCAUUUCCAACAUAAAUACUCUUCAAUAUUUGGAUUAUUUUAAUAUAAAUUUUAGAAGAAAGUGUUAUUUUGACUGGAAAACAUGAAAGACAUUUUUGUUAAAAAUUGAUCUUUUUUUAAGGCUAAAAUAUAUAUAGGUUUAUAUUUACAAAUUUGAGACUAUUUCGUCCUCUUAAUCAAAUAACUUAAAAAAGAAAAGAGUUAAUUCCACAAGUGGGUUUAAAAUACUCACAAAAUUGCAAUAUAUAUAUAUAUAUAUAUAUAUAUAUAUAUAUAUAUAUAUGAAAUUACAAAUUUACCCUCGUGUGUUGAGCACAUGACACUUCCAUUCAUUAAAGCUAACAUUGUUAAAUAACAAAUGUACAUUGCAACUAUUUAAGAAGUAUGAAGGGCACAUUGCUUGAUUUUAGUACAUGGUGAGAAACUUGUUGAACAAGUUAUGUGUAAAGUUUUAUGGUUCAUGUAUGAUAGAAAAUACAGAUCUACUACAACACUGGAUUUGCAAUUUUGGUUAGUAUUUAAAGAAAAGACCAUAGGACAAAAAGAAUUAAACUUUUGGUGGAAAACAAUAAAGAAAGGACUACAUGGAAAAAGGGAAGAGAUCAUUAUAAAGGAAGAUUAUUGAAUAGAAAUAAUUCCAAGAACCUAAGGCAAGACAUAGAGUAUCACUACUACUAUCACAAAAAGGGGUAUAUCAUAAAAUUUAUGAAAUUUUGAAAAAGACCUAAAAAACGAAGAAAAAAAAAAAAACAAAUCAAAGAAGCCUACAAGUGUAACUAGUGUUCUUAAAGUUGCGAAAUGUAAAUCAAAAGUAGAUUUGUUAAUAGUUUUUAAAAUGCUUAAAUUAGGAAUUGUCUACUUGUACCAUACAAGCCCUUGUAGAGACUGGUUUGACAUGUAAAUUGUUUGUAAAAUCAUUUUAAUGGGCAAUAAUGCACCAAGUUGCUCCACGAGAAGGGGAGGGGUUUGUGAAACCAUCACUUGUCGUGGCAUACAUCGUCGGGUAAUCACGGAUGAGGGCAUCCACGGGAGGCCAAUGUCUACCCUCGCUCUACACCCCUCUAGUACAAGGCUCUAGGAGGGAGAGAGGCAACAAGUGUGUGACACCAAGGUAAAUAUGCUUGACCUUAUGGCUUUGGGAGCAACUUGCAUUUAAAGACUUGAUGAUUCACAAGAUUCUACAAUUCAUACCAAGUAUUGCAUUUUGCGACGUUCUUCAUCAAUGAGAGAGCCUAGAUAUCCAUUGUCAAGAAUUAUUUAUGUAUGAAAAUAAAGGCGCCUAACCGACAUGCCCAAGAUCAAGGCAACUGGAGUGUGUUGCUUCGCCCAAGUUACUUAGCGCGUUUUGUGCCAAAGUUUGUUGUUCGCUCAAGAGGGCUUUUGUGAAUCUUUGUAAUAAAGGGAUAAUACAGAGUGGGCCGUAAUUUAGCAUCUUACACGCUUAGUUUCUUCCAUUGGUGGCAUAUAUUAUUUUGUCUGUCAUUGGUGAUUAUUUAAUAAAACUAUGAGAGUAUUUCAUGAAAUAUAAAUAAGAGGUUUUUAGGAUAUUUAAUCGAUGGUAAACAAAAGUUGAAAACUAAGUAGGGAGGAAGAUAAAAUAUUUUAGAUUUGAUAGUGGACUUGAGCAUUAGAACAAGAAGUUCACAAAGUAUUGCGAGAAUUCUUAUAUAACUUAACAUCACAUGUAAAGAAAUUACAAAGCAAAAUGGAGUGGUUGAAAAGAUGAAUAGAACACCAUUGGAAUGACUAGGUGGCUAAGAUUAAUCAUUGGGUUACUUAAGAAUUUAAGGGCUAAAGCUAUCAACAUAACUUAUCAUGUAAUUACUUAGUUGUCAAGUUUUACAAUUAUUUUCAAUAUUCCAAAAGAAGUGUCAAGUAAAUCAAUUGACUUUUCAUCUAUUGAAAUAUUUGAUUGUUGCACUUAUCUUCAUAUAUAGGUGAAAAAAAAAUUCAAUCCAAAAUAAAAAAGGUAUAUAUUCCUUGGGUUUGAAAAAAGGAUUGAUUAAAGACUAUAGACUUUGGGAUCCAACAAUUAAAGAAAAAAAAGUGGUGAGUAGAGAUGUAUUCGAUGAAAAACAUAUGUUAAAGAAAGAUCAAGGACAAAUGAAAUUGUUAUUGAAAAAAAAUUCAACUACAUGACCAAUCAUCGAGAUGAAAUUUGAGAAAAAUGUCAUUAAAUAUGAAAUCCCUCCUAAUUGAUGUCCCUAUUAGAACUUUAUAUAGGCAUCUUUCUCUAUUGCUCUAAAGAAUCAUCGUAUUGGGUAAGGACAUCAAUUUUAAGAUUUUAAUUUUUUUUUCAUUAUUUAUUGGAAUAGGAGAUCUUUAAUUUUUUUUGGGGUGCAAUUAGGAAGGAUGAUAGUUAUCAAUGUCUUGGUGCUAUGUCAAAUGAGAAUCCAAUGCACAUGUUGACUAAAGUUGUUCUUAAGGAUAAGUUCAAGCAUUGGUUGAAUGUCAUUAAUUUUUCAUUUUGUAGAACAUGGAAGGUCAAUUUUAUCGAAGAGCCAGGUCAAUCAACUUCUAUUAGGACUUCUAUUGAUUCUUGACCAAUGCACAUGUUGACUAAAGUUGUUCUUAAGGAUAAGUUCAAGCAUUGGUUGAAUGUCAUUAAUUUUUCAUUUUGUAGAACAUGGAAGGUCAAUUUUAUCGAAGAGUCAGGUCAGUCAACUUCUAUUAGGACUUCUAUUGAUUCUUGAUUUGAUUAGAGGGACUCCUAGCAGUAAACUUGUAUGAAGGGGCCCUAUGGAGAUGCAAGAGAUGCAAGAGCUGCCAAUCAGAUCGACCAAUAAAUGAUAGGCCCAUGCAGAGAUGUCCCUGAAAUAGGGGAUUGGUUGAUUGGAAAGCUUAGGCAGUGUAUAAAGGAGAACAAUUUAGCAUAUUGGGAAAAACACAUAUGAAGAUGUUUACAAGUUUGGAAAAUUGAGUUAAAGAAUAGAUGGUCUAAAAAUGUUUCAAAUUUCAAUUUUAUGUUUUUCUAAGUUUGAUAUAUCCUAUUUGGAUAUUUAGGAAGUCUUCUCUUGUUAGAUAAGAUAGUCCUAUGAUGAGAUUUGUUAUGAAAAUAGGUUCUUCCUCGUGUGAAAUAUUCCUAUGAAAUUAAGAAGGAAUAUAGGAAGAGUUUUGAUUGAAAUUAUGAAUCUUUUUUUUAUGUAAUUAGAACUAAAAUAUGAGAGUUUUAUAAUUGUAAUUACACCUUUGAAUAUAAAUAAUUGAUAAUAGUGAAUUAGUUUACCUUCUCCCUCUAAAUGUAGGUAAAUGCUAAAUUAUGUUAAAUCUUGUAUUCUCAUAUGAUUUUUUUUUCAUUUAUUUUUCAUUUUCUUGCCCAUUUCUAACUUGCUACUACAUAAUAACAGGUGGUAUCAGGCUUUUUGUGUUUGCACAACAAAUGGUCUCAGUAUUUCCAGCACCACAAAAAUGAUAUUUUACUUAAUUGCUCCUCAGUGGAAAAGUUGGAAAGAAAAAUUAAAUCAUCGACUAUACCUUUUUUUUUUUUUUUUCAAAACUUUUCUCGUCUUUGUGCAAGAAAAUUAGUAUAUUUUCUCUUUAGUAUUUGUUUCUCUUUUAUAUAUAUUCAAAUGAAACCUUAAUCAUCUUUUAUAUGAAGUAUAAAAGAAUUAGAAAAUAUUCAAAUUUUAAAUGAUUUUUAUUAUACUUUGUCCACUUCCUAUUUCAUAUAUCAAAUUACAAUAGAAUUUAAAAUUCUUUUAUACGUUUUUCCCCCCUUUGCUACCACAUAAAUGCAAAGACAGUAUGUGAGUUAAAUACCUUAAAAGAAAAAGAAAUUAAAAUGUGAUAGAAAACAAAUGUAACCUCUUGAAAUUCAAGGAAACAAAACACUAAACUUUUUCAUGUAUUUUAUUCCAUUUAUAAAUGCAACAUGACAAAAAUAGACAAAAAUAUAAAUGGAAGCCCUUUGGGUCCUUCAUUUUAUAUUUUAUCAACUUCGACCAAUUCUAUUUCUAUAGCACAACCGAUACUAUAAAGUUCAAUGAGUAUAUAAUAUAUAAAGAUACUAAUCAAUACGAAUUAUUCUUUCUUUCAAAUGGCUACUUGUAUUAAAAAUUAAAUGUAAUUCCUCCUAAACAAUAAAAUAUGUUGACACGAUUUCAAUGAAUAUACAGUACAUAAAGAUAUGACCAAUUAGUACGAAUUAUUCUUUCUUUUAAAUAGCUACUUAUACUAAAAUAUAAGUAAAUAUAAUUCCUCCUAGAUAACAAAAUAUGUUGACACAAGGAGGAAUAUAUUUACUAAUUAUAUCAUUUGCAAUAGCCUCAAUCUCGCGACGUUCUUCGAACCAACCAUAGACUUUAUUGAGAUAGGUUAACCAAGGGAGCUUCCACUCUCAUAACUCGUAUAUGAAAAUUUCAUCUUGUACAACUCAAAUAGAAACCCAUAAAUACCAGUUGAAACCAAAAUGUAAUAAAUAAAUAAAAACAUAUUUCAAUGGAUCCAAUUAGUAUUUUUCCGAUCUAGGAUAAACAAACAAAUUUUUCUUCAUUUUGCUUUUUUUUUGUAUUAAUCUUUGUAAGUAAAUUAUAUUUUAAUUUAACAAAGCACUAAACUUUACUUUAAUUUUCAUGCAGGAUCAACUAGCUUAUCAUAAUAAAAUUUAUCAAUAUAGUUGAGCAGAGAUUUGAUGUAAUAAUACCAUACAAAAUUCAAGUAAAAUUAAAUUAAUCAAAUAGGACACUACGGUUAUAUUUGGAUACAUAUUCUAUUUUUUAUUUUUAAAAUUAAAAUUUUGAUAUAAAAUAUGACAACCCUUUGUAUAAAAAAUAAAAAUUUAUCCUAUAAUCUUAAAACUACUUUUCAAUAUUAAAAAAAAAAUGAGGAUGUGUCCUAAAAUUUUAAACAAAUUUAAAAAUAUUUUUAAAUACCAAGAUAUCCACUUUUUUCUUUUUUAAUAAAAAUUCCUAUAUUUGAUAUAAAACUCUAUUUUAAAAAAUGAAAAAUAAAAAAUGUAUCCAAACAUAAGCAAAAUUGUUAGAUUUCAUUGUGAGAUUUCUUAGAUUCUACAAUUCAUAGUGAAAUGAAGACGAGAUAUAACUGACUGAACUAUGAAAAAAAAAAAAUUAACAUUGAUGAGAUUCAAAAAUGCUAGUUAAUGAAAGAGUUUCUCCGCCAGGAUGACUAAGAAAAAUGCUGAAAAAUGUGUCAUGCCCAAAGCAAUGUUACAAUGAAGAAUAGAAUGAGAGCUAACCCGAAACAAAAUCCGACAAUCGCCAUGAAAGCCUGGAUGCAGAGGAAAUGUAACUAGAGACAUGUAAGGAAUCAUUAAACAAGUGAGAACAAUAUCAAAAUCUCAUGUACGACUUACCUUUCCCUGAGAUUCAAACUUGAAUUUUACUGUAAACCAUGACAAUCCUCUAUCUACAAUAGGAGCAAGUGCAAGGGCCCUGCAUGAGAAGCACCUCUACAAAAAUCACAGAAAACCCAAAGGAAAAAAAAAAAAAUAGGGUUGAAUAUGCUAUAGUUGAAUAACAGCCACAAUGCUGGGAAGGUCAAUAACAAAAGCAUUGACUUGAAUGUUAGCAGUGUCAUUUACACUGGCCAUAAGAACCAGAGGUAAUGCGUACAGUUGGUAAGUGGGGAGGAGGGGAUGAGAAAUUGCAAAGUCUUGAAUUUAAUUGUUUCAUGCAAUUCCGUUUUCCAAUACUCUAUAUGAUAAUAUACAUUGUACGGAACAAAAAUAGGGUUGUUUUAAAAUUUUGAACAAAUAAAAAUUUCAUAUCAAUAUCUAAUAUUUAAUAAAAAAGAAUGAAACAAGAGUAAGUACAUUCUCUUCUCCUUAACAUGGUAUUAAAGCAGUCUCCAAACUCUUAACUCCUAGUUGCAAACUUGAUUUCCACUGGAAGUUGCAGUUUGCUUAUUUUGUUAUUCAAGUAAGUUACUUCAAUCUAUCAUAGUUUAAAUGACUUGGGAUGGUAGUUGUCAUGGGCACGAAUUUUCCCACAAAUUUUUUGCAUCCACGCAGCGCUUAGAAGCCCUCUGAGCCAACAUACUCAAACCCACAUGAGAUUGCAAUCAAGAAAAAACUCACAAAGACACACAAGGCUAUGGAGCUCAAUCCCUAACUUGUAUUUUAUUUCUUCUCUAAAUAACAAUACAAGACAUAGCUCAACAAGACUUCCACAAUCUCUUUGGUGAGUUCAUGCUCUCUCUCAAGCUAUGUUUUAAGAAAGUUCUCCCUCUCAAUAUACCUCUGUAUAUUCUCUAUGAUCUCCAGAUUGCACGAUAAUUCAAAGGGCACUCCAGUCCUCCUUUUAUAGGUGUGACACCAACCACUCCCUAUUCGAUAAGGAGCAAUACAUCUUCCUUAAGCUUGUCCCAAUGCCAAGACAUCUUUGUUGUGUUCUGCCUGAAGUCUACCCACUCUUGUGCCUUGAGUCAGUUCAUUCAUGCAUUUGAAUCAGCUGAUGCAUCCGAUCAGCUUGCUAUAGAGUCUCUAGGCAGCCUACUACAUGUGUCUCUAUGCAACUAGUGUGCAUGCCAAGCCCUCUCUUAGCCUACAGAUCUAGCAAUUUUCCUUGGUGCCAAUCUUUUCUUUGGUUCUAGCUCCUUGUUGUUCCUUGAGCGUGUCAGUCAUGCUCAUAUGUGUUCCCGCAUCUGGAUCACGUCCAUGCCGAGGCAACCUGCCCAUGUUUGCUCUGCCUAGUUGUUGCUAUAGCAUCAUGCCAUGCCCAAGCCCUCUUCUUGGUGCAGCAACGAGUCAUGGCAUUGCACCCAUGACUCCUCAUCUCUACGCACAAGGCAUUGUGCCUUUGUGCUAAGCAUUAGGCAUCACAUCUGAGUCGGCUUCCCUUAUCUCUAUGCACAAGCCUCAAGGCAUUGUGCCCUUGUGCCAAGCCACCUUAUUGCACAAGGCAUUUCCCCCUCAUGCUACCGUUGGGAAGGGAAGACUGCAUAGCACCCCAAGUCGUUGCAACCAUGAGUUGCACACCAUCACAUGUCAUGGAGCCCAUGUAUGGCUGCUAGCAAGGCGUUGCCCAUGUGCCUUGCUCAUGUCUGAGGACUUGCACUGAAGCCCCUAAGUGUGGCCAUGCCCAUGCCACCUCGUCUCCCUUGAGUCACCCCCACCCUCGCCCCCCUUAAAAGAGCAUUUUAAGCCCUUUUAAUUAAUUCAGGAAAAUCUAGAAAAUUCCCUUCCACUUGGAGUCUCCCUUUUGAAGGUUCCUAUAAAUCUUUUAUCUCUAAGCAAAUUAACCAAGUCACUUAAUUGUUUUGCAACAUUCCUUCCCUUCCCAUAGUGUAUUUCAAGAUCUCUUAAUGAACAAGACAAUUGGUGGAGGGCAUGAAGUAAAUGGAAUUUAUCACCAUAUCGGCCCACCUCUUACUCCAAUUGCUCUACAUACUUCCAUUUCUUCUAUGUAGUGGCACACCUUUCACUUCGCAUCUUUAGCAUAUGGGACUUCUAGUUAUAUUGGACUCCAAGUUAAAGCACCAAGUUUGCGAGUCAAGAAAAUAGCUUCAUCAUAGUGUUGUUCUAGUCCUUUUUGUGCUAUAAUCAAUAAGAGGAGUACUAGUCCUUUUCAUCUUGUUCAUUUAGACAUUUACAGUUUAUGUUGUGUUGUUCCUAAUGUUGAACUAAACUUUCUUAUUGCUAUUUUAUUAAUUAGAUCAAUGAAAAUGGUAUGAGCAUAAAGAGGCUGAAUAAUAGGUACUAAUCUCUUAAAAAAAAAAUUUUAAAAAUAAUCUUAUAGAAACAUCAUCAGGUGACUAUGCACAAGUAAAUGGUCUGACAAGGCGUGAGAAAAACAUUCAUUUUUGUGCAAGAACCAAGUAUUUGCAUCUUAAUCAACCAAAGAAUAAAUGGCUGAAGACAAUAAAUGACUGAACAAAAAGAAAAUCAUAAGUUUUAGGCCAGACACUUUUUUCAUCAAUUAUAUACAACAACAAUAAAUCAAAUAGUCCUAAAUUUCAAGAGAAUAAUGCUCAGCAGCUAUGCAUACUCACAAGUCACAAAUACCUCAUCCUUAACUAAUUUACAUGAAUGAAUUAUUUACUUACCAUACCAAGAGAAACGUUGUAAGAUAGUAUGCAGUAUUCAGGAGUCCAUAGGAUAAUAUUCCAGAAAUUCCAUAUCUCUUCAGUUUCUUUAGAAGACUGAAAGGUUAAGCAAGAGUGAGCUCUCAAUGUAAGUAGACAUGCAUUUAUGCAUACAAAGGGCAAAAGGAUUGAGGUAUCACUUCUUACAGAUUGUUUGCAUGAAAUUCAGUAGUAGAAGAGAAAUUAAUAUGAUUGGGACAAGAUCACUCAUCCAAACAAUAGUUUAUUUACUGAGAAAAGGUCUACAGCAUACUCAUGCAGUAGACAAAAUGAAUCUUUUGUGUCAUGUUCCAAUAAUGUUAACAAACUACAUUAAAUUCAUAAGGUUACAUAGAAAAAGAAAGAAAAGACAUUGUUGCAAUAGUUUGUCUGUUACACUGCUAGCACCCAGACUACGACCAAAUCCUUGCAUUCAAAUUGAAUUUCAAACUCCCAAUGUGAAAAAGGAAGAUACAAAAAAGAAAAGAAAAAAAAGAAGAAAAAAAAAAGUGGGAAAGAAAAGAGACAUGGGAUUUCUAUGUAUAAUAAAUACAUAUUAUAUGUAUAGAUAAAUGCAUGUAUGUGCAUAUGUGAUAGAGGCUGGUCAGACACAUUUCAAGAAGUUUCACAACUUGCUUUGGAAUGACAAACACCUGGAUCAAUAAAUGGCUUGUCUCCAUUAUUGAGAAAUUGCAGAUAAAUUUCAUCCACUACGGGCAUGGGGUGGCUGGACAAAGUUAUGCCAUUUGGUGGGAUGUAGUGGACUUAAGACAGAAAAUUCUCAAUCAUUCUUCUGUCCCUUGUGCAGUGUUGAAGCUGACAAUAUUAUUGAGCAUACAAGGAAUGUGAUGUAAAACAUCAUUGAGGAGCCAUGAGCUGCGAAUGCAUGGAGAAAUUAAGUUAUGAUUAAGUUUUGGUGAGGGAUUUUCAGAUGCAGAUCAUAUGGCAAAUUAUCAACUUCAGAGAAUUGCACGUUUUUAUUCAUUUCCAUACACAUUGAAUAAUCAUAUUUAAAAUCUCUCAUUCACUUGUUUCGCUUCCAUUAGUGCUCCUUCCACAUGCCUAUUAGCAGCACAGACCUCAUGAUAGUUUGGUAAAGGUAAGACAAUAAAAUUGAAAAAUACAGCUAAAGCCUAAAAUAUUGGCUAAUAAAGAGAGAAACCAUCCAAGUUCUAUCUUAAAUGACUCUACAAGUUCUAAACAGGGAGACAAGGACUUCAACCUGGUCCAUCAAUGCAUAUAAAUGGGUAAACAUUCCAACAGCCAUUACGUUAGAAGUACACUAAAAGAAAAUUAUUAAACAAUGUUGUUUCCAAAAAAAUUCCAUGUUAAAGAAUAGAAGAACAUACUGCUAUAAAUGAAAUUCAUUCAAAAUCAGUUCAAACAGUAAAGUUAAGAAUUGUGACUGCAAUUUUUUUCUAAGAAAGAAACAACAAUUGUGACUGCAUAUCACCCACACUUGUUUUAUUUACAAUCCACACAAUGUAUUCUUCCCUAGCAUGUUAUCCCAUUAAGUAGCCUCCAGAUAAAAUUCCCUUUCCAACUCUGUCAAUCAGUCAAAAAAUUUCAUGUAAAAUGUAAAAUACAUGGGUACACAAAAACAACUAUAUAAACUGCCAUCCCAUCAUUAAUAAAUCAGUUGUCUAUAACAUAGACUAAUAGCAUUGUAAGGCAAGUAGGAAGUACUCUUUUGAUGUGUGCAGUUCUCCUUCACCAUUUUCGCCCUUUGCACUUGAGUCUAUAAAAAUAUGUAUAAGUAGAUUUUUAGAAAUAUCAAGUUUAUCAAAUGUAAAAUAUGGUAUCACAAAAAGCUACACCAUUUUUCCAGUUAUCAUUUGAAAGAUAUUGAUACCUUCAUGGUUGGCAGAGUAGUCAUGACCAUUUGACAUGCCAGAAGCCUAACCUACAACAAAGGCAAUGUUGAAAAAGCAAUAUUCAAAAUUCAAUGAAAAAAAUAGAAGACAAACAAAUGAACAAAUAGCAUAUCAUCACACUCAAUUGUUUUCCACAUAUGAUAAACUAAAUGAAAGAAACAAGGAAUAUAUUGAGAAAAAACCCUAUGAUCAAUGGAUAUGCAGUCGCAUUCCAGCACAGAUAUAGGAUCAAACAAGUAACUAAUCUAGACAUAGCUGCAGCAAAUUUGUGUAUCUCUGAAUGUGUGUCUGCUUUUUGUGGGGGUAUUUAUUAUGACAUGUUCUUGGUGCAGACAAACCAUCUGCAUUUACUUGAGGAUUAGGUAAAAAACAUACUUUUCAUUUAAAAUGAGGCCUUGAACAUCAAGCCACGGUGAGUUUUCAAAUAAGGAAAACGUAAUAGCUUUACAAUGAGUCCCAUAGCAAGAAGGCAUAUAAUUCCAUUCAUCAGCAUACCAGAAUAUAGAAUAGUGUGGACAUGUGGACACAUGCCAGAAUUAGCAUUGGACACACUAACAUGCCAGUCAUACAUAGAAAGAAUUUCCAAAGAUAUUAAAGUAAAACACUGGUAGUAAGCAAAUUAUACCCAGAAAAACAUGCAAGUAUAGGCCAAGAUCAAAUCUUAAUUUUAAUUUCUAGAAAAAAAAAAAUUUAUAUCAACCAAUAGAAAUGGUAUCACCAGCAAUUAACACCAAAACACACCAACAUAUCGGAAUGCAUAACACGUGUACCCAUCUCCAAUCAGCACUACACCUAUACAAGUUAGCCUGUAGCAGGUCAUAAUAGGUUCAGACUAUAAAACCUUCCAAAUCUUCCUUUGCAAGGCUUAGAAACCAUUUUCUAAGUAAUUUACAAUUUUAAAAGCCUGUGACAAGAUUUUGGAUGAAGAGCUUGAAUUAUAUACUCACAAACCCACUCCAAAAUUUCCUUAAGGUAAUACACAUUUUUUGAAGUCCUUUCCAAUGUCUUCUCUUAUUUGAGUUAGAAAAGCCAAUUUUUUUAUGAAUUGAUUACUACGUCUAUUGAGGUUUGAGGUGUAUAACUAAUUUCUUAAUAUAUCAUAAUUUACAUCAGUUAUUAGAAAUUAAGGUUCAAUCCUUUUACACUAAGAAAAUCCUGAGCAAUUAAAAAAUACCUUCUUUAAUAUUAUUAAAUUUAAGUUUCCUUCAGGUCUUUGAGUCAAAUAGAAAUUAGUGUAAAAGGAAUUUUAAUUUUCUUACACUAAGAAAAUUAAAAAAUAGGCAAAAUAAUUUUCAAAUUUUGGAACUUUAUAGGUAAUGCUUAUUAAAAUAAAGCAACAAAGUUUGUCAUUUGCCAUUGAAUGAACCAAUUGUAGAAAACUAUGCAAAAAAUUUUAUUAGUAUGGAUUUUUUUUUUCUACCGAUAAAUAGAAUUCAAUUUCAAACCUGCCCCUCCCAACCCACCACUUGCUGCUUGAGGCAAGCUUAGAGGCAGAAAACUAUUUACAAUUCUACGUAUGGAUAAAAAUUAUUCUUAGAUUUUAUGCCAAAUUCCAUAUUUAUAGGUAUCAAUUUAUUAUUCUACUGUUGUCAAAAGCUUCAAUUUUAGGCGUCCUCAUGGUUAUGCCACCCUUAAAUGAGAACAACUUUGGUCUUCUGUUUUUCUUUUUGAGCUCUUCAAAUUUUUGCAAGGUAUUUUUAUAAUCUUAUUAAGCUCAAUGGGAGAGAGAGAGAGAGAGAGGGCGAGAGAGAGAGAGAGGGCGUGAGGGAGUGUGAGAGCGCGUGCGACGGCGACGACGAUGAGUCCGGCGAGGCGAGUCGAAAGCGAAGCUUCACGGUGGAAUCCAAGACUUUCGAGCUUGCCUUGGAUGAUAGGAAAGGGAAACGCCAGAUUCGCAUUGUGGAGAAGAAGCGGGGGGUCUCGACAUGGGUUCGAUUAGGGCUGGAAAGCUUAGGGCUCUUCAAGGAGGGACUAAUCCAUUGUAUACGAGACGAAAAAGAAGGGAGAUGGGAAAAGGAGUGGAAAGAAAGAGGCAAGCUGUAUACAUUGGCUCGGGGUUUCAACAGAGCGGGUGGUUUUUUAAGGUUGGGGGUUGUGGAUCUGGAACGAAAAAGGUUUUGUAUCUUCUUACCGAGAGGUAGGAGGAACAAAAGAGGAUGGACGACUAUGGCGGAGAUGGUACAUCAAAUGGAAGAACUGGCUAGUGGAAGAACAAACUUGCAGGAGGUAAGGACCGUCGGAAAAGCUACUCCGGCGAAAUCAUACGCAGAAGCAGUCAUGAGAACAAAUUGGAAUGGCUUAAACGCAAUCAAGAUGAAGGUCACUAGGGAGGAGAUUGCUGGAAAUUUACAGAAGCUGGAGCACUGCCUCGUCGCGAGCUGGAAGUCCAACGAAAAGGAAGAAGAAGACUUGGAGAGAUUGGGAAGUCAUUGGGCGAAUUCUUGGGGUCUUAAAGGCAAGCUAGGGCUGGCCAAGUUGGAACAAGGUAGGGCACUGUUGGAGUUUGAAGAUCUAAGAGAGGCACACCGUGUGGUCUCCUCGGGGAGCAGAGUGAUGGGAGGAGCUCACUUAGGGUUGGAUCUAUGGAAUCCAAAGACGGGAUGUCGGGUAGAGGAGGAGAUGGAACAGGAAGCUUGGGUUAAAAUCUUCGGCCUUCCAAUUUCGCUAUGGAGCCCGGGGAUUCUGAAGAAAAUAGGGGAGGAAUGUGGGGGCUUUGUAGAUAUUGACGAGCGGACAAGGUCGAUGGGGGAGAUUCAAUGGGCUAGGAUACUGGUCAAAAUAAGAGGUGAUUUUAGACCAAGUAUGUUAGAAAUUGAGGUAGAGGAGGAGGUAUACACUGUGACACUGUGGUGGGAGAUUAGGCCGGUGGUGAGACGGAUCUUCUCUGCGACGGAAAACAGGAGGAGAAAGGAGGUCAGGGGUGACUCGUAUUCACGCGCGGAGAAGCGCGUGGGGAAGGAGCUGGUAGACGCGGGAAUCGAGGAACUGCACCUGCCAGAUGUUGGGAGUGAUCUGCAGGAGAAUAGGCCGGGUCUAGUGCCCGGGAACCAGAUCCAUGGCCCGGUGACCCGGGAUUGGGCCUAUCCAGAUGGAAGAGUGGCUGGGUCAACCGCAUGUGGCCCAAAUAUGGAUCUUAAUGAGUUGGAGAAGGAUGGUGGGCAGACUAAAAUAGACGGGCCUUUGGGCCGAAAGUUAAAAAAUAAGUCAAAGGUGGCUAGUGAUUCAGAGGCAGGCCCAUCGUCUAGUAGUUGGGCUGCUGAACUGGGCUGCCAUCCUUUAGUUGAGGUGGAAGGCCUGGAAAGGGAGGGCCCAACUGUUCCCCUAGAGAAGGCUGGUUUUUUGGGCCGUUUUAGCUCCAGAAAAGGACCCAUUUCAGAGGAUCCUUUGACGAGCUGGGUGCCAGAGGAGUUUAGAAGGGAACAGAGGGAUGAUGGCUUUUCAAUGACUGAUCGAGCGCUGUAAGAGGAAGCUAAAAGGUAUGUCCUGAUUUCCCAUCCUAAAGGAAAAUGGGUUAUGGGGACACCUCUUCUUCUCUCUUCUAAUUCUGAUCGGGCUCCGGAGGGGGAGUCUUUUGAUCGCCCAGGGGGAAUUGAGGAGGAAUUAAGGGGGGACAUGUCAACAUGGUUAACAGUCUAUGAGGGGAACGUUGAGAAUGAAAAUGGAUCUUGGAAGCUGGGAGAGGACAACAAAAGCAGAGACAAGGUUAAGGGCAAGGAGGAGAACACUGGGGUCUCUGGUUCUCAAGAUACCGAAAAUGAGAAAGAGGAUCUAUGAGAGGACUGUAGUCUUGCAAAAUUUAGCCAAUUCUUGGGAUUCUCUAUGAAGGGGCUGGAAAAGGAGAUAUUGAAUUUUCUGAUUAAAAUCAAAAAGAGGCGGGAAAAGAUUCACAGCAAAGAACUUUUGGAGAAGUCCAAGUUUGAAAGGGAACUAAAGAGGCUGGAAUGCUCUAUCAAUUACGAGGGGGGGAAUAAGCAGAAAGGUCCUUCACAGGGCAAAAGGAAUCAGUUGAUAGUUGCCCAAUGAAGCUGAAGAUUAUAACCUGGAAUGUGAGGGGAGCUAAUGACAGCUCUAAGAGGAAAAUUAUUAAGAGCUAUAUAAGGAACCAGAGGGUGGACCUAAUGUGUAUUCAGGAAACCAAGAUUCAGGAGAUGUCGGAGGGUAUUGUGAGAAGUCUGGGUUCGGGGAGAUUCUUAGAUUGGAGAGCCUUAAAUGUGGAGGGGGCUGCGGGUGGCAUUUUGAUAUGCUGGGACAAGCGGGUUCUGGAUAUUUUGGAUUGGGAGGAGGGUCAGUUCUCUUUGUCUUGUAGAUUCAAGACCACAGUAAAUGGGGCUACUUGGGUUUUUACGGGAGUGUAUGGUCCUUUUACCAAAGUGGAAAGGGAGGGUAUGUGGGAAGAACUUGGGGCAAUAAGAGGCCUUUGGGAUGAUCCCUGGUGUCUCGAUGGGGAUUUUAAUAUCACUCUGUUUCAACAAGAAAGGAGCAGCCAAAGAAGAAUCAGCUCAGCCAUGCGGAGAUUUGCAGAGACUGUGGAUGAUCUAGAGCUGGUGGACCUGCCCCUUCAGGGGGGAGAGUUCACAUGGAAUGGGGGGCUUAAUAAUCAGGCGUGGGUGAGACUAGACAGAUUUUUAGUUUCCCCUAGCUGGUUAGAUCAGUUUAGUGGAUUCACUCAGGGCAGGUUGUCUCGGCCAAUUUCUGAUCAUUUUCCAAUCGUGUUAGAGGGGGGUGGAAUAAGAGAGGCCCAACCCCGUUUAGAUUCGAAAAUAUGUGGCUUAACGUUGANGNUUUAAUGACAUUGUUAGAACCUGGUGGNNNNNNNNNNNNNNNNNNNNNNNNNNNNNNNNNNNNNNNNNNNNNNNNNNNNNNNNNNNNNNNNNNNNNNNNNNNNNNNNNNNNNNNNNNNNNNNNNNNNAGGAAGCUGAAUUAAAAAAGGAAGCUAAAGACUCCUUUAAGAAAUGGGUCCUGUUGGAGGAAGCCCAUUGGAGACAGCACUCAAGGGAGAUUUGGUUAAGGGAGGGGGAUAGAAACAUGGGGUUCUUCCAUAGAAUGGCAAGUGCUCAUCGAAGAAACAACGCUAUGGACAGAAUUAAGGUUAAUGGGGAGUGGCUAGUAGAGGAGCAGGAGGUGAGAGAAGGAGUUGAGAAUUCGUUUCAGCAGUUGCUUUCUGAAGAUAUGGGUUGGCAGGCGGAUAUUGGUAGAAUUCAGGUGGGUUGCAUCAUUCAGCAAGAAGCAGAGAGUCUGGAAAUCCCAUUUGCAGAGAUUGAGAUUCACUCGGCGCUGAUGGAGAUGAAUGGGGAUAAAGCCCUUGGCCCGGAUGGUUUUACUGUAGCCUUUUGGCAAAAUGCAUGGGAUUUUACCAAAGAGGAGAUCAUGGAGAUGUUUAAAGAAUUUCAUGAGCAUAAUUCCUUUAUUAGGAGCCUUAACAAUACUUUCUUGGUGUUGAUACCUAAGAAAAGCGGGGCUGAGGAUCUUGGAGACUUUAGACCUAUCAGCCUGUUGGGGGGGGGGCUCUAUAAACUUUUGGCUAAAAUCUUAGCUAAUAGGCUCAAAAAAGUGAUUGGUAAGGUGGUCUCUAUUGCUCAGAAUGCCUUUGUAAUGGGAAGACAAAUUCUGGAUGCGUCUUUAAUUGCUAAUGAGGUGAUAGAUUCGUGGCAGAAGAGAAAAGAAAAGGGUCUUAUUUGCAAAUUGGAUAUAGAAAAAGCUUAUAACAGCAUUAAUUGGAAUUUCUUAAUGAAGGUCCUUCAAAAAAUGGGCUUUGGGACCAAGUGGGUGGGAUGGAUGUGGAGUUGCGUGUCUUCUGCUAAAUUCUCUAUUCUUGUUAAUGGAGUGCCAGUUGGGUUUUUCCCUAGCACUAGAGGGCUUCGUCAAGGGGAUCCUCUAUCCCCUUACCUCUUUGUUAUGGGAAUGGAGGUUCUGGACAUCCUUAUCAGGAGAGCGGUGAAGGGGGGAUAUCUUUCAGGAUGCAACAUUCGGGGUGGUAGUAGAACUUCCUUGAAUAUCUCCCACCUAUUUUUUGCUGAUGACACAAUUGUGUUUUGUGAGGCGAGCAAAGAGCAAGUUUCUCACCUAAGCUGGAUUCUUUUUUGGUUUGAAGCGGCUUCGGGUCUUCGAAUUAAUCUAGCCAAAAGCGAAAUCAUUCCAGUUGGAGAAGUGGAGGAGAUUCUUGAGAUGGCAGUUGAGUUAGGGUGCAGGGUGGGGUCUCUGCCCUCUCAUUAUUUGGGUCUCCCCUUAGGGGUCCCCAAUAGGGCUACUUCUAUGUGGGAUGGAGUGGAAGAGAGGGUCAGAAGGAGACUUGCGCUUUGGAAAAGACAGUACAUUUCCAAAGGGGGGAGGAUCACUCUCAUAAAAAGCAUCUUGGCUAGCAUGUCAAUUUACCAAAUGUCUAUUUUCCGAAUGCCCAAGUCUGUUGCUAAAAGAGUGGAGAAAUCCCAAAGAGAUUUCCUAUGGGGGGGAGGAAACUUAGAGGGAAAAGUUCACUUAGUUAAAUGGGAUGCGGUCUGUACAGAAAAACACAAGGGAGGGCUAGGAUUAAGGAGAAUAGUCACUCUGAAUAGAGCCUUGCUGGGCAAGUGGAUUUGGAGGUUUGCUUGUGAAAAGGAUAACCUUUGGAAACAAGUGAUCACUAUGAAAUAUGGGCAAGAGGAUUAUGGUUGGAGGUCAAAGAAGGCUAGUGGGGCGGCCGGAGUAGGGGUCUGGAAGGAGAUUAUGAAAGAAUCUGUUUGGUGCUGGGAAAAUUUGGCUUUUAUAGUUGGGAAGGGUUCCAAAAUCAAAUUUUGGAAAGAUAGUUGGUGCACUGACACUCCGUUGUCCCAAUGCUUCAAUCAUCUCUUUGUCCUUGCCGUGCAUAGGGAUGCUACGAUUGAGGAGAUGUGGGAUCAGGACUCGGGCCAAGGAGAUUGGAAUUUUGUUUUUGUGAGGGACUUCAAUGAUUGGGAGUUGGAUAUGGUUGGGGAGCUGCUUCAUACUUUGAGGGGUCAUAGGCCCUCCCUGGAGGAUGAUUCAGUUAUGUGGAGGCAUGGAAGAAAUGGUCUAUUCAGGGUCAAAGAAGCUUACAAGCUGUUAGACAAGCCUAAUGUCACAGUAUUUCCCGCAAGGAGAAUAUGGGUGGAUAGGGUGCCAACUAAAGUCUGCUUUUUUGCUUGGGAGGCUACGUGGGGGAAGGUGCUCACUCUGGACAGACUCCAGAUAAGAGGGGUGCAACUCCCAAAUUGUUGCUUUUUGUGUGGUUGUGAAGAAGAGAAUGUAAAUCAUAUUCUUUUACACUGUAUAGUGACUAGAGCCCUAUGAGAUAUUAUUUUUGGGUUGAUAGAUGUUAAGUGGGUCCUCCCAGAAACUGUAAAUGAGACUUUAAUCUCUUGGAGGGGCUCAUUUGUAGGGAAGAAAAGGAAAAAGAUUUGGAAAUCCAUUCCGUUAUGUAUUUUUUGGACGGUUUGGAAGGAGAGGAAUAGGUUAGCCUUUAAGGGGGGUGCGUUGAAUAUUCAGAAAUUAAAGAAUUCUUUUGUCUGUAACUUGUGGAAUUGGGACAAAGUGUAUUUAGGUGAGGAGUCUUUCUCCCUUAUAGGUUUUUUGGAGUGGAUAGCUUCCACUUAAGGGGAGGUAGUUCUUUUUGUUCCUUUUUCUCUUUUUGAGGCAGUAGCCGUCUUGUAUACUCCCUGUAUGCUUUGUGGCGUUUAGCCUUUUCUAAUGCAUAUCUUGUUUACUUAUCAAAAAAAAAAAAAAUUUGCAAGGUACUUCUAUCCAGGUUCUAGGAAACACCCACUUUUUUAAAUCUCCAAUAAUUUAGUGUUCUGUGGCUGAGGGAAUAGACUUAUUUUUGGUUGAAACACAUAAAAUUCUUGGAUAUGUAUAUAUAUAUUUUUUGGCAUCAGGUCCUUUUAGGUUGAUUUUUCUACUUAUUUUUCACCCACCAAUUAACAUUGCCCUAACUCUAUUAUCUAACCGAGCAAAUGUUUAUGAACUAGCAAAUCAUACUAAAAUUUCUUACUAGUUGACAUGUGCAUCAUCUCAGCAUGUCAUUCCAACACCAAACUACAACCAUAAUCCCACUAACAUCCUAACUGCCUCAAUGAGUAUGGAUUACAGAAAUGCAAUUAAAAUAUACUUCCCUAUUUAAUUUCAUAAUUUUUAUAAUAAUAUUUCAGCAAUAUUUCCACAUAGUAGCUUAUGUGAGAAAUCCCCAUUUCUGUUUAAAAUCGAAAAACCCUAUAGCUUGCGCAAGUAAAUAGGAAAAAAAAAAAACAGAGGUUUUGCAGAAUUGGGAGAGCAGACUCACACCAGCAUGGCCAUUGAUUGAGCAGAAACGUAGAUGACGAUGAUGGUGGUGGAAUUGGGAGAAAUUGUUGAGUUUGGGAACCCUAGGAAAGCUGGGAUUGAAAGAAGAGGAUUGUGAGAGAGAAUUGGAAAUUUAAGAAACAAACACAAAAAAUAAAUCCAAGAAAUAAAUAAGAAGCGUAAAAAUGAAAUAGAGAAGAGUGUGUAUGACGCACCUGAUGAUGUGAAAGCAGCUUCAGCUGGUGAAGGCAAACUUUCGACGGGAGAGACAUCAGGAUACUGGCCUCUGACAACAAUCGCUCCAAAAUAUUCUUUCUAUACCAUUUAUUAUUAUUAUUAUUAUUAUUAUUAUUAUUUUAUUAUUAUUUUCAGGUUAUUGAAGUGUAAUGUCCACCGUACACCCUUACAUGAUGAAGCCUUUAGAACUCUCCAUGGAGCCUAAAUCUCACAUUGCUAAUCACCCUAUAAUAACCAGCAUAUAGUAAAUUCAAAGUAUCAUUAAUGAUAGAUUUCAAACUUAGGACCAUAUAUCAUUUAUUGAGACCACACUUCUUAAUGUUCAUCCUUAACGACACACUCAUAUAUAUCAAAUUACCCAAUGACCUACUUUUCCUAUUUUCUCAUUUUUAGAAAUAAAAAGAAAAAAUAAUAAUUUCUAUUUUUAAUUUUUUAAUUUUUUUUAUAAGUAAAUUUUUGUUCUCAUUAGGACCUGUGGAACCUCCCACAAGUCCUCCCGAAUCCUUUACCACUUGAGUCAUGCCUUAAUGGCUUGUUUUUUUAAAAAAAUUAAUAACAACUUUUAUAUAUAAAAAAAAUACUUAUAAAACAUACUUAUAAAAAAUAUACAUGUCAUUAAAAGUUUAAAGAAAUUUAAAUUUGAUAAUAAUUUUUUAAAUAAUUUAAUGUGUUAAUUGUUCUUAAAAACUUUAAAUAACCUAGAAAAGAAUAAUAUGGUUAUAAAUUGACCAAAUUGUUAUAUGGUUUUAAAUAGUCACCUUAACAAUGUUACAAGUGAGUUAAUUAAUUUAUGGUAGAGAAGAAUUACAAUAGAAUUCAAUUAGUUAUCGUAUUUGAAGUCUUUGAUUAUUUGUUGAAUAAUAUUUGCAGCCAGUUAGCUAGGGUUGGCUAACCCAAGCCAAACCUACUUACUAAUAUGUCCAACCUAUGCUAAACUCGAUUCAAAGUUAGAUUGGUAGUUACUAAACUCAUUGACAACUAAAGUUUCUAUGGAUUCCCACAAGUUUUCAUGGAUUAUCAAAUAAACCACAUAUAAUGGAAUCUCCUAAUAUAAAAAAGACAUAUUUCAAAAUUAUAAAUUAAACCAUAUUAUAAAAUAAAAUUUUAACAAAGUCAUAAAUUAUAUUACUAGUGACUAAUUUUAAUGGUAACAUGAAACACAAGUGUGAAUAUUUAAAAAUAUUUUAAUAAUUAAACAAAAAUGAUAAACUUAUAGUGUAAUGUAAUAAAACUAGCAAAAGUUAUAGUUUUUCCAUUAUCCCUUUUAUAAAUUUCAUAUUUUAAAUAAACUAAUAAAUAAUAUAAUAGUAAUGAAUUUGCUUAGUCUUCAUCAUGUAGAACCAAUGUGAAGAAAUUUUUUUUAAUAGGACUGAUUAAUGACUUAAUUAAGGGUAGGUUACAGCAUACACUAGGAGUCAAGAAAUAAGAUGUCAAGACUUGUACAUUCUGAAUAGGGAAGGGAAGAGUAUCCUAACAUAAGAGACCAAAAACAUGCUCAGGGAGAUUCUCGUUAGGAUCAAAUUGGGGGCAUAGAUGUAUCUCUUUGGUAAGAGUUCCCAUAAUUUAGGUAUUAAUGAAAUAGGUAUAAAAGAAUUAUAUAUCUUGAUAUGAUCAUGUUGUUAAUGAUGAUCUAAUGAGUUGAAAUAUUAUGUUUUCAACUGUGUAUAUCUAAUAAAUACAUCAAGUACUUAAACUUUAAUAUAGAAAUGCUCCAUAAUGGUUUGUAUGACUCAUCCUCUUAUAAACAUAUUAUUUAGAUUAGGCUAAAGUGGUCAAAGUAAGAAGAAAACUUGAUACUUGAUUUGAAGUAUGAAGAAUUCUUCUUAGACUUUGUGUGUAGUAUUGUUUGCUUAUUGUUGUGUUAAAGUCUAUUUUGAUGUAUUUUGGAAAGAAUGACCAACUAGAACCACUAUAAGAUGUUGCAAAACUUAUUUAAACAAGGGCUUGUGAGCAAGAUUUUUUUUUUUCCCUUUCAUGUACAAAUAGUAUGAUGAAUGAAAAUUUGAUUCUCAGUUGUAAUUAGUGUUUUCCUUAAGUUUUAAAUCAUGCAAUGAAUACUUAAAAUUAGUUUAAGAUGUCAAAGAAUGUAAGUAAACAAGGUUUUACAUGUUGGAUAUAUAAUUAAUGCAAAACCUUUACCUUCCACAUUGAAUGAUUACAUUUUUUCUUUAAGUGCCCUUUAAUCAUUCUCAUCUUGUUUAAUCAUUUUUCUCUAAUGUCUUGAGCAUAGUAGAUUUCUAUAAAUUUACAUGAGCAUUCCUUAACUCUUCUUGAGUGAUCCUAAACUUAGCAUUGAAACAAUCAUAAUUUAGGCGAAGAUGCUUACACGUCUUCAUAAUCAUCCUUGGUUGCUAGCCAUUUUUCCUUAAUUACUUUAGGAUGUUUAGCGAAGAUGAUUACAAAUAUUAACUAGUUCACUCACACAUUUUUGUAUGAGUGUAGAACAAUUUUGCAUUCUUUCCACAUCACUUAUGCAUCUUUGUUCCAAGAAAGAAGAUAUAGAACUCUUAUCUUUUGCUUACACCACUUGGUUCUCCAGCCCAUUAUGCUUAUGCGUCAUUUUUAUAUCACAUAUGCAACUUGUUUCUCAUUAAUAUAUUUCACUUACAUGUUCUUAUAUAAGCAUAAUUUAGGGAAAAACAUUUUAAAAAAAAAGAAGCAAAAUAGAUGUUAAUAUAUAUAUAUAUAUAUUUGGAACAAUUAAACUCAAACUAUGCAAAGUGACCUUGUCUACUAUAUAGGUGACUUUGUUUACCCCAUAGGUAGAGUAUAUGAUAGUGAUAGUCAAGGAAGCUAUGUAGUUGCAUGGUUUAGUGGAGAAUUUAAUGUUGCAAAACCGUUUUGUAUUUUUAAUAAAAUAAAAAUAUUUUAAAUUGUGGCCCAUUUAAAUAUUAUUUUCCCUAAAAUAAAUGAAACGUGGGAGCACAUCUCUUAUGGAGUAACCACCCAUGUCUACAAAUGUGGGACAUAUUACUCGGUUGAAAACUACCCAAAGUCUUUUUUGAUGGGAAGAAGAGAAAAUAAAUAGAUAGAUACAAGAUUAAUUCCAAAAGAGGGAAGAAGGGUCUCUGGUCUACAAGAAUAAGUCUGUGAUUAGUUUCAUCAGUCCCUAUUUUGUGUGAAUCUGAUUGCCAUGGCUGGAGGUACGAUCUUGGAUUUUCAUUUUAUUACUUGUAAUUAUCAGAGAUAUUUAUCUAACAUUUGGUAUCAGAGCCAAGGGUCUCUAGUUUGGCUUUCGAUUCAAUAUUUAUGGUCUUAAAUGAAUUAAGUUCUAUAUUCAUACAUGAUAAGAGAAAUUUAUCUCCAUAUUUAUUGGGUAUUUCUAAUUUAAUCCAAAUGAAGAAAAUUUAGUAGACUCCAUAUUUAUUGGAUAUUUUUUAUUUAAUCUAUACAGAUUUGUUUUUCUACAGUUGCAAUAGACAUUUCUCAUAUGACAUGUUAUGUUUCCUGCAAUUGAGACAACUUGAACCCGUGACCAUGGGUUACUUCCUUAACUAGAAUAGUCCUUGAACCAUUGGACUAAAGCCUAUGACUUGUUAGAGAUUGCCUCCUCUAAACUUAAAUGUUGGCUCCGUUAUUGUGAAAAACUUGUAUAAAUUAUUUUUAUAAAGUAGUAUUUAGAAACACUACUUAUAUUUGUUUACCAUUGAUUUGGUAAUUUUUUUGAUGUCAUACUGAGGUAACAUUUGAUUAAUUAAGUAAUAGCCACAACAUUCUUGAUUAUGAUAAUGUUAAGUGACAAAAGAAAGUUUCAUUUUUGUCACAUUAAAUUAAUGACAUCAAUAUUUGUAAAUAAUCAUAAAAAAUAAUAAUUUUACCCCACAGGGUAAUUAUUAUGUUUUGUGUUUAUUUAGGAUGGGAUGGUAAAAAAAAAAUAUGUUGCCCAUAGGCCUAAAAUUACUAGUUCCAUUAUAAAGUAAUUAAAAAAAAAACAUUUGCAUGUUGUAUUCUGUUUCCACAGGAAAGUUUAUGAUCACGUGUUGAUUUUUUGUUGAUUGAAUUAAUUUACAUGAGUAAAUUUUGUUUUUUGCUUCAUGGCAUAUUAGUAAGCUUUGUCAUUUAUUUUGUAGUUCAAUCUAUAUAUGUUCCAAAUUUUGAUUCAUCUCGUAUACCUUUCUUGAAUGGUGAUAAUUAUGCUAAUUGGUAGGAGAAAAUUCUCCUUACAUUGGGGUGCAUGGACCUUGAUUUAGCACUUUGUGUGGAUGAGCCAUUGGUUCCUAUGGAAUCAAGUACCCAAACUGAGAAAGCAUCAUAUGAACGUUGGGAGCGAUCUAAUUGCUUAAGUUUGAUGUUUAUCAAGUCUAGUAUUGGGAAAAGUAUUCGUGGUUCAAUUUCUGAAUGUGCUAAGGUGAAAGAAUAUCUCAAGGCUAUUGAGCAACAGUUUGAGGCUUCUGACAAGGCUUUGGCUAGCACCUUAAUGACAAAGAUGUGUUAGAUGAAGUUUAAUGGCACCAAAGGAGUACGUGAGCACAUAAUGGAAAUGAGAGAUAUUGCUACUCAACUUAAGUCAUUAGAGAUUGAGAUGUCUGAGUCAUUUCUGAUUCACUUCAUUCUUAAUUCUUUUCCAUCUGAGUAUGGACCUUUUAAGAUUUCAUACAACACACAUAAGGAAAAAUGGUCUAUUAAUGAACUUUUGACCAUGUGUGUGCAAGAAGAAGGAAGACUAAAUCAAGAAAGGAUUGAAAGUGCCCAUUUGGUGACUUAAGAAAAGAAACCAGGCAAGAAAGGUAAAAGAAAGCAAAAGACAUCUCUUAAUCAAGUUAAUAAGAGCGAUAUCAAGUGCUUCUUUUGCAAGAAGAAAGGACACAUUAAGAAGUGUUGUCCCAAAUUUAAAGCUUGGCUUGAAAAUAAAGGUAAUCUUAUCUCUUUAGUGUGUUAUGGAUCUAAUAUGGUUCAUAUUUCUUACAACACUUGGUGGAUUGAUUCUGGUACUAAAAUUCAUGUUGCCAAUACCAUGCAGGGCUUCUUAAACCAAAGGAAACCAACAGAAAGUGAAUGCUCUAUCUAUUCAGGAAAUCGGAUAAGUUCACAUGUGGAAGCGGUUGGGACCUACAGACUUGUUCUUAGAUCUGGUUUUGUUUUAAACCUUGAAAACUCUUUUUUUGUUCCAUCAUUUUCUAGGAAUCUUAUUUCAGUUUCGAGACUUUUACCAUAUGGUUUUAGUUUUAAAUUUGUUGUUAUUUCAUUUCAUUUGAUAAAAGACAAUGUCGUUGUUGGUGAUGGUAUUUUGGAUAAUGGUUUAUUCAAACUCAAUUUAAAUCCAAGUUUUAAUCAUAGACUUACAACUAUGCAUGGAAAUGUUGGCAUUAAGUGUGGUGUUAUAAAUAAGAAAUCUUCCACAUUAUGGCACAAGAGAUUAGAUCAUAUCUCUAUUGAAAUAAUUAAAAGAUUGGUAAAUGAUGGAGUCCUUGAGGCUCUUGAUUUUACUGAUUUUGAUAUUUGUGUGGGUUGCAUUAAGGGAAAGCAAACCAACAUGACUAAGAAUCAAAGUGCUAGGAGGACUUCUAAUGUUUUAGAAAUCAUACACACUGACAUUAGUGGUCUUUAUAAUAUGUGCUUAAAUGGUCAAAUAUAUUUUAACACUUUUAUCGAUGACUACUCACGAUAUAUGUAUCUUUUUUUGCUUUAUGAUAAGUGUGAAGCACUAGAUGCUUUCAAAAUCUAUAAUGCAGAGGUAGAGAAACAAUUGGGUAAACAAAUUAAGAUUGUGAAGUCAGAUAGAGUUGGUGAAUAUUAUGGUAGGUACACUGAAAAAGGACAAUUAUCUGGUCCAUUUGCAAGGUUUCUACAGGAACAUGGCAUUGUUGCCCAAUACACAAUGCCUUGCUCACCAUCCCAAAAUGGUGUGGCUGAAAGAUGAAACCAAACCCUAAAGGACAUGGUUAGUAACUCCAACCUCCUAUUAUCCUUGUGGAGUGAGGCCAUAAAGACAACAACAUAUUGAUUACUAUUCAAAAAGUGCUGUUUUGUAGCUUGUAAUUAACUCUUUUAAACACUUUUGAGUAGUAGUUAUUACCUUUUAACUCAAUUGGCAUGUUAAGGACCCUUGCAAUCGUUUCUAAUCAAAUUGUGUUAAGUUUUAGUGUUUUUGAUAUCUUUUUUAUCACCAAAGCAAUCUAAGAUGAGGGAGAGCUUUAUAUAAUCCAUGGCAAAGAAAAUAAAAGCUCAUUUACAAGAAGAAUCCAAGCUUUGGAGCUUUGAAGUCCUUUGCCAAAAGCAAAUCAUGAAUGCAAUGAGGGAAAGCAAAGAGAGAAAUCUAACAUGAAGAAUUCAAGAGGACAGCAACUGUUGAAGACAUUUUGAGUACUUCCUGAAGUCCAUUUCAUGCAUACUAUAUGUCGUUUCGAAGAUCGGGAAGUCAGAAGCCCAACGCUUCAAACGGUACAUGAAUUGGAGUUGAAAAGAAGAAGUUAUGGCCAUUUGAAGACAACCGCACAAAGUUGAGCGAAAAUUUCAUGGCCCAAAGCCCAUUUCGUACCUGCGAAAUAAGCUGCGAAAUGAAACCCACUUGCGAAAUUUUGUAAGGUGUUUUGCAGCUGCGAAACCACCUCCAAGCACACGUGUGCCACUUCGCAAGUUGAAACUCCAUCUUCGCAACUGCGAACCACGUUGCGAAAUCACCUCCAAGCUGCGAAACAAGUUGCAAAUCAUCUCCAAGUUGCGGAAUCACCUCCAAGUUGCAAAAUCACAAAUUCAACUUGCAAAAUCAAAGUUCAAACUUGCAAAAUGGACAAUUCAAAGUGUGAAAUCCACCUGUGCAAUCUCAGAUAUUUGCAACCGACUCAGUUAGAUUUUUUCUCAAGAUAUUUUGUAAAUUUCUAUUUUCUCCUUGUAAUCAGUCAAAGAUAUUAUUGGGAUAUUUCUUAGAAAAUAUCUUCUCUAUAUAUAUCUUUGAACCAAUGUAAAUAAUACGGAUAUAUCAUGUAGAUCAUAGAUCAUGGAUGUAAUUGACGAUAGUAAGAAAUAUAUUUUUACAGAGCACUUGCUCUGUUUUUCCUUCAUAUUUUUGUUUUCUCGUUAUUUUUAUUUCUAGCAAAUCAAACUCUGAGGAUGUUUCCUUAGAGGAUGAGUGGCUUGGCUCUUUGUCUCUUGGAGUGAAGAAAGCCAAGUAAGUUUCCAUAUGCAAAAAUUAGAAGUUUUGUUGUUUCAGUUUUUAAUGAAGAGAAAGUGUGACUCGUUAAUGGUUUUUAUCUUUUUAGUUAACUUAAAACGCCUUUAAGUUACCUAGGCUAACACUUGGUAAGGCAAGUGAUCUCCGUCCAUUGAGAUGCACUAGUUUACCUCUUGCGAGCCUUUGGGAGGUGACUUGAAGGUAGGAUUUUCUAGAAUAGCCAACACUUGGUAAGCUUUUGGACUCUAAGGAGACAUCCAUUAGUUAUCUCUUGCGAGCUUUUAAAGGGUAAUCCAAGGUUAAGGAUCACCUUGAAUGGCAAAUUCUAGGUGAGAGGCAUGAGCCAUUGCAAGAUGCAUCAGUGAGAGAGAUUUAGUGUUUGAACCCAUUAAGGGGAAACAUCUAUACCACAUCGAUUCGGGAAAUAACUAUAUGUUAAAUCCCCAAUGCGAGGAAAAGAUUCAAGUGACCAGAACUCCCUUUUUGUAUAAGGAACCUAAGCCUAGUGAUCUGAAACUCCAAGAAACAUUUUUCUUUGUAAUUAAAAUCAGUUACUAUUUUUGGUUAGCUUAAAACCAACCUUUUCAAACAUCUUUAUAUUUUCUUUUAGAGCUAACCUUGAAAUGAAAAAACACCAAUUCAGCUUUGAAUUAAUAUCAAUUGUGAAGUGAAAACCCAUCCCAGUGAACGAUCCUAGAGCCACUAUGCUAUGCUAGCUGAGGCUAUCCUAGUACAUGGUGUAAUAGGUUAUAAAUUUUGUUGAUUACUCCCGUCUGAGGACCACAAUCAAGGAAUACCAGCUGGACACGAAUCAAAUGACACCGUUGUUGGGGACCAUUGAGAGGACAUGAAUCAGCUGAUACACCAAUUGGGAAUGAAUCACAUAUGUACUAAACCGGGUUCCAACCAAGGUAGUUCCUAAAACGCCUUUUGAGUUAUGGAAAUGUUGCAAACCCAGUCUAAGGCAUGUACAUGUAUGGGGUUGCCUAGUUGAGGUUAGAAUUUAUAAUCCACAAGAGAAAAAGUUAGACUCAAGAAUAGUCAGUGGAUAUUUCAUUGGCUACAUAGAAAAGUCUAAGGAUACAAAUUUUUAUUAUCCUUCUUGUGCUACGAAAAUUGUAGAAUCUCAUAAUGCAAGGUUUUUGGAGAAUGAUGUGAUUAGUGGGAGCAAUGAAUCUUGACACUUAGUGUUUGAGGAACGCCACAAUAUUGAACCCACUCUUGAGUCUUCAAGUGGAUUAAUUAUUUUCCUGGAUAGUCAUCAAGAUUUGACAAUCCAAGAAACACCAGUUGUUAAUGAACCACAUCAUGAGGAUAUUCUGAUGGAUUUAGUUAUUCAACAUCCUCAACAAGGGAAUGUUGAUAUAACAUUAAGAAGAUCUACUACAGAAAGGAGGUCUACAAUUUCUUUUGAUUAUGUUGUGUACUUACAAGAAUAUGACAUUGAUAUUGGUGUUGAAGAUGACCCCAUUACGUUUUCACAAGCCGUGGGUGGAAGUGAAAAGAUGAGAUGAAUUCAAUGGCUAAUAAUCAAGUCUGGGAUCUUGUUGAGUUGCCUAAAGGUGCAAAGGUAAUUGGUUGUAAAUGGGUUUUUAAGACUAAAAGGGGUUCUUUGGGCAAUAUUGAAAGAUAUAAGGCAAGACUUGUAGCUAAAGGAUUCACUCAACAAGAAGGAAUUGAUUAUCAUGAUACCUUCUCUCCUAUUUCCAAGAAGGAUUUAUUUUGGAUAAUCAUGGCAUUGGUAGCUCAUUUUGAUAUGGAGUUACAUCAAAUGGAUGUGAAAACAGCAUUCCUUAAUGGGGAUUUAGAGGAAAAGGUUUACAUGAAACAACCAGAAUGGUUCAUCACAAAUGGAAAUGAUCACAUUGUUUGCAAGCUUAAAAAAUCUAUAUAUGGACUAAAACAAGCAUUCCGUCAAUGGUAUUUAAAGUUCCAUGAUGUUAUUUCUUCAUUUGGUUUUAUAGAAAAUGUUAUGGAUCAAUGUAUGUACCAUAAGGUUAGUAGGAGCAAAAUGAAUUUCUUAGUCUCAUAUGUGGAUGAUAUUUUGCUUGCUUCAAAUGAUUUGGGCUUACUUCAUGAGGUGAGGUGAGGCGAUUUCUCUUGCAACAAUUUGAUAUGAAAGAUAUGGGUGAAGCUUCUUAUGUCAUUGGCAUAAAGAUUGAGAGAGAGAGAUCUCAACGGAUAUUAGGAUUGUCUCAAGAAACCUAUAUCAAUAAAGUGCUUGAGAGAUUUCGCAUGAAGGAUUGUUCACCUGGUAUUGCACCGAUUGUCAAAGGUGACAAAUUUAGUUUGAACCAAUGCCUCAGUAAUGAUUUGGAAAAUAAAGAGAUGAAAAAUAUUCCUUAUGCUUUUUCAGUUGGGAGUUUAAUGUAUGCUCAGGUUAAUACAAGACCUGACAUUUCUUAUGCAGUUGGAAUGUUGGGCAGAUAUCAAAGUAAUCGAGGUCUGGAACACUAAAAAGCUGCAAAGAAAGUCAUGUGAUACUUUAAGGGGACUAGGGACUACAAACUUACAUACAUGCGAUCUGAUUAUUUGGAUGUGGUUGGAUAUUUGGAUUCUAACUUUGCUAGCUGCCUUGAUUCUAGAAAGUUGACAUCUGGAUAUGUCUUCUUAUUAGCUGGAGGGGCCAUUUCAUGGAAAAGUGCAAAACAAACAUUGGUUGCUACUUCGACCACAGAAGCGAAAUUUGUUUCAUGUUUUGAAGCAACGUCACAUGCUAUUUGGCUGAGGAGUUUUAUUUCAGGGCUUCAAGUUGUUGACUUAAUUUCUAAGCCAUUGAGGAUUUACUGUGAUAACUCUACCAUAGUGUUUUUAGCUAAGAAUAAUAAGAGUGGAAGUCAUAGUAAACACAUUGACAUAAAGUACUUAUCUAUUAGGGAACAUGUUAAGUCAAACAAGGUGGCUAUUGAGCAUAUUAGUACUGGAUUGAUGAUUGCGGAUCCUUUGACGAAAGGAUUGCCACCUAAGGCUUAUAAGGAACAGGUUGAACAUAUGGGACUCAAUUCUAUUUUUUAAAUUUUGUGUAAUUGAGACAUCUUUUGUGUUUCAUCGCAUUUUUUGGUUGAUAUGAAAACUCCAAUUAUUUCAAUCUUGUCUUCUCAUUUGGUUAUAUACAUAAAGUUUAGAGAAUGAAAAUAUGCAUGUUAUGAAUGUUAAGUAGACCUUGAAUGAGAAUUUUGGAAACUCAUUCAUAAAGGAAUGACUCACGUAUUGUUCUUAUUCAAAAGAGAAAGUUGCAUUGUAAUACAUGGAAGGUAAUACUUGUUCUUAGAGGACUUACUGACAUGAUUUAUGUGCUUUAAAUUCUUUUGAUUAAGUAUAAGGAUUUAGGGAAAAAUAUGUUAUGUAUUAAUUUAAUUAAUACAUAUUAAGUAAUUUUUAUGGGCUAAGUGGGAGAAAUGUUGGAAACCGUUUUGCAUUUUUAAUAAAAUAAAAAUAUUUUAAAUUGUGGCCCAUUUAAAUAUUAUUUUCCCUAAAAUAAAUGAAACGUGGGGGCACAUCUCUUAUGGAGUAACCACCCAUGUCUACAGACGUGAGACAUAUUACUCGGUUGAAAACUACCCGAAGUCUUCUUUGAUGGGAAGAAGAGAAAAUAAAUAGAUAGAUACAGGAUUAAUUCCAAAAGAGGGAAAAAGAGUCUCUGAUCUACAAGAAUAAGUCUAUGAGUUCCAUCGGUGCAUGGACAUAAGGUCUUGUAAGGACUAGCCAACUAAUCCCUAUUUUGUGUGAAUUUGAUUGCCAUGGCUGGAGGUAUGAUCUUGGAUUUUCAUUUUAUUACUUGUAAUUAUCAGAGAUAUUUAUCUAACAUUUAAGAGUUAAGCAUGAUCACAUUGUGAUUUAUUAUGAUAAUGGGAGUGCCCUACAUUUAUUUAAGAAUAAAGUUCAUCACUCAUUGGUAAGGCAUAUUGAUGUCUAAUUUCAUUUUAUUUAAGAGAUUCUAGAAGAAAGUCAUAUCUUGUUUUAGAAAGAUUGCUAAUGUUAAUGAGGUAGGUCAUAUUUUAAGAAAGAUUUUUCCUAAAGUCAAGUUUAGCCAUUGUUUAAAUGUGAUCCAUGUAGAAAGGAUCAAUGUACCUUUAGGUGUGUAGUAGCAAAAUCCUUAAAGAUUGUUUGGUUAGCUUCAUUUACAUUACUUAGUUAAAUAUUACAUAGUCAAUUACAUAGUCCUUUAUUAUUAUUUUUCAUUCUUAGUUGGUUUUUGUCUUGAAUUUAGAGUGAAGAAGAUGUAAUCAAUGAGUAGGGAAAGAGGAACAAAAAUGAAAAUAACAUUAGAACUAGGAAUUGGAGAAGAGGAAGAAGAUGAGGACAUUUCUAGCAAUGUUGCAUGUCAAUUUUUUGUUUAAUGAUUUCCUUAUAAUAGUUUUCAUAUUUCAUUAUCUCUCUCUAAACUAAACAACAUAUUUCUUAAAUAUUUUGAAUUCUUAUUUAUUUUUAAACUCUUUCAUUCUCUACCCUUUCACCAUUUUCACAUACCUAAAAUUUGCUCUCAAUUUAUUUCAAUAAUGUUGACAUAAAAGUAAAUAGCUAAAAUAGAUAAGUUAACCUUCAACCUAUUUUUUAUUUAUUUAUUUAUUUACAAACCAAAAUCUAGUAUUUUUGUUUAGAAACUAAAAUUGAACAAAAAUGUAUAAACUAAGAGAAAGAAAAAGUAAAAACUAGAGACUUGUAAUUAUAUAAAUGUUAAGAUUUCAAGUUAGUAAUUUAUGUUAGUAUUUGUAUUUUUUUCUUUUUUUUUUCUUGAUUUUUAUAUACCAUUUUAAUUAAUAUUUUCAAUUUUGUGAUUGAAGUCUCAAAUUUUUUAAUUUGUGUUAUGCUUAUUUUAUUGUUUCCAUGUUAAAAACCAAUGUGCAAUUAGUAUGACAUGUACACUUAUUAUUUCGAAGUGUAAUGUUGAUAUCUUAUUUUGUAAAGCCCAUGGCGAUCAAUCAUUGUCUCUCAUGUGUCUCAUUGAUGAUGUGUGAGUUUGACUAAUUAUUUAGCAUCAUGCCUCAAAGAUUAAUGUUACAUAUCGAAGACAUCUCUCUAAUAAACAUGACAUUCAAUACACUUUUCUUGGCCUUAAUCUUUGAUACAUGAUAGGUCCAUGUUCUACCUUCAUAUCUCCUAUGCCAUAGUGCUACAUUAUUUGAAAAUGAAUAUUUAUCUUCAAUAAGACCCUAAGUCACAUGGAUGCCUAUGAAGCAUGGAUGUUGCCCAUAGUGAAUGCCAGGGAGGGGGGUAAAGGUGUUUCUUACUCUAUUCUUCCUUAAGAUGGUAUCAUGUGCUUCUGAUAAUUGUUUUAUUCUUAUUCUAGAAAAUACAUGCUUCCUAAAAACUAAUAGUUUUUAUUGGUUUAUGAUCUUUUAUACCUCCUUCUAAUGUGUCAGCCUUACCAUAAUGCCUUGAUGUUAAUAAAUCUACCUAGUUCAUGAGCAAAGCUCAAGGUUUUGGAAUGGACUUUGUGUCCUUAGUGGUAAAUCUAGUUUCCCUACCCAUUAGCAUUUCAAGAUUAGUUUGAGCAUCUUGGUUUAGCAAUUAGAUCUUAUACUUACCAAGGUUGGAUUAACACACAUUGAUCUCAUUUUAGCUUAAAUGAAAGAGGUGACAAGUGUGUCUUCAUUAUAGGUGUCAUAUGAAGAAGUUUGUAUAUCCUUAUAGAAUAACUAAUAUUCAAAAUACUAUUUUAGAGCAUCAAUAAAAACUUCAUUUCUAUCCAAAUGAAAAAAAGAAGUGAUAUUGUUGUUCUCCUUGAUCUUACUGCCACCAUCUCUACCCAAUCAUCUACUCUCACUUUGUUUUGCUCUCAUUUUAAACUCUUGGGACAUUUAAAACUUUUAAGUUUUAGUUGUAAACUUAUAGAUACUUUUUUAGGAAAAAAAAAAUGGAAGUGAGAUCUAAGAUUUUGUUUUGAGAAAAGUAUUGAAAAAGCCCCAGGCUUAGAAACUUUUAUUUGCCUAUGUCUAAUAUGAACUUUUGAAUGAAAAAAACAAUGUUAUAUAAUUUAAUACUUGAAAGGAGUUAGAAGGUUUUUUCUAAUUUUGGAGCAUGAUGUACAUUAUGAGCCUAAAUCAUGACAACUUAAGUUGUUAGGAAGAUCAGUUGCUUAACAUGCCAAUAGUGUCUUGUUUAGUGGGGGGUUGUGUGUUUGAAUCUCACCUCAUUAUUUCCAUGAUUUACUAAAAUGAGGUUAGUUGCAUAGGAAAAUUUUUCUCUUCAUACGUGGGUAUGGGGUUGCAGUGAAAGAGAGUGUUAAAGAAUGGGAUCAAAUCUUAAUAGUUUAAGCUUUUAGAAAAAUCAAAAGUUCAAUAUGGCAUUAGAGUCUUAUUUAUUCGAAGGUUAUUAGUUUGGACCUAAAGACAUUAUUUCCCUAAUUUAUUGAGUAAAAAAAAGGCUAGAUAUGAGGUUGCUAAUGAGAAGUUAAUAGGGGUCCUGAGUCCAAGUCCUUCCCUCAUUAUUUAUCUAUCUAAUUAUUUAUGACCAUAAAGUGCUCCCCAUGAUAGGUAUGGGCUCACAUAUGAGGAGAGGAGGGGUGUUGGACCAUUAUAUAUGUUAUGUGCUCAAAUUCUAACAACUUAAUUAAGCUUUUAGGAAAAUUUAUUAUUUAACAUUAAUAUUGUUUUGUAAUCAAAGUAAAAUCUGUUGAGGAGAAGAAAAAUGGUAUUCUUCUAUAUAUUGAAAGAUACAGCAGAUGAGGGUUAUAUAUAACCUGUACAUGAAGUUAAUUUGGAAGAAACUAAUCACACUAAUCUAGGCUACAAUCUUGGAUGAUUUACAAUCAAAUAAAACUAACUUGGUAACUAGAAUAUUUUUAUUUCUAUAAUUGCUCCUUCAACAACUCACGUCAAUACUCCCCCUCAAGUUGGUGCAUAGAUAUCAUCAAUGCCCAAUUUGUCAAGUGAGUUGUGAAAUAUUUUGCUAGAGACAGCCUUUGUAAGAAUAUUUGCUAGUUGAUCUUCUGACUUCACAAAAGGAAAUUGAAUGACCUUGUCUUCGAGCUUCUGCUUGAUAAAAUGUCGAUCCACUUCAACAUGUUUGGUGCGGUCAUGUUGAACUGGGUUAUGCGCGAUUGCUAUGGCUGCCUUAUUAUCACAAAACAAGUUCAUUGUAUUCUGAGAUGAACACUUAAUUUCCUCUAAUAAUCUUUUUAACCAAAGUAGCUCACACAAUCCUUUAGUCAUGCCUCUAAACUCAGCCUCUGCACUAGAUAAAGCAACUACCUUAUGUUUUUUACUCCUCCAAGUGACCAGAUUGCCUCCCACAAAUGUGAAGUAGCCCGAUGUGGAUUUUCUAUCAGUAAUGUUCCAUGCCCAGUCUGCGUCCGUAUAACCGUCAAUGUGCAGAUGUUGGUUUUUCGUGAACAUCAGUCCUCUUCUUGGAGAAGACUUCAAGUACCGUAAAAUACGAACCACUGCACUCAUAUGAUCUUCGCUAGGACAAUGCAUGAAUUGACUCACCAAGCUCACCGCAUAAGCAAUAUCAGGUCGUGUGUGAGAUAAGUAUAUCAGCUUUCCCACAAGGCGUUGAUACCUUUCUUUAUUGGUAGGGGUCUGGUUAGGAAAUUCUCCCAAGCCAUGGUUUUGAACAACUGGUGUAUCAGCAGGUCUACAAUCAAGCAUUCCUAUUUCAGACAACAAGUCAAGCACGUACUUCCUUUGGGAUAGAAAUAUGCCUUGUUUUGAUCGAGCUACUUCAAUCCCCAAAAAAUACUUCAACCCUCCAAGAUUUUUCAUCUCAAAUUCAAUUGCUAAAUGCUCUUGUAAUUUAGAGAUUUCUUCCUCGUCAUUUCUUGUAAUUAUCAUAUCAUCAACAUAGAUUAUUAGAGUUGUUACCUUCCCCCGUUGGUGCUUUAAGAAGAGAGUAUGAUCUAAAUUACUUUGCUUGAAACCGUGCUUUCUCAUGGCAAGGCUAAAUCGUCCAAACCAUGCUCUAGAAGACUGUUUCAAUCCGUAUAAUGCCUUUUGUAACUUGCAAACAUCCUUCCCCUGUGUCGAAGAAACAAAACCCGGUGGAAUGUCCAUGUACACCUCCUUUUUAAGAUCCCUAUGGAGAAAGGCAUUUUUGACGUCAAAUUGGUGCAAUGGCCAGUCCAAGUUUGCAGCAAGAGAGAUUAGUACUCUCACAGUAUUUAAUUUUGCUAUAGGUGAAAAAGUUUCUUGAUAAUCUACCCCAUAUGUCUGAGUAUAUCCCUUCGCAACGAGCCUUGCUUUAUAUCUUUCAACUGAUCCAUCUACUUUGUGUUUGAUAGAGAACACCCAUCGACAUCCCACAGUUUUCUUUCCCUUAGGCAAUGGCACAAGCGCCCAAGUAUCAUUUUUUUGUAAUGCUUUCAUCUCUUCCUCUAUCACUUGGAUCCAUUUGGGAUUAUUCAUGGCUUCACUCACUGUAUCAGGAACACUAUCUGCAGAUAAUUUAUGAACCAAUGCCUUGAGAGGUUCAGACAAUUUUUGAGUUGAGAUAUGGUUGGCAAUUGGGUACUUUGACUUGCUCGUUCCAUGAUCGGGUGAAUAGCGGUUUGGUGGUUGCCCGCGGUUAUGCCUGAAAGGUAGUUUAUAGCCAGAAAAAAUAUUGUGAGGAGAGUUUAGAACUUGUACCUCAGGAAUAUUCUCAAGAGAUUGGUCUAAUUGUGGUACUGUCAAGUCAUGGAAGGGUUGUUCACUUUCAAUUUCCCUAACUUCUCCAUUUUGAUAUACUCUUGUUGGUUGUUGUUCGAUCUCUGCUUCGACAUGCUCAACAUUUUCAACUUCUCCUCUUUGAUCUAUCAGUAUUGCCAUUGGUUCUCUUGGCUGAACCUCCCUUAUAUCAUUUGAAGUUUCUUCGAAGCCUGGCCAAUUUUCCCAAUUCUGCUCUUCACUCGUCAUCUCCCCCUGAAGAGAGAAGUGGGAAGAUUGAGAAGUGAAGAAAUUCUCCUAUUCAAUAAAGGUGACAUCCAUGGUGGUAUAGAGUCGCCUUGUAGCUGGAUCAUAACAUCGGUAUCCUUUCUUGUGAGUUGCAUAGCCAAGAAAAACACAAUGGACAGCACAUGGAUCAAGCUUUGUCCGUUGAUUCUUGUGUAGAUGAACAUAUGUAACACAACCAAACUUUCUUGGAGGAAGCAUUAGAACUGAUGGUAAUGUCACAUGUUGUGCGAGAACUUGAAGAGGGGUUUUGUAGUGCAAAACUCGUGAUGGCAAUCGAUUCAUUAAGUAUACAGCAGUCAUUAUUGCAUCUAGCCAAAAUCGUUUAGGAACAUAAGCAGCAGUCAAGAAAGCUCGAGUGAUUUCCAAGAUAUGUCUAUUCUUGCGCUCUGCAACACCGUUCUGUUGCGGUGUUUGAGAACAAGAUGUCUCAUGAUGCAAACCAUGUUCCUGAAAGUAUCUGUGAAAUUGUGCAUUAUCAUAUUCCCCACCAUUAUCAGAUCAAAGAAUUUGAAGUUUAGCAGAAAAUUGUGUUCGAAUCAUAUUAUGAAAUGAUCGAAAUAUUUCAAACACUUCAUGUUUAUUUUUCAUCACAUAAAGCCAAGUCAUUCGUGUACAAUCAUCGACAAAGGUUACAAACCAACGAACACUAGAAGAAAUAGUAAUAGGAGCAGGGCCCCAAACGUCAGAAUGAACAAUCAAAAAAUGAGUGUCACAUUUAUUCAAACUGAUUGAAUAAGGUACCUGAUGACUCUUAGCCUGAAUACAAGCUUCACACUUAAAAUCUGACUCAUUAAACUUCGUAAAUAAAUCUAGAAAUAAACAUCUCAAAUACCGAAAUGAGGGAUGCCCCAACCGAUUAUGCCAUAACCAUAUCUGUCUUUCCUUAACUCCAGCAGAAUGCAUAUUAUUUGCUCGACCAUAACUAAAAUCAUCCAUGUAAUACAACCCUUCCCUUUUAGUACCACGACCAAUAAUCUCCUUGGUGAGAAUAUCCUUAAACAAACAAAAGUUAGGGUACAUUAGAGCAUAACAAUUCAAUUCCUCAGUCACUUGUCCAAUAGAUAACAAUUAAUUGGAAAGUGAUGGAACUAGUAAGGUAUUUGGUAAUGUAAAAGAAGGAGAAAGAGCCACUGUUCCAACCCCUGUUACUGGAUAUGUUACUCCAUUAGCAUUGGCAAUGCAUAUUCGUUUUGGUUGGGUGGCUUUAGAGAAGUCACAAGGGUCAAAGGUCAUGUGGUCUGUUGCCCCAAAGUCAAUGAUCCAGCCAUCAUGGUUCCCCGUUUUCGAGCAAGAAAAAACAUAACCUUGGUUACCUGAGUCAUUCUGAGCAAUCUGUUCACUAGUGGAGAUAGAAUAUUCUUGUUGUGGUACGAGAGAUAGUUGAGGCUCUACGCUCAUAAGAGCUGCACAACCAAGAUUGUCGCCUCCACUUGCUUCACGCUUUUUCUUUGCCUUGAGUUCAUGCCACCAAUCUGGAUAACCAUGUAGUUUGAAGCAUGUUUCUUUGGUGUGUUUUGUAUUCCCACAAUGUGUGCAGCCUCCUCCUUCCCCUUUUGGUUUUGUGGUUGUGUUAGGCUUUCCAUUUGAUGGCGUUUGAAAAGAUAAUUGGUGUUGAGGUUUAUGUUCUCCUCUUGAAAGCAUAGCACCACCAGAUAUGGUAUCUUCAUUCAUCAUCAUUACGGAUUGCCUCAAAUCCUCUAUUCAAACUUGCGCAUAAGCUUGUUCCACUGUUGGGAAUGGUUGUAUCUACAGCACAUCUGCUCAGAUCUUGUCAAGCCGAUCAUCAAGUCCGUCUACGAAAGUGUAGACUCUAUCCUCCUAUAAAAUAGAGUUAUAUUUUUGUAUAUUAAUAUCACAUUCCAUAGGAUUUGGUCAACGAAAGUCGAUUUCCCUCCACAAGCCUUGCAGAUUGUUGUAGUGUGUCUCGAUAGAUCCUCCUUCUUGUUUGAAUCUGGUUACUCUUCUUUUGAGAUCAUAUACUUGUGAUGUAUCAGUGCCAUCAAAGUACGUAAUAGCAAUAUUAUCCCAAACAGCCUUAGCCAUUGAGAAUUUGAUAAAGUUACUGACUAACUUUGGAUCCAUAGAAUUGAUUAGCCAUCCCUUCACCACUGCGUUUUCGGUUCUCCAUUUUCUGAAUGCAGGAUCUGUUUGCAGGGGCUGUGGAAAAUCUCCAUUUAUGUAUCCCAACUUGUCUUUACCUGAGAUAUACAUCUCGACAAUUUGGGACCAUAGUGCAUAAUUGGUACCAUCUAACUUGAUUCCAAUCUGUGUAGCAGGUUCAUGACUUGUGAUAUGGUUCUGAGUUUGGUUGUGGUUCAGUACUUGUGUCAUUCUUGUCAUAAGAUCUGCGAGAAUUGAACUCUCCCCUUCGUGUUUUUCCACCCUAAUAGGAGGUGUUUCCAUUUUCCUCUUUCUGUUUUUUUUUUUUUUCUGAAAUUCUAUGGCCCUAGAAUCUCUGCUCUGAUACCAUGUUGAAGAGAAGAAAAAUGGUAUUCUUCUAUAUAUUGAAAGAUACAGCAGAUGAGGGCUAUAUAUAACCUAUACAUGAAGUUAAUUUGGAAGAAACUAAUCACACUAAUCUAGGCUACAAUCUUGGAUGAUUUACAAUAAAAUAAAACUAACUUGGUAACUAGAAUAUUUUUAUUUCUAUAAUUGCUCAUUCAACAACUCACGUCAAUAAAAUCAACCCUAGUUAUUCAACAUAAUAAAAAACAUUAGUUUCCUUAUUGAAAAUGGUAAGGACUAAGUAAAUUGAUAUAAAAUAGAAUGCUUUAUAGUUUAUGAGGUGAAGUAUUAGCACUAUAAAGUUAAGUAACUAAUUUGCUAAAAUUACUAGCUAAAACUUGAAAAAUCUUAUCUAAGUGAAAAAUAAAAUAAAAUAAAACUCUUUAUUUUACAUAAUAGCAUAUCUAUAUCCCCUUAAAUUAUGAAAUUCAUGUUGUUUUUUCAACAAAAAAAAAAAAGAUAGAAAAAGAAAAAGAAAAAACCUAGAAAUGCCUACUCAAAAAGAAUAGAUUGAUACACUCCCUAACCAUAAAAUUGAGUUGUAAAUAUAAAUUAUAGUUCAUCCAAGUCUAUAUGCGACUUUUAGAAAUCAAUAGCUAGUUUCAUUUACACCAUUGGUUCGCAUUUUUUUAUUCCAUUGAAAAGAAAGCAAUAAAAAUGAAUUGAGACAAAAAUGAUAAUACAAUCCAUAAAACAUCAAUAGAUUUGUAAACUCAUUAUAAAGUUCAUAAAUUUUUAGAUAAAAAGAAAAACAAUAUAAAGAGGAAAAAAAAUUAGGAACUAUCAAGUUCAAAAAUAGAAUUUAUGGUAAAAAAUAAAAAAUAAAAAGAUAUAACAAACAACAUUUUAAAGUAAGGGUACAAUAGUUAUUAAAAAGAAUCUCAAUAAAAGUUUUCUAAAAAUUGAAAAGAGAGAGAAAAAGUUUUUGGUAUGCUUUUAUGGUUUAGGGGGUAAAAGUUCAUAAUACUCGUCAUUUUAUCAUCUUUAUAGGAAAAAAAAAUUAGACUCAACUUUAUCACAACUCAUAUGAGUUAAAAAUCUCUUGAAUGUAUUUUCUCUCAAGUUUCUAAUGGAUACCCCUUUAUCAAAGGUAUGGACAUUGAGCUAAAUUCACCAUUAAAAUUCAUCAAGUUCCUUUUUUCCUUUUCCUAAUUCAUCAAGCUAUAUUUAUGAAAUAUCCUAAUUAUUCACUUGUAAUAUCAUAUUGUCAACAAAUCCCUUAACAGAUCUACACCUAUCACUAGUUAAUAGAUAAAAUAACUUAAUAAUUAGUUUUAAGUUUUAAGGACUUUACAAGACAAGCCAAGAACCUCAGAUUGCUUGCACACAAUUGACAAAUUGAUUUGUUUUAAAAAGUCAAAUGCUAAAGAAAAUCCACAACACAUAUUGUUUUAAAAAUAUUUGUAUUUAUAUGACAAAAAAAAAAAAAAAACCAAUAGUUUAAAUUGGAAAAGUUUAUGCAAAUUAGAUGAGGAAAAUGCAAGCCAUAAAAUAACAUUAAACUGUUAUCAUUCUCUAAGAAACAUCAAGAACAUAUUGAGAGAACCAUUGCUUGACAUAAUAAAUUGGUCUUGAAAGGAAAAGAAAAUCAUCAAAGCAAUUAUAUUUGUGAUGCAUUCCUAUUUGCAAUAGGUUCCAAUAUUUGAAGCUCACAAAUUCUUCACAUUUGGAUGAACCUUUUUAUUGCAAACAUAGAUCAACCUUGUGGUGCUUACCAAUGGGAAAACAAUUAUAGUAAGAUAUGUAUUGCAAAUGGUGCAUGCUUGCUGUAAAAAUAAAAAAUAAACAAUGAUGAUUGGAUAAGGGAUAGAAAUGGAACAAAAGACAUUGAAUUGUUAUAUGAAUUAAUAUAUUUUAUGUACUCAAAUACAAAAGCAUAUUAUAAUAAUAUUCAUAAGGCAAAAACCACUAUUUUUUUUAUUGGGAAACCCAUAUGAGAACAUGGCAUGGGGCUCAUCAUUGCACACACCACAUUCUCCACAAAAAACCAUAGGACUAACACCAUGAAAACCCAUCAUUGGCACCAUCCUCUUGACUCUCAAUCCCUUAACCCUACACAUUUUCAAACCAAUGUCAUCAACCACUCAUAUCACACAACUCAUAACCCAUCUCUAAUUCCACAACUUUCACCACUGUUGUACUACCAUUCACAUCAUCUCUAUCUCUAAAAACCUACACUCACACCUCUACAAAAUGUCACACUUCCUCACCUUAUACAACACCACCGCCUUAUUAAUUCAUCCAUGCCUAUGGCUAACAUAAAAAAACCCACCAGCACCCUCAUAAAAAAACAAUACUAUUUCAAAGUUACACCACAUUAAUGUCACCAUGCACCUUUCCCUCCAUUGAAUAUCCCAUACAAUCUCUCAUUAUCACCCUCGUCAAAUUCGCAAUGUCUCUCCUAAAUCCUGUAUGACUCUUAGUUUUACCAUUUAUUAGGUUAGCGUCCUCUAGUUCUAAUCGCAACCACUCUAACUUCCAAAGAAAUAAAAUGAUAAAUGAGCAAGUCAUGGAGAUUUCUCUUCCUUACAACCUUUUGCUCCAAGUGUUUUGGUACCCUACUAUUUGCACAUAUAUGUCUUGACAUUAACUUCUACUCAAAUAUAAUCUCUUCUUGUUUUCAUGCUUACCUAUUUUAUACAUCUUUUUUUGUAGAUUUUUUAAUUAUUUAACAUCUUAAGGUUUGCUUUGGUCAUGUUGUAUUGUUUACUUUGCACACUAACCAAAUGUCAAGGCCCUUUUACAUACAACUGGUUCUACCUUAGUCUUUGCAAUACCUUCCUAAGGUAGACCAAGUGAUCUUGUAGAGUGUAGUUGUAGAUCACUAUAUCGUCCAAAUAAUACACCACAAACGAGUCUAGGAAGUCAAAUAAGAUGUUGUUUAUGAGGUUGCAGAAAGCGGCAAGGGCAUUAAUCAACCCGCAAUGCAUGACCAAGAAUUCAUAGCUACCAUACCAAGUCAAACAAGUUGUCUUUGCAUCAUCUCUUUAAGCAAUGAAAACCUGUCAAUACCCUAAUCAUAGGUUUAUCUUGGUAAAAUACUCCACUUCACAAAUUGAAGAAGUUUGUGUGUGUGUGUGUGUGUUUGUAUAUAUAUAUAUAUUAUGCCAUAGCUUUACAUGCCAUCUACUUGUCUCCAUUUCAACAUUUGAUCAUCACCCAUGGAUGCAUUAUUCUAACUAAAUCCACUUCUCCUUCUUUCAUCCUCUUUCCAUUUUGCAUUAGAAUUAAUCCAAUUAACACCACAUAUUGCUUCUCCGUUACCCCACAUUGGUAUAUAUGCAAUGAACUUUUUGGUUUUAGCUCCAAUGUUUUAGCUACAAUUAGGGCCAACUUUAUAUUAUUAUGUACCUCAAAAUUAAGCAUUGAAUAAUGCACCCUACUCAUCUCCAUUUGGUUCAAAUGGCUUGUUGUUGUUCAAAUUCAUAGUCUCUUCAAUAUCUUGUAGUUUUCAUGAAUUCCAUUUGGAAGACCAAACUACACAUGUAUUUUACAAAUAGUAAGCCUGAAUUUACAACCAACGAUCUAACAACUACACAAAGAUUUAUAAUUUCAAUAAAAUCACACAAUAUUUAUGCCACCUAAUUCAAUAUUUUGAGCACCAGGGAGUGAGAAUUAAUGGUAUUAGAAUAUUUAGGUAUCUUGCAGUAUGGUUACAAGUUAGUUAAAUAAUUGUUAGCUUGUUAAAUAAUCGUUAGUUGCUUUUUCUAUUUUUUUUUUUUUUGUUUGCAACUGGUAAACUAGUAGGUUGUGAUAGCUUUUUUACCAAUCUUUAUUAUAAAGGCUUUCUUUGUAUUACUAAAACAUCAAGUGAGAAUAUUCUAAAAUUAUCAGAGAACUCAUUUUCUCUUCUUUCCUUUCUCUAGUCAAUUUUCUAAUAUGGUAUUAGAGUCAUUUCUUUUGUCUCUGUGACUUCUCUAACUUUCCCCUCCCAUUUAUCUAAUGGCUUGCGGUGGUGGCAAUGUUAAUGCCAAUCGAGCAGUAGUUAGUACUCCUAAUUCCUCUAUAAUGGAAUAUUCGAGCAGUCCAUUUUUCAUCCAUAGUAAAUAUCACCAAGGCUUGGUUCUUGUCUCAUAUCAACUUACUGGAGCUAACUAUAAUUCCUAGAGUAGAUCUAAGCACAUGGCUCUUAUAGCUAAGAACAAGAUCAGCUUGGUUGAUGACGCUUUUCUUCAACCUCCAACAGACAAUCUCAUUUCCUUUGUUUGAAUCCAUUGUGAUAGUAUGGUUACAUUUUAGAUCUUGAACUCUAUUUUUAAAGAUAUUGUUGAUAGUCUUCUCUAUGCUAAUAGCACUUUUAAUGCUUGGGUUGAUCUUUAUGAUUGAUUCCACCAAAGCAAUGUCCCACAAAUCUUCUAAAUCAAGAAGCACGUAGUUGUUCUUGAGCAAAGAUCUAUGGAUGUCAACACAUACUACACUAAGCUCAAGGUCCUCUAGGAUGAGCUCAAAAAUUAUCAACCCAUUCUUGUCUAUCACUAUGGAGGCACAAAGUCUUGGUUAGACACCAACAAUAGGAGUACAUCAUGCAAUUUCUUAUGGGUUUGAUUGAGUCAAAUGCUCAAACUUGAACACAGAUCUUAAUGAUGUCUUUGCAUUAGUUGUUCAAGAAGAAUGCCAAUGUACUAUCAAUUAAGGCUUUUUUUUACUUACCGAUUCUCUUAUUCCCAACAUUUCAAAUUCCUUUACUUUUGUUGCAACAACAAAUUUUUCUCGAAAUUCAACUUUAAAACCUAAGCGUGAGUGACCCUAAUGUUCCCAUUGUGGCUUGCAAGGACAUAUUGUAAAUAAAUGCUAUUAGUUACAUGGCUAUCAUCCUGGCUAUAAGUCAAAAUCAAAGAAACCUGAAGUAAAAAAUUCAAGCCACCUAGGCCAAUGCAACUAUUAAUGAGACUAUUAACUUUGAUUCAUCCCUUGGAUCUCUUACUUUAGCUCAGUGUCAUCAAUUGCUUGCAUUCUUGAGCUCUCAACUUCAUACCAACUUUCUUAUUAUGCUAGAAUCUCAAUAGCUAGAACCCUUUGUUUCCCAGUUCAAUGGUAUACUAUCUUUUUCUUCUAUAUCAUAAUUUUCCAAUUUCUUUUUCCAUCUGGAUUUUGGACAUAGAAGUCGCACAUCAUGUUUGUUGUUACUUAAGCACAUUUACACAAUCUACUCCAGCACAAAAUUCUUUUGUAACUUUGCCUAAUAGUCAAUCUGUUGUUAUUAAUCGUAUUGGUUAUGUAUUUUUGUCUCCUGAUCUCAUCCUUAAUAAUGUCAUGUUUGUUCCUAAUUUCCAUUUCAAUCUUCUCUCUAUUAGUUCUCUCACUCAGAGUUAUAAAUCUUCUAUUAAUUUUAUGGUUGAUUCUUGUACUAAAGGCCAUACAUGGACCAAAACGAUUGGGAUGAGUAGAAGACAUGGCAGCCUAUACUUCUUAAAUAUAGUCAAUUUUCAUGCCACUACACCACAAAUUUUCAGUCCUUGUAAUAAUGUUUCUUUGUCUCAAAAUGAAAUUUGGCUUUACUGUUUAGGUCACCUUUCUUAUGUAACGUUACAAACACUCAAAGAUGAAAUAGAAGUUAAACCAAAUUUUGGUGAUUCAAGUCAUUGUUUAGUUUUGCAUUUAGUCAAACAAUGCAAAUUACAUUUAUUUCUCACAAUUAUUUGUCUGUUUUGCCUUUUCAACUCAUACAUUGUGAUGUUUAGGGUCUCCUUCACACAUUUACCAUUGAAGGUUAUAGAUAUUUUUUACUAUUGUUAAUGAUUGUACUCAUUUUAUUUGGGUGUAUCUUUUGCGUGCUAAGCCUGAUGUUACCGAAGUUAUUCCUAAUUUUUUUUUUCUCAUUGAUUCAAACUCAGUUUAGAACACAAAUAAAAUUAGUUCACUCAGAUAAUGCUCCUGAAUUGGCAUUUUUUUUACUUCUUUCAUUCAAAAUGAGUCAUCUCAUUUCAUUCUUGUGUUGAUUAGCCUCAACGGAAUUCAAUAGCAGAAAGAAAGCAUCAACAUAUCUUAAAUGUUGUAUGGUAUUUAUGUUUCCAAUCGCAUAUUCCAUUGGUUUAUUAGGGGGAUUGCAUUCUUAUUAUUGUACACUUAAUAAAUAAAACUCCAUUCCCACUUUUGUCCAACAAAACAACAUUUGAACUUCUUUGGAAAAAGAAGCUUGCAUAUUCACAUCUUCGUAAUUUUGGUUGCCUAUGUUAUGCAUCUACUUUAGAUCGUCAUAGGACAAAUUUCUCACCUCAUGUCAUUCCUUUUGUCUUUCUUAGGUACCCACCUGGUUAUAAAGAAUACAAAUUAUUGAAUCUAGUCACUAAUUCUGUGUUUAUCUCCCAUAAUGUGGUAUUUCAUGAGUCUAUAUUUUCUUUCAAAACUACUCAAACUUAUUCUCCUCUUCCAGAUAUUUUCUCCGGCUAUUGGGUGCAAAUAGGUGUACAAAAAUAAGUAUAGAGUUGAUGGAACUAUUGAACAAUACAAAGCUCACCUUGUAGCUAAAGGCUGCACACAACAAGAGGGCAUAGACUAUCUAGGUACCUUCUCUCAUGUUGUCAAAUUGGUUACUGUUAAGGUUUUGCUUGCUUUGGCUACCAUUAAUGGUUGGAGUCUUCCUUAGUUGGAUGUCAAUAAUGCGUUCUUACAUGGUGAUCUUUUUAAGGAAGUUUAUAUGACUAUGCCUCCUAGUUAUCACUUAAAGGAAAAUCAUUAUCCUCACACUCUGUUUACAAAAUUCAGAAGUCCUUGUAUGGCUUGAAACAAGCAUCACGACAAUGGUUUUCCAAACUCUCCAAUUUCUUACUUGUUAAAGGUUUUUAAACAUUCUAAUGCAAAUCACUCUCUUUUUGUCAAAGUUGUUAGUACUUACUUCAUUGCUCUAUUAGUUUAUGUGGAUGACAUUGUCAUUGUUAGUAAUAGUGAUGAGCAAGUUGAGAAAUUAAAAGUUCUAUUUAGGAAAGCUUAAAUACUUCUAGGGCCUUGAGGUGGUGAGGUUUAAUAAGGGAAUUUCCCUUAGUUAGCACCAUUAUGCCUUACAAUUACUAUCAGAUGUAGGCUAUGUUGGUUGUAAAACAAGGAAAACACUUAUAAAUCCAUAGAAGAUCUUUUAUUUUACGGAAGAAUGAUAGGCAAAUUGGUUUAUCUAACCAUAGCAAACCCAGAUUUAUCAUUUUCAGUACAUAAAUUCAAUCAAUUUCUUGCAAAGCCUAGAGUUCUUCAUAUGUGGGCAAUACAACAUGUGCUUCAGUACUUGAAAGCAUGGUUUGAAAUAUUGGUAAACACGGAUAUAUCGAUACUUGGAUUUUAUGGAUAUAUUGGAAAUAUUGGUAAAAUAUCGGUAAAUAUUAAUAAAAUAUCGGUAAAUAUUGGUAAAAUAUCGGUGGAUAUUUUGACAAAAAUAUUAGUGAAACAAAAAUUAUUCAAAAUUCAUGGAAAUGUUUGGAAAACUCUAAAAAAAAAAUGAUAAAAUAAGCAAGAAUACAUAUGUUAAAGUUAUUGUAAGUGGAAUUGACAUAAGUAUGGUCAAUGAGAAAAAUAUUGAGGGAUAUAUCAGUCUUAAUAAUUUAUUAUUUAUCUUAUCAAAUUAAUUUUAUUUUAUAAAAUAUUAGAAGUUCAUUAUUUUUUUAUUUUAGUAAUUUUUUGAAUAAAUUUAUAUUUUUAAUAUUUUUAAAAUAAAAAAAUUCAAAAUCAAUAAAAUUAAAAGGAUAAACAUAAAAAAAAAAAAAAGUGAAAUGAUAGUAAUUUCUAAAAAUAAGAUUAAUGAGAUAAAUGAUGAUACAUUUAAUAUUAAAACUAUAAUUUAUUUAAUUCAAAUACAUUCAACAAUGUAAAAUAAAUUAUGAUGCAUAUAUAAUUUUUUUUAUAUUUAUAUUUAUUUUUAUAUAAUUGUCAUAUAAAUGAUAUAAAAUAAAAUAAAAUAAAAGACUUAUUAAGAAAAUUAUAAUGAUGGUUUUAUACUUUUAUCAAUUAAUUAAAUUAAAUAAUUAGAAUUAAUUUAUUUAUUCUUUUAAUGAUGAAUUUUAACAUAUUUAUUGUGAACAUAUAUUUACAUAUGUGGACUUGGCCCAAUAGUAGCCAGGCUUCACCCAAGCCUUUUGGCCUGGGUUUGAAUCCCCUUGGAUGCAAUAGAAAAAAAUUUGAAGGAAUUUACACGAAUAUCGGCAUCUUUUCGAUAAAGUCGAUUGACUUUCAGUGUGCAAUAUCAUGUCAACUCUCCUUGAUAUUUUGACGAUUGACUUUCAGUGUGGAAUAUCUUGUUAGCUCUCCCUAAUAAGCAAAAUAUCGACAAUAUUUCACCAAAAUUUUGCAACAUUUCAAUGUGGAAUAUCAUGUUGACUCUCCCCAAUAUUUCAACAAUUGACUUUCAGUGUGAAAUAUUGUGUUAGCUCUCCCUGAUAAGCAAAAUAUCGACAAUAUUUCACCAAAAUUUUACAACAUUUCAAACCGUGCUUGAAAGUUAUGCAGGACAAGGUUUAUUUUAUUUUAUUUAUUUAUUUUUUUCAUUAAUAGAGUUGAAAGGGUUUGUUGAUUCAAAUUGGGCAACUUGUGUGGUCUGUUAGUGGGUUUUGCUUUUUUUUUUUUUUUUUUUUUAAUUAUUGGUGAUUCCUUAAUUUCCCAGAAAUAAAAAGGCAGCAUAUAGUUUCAAGAUCUUUUGUUGAAGUUGAGGACAGAUUUAUGGCAAAUGCAACAUGUGAAUUGAUGUGAUUACUUUCUUUAUUUAGAGAUUUGCAUGUAUCUCAUCCUAAGCCUGCCUUGCUAUUUUGCAACAAUCAAGCAACUCUUUAUAUUGUAGCUAAUCCAAUUUUUCACAAGCACACUAAGCACAUUGAGAUCGAUUAUCACUUGGUUAGAAAGAAACUGUAAAAUGGAAGCUUGAAGACACUACAUAUUUCAUUUAAACAUCAAGUGGGGGACUUGUUGACCAAACCUUUUUCUUCACCUCAAUUUCAUUUUCUUCUUAGUAAAAUGGGAAUUCACAACAUUCAUUCUCCAUUUUGAGGGGGAGUAUUAGAAUAUUUGGGUAUCUUGCAGUAUGGUUACAAGUUAAGUAAAUAAUUGUUAGUUUGCUAAAUAAUUGUUAGCUUCUUUUUCUAUUUUUUUUUUGUUUGCAACUAGAUGUGUCUAUUCAAUAACUUCAUAUGGUUAUAGUUAAUUAAGAAUCCUUUACGUAAUAACUAUUAAAAUAAUUUGUUUCCAACUUUCCUAUUAAAUUUUCUUCUGCUUAGUAUUUCAAAAAUUAUAGUUCAAGAAAGCUCUUUCGAUUUCUAUGUUGCACUGUAUCUUCUUAUAUGUUAGUACAAAUCAUACUCCUCUUUUUACCUCUUCAAUGAAUCCUUUUAGGAGUAAGACCACCAAGUGAGCACCCUUAUAUCGAUCCACAAGCUUUUUAUUACAUAUUUUUGGUUUGUGCACACCACCUCAAAUUUAAGUGGCCCAUAAAUUUUAUACUUUGGAUACCUUACCAUCCAAUCAUAAGCAUAAACUAAAUUUGAAAGGAUAAGUUUAGUUUAUUUUAGAGAAACUGAGCUCCAAGUCCCCUAGCCAAACAUGAAGUUUUGAAGCAUGAAAUUUUUGUGAUGGAACAUAUUUGCAAUCCUUAUUAAAUUGACCAAUUGUGUUAUGCUAAGAAUGCAAAUUAUGCAUGGCAAAGUGGUUAGAAAGUGUACAAAUGCACCAUCUUUUUACUUGUUUUUUUACUCAAAUUUCUCUGUCAAUUUUUUUUUCAUUCUUAUCCUUCUUAAUUGAGGCAAACAUGUUUUGGCUAGUGCUUUCAAAUGCCUUAAAUAUAUUCUUUUCAAUAUUGUAAACAUUUGGCUUGGUCAUUGUUAUAGUUAUCAAUUGUGUCAACUUUUACUUUCUCUCAUCCCCAAUUACAUAUGCACUUUGUAGUUUUAAAUUUUUUUUAGUGAUUAAUCUUAGUUUUUAUCUAAUUGUUUGCCCUAUAGUCUCUGACAUAACUAUAAGUGGAACAUGCACCUCUCACAAACCAAAAGACAUCACUUGUCUUCUUUAAUUUAAACAUUUUUGCAUCUGUGUAAGAUUUGAAACUAGAAUUUCACAAUAUCUCAUAGUCAUCUUCUCUAGUUGUUUCUCAAAGCUCUCUUCAAGAUUUAGUUCAUGUUCAAUUACCAACUUUGAGUUUUCAAUUUUAUUUUAUUUUUUCCUACAAGUCAUGAGGAAAUGAAUUUCAACUGUGUUUCAUCUAUCCAUCUCUCUUAAAUUGUUUUAUUCAAUAGUUACCAAUUGUAGAAUUGUUUUUAUAUAUUCUUUUCAUAGAUAUUGUUAAUAAAUUAUGCUAAAUGAGUAGCUUCCUGAUGUGGUGAGAGCUAAUUUUAUUAUUGCUAGGAUAAUAUAUUUUUAACUUUCUUGACUUUUUCCGAAUUAUAAACCACUCAUGCUUUGACCAAUCUCCAUGUGUUUUUCAUUUGUUUGGAUUUAUGGGCUUUUGAUUCUAUUUAGUGAAUAGAUAAUAAGGAAUUAAGGAUCUGAGAUUGACAUUAUUUUAAGGAUGUUUGAAGAUGGCAUAGUGAAGUAUAGAAUAUUGUUUUGGGUUGUAUCUCCUCGUUUCUCAUACUUAUGGUGGACAUUGAUGAGUUGGAUUAUUUGAAUGAAAUGAGCUUUGGAAAAAUACUAGUAAUUACAUGAAUUGUUGCAAUAUAUUUGAGUGAAAAUAUUAUGUUAGUGUCUCUCCAUGUCACUAAUUCAAACCUGUGACUUUCCAUUGUAAGUGGUAGAAAUAUAUCUUUUAUUUUCUAGAAAACAUUACUCUAACUUGUGAAAAAGGUUCUUAUGCCUCCAUGUUAAAUGUUAUAUGAUGGAAAAAACCUGAAUCUCUCUGUUUCCUCAAUCUGGAUCAAGUUAGGAAUAUGCAUAACUAUCCUAGGCUUUUUCUAAAUUCUAUGCACAACAAAAAAUUAAUUUUUUUUUAUACUUUAUAAGGAUCUAGAAAGUGCUAACGAAAACUAUACCUCAAAUUCGAAUGUUCCCGAGUCUUUCGCCCGAUGACUCAAACCUUGAUCUUGGCACACUUCUAAUGGGGAGGAAAUAAGGGUGGAGGCUAUAGUUCUCUAUCUCUCUGGAUGGUGGAAGAUAAAAUCCAUGGAAACCCUAACCUCUAGGGGGUAUUUAUAGGGUUCCUAAGUUGGCUUAAGUGACUUGAGCCCAUACAGACUUAGGUCACUUAAUCUAACCAAAAAUGAGUUCUAAUUAAUUAAUUAACCCAAUAAGGCCUACUAAUUAAUCAAUUAGCCCAAUCAAGAGACCUUGUUCACUUACCCCUAUACAACCUUGCGUAAUUAUCAAAAUGCCCUUAUACACAAAAGUGAACUUAGAGUCAAUUCAACCCUCAUAACCCAUGCUAACAAGGUGUAUGAGUUCAAAGCGGGGACCAUUGGGACCCAUAGAAAUACUGACUCCCUCAAAAUCCAAUUCUAAAGUUGAUUCAAUAUCACACUACAGAGAAUCAACUAAACUUCAAUAUCCUAUGUAAAUAACAACGAGACACUAAGUGAUCGGGUCUAUGACUUGCUAUCCAUUGUGUUCAGUCUCCCCAUGAACUAAUGUCUGUCGUUUAAUAAGGUGAAAGCUAUUAGUCUUUCAAGACUACCUCUACCUCCUAUUUUGUGUUCAAUUGACAUAUCUUAGUUCUCAAAUUGCCUAUGUCAAGUUCCAUUUAAUGAACUACAUGACCAUAGUUUCCAUGAAUAUACCUCCUUAAGAUCACCCAAGGGGACACACUGUCUCAAUCCCAAGAGAUAUCAUAGUGCCUCUAUUGAAAAUACCUAUUACUACCAGCUUCUACCAAUAAUGAUCUAAUCCAUAUGGAAUAUAUGAUCAACUUCCGAUUUCACCCGUAGGUCAAAGUCAUUGCCAACUUUAGCACAAGCUCAAUAUUCUCUCAAGGUUGAGAGACAACACAAUGAAACAGCUUGGUGAGGUCAUGACUCAAUAAUAGCCUUAAGUCAUGACUCACCAUAGGUCUUGUCCAAUGUGUAACCAUACACACUAGUGCACUCACCAUAGGAAACCCAUCCCGAUAACCAAGACCAGUGAUCCCUCCAAUUAGGAGGUGGUGCACUACAACCUUUAAUGGGUUGCCUAGACCCAUGAACCAGUUGUGAACAAGUCAUCUAUUUGCAAAGAACCCAUGACUUAGAUCUCCUGUGCAACUCCUAAUGCACCUAAGUCACGUACAAUAGAAAAAAUGCAGACAAAAAGGCUCAUAAAGUAUAAUAUAUGGAAUAAGAAUAUAUAAAAGUGAAACUGGAACAUCAUUAAAUAAAUAAUGAAUUCUAAGUUUAUUACAUCAUGUCAUGCUUUUAAGGGCUUUAUCCUAACAUUAUGUAUUUGAGAUAAACAUGAUAUAAUGAGAUUUAUAUUUCUCUGUUAUAAUAUUUCAAUAAGUAAUUGUGUUUUAAUUUUAAUAAACUAUGCUUGCAUGAAACAAUUCAAGUAUCAUUGGCAUCAUUGUGAGACAAAAGUUUCUCUUAUUACAUAUUAAAGAGAUUUAAGUUAUCAAAAAGUGAAAACGGUUUUAUCUAGGCUAGUUUCAAGUUGACAACUUUUAAAUUGUUUAUCAUGUGAUAAAGAACUUUUCCCCACAAAUGAUACUUGAAUUGUCUAAUUAAACAGUGUAGGAAAACAUAAUAUCUAUGAAGUUAAUUGUUUGUUCUUAAUUCAAUUUUUAUAAAUUUUGGUAGUCUUUUCUCUUAUUCUCUGGGUGCAUAUUUGGAUAAAGUUGCAUAGUAUGUCUUGUCCAUUUUACAUACUUAGAGAACUAUAGGGAAAUUCUACUAAAAUUUCUUUAAAAUGAAAUUGACCACAUUGGUCAUUGACACAUAGAGAUUAUGUAUUUCUAUAUGGGAUAGGAACUACUACUGAAUUUAGGAUGUUGGAGAUGUUAGAAUGCAUAAAACAUGCAUCGAAAUUUGACAUACUCAAAUGAUUUUCUUGUGUUGCUUAAGGAGUUUAUUGAGAAAAUUGGUAUAGACAAUGUUUGAUGCAAAGGUCAUGGACAAACCCAAUAUAAUAAUAUUAAUAUGAACUAGUUUUAUUGAGGUUAUACAUCCCUUUUAAUGCAAGUAUUCAUGGUCAACAACAUUUAUAACUUAUUAGUCACUACUACAAAUAAGAUAUACCAUGACCUUGUUUUUUCCCUGGCACUUUUAAAAAUGUUAAUAAUUAGCGUGAUAUUUGAAAAGUGUAGAUCUAUCUUCAUAGAUCAAAAUGGUUAGAACAAUGCUUACUCUUUUUCUUUUAAAUUUGGCAUCUUAACAAAUGUUAAACUACAUUUUCUUGAUUAUUAUUUGAACAAAAAAAAAAAAAGAGGUUGUUAAACGAAUAGCAUAGAAAAUGUUGUUAUUUUCUUCAAUUUGAAGUUUGAUCACUAUUGAAAGUUUGUUCUUAAAAAAUGGAUCGUUUGUGGAUUUCAAAUGAUAGAGGAUUAAAGGAGUAUGAGGAUGGGGUAGAACAUUUUUAUCACAUUUGCAAUAUAAAAUUCUGCAUAUAAAAACUCCAUUAAGUGUCCAUGCUUGUAGAGUGGUAAUAUGAUAUUUCAUACUCCUCAAAGAUUUCCUCAAAAGAUUAGAGAGCAUAUGUUUUUCUAUAGAAUUAAUUAGAAUUACCAUAUAUGGUAUUGGCAUGGGGAAGCAACUCCAAGUGAACCGCCAACUAGAAGGGUAGAACAUUAUAAUAUGGUUCAAUUUAAUGAUGUAGAUAGUACAAUAGAAAUGGUUGAAGUUGUACAAGUUGAAUGUCAAAAUGACCUAAAAUUGCUUAAAAGAUUACUUCAAAUUGUUGAAAAACCUUUUUAUAUCAUAGUUGUAGAAAAUUCACACAAUUGUUUGCAUUGGUUAAAUUAUACAACUUGAAAACACACUAUGAGUAGUCUGCUAAAAGUUUUUCAGAGCUUUUAAAAAUGCGUAGAUAUAUGCUGCCUCUAAAUAAUGAGUUACCCUUAUCUAUGUAUGAGGCAAAAAUGGCAUUGAAUACAUUAGGAAUGGAAUAUGAAAAAAUACACACAUGCCCCAUGAUUGUAUACUUUAUAAGAAUAAGUUGAAAGAUGCAUUUCAUGUCCUAUCUAUGGAACUUCAAGGUGAAAGGUAGAUAAUAUAGGAACUAAAAAAAUGACGAGAGCUCCUGGGAAAGUAAUGUGGUAUUUUCUUCCAAUUCCAAGAUUUAUAAGAAGGUUUCAAUCAUCAAAAAUCGUAAAAGACCUCUUAUGGCAUACCUAAGGAAGAGAUUUAGAUGACAAAAUGUGUCAUCCGGCUGACUCUCUAUCAUGGCUAAUUGACCAUAAAUGGCCCAACUUUGUUUCAAAACCUAGAAACUUGAGACUUCCCAUUUUAGCAAAUGGUAUAAAUCCUCACAAUUCAUUGAUUAGCAAAUAUAGUUGUUUGUCCUAAAGAGCUUGAAGCAGUAACUAUGGACAAUGUUUUUUUUUUAUCAUAAAGAGCAAGUUAUGGGCUACACUAUGGCUGCAGAUAGAGGUAAAACCUUUAACUUGUUUUUAGUUUGAUUUUUGUUUUCUUUCAUAAUGGAAAUAGAAAAUCAUCUAAACGAAUAGGACCUUAAUAAUUUAUUUUUUAUUCUACAAUUUAUUUUUGAAUAAAAUAAUUUAAAAGAUUUCAUUCUUAUAUUUGUUAGACUUUUUUUUUAAUGAAGAAAAAAAUAGUCUCCCUUUUAGCAUAUAUAUUAUAUAUGAUUAACAAUGGGUAUAAUAAAAUUUAUUUAAUAAAUAAUUGAUGUGACAUUCUAAAUUGAAAGUCAUAAAUUAGCUCAUUUGUUUGAUGUUGUCCCUAAAACUACAAGACCUGAUUACAUACUUAGAUUUUGUUCUUGAAAUUUAAGAGAUAAUUGAUGUGACAUCUUGAAUUGAAAGUCAUAAAUUAGCUUAUUAGUUUGAUGUUGGCACUAAAACUACAAUUCCCAAUGACAUAAAUUUUGUUCUUGAGAAAUGUCAUUAUGGUUCAUAGUAAGGCUUAGUUUGGUGUGUCAGACCAUGCAUGCAUGAUAUCUUUUCACAUUCUCUUGCUUUUUGACAAACAUGCUACCAUACUCAAGGUGUUUGUCAAGGCUCAUCUUGGACUACUCAAAACUUUAGGGUCCUUUCUUUGAGUUCACAAGCUUCUUUCCCCUAGUGUUAACCCCAACUCCCAAAAUCCACUCCUUAUUAGUGCACUGACGAAAUCUACAAAUGCACCAUAAAGUGAGAAUGACAUCAUGAAAAUGUAUUAAUGCAUCUUAGAUAUGGGAACUUAAAAAAAAAAAAAAAAUCUAGAGUUUAGACUUGUUUCUGUUAAUUAGAAAUUACUAAGCAAUGAAUCUUGCUAGUGUGGAAAGCACCAAUAGAUUGACCAAGGAAGGUAUAUAUAAAAAAGAUUGACAUUGUCAAUUGGGAAAAUUCCUCUGCAAACGCCAAUCCUAUCUUUCUAACCAUCAUGGAUGUUGAGAAGUAGAUAUCGAUGACUAUGAUGAGGAUCACAAAGGAUUAUCAUACCAAGGAGUUAGACAUUUGUUGGGUUAUCAACAAUUUUAAUGAAGGUGGUAUUAACUAUUUGGUUGUUGAUAGUGUAUUGCGUAGUUCAACCAAGCCAAUCUGCUCCUACAUUGAGAUCAAUCUCGAUGAAAAGGUAGCAUAUAUUUUUCAUUUCCUAAUUAUAUCAACUGCUUCAUGGUGCCUUUGUCUGAUAAGCUUAACAGGUUCUUCUACAUUUCCACCCUCUAAUUCUCUAAAGUUCAUCAUGAUAGGGUUGAAAUUUCAUCAUCAAAUCAAAACACAUCCUCCUAUAAGAGGCCUUUGAAUUCUGAAAUAAUCAAUUCACUUGAUUCUCAUAUUGGCAAAGACAAGCUUACACUAUUGGAAAGACUACCCAUCACCUUUGCCUUCCCAAAUAGAAAAGAUGAGAGAUAACAUUUCACAAAAUCACAAGAAUUAUUCAAGUUUGGAAUUCAUAGGCAUUGUUAUUGAAUUUCAUUUGUAUAAAAUUGGUGUGUUGUGUUUAUUUUGUUGGUAUUAAAAUUGAAUUUUUUUAAUUGCAAAUUGAUGAUUUUUUUUUCUCACAUUUAUACCCAUUAGAGUUUCUUAUUAGGGUUUGUGUUUGAAAUUUGGAGAAAGUAUGGUGCAAUUGUUCACCAGUGUGGUGUACCAUUUUGUUUGUUGUAUCUGAUCUUUGGGUAUUUGAUUUAAUUUUAUUGUUGUUGAAAUUGAAAGUUGAAAUCCAAGUUAAAUGUUUAACUAGAUAUUUGUAGUUGACUUGUUUGCACCGAUCUUGAUUGCCCAUUUCAUGGGAAUAAUUCAUUCCAAUUUUCCUUCAUGAUUACUAAAAAUAUAUUGUAGGUGAAGGACUAUUAUGGAGUAUAUUUAAUUCACAAGAUUGAAUAUUGAACAAAGAUAUGCCUUAGGUCUAGCUUAUAUGGAAUAGCAUAUCUUACAUUUAGUUAAUUAAAUAUACUAUACAAAUUUUGGUUAUAUAUAAUAUCUAUGUUACAAAUUUGGAUAAUUCGAAGUCUAAGUGACUUCAUAUAAUUAUUGUUACAUCUUAAAAAUGAUUUCACAAAUUAGAAUUACAAUGACUCCUACAUAUCUUAGAUUCUAACUCAAAUUCUCACUUGAUUUUAUUUUAUUUUUAUUUUUUUGUUUUCAAUCAAUUAAUAAUAUGUUAUGGGCUAGUUUAGCUUAUAGUUGAGAUGAAUUUUAUCUAAGAGCACCUCAAUUUGAACCAAAUUGAAGAAAAAAAUGACUUAUUAUACCUUAUGAAAGAUAAUAUUAUUAAUUUCCAUGUUUUUUUUUCAAAUAACCUUUUCAUGACAUGAACUUAUAUGGAACAUUGUUGUAUUAAUUGAUUAGGAAAUCACUAAGCCUAAGAAAGUGAGAAAAUUUAAAAGGGAAGGAAUGUCACCAUUGCAUUUUAGCACAAAGGAAGAUGAUCUCUAGCUAUGACGAAAAUUCAAGAAAUGAACAAGUUCCAUUAAAGAUGAAGGCACAAUUGGGUGACAUUUAAAAAAAAUGUCAAAGGAAGUUAUUGUUUUAGCUACGGAUAUGUUCUUUUUUUUUUUUUUUUUUAGACUUCUUGUGUUACUCAUAUAUGUAAUAUGCAAUGUGAUUUCUCUUUUAUAUUAUAAAUUUAUUACUCUUAGCACUUCAUUUAUGGGAUAGAUGAAUAAUAAUUACUUUAAUUUUAUUUAAUUGUUGGAUAGUUGUUGGAUGGAUAAAUAAUUGUCAUUUCUUUAUAUUUGAGUUAUUUCAAUAUCAAAUGCCAAUUAAAAUAAAAGAGCAAUAGGUGAAGCUAAUUUUAGAUUGUCACAAUCCUUGGCACUUCCACUAAGUGUCAAGGUUUAGAGCAAUCAACAAUGGAAAAGGUGAACGAUGAUGCUUCCAAAAAGCGUCAAGGUUAUUUCAUCUUCAACAAUACCAGUUUUUGUAAGUGUCAUUAUUUACAAAAUCAACAAUAACAUUGGCAAAUUGGUACGCCUCAAUGCUUCUAAAAAACAUCAUUAUUUGUUCCAUAUUUACAAUGACGCUUUUAAAAGUGUCAACAUCGCUAAACACUCUUUACAAUGACACUCGAUUUCAUGGUGCUUUUAAGAAGUGUAAUUGUUUGUAAAAACUUAUUAUGACAAGCUAAGAGAUGACACUGCGGAGAAGUGUCAUUGUUUGUCUUUCUUGACAUUGUUUGUCUUUCUUAACAGGUAAAAAGUGUCAUUAUUGAUCGAUUUUUCUUAUAAUGAAUCCAAUUGGUUGUGAUUGAGUUAAUGAAAUGAUCACCAACUUUUUUGCAACCAUACAACACUACAUAACCUUAAUACCUAUUGUUCAUUAUGAUGUUGUAAGAACAUAUGCCUUUAUGUGACCUAUUAAAUAAACUGGUCUUAUCAACUGAAAAAUGUUCCUCUAGUUAGUAAAAACUUCAUUCAUGUGGUCAUUUAUUAGCAUCAUAAUAAUCCAUAUUACAAAUAUUUAAAAACAUUAAUGCACUAAAACAUUGAUUUCAUCAACAAAAAUACACUCAUUCUUUUAACUUAUAGCAUUCAAAGAUGUUUAAAAAUAUAUAUGUACAAUAAAACAUCAUCAAAUUUAUUAACAAUUAAACUUUUAACCCCAAAACAAUCCGUUACUUUAGUAGAUAAGACACUAUUUGGAAUAACAUUAUUUUUAGCUCAAGUUAGAAGUUAAAAUGAUAAGGUUAAAAGAACAAAACCAACAAAAAAAAAAGUUAUUUUUUGUCAAACUUGACACUAGUUCAAGUUAGAUAAUGUAGCUCAAUGCCCUAUUGAAUUGAGUCAUAUAACUAAACUCCCUAAUUAUUUAUUAUGAUACACACACAACCUUUGGUUUAGUAUACAUGAUUAAAUUAAAUGCCCAACCUAGUUUGCAAAGCUAAAUUGGAAUCCCAAAUCUAGUUCAUCAUAAAUACUCUUCAACUGACUUGCUAUGGCAUUCAAAUAAGACAAUGACAAUGAUAGAAAACCAAAAAAAAUACCUAAUAUAUAAUUGAAAACUCCUUCCUAAAGGAGGUAAAAAAAAAUCAUGAAGUAACUUUCUUCUAUUAAUAAAAAAUGGGAAUACAAUGAUCUAUAUAGUGUUUUAACUCGAAACUUAUGGUACUACAAAUAUUAAAGAAGAAAUUUAAAACACACACACACACAACAAGCAUGUUGUCAAGCUUAUAAAAGUUGGAGAAAUCUCUGCAUACAAGUGUUCAAAACAUGAUGGAGAGUAACCUUGAUAUUUAAGUCAACAAUAUACAAGGAAAGACAACCCAAAAAGGUACAACUUUGAGAACAAACUCUCCUUUUUGCUUUUUCACAUAACCCCUUCUUUUUUUCUUUUUGAAAACUUCUCUCAUUUCCUCUAAUUGUUACACUAUACAACAAUCCUAAAAAAAUAGAGUUUAAAGGUCUGUUUGAUAAUCGUUUUUAAAAAUAAUUCUGAAAAAUAGUUUUUGAAAAUUAUUCUCUAAUGUUUAAUUUGUAGAACAAAAGUUUGUUUGGAAACCUAAAAUAUUUUUAACAUGUUUUUAAUGUUGUUAAAUAUGUUUUAAAAAUAAUUUUAUGUCUAGUAUUUUAUUUUUAAUCAUUCUACAUGUUUAUAUAAUUAUUUUUUAAAACAACUCUAAAAAAAUAAGUGAAAAUAACAUAAAACAAUUAAAAGAUGUUAUCUGAAAACACCUUAUUUUAUUAUAACAAAAAAUAAAAAGCGGUUUUUGGUUGUCAAACAUGUUUUCUUAGUUUUUUAUUCUGAAGAAUAGAAAAUUGUUCUUGAAAAUAGUUGUAAAACAAGAAUCUUUUCAUAUUAGUCUAGGUAUCACAUUAGUUAUUGCCCAUUUUAUGAUUUUAAUUAUUGCUUAAAAACUAGUCUUUCAACUAAAAAAGAAGGUCCACUACUUAUGGGUCAAACCUUCAACUUUCAAACCCCAACACAAAGUUAUAGUCAAGACUAAUAUUCACAUAUUAGUAUUAAUAUAGUUCAUUAAAUAUGAAUUUCUAUAGAAGGCAAAAUCAAGUUUUUAGGGGAAGUAACAUUCACUUUCAUAUUAAGCACUUUUUAACUCAUAAGUUAGUACUUGUAACAAAAUUUCUUAAUAGAGACUUUAAUUGAGUUUUAAGAAAAAAAAAAUUGUUUGUAAAAAACCAAUUCAAACAAAAUCUAAAACUAAUAUUAUUAUCUAAAAGGCAUAAUGAACAAAAUAAACCAUAAACUAAAGUGGUAGUGACAACCAGUAUGUAGCGUCCAUGAAUAAUUGAAAAUAGCCUCAUUUUCUAAUGACCUCGGACCUAGAAGCUCUAAAAUCCUUGCCUAAUUCUUUGUGAUGACUUUAGUUUAACCUUAAUGGCGAGGGCAAAAUUCUAAAUAAUUUUUGUCACAACUCAUAAAUUUAGAAGAAAAAAAUGAGAAUAAAUGGAAUCCCAAACAAGAAAUUGUUAUUUUUCUCUUUUAUGACAAAAAUCUACUACUAUUAUUUAAUAACGUGGGAAUUGUUCUUUCAACUUUAAUACCAUGUAUGACAUAACUUUAACAACCUUAAUUUAUAAGAUUAUUGAAUUUAAAAGGAUAAAACAAUUACAUAUUCAUAAGAAUCACUUCUAUUUUUUAACAACAAUAAAUUUCAUUUUUUGGACAAAAAUACCCUCCAUUGUUUUUAUCAACAUUUCACAAUCGAACACUUAUUGGAAAAAAAAAAAGGUAUAAGGGUAGCUAUAUUAAAAUGAGGUUAUAAUUAUAAUACUCAAUAAGUGGAGAUUGUUUUUCCAAAUAUUGGGAUCAUCUUAUCCAUUUGACACAAAUAUUUCUAAUUUAUAUUAUAAUUACUCUUAUAGUAAGAGAAAAAGAGUAAUUUCACAUGAAAUGGACCCAUAAACAUAGAUUUAUUAUGAGGCAUGUUACUAUAAUAAUAAUAGGAAAUAAGACGAGACAUGUUACCAUAAUAAUAGAAAAUAAGAUAAGUAAUUCAAUACUUAAUAAAGGUCUAAAACAAUUAUGCUUCUCAUUAAAUGAUAUUAAUGAUGGAAAAAAACUAAGGGGUGGUUAAUAAAACUUAAUAUUUAUUACUUAAGGAUUUAAGUUGACUUUAAAUUAAAUUAUGCUUAAAUUGUUAAUUUAAAACUUAUUAAUUCUUAUUUUAAGUAUUAAGACUAUUUAAUAAAAUUAACUUGAAAUUUAUUAAGACUAUUUAAUAAAAUUAACUUAAAAUUUCUUUUAAAUUGUCAAAUCGAUAUAUUUAUUUUCUUAAAUUAUAAUUAAAGUAAAGGACAUCAAGUAACAAUGGAUGUCAUGGAAUAGUGAAAGAGAUCUUAGAGGUAACGAGACAAAUUAUGGUAAAAAAAUGUUAAAUAAAAAUAUGAACUUAAAAAUAAAUUAAUUAUUUAUAUUUAUUACUUAAAGUUGUUUUUUAUUUUAUAUUAUUAAAUUAUUAAAUUAUUUUACUAAAUGUGUUUAAUUUAUUUAAUGACUUACAUUAAAUUACUUUAGGCUAUUAAAUCGGUUUACAAAUAAUAUCGAGUAGGCCCACAGACUGGAGAAUAUUGCUAUCAUAUGUUUUAUCACUACUUUCAUGUAUUAAGGUGCCAAGAAUAAUUCACCACAAAAUAUAUGAUAAGUUGAUAGUAUAGGAUACAAUCUAAAAAAUGCACUUGAUUUCAUCAUCUAAAUAAAUGCUCUUGGCAAAAUGGAUCAUCCUAGCUGAAACCAGAGCACAAGCCGUCAUGGACAGGAGGCAACGGAGAAACCCUUCUGCUUCUUCUUCUGCCUUUUCAUCUCCAACUUCAUCCUCAUCGCGUUUCCGCUCAGAGAAAUUCUCCUCGAAUCCCCCAAAAACUAGUAACUCCCUGGAGGAUGCUCACCAAUUGAAAAGCAAAUGUGGGAAGCCACAAAGACCAGAGCAAGAGGAGGAAGGAGAGCAAGAUCCGAACAAUCUUCUCUCCUUAGUUGGAACUUGCCCAUUCAUGUGCCCUGGUAAAAAUGCGUGCUUAUUUUUCCAUUUUUUUUAAUUCUAUUUUCCUGUUAUUCUGUGUUUGGUUUCCGAGAAAUUGGAGGAAAACAGUAGAAAAGAGAAGUGAAUCUGGAAUUUCUGUGUCAUUUUUGUUGCUUUUACAUAAAUUUUACAAAUAAAAUUGAUAUUUCCCCCCUUUAUUAGAUACCAAUCUGAAGAAGACGUAGGAAUCCCAAAAAAAAAUUCGCUUUUGCCUUUACUUCCCCCAAAUCUUUCAUAAUGGAAAAUGGACUUACCACCUCUUUUAUCACUUUUCCUUUACCAUGUCAGGUUUACAUGUAAUCAAACACUGUAUUUGGAGUAGAGCAUUUAUUCUAAUGUCAAAUGGUGUUGAAAACUUGAAUUACUGGAUCUUAAGACUCCAGAAGAAAUUUGAUUGUUUAUGAUUAUUGCUCCAUGAGAAGGGAAAGGGAUUUCUUUUGUUUUUGCUCACAUACAUGGCCAAAUUGAUUUAUCUCCUUCUCAUACGAACAAAAUAAGGACAUUUCUUGUCUUGCUGCCUUUUAUGCCACCGGUUCCACAUGCUGAUGUGACAACCCUUGUGCUAUUCUGUACAAAUGGUAGGAAAAUUCUGGUAAGACUGGUGGCCAGCCUAUCAUGUUCAGAGAAUAAAUUCAUUGUAUAUCUGGAAUUCACUCUAUAUCAGCAUAGGGUGUUGAUAUUGAUUAUAAAUGACUAAAUUCAAUUUAUUAUCCUUACAUUAGGGAGUGCUAAAAGGAUGCAAAUUGUUCAUGUUAUACCCAAAGACAUACAAGUGAUGCUAGAGAUUUUCACAAUGUAGAUAAUCAUAGAGUAGAGAUGAACACUAUGGAGUCUUUUGGCAUGUGUUCAUUCCAUGUAUGGGAACAUGCAUUGGAAGAUUAUGUUUCCUCCUCCCUCCCCUCCCCUCCCCAAAGUAAGUACUAUGUUGUCAUGGCAAGAACUUUGGUGACAUGCUUCUGAGUGGAAUAGCCUCCUAGAAGUCCAUUUAUGUGGCAAUUGGCAAGUUCUUCCAGUCAAUGAGAACUUUGUGACUGUCUGAUUGUUGUACUAAUCAUCAUCAGAUUUUUUUUAAGUUCAAGUUGCAAAUAGCCUUUCACAGUUGAAGGUAGCAAUGAAGAGGCCUGUUGACAUAAUUAUUUCUUCUGCUUGAAUGGAUUAAAAUCAGAUACCACACCUUCAGCCUAGAAAACUAUGGACUUUCCUAUGUACCUGCAAUUGGCUGAAUACUGGUGUGACACUGACCAAAGGCUCUCUGAUGCUGUUAUUAAUUUCCCGAGCAAAUAAGAGAAAACAGAGAGGUCAUAAUGUGAAUCAGUUACCUCUUGAGUAGGGAUGAAGGCUUUUUAUACCUUUUUACUUUCUGGUUAGGCCUUGGAAGCACUUCUGUGAACCAUGAUUUUGUACUGUAAAAUUAGAUGGGAUGGAUAGGUCACCUUAACUCUACUUUUGGAAGUGAUUGGGGAGUGCAUGACCGUAUGAAUAUUGAUGUAUUCUCCCCAUACAGAGCCCAACUUCUUUUUGAACUAGGAAGCAUGAAGGGUGGGUGCAUGUGGGCUGAGGAAGGAAGAUUUGACUUGUGUGCUGCAGGCCUGCAGUACCAAUUUGUUCCAGAACUUGAUAAGGCCCAUAAACUGGUAGGCAAGUUUCAUUAUUUGGUCACCACUGAAUUUCGGCAGUAUGGCCACAAGGAAGGUAGGAAGGAGAGGGAGAAGAGAAAGCCCCAAUUGCCAAUUGCAAUCUUCCGGUUGGCACAGUGCUCAUUUGCUGACAUUUCCAUUUGAUUUUAACCUUGAAACAGAUACAGCUUAACGUGAUGGACCAGUUUUUCACAAUCUUGUGAUUCAUUACCCAACUUCUAGUAACAGUUUCUCAGCAGAUGACUCACCCAUGACAGGCUGAUGAUGUCUGCACACAACUUGAAAGGUAUUUAUGCCAAGGUGUGAAAGGUAAUAUUGUGACACCAUUUUUCCUAUUCCAGAAAAUGUACCAAAUGUAUGGCUGGUUCUUGACCAAAAAAUGCUGGCAUUGGUCACCAAGUGCUAGGGUGAUUCUUGACAAAAAAUGUCGUAUUGUUCAGAACAAUGAUUUACAACUUCAGAUUGGCCAUCCAGUUAAUGAUGAUAAGCACUUGUUUUACAAAGUUCAGUGUCAUAAAAGCAAAAUAAUUUUGUCAACAAAUAUGGGGAUAACUUUAUCAUAAUUACUACUUAUGGAAUUUAAGGAUAAGUUGGGUAAUGUGAGAAAGUUUUGGUCAGAGGAUAUGAGGAUAACUUUGUUGCAAUUGCUAAGCUACACGUCCUAGGACUACUAGGAGAAAAGUAUGAGCAACAGAAUGAAUUUACAGUCCAUCCCCACUAGCUGCAUGGAGAGGUUGGGCUUAUUGCUGCUAUGGUGGAGGUCACCUUCUUGUAGACUUUGAAAUGUGCAAAUGAAGAGGCAGAUUUCUUAGAAGAAUGGGUAGGAUUCAGCUUGUGGUAGAUAUUGAGCUUAUCGCCUCUAAUUUCAUGUCUUCUCAAUGUGGAUUUGAGGUUUAACGAGAUUUUUGGGAAAUCAUUAAGAUUAAAAGUAAUCGAAGACUUUCACAUUAAUGAGGUAAUGAAUAACCACUGAUACUUCUUCACCCCAAAGUUCCUUCACAAAAAUUUGGUGAGUGAAGAACUAUUACUGAGUUGUGAAGCACCAAUUCCAGCUUCAUUAUCUUGAUCUUCAGAAAGAGGGAUCCAACUUGAUUUGGGAUUUUAUACCUGUCAACCCAGUCACUGGUUUUUAGGAGAAUACUUCCAAUUUACCCUUGGGUUGCUUUAGAAAGUUUCUUAAUAGUGCCAUCUCUCUAGCUUAAGGGGCUUUUGUUAAUGGAAGGCAAAUUCUAGAUGUGGUUAUCAUUAGUAAUGAAAUCCUAGAUAAAAAAUUCUGUUCUAAGGACGAAGGGAUGGUUUUUAAAAUAGGUUUUGAGGAAGUUUAUGAUCACAUAGAUUGGGGUUUCAUGUAUGAUACAUACUUUGAAUAGGGAAGGCCCUUGAACCUGGAUGGCACAAAGGGACUGGAUAUUUUGAGGUUGUUUUUCAAACUGCAGACUCUUUAAUGGUUAUUGAAGCUGAGUGAUUAGCACUCGAGGAAGAUUCGGACAUGGUUGUUUGCCUGGAUGUAAUGAACCUCCAUAUUGAAGGGGAUUCCUUUGUUAUUGUCUUAGAACCUUCUUUGAAGGCAAAGGUCCUUAGUGGAUUGCUCAUCAGAUGGGGUGGCUUCAUAAUCAUGCUAGAGACAUUGCUUGUUCUUCUCUAUUGAGGCCCAGAUCAGCUAGCCAGGUGCAUGGCUAUAUUUUUCUUAUAGGGAUGCUAAUAUCUGAAAUUUUUUAUUGAGAACACUUACCGCUCUUUGAUUGGUUUGAGGCAUGGAGCGGCUUUUCUGUUCUCUUCUUGCCAUACAUGCAUAUCAUCCCUCUUUUUUUAUCUUGUUUAACUCAAUAAAUUCUCAUUUGUUAUAAGGAAAAAAAGAGAUAUUAUGUUACAUGAUGGAAGGACUUUAUUCUGUUAUGGAGUAUGCAAAACCUAGAUCUAUUAGCUAGAGCUAUACAGUAGGCUGUUGGGUUGUUCAGUAUUGUCUCUUUUUUGGAUAGGUUUGGCCAAUGCCCCUUGAUGUUACUUUUUGGUGAUGUAAUUUUCUUUGAUUUUUCUUGAAAAUUCCUCAUUUUUCAAGCUUGCUUGUAUAUCUUUUCUUCUUCCAUUAAUGAUUGUUUGAUUCCUUACUAAAAUAAAUAACAAAUUAUGAUGGAAAGGAUUAUGUUUAUGGAAAAUUUUGAGAUUUUCACCAGAUUAGAGUCUCCGAAGCUGGUAUUUGUCUUUACACAGAUAAUAGGAAUCAUUUUCCCCCCAAACUACAUAAGACAUGUCUGCUACUUGGUAAUGUUCCAUUGGCAGUUAUAAACUCUCCUGUCAAAUGUGAAUCUGUUGUAGCAUUCCGAAUGGUGUUGUGUCGUACAUAGAUUGGUAAUUGAGGACUUUAUUAUGGAUUUCGUCCUGUUUUGGUUGUGCCAACAAGUUCUAUCCUGUUCUUUGUCUUGCUGAUUUGCGUGGUUGUGCAUCAUGUUCCUACCAGCUGUAUAAUUAUGCUUCUGGAGCAUAGUUAUUCUGGUUUUACCAUCCAGAUGAUGGUACUAAAGUAUUUGUAUUCUAGAUUGCACAACUCCUUAUAUGGGAUAUUUUUGCAUCAAAUGCUUAGUGAUCAAGAGAACUCUCAUAUUAAACACAUUCAUCUUCUAUUAAACUAAAUUCCUUAAGUCUGCAGUCUCACAACUACAUCAUACCAUUCUUUUCCUUUUUUCUUCCUUUCUUGCUAUUACAGGUUGGUUGCCACUAAUAUAGUAGAAAGCAAAUUACACGACCCUGCUUCCAUAAGACCUUUCUUAUUCCAUAGGUUGAAAUAGAAAAAACACUCGAUGGGACUAAUGCUUCUCUUUGCAAGCAAGCAAAUUAAAAUGUUUUGAAACCCAUGCUGCCAUGAUCUAGCUAAUUUGCAUUUUAUAUGUCUACUCCUUUCUAUUUACUCAAAUUGUGUAUUUCUUUUGCUUGUAUUUAUUUCCUGAUGAGUUUAUUCUGAUUCUUUGAUCAGGAUUUCUGCAAUCACAUUGCUUGCUAUUGAAUUUUCAAGGGCUUAAUAUGAAUUAUUAAUAAAGAAGUUGUUUAAUUAUUUCAGCAGCUUAUACUUUGUAAUUUCUUUUAACAACUCUUAUCUCUGAUGUUCAUUUGUAAUAAAUAGCUGGAGAAAGGGCCCAACGUGAACGCCUUCGGGACUUAGCUGUGUUUGAGAGGUUACAUGGAAAUCCUGGGAAAACAUCUCCAAGCCUUGCUGUCAAAAAGGUAAACCCUACAUCUCAUGCCUCUAUACCGCAUCUUAGCUUCUCAUCUUGCAUCGGACAAUGAUACUCUUAUUGAAUCAUCUUUACCAUAUCAGCCAUCAACAUGUGCACUUAUUGAGCACUAAUUCAGGCACUGAUACUUGUGCUUUUGUUUUGUUUUAUCUUCUCUUGUCUUGUUUUGUUAUGGAUGUGAUUGUGUUGGAUGACCUGUAUCUGUGUUAGACACCAAAGCCUAUCUUAAUGGUACUGUAAAGUAAGACUAUGCUAAUAAGCUAUUGAUCUGUUACAGGGUUUAUGCCAAACUGAUUUUUUAGUUUCUCUAGUAGAAAACUUGUUUUUUCCCCUGUUAUAUCGGUGCUAUUGUUGGAUUUGUGUUUGUUGUUGAUCAAGCAUUUGCUGAAACUUUUUUUUUUUUUUUUUUUCCUUUGCUUCUUGAUGUGCAAAGCAUUAUUGUUUGAAUUUUAAUGAUCCCAUUUGAUUCACUAUUCAAUAUUUUUAUUUGAUAUUACAUCUAUCUCAUUUGUUUUCUUUUCUUAGUUUUUAUUUUUAUAUUUUAUAUUUUUAAUUUUUUUUUAAUUUUUUGAAUUAGUGACAUUUGAAUUUGAUGGAGCCACCAUUAAUUUAUUUUUCCUUAUUAUUGUGGGGUGUGCUUUAUUUUGUUCAAUUGUUGUUGCACUAUUAUUAUCAUGUAACUUUUUUUUUUCUUUUCUUUUUUUUUUGUUUAAUCUAUUGUUCCUAUGAGCAUUAAAUGCUCCUAAAAUGUAUGGAAUAGGCUAAACCUUUCUAUAGUUUUUUUAAAAAAACUCAUUUAUUAUCUAUUUUCUUGUGCUCAAAAAAUUAUAUUUUUUUAGUAAAAUUGAAAAUUUAGGGAGCGCUUAGGCCCCAGCGGCUCAACCCCUUGAGGGUUUAUGCCUAUUGUAGCAAGAUGUGGACCCCCUUGCCUCUUAUGCUUUUACCUUAUGAAACUAUACCAAGAAAAAAACGCCACAACUCCCUGCUGCCAUCAAAGGAUACUUCAAAUUUUGCUUGAUAUCAAUUUUAAGGCUAAUUAUCAUAGGCUUGUCAUCAUGUCACUAAAAUUGGUAUUGUAACCAAAGUCCUAUUGCGAAAUCUUCAAGUUGCAGCUCCUUUUUUUCUGUUGGCUCUUGUAUUGUUAGGUGGCCGCAACCUGUUGCUUUACUUAUGCUUUAUGAACUACUCCAGUUAAAAUAAUGCUUCGAGUAGAUGCUUUUUGGAUCUUGACUCUAGCAAGAGGCUUAUAUUGCAAAUUUUUUUUGUGGAGUCCUAGAUAGGUUAACUAGGAAGACAAUAGCUUGCUUAAAAGGAUUGCCACCUCUCCUGUUGGGUUUGUAAAAAUUUUGCUUCUCCCUUGACCUUGGGAGUCCUGUGGUUUCAAUUUUGGGUGUGCUCUAGGUUGUAGCCUGUGUUAUGCUUUCUAAAUGGUAAUCUUCUUGUUUUGGUUGGGAUGCUUUUGUUUAUUUUGCUUGUUUGCUUUCUUUGUUUCUUUAUAAUUGUGGCUAUAGGAUCACCAAUCAACUUUAUAUUUUUUGCAAAAACUGUUUAUGUUUCAUAACGAAAAAGGAAAAAACAAAGGCAAGUUAGCCUACAAUAGGUUCUAUCUUGUUUCUUCUUUUACCAUUAGUGUGGAUUCGAACUCAGGAAAAGGCCUUCAAGCAAGUGGCAUUUGUGUUUUUUAAACAUAUAUCUUUGUUCAAUCAUUGUUAAGUGUUUGUUGUCUUGUCUGUUCUUUUGGUUGUUUUUGUCUUUGUCAAAGUGUAUAACUGUAAUAUCCUACAUCGUAUAGAAGAAAAAGUUUCUAGUGCUAUAUAUGUAUGAAUUUCUUUUAAUCUUGUUGAUUCGUUUUUAAGCCGUGAGGGUCGCUUAGGCUCAAAACAAAUAAUAUCCACACAACUGGGAGCAGGUUGUUACAAAUGGUAUCAAAGUCAAUGCUCGACCUUGGUGGGAGAGUUUGUUUGGCCUGAAAUGGGUGUCCGUUUAUUUGACCCUACAAUCCUGUUGGACACAACAAGAACGUUGUGUCUGCAUGAGAGAGAGGGUGAUUGUAAUAUCUUACAUUAGAUAGGGGGAAAAGUUCCUAACGUUAUAUAUAUAUAUAUGUCUGUAUGUAUGUAUGUAUGUAUAUAGACUCCUUUUAACCUUGUAAACGUAUUUUAAAGUCAUGAAGGCCCCUUAAGUAUAAGGUGGAUAAUAUCUAUACGGUUGAGUGCAGGUUGUUAAAAUAAUUACUUUUAACUUUCCUUCCAUAUGUUUAAUUGCAUAACAUUAUUAUAGCAAAAUAUUAAUCUAUCAUAAUGCAACGUCUUGUAAAGCUUAUGUUAGGUGUCAUGAUUUUAUCUCUUGUCAUUUUUAUUAUUUUGAUUCAAUAUCAUCUUAGCUUAUAAUCAUUUAUACACUUGAUGCAUGAGAAAUGAAGAUGCUAUAAAUUGUAGGAUUCUUUUUCUCCAAUUUGUUCCUUGAUAUUUUAUAAUGCCAUGAAAUGUCUAUAUUUUGAUGCAGAAAGCCGUUCACCCUCCAUCUCUCUCACUAGUUUUGCAGAACCAUUGCCACUAAGCACAUGCAGGCGUCAGAUGUGCGGCCACUUCCAGUGUUGGAAGAGACUUUGAACUACCUAUUAAACCUGUUGGAUGCCACGGAACAUCCUUUUGAAGUGGUUCAUGAUUUCGUCUUUGAUAGGACAAGAUCAAUAAGACAAGAUCUUAGCAUGCAGAAUAUCGUUAAUGAUCAAACAAUUCAUAUGUAUGAAGAAAUGGUAUGAAUUUCUUGAAACAUAAUCUCAAUUACCUUUUUUUUCUGAGCAUUCAUCUCCUCAACAUACAAUAAGUUAGCCAACCCAUUGCUAAACACUCACCUAGUUGGAGAAAAUAAUCAAAGUAUACAAGAUAUAAAAUGUUGAAUAAUUGAGUCAUUAUCCUCUCCUUUUGCUUUAUUGAAUAAGAUAAUUUAUUCAGUGGAGUCCAAACGAGGUGAAACUGUGAUCACACUACUUGAAGCCUACUUUACAAUGGAUAAAUGAAUGGUCUGAUUCUAAAUCUUUCUUGGCACAUUAGUUAUUAUCCAAUCCGUUCUAAUUAAAUUAUCCACUAUUAAGUGUCUAUUUCCAGUCACCCUCCAAGUUAUGAAAGACCCAUAGAACCAAAGCAACUCACACCACAUGUGAUGGGAAUUGAUGCUCUCUUCCAUAAUGUCAAGUUUUCCAGUACACUUGCUGACUUUGUAGAAUAUGCCUACAAAAAGGGCUGCCACCUCCUAAUUCCCAAUCAUAGAAGUUUCUUAACCAUAUUUCAAAAGCUGUAUUUCCUGUUCCCCCUCUUAAAGUUUUUUAAACCUAUAUCUCUUUAUCCUAGUAAUUUGGAAAAAUGAGGAAAUUAUUUAACAAGAACUCCAUCAAUUUGUUCCUUAAAAUUUUCUAUAGUUUCUAUCUCUCUCACUUUUGAUUCAAAUUCUUGAAGCAAAGGAACAAAUUCAUGGCCAGUAACAAUUUUAGCCAAGCAAUAGAAUGCACAACAAACAUGCAUAUGAAUGACUUGUGUUUUUUUAUGAUAAUUGAUUAGAUAUUUUAAUCUCAUCCUAAAACCUUGGAGUUAGCUAAAAGCCGCAUCUUAUGUUCUGACUUGUGGUUUGUUUCAUAAUAUAGGUGAAAUUUCAUAUUAUAUCCCACCACAAGCUUCGCAGUUGUAGUAGCAAGCCAAAUUUUUCUUCAGUUCAUUACCUCAAUAUGGAGCAGCUGAAAAAGUGUCUGAUAUCUCUAUAUGCUCUAUACGAAGAAAAUCGAAAUUCAAAUUCUAUUUACAAGAAUGAACCUGAGUUUUGCUCAUUUCACGUUCUUCUUCAUCUUGGCUCUAACAACCAACCAUUGGUGGAUACUUGCUUCCAUUGUUUGUUUGAGUUCAUCUUUUUCAGUAUCUCUUGUAGCCUUGUACUGGUUUCUGAAUAUGUUACUAUUUCUGUUCUGAAGGGAGAGUCACUCUCUUUAUGGUUGGGUCGUGUACCUUCUCUCAUUUUGAAGUCAAAGGAAAUGUGUUUUGCCCGGAGACUUUUAAGGUGACCACAAAGCUAUUAUAGAUUCGAUUUUCAAUUGAUUUUUUUCUCUUCUUUUAGUACCCAAUGUUCAAAUUUUUGUUUUCAUGAACUGAAAGAUCUGUCUUUUCUUGUAACAGAUUAUUUCGGAUGGGCAAUUAUAAGCGUUUCCUUUGUACUACAGCAACUGAGGCAUCUUAUUUGCAGUACUACAUUAUUGAACCUUACAUCAAUGAGGUUGCUUAAAUAUGUUGAUUUUGCUAGAUUUUUCAGUUUGAAAAAUAUAUGCUUCUUUGUUCAUUUAUUGUUUUUCAGUUUCAUUUCUGAGAAUAUAUCUCAAAUCUAGACUCGAGUACUUGUGCUUUUGGGUUUUAUUUUUCUUUCAUUUUUGUUAGUAGUUGUACUUCAUUAUUCUUAAAUUUCUCACCAACUGUUUCUUUAUGUGGUUUAUUGCUCCUCACUUUCUUCAUUCAUCUGAAGUGUUCAAAUUCAAUUAGCUUGUUUCAUAAACUAGUUCUUAUUUAGAAGUUCUUCUCAACUGCCUUUUUUUAGUGCUUCUAAAAGACAUGCCUGAUUUAUAUACAUUUUUGUUGGUUUUCUUUUGACCGUAAAAGGUUCGAGCAUUGGCAUUGUCAUGUGUAAAUUAUUGUGGCUACAAACUUCAUCCAUAUCCAAUUGCACACUUGUCCAAACUCUUGAUGAUGAAGGUAUGAUUGCAUUUACUAGCAUUAAAUUGCUAAAAUUUGUCAUCCAAAGUUCCAAUUUCUUUUGAACCUUGAAGACUUCAUUUGCAUUCUUGUAGGAAUUAGAUGUGGAAUCAUUUUGCAAUGCUUGUGGUCUUGAGACCAGCACUGGUGAGCGGGGAAAUAAGUUCUUAUCAACCAAGCAAACAAACUUCCAUUAUCCCAAGGAAGUCUUUCCAAGCUACUGCCUUCUGAGUUUGGAACACUUUUAGAGGUAACAAUCAAUUGGAACUAGUUACUCUUUCAAACUUCUUAUUGUACAAAUAUAACCUGCAUGUGCAACCAUUUCUGAUCCCAUAAUUUCAAGAAUUUAUGACACCUUCUAGUGGUUAGUUUUUCUGGGAAUAGAGUAAAGCAAUCUAUUCACUCCCAGAAACUAUCGUCAGAGGAACAGUAGAUAACCCCGCAAGACCAAAUUUAUGUAUGUUGCAUGGAGAUGCAUGUUUUCUGCAUCCCAAUCAUGCAGUGUUGUGUCAAAUGGAAUAAUAGCAGGUGAUGAUAAGUGGUAUUUCUAAAAUCUUCUAAGAGUAUUCCAUCUAUUGUAAUAUUGUUUUACUUAAAAUUGUCUUUUUGAGUCUUAUGUGUAAAUAUUCGAGUUGACCUCUUGUAAGCUAUCAAUUGAUGUUGUAACUUAACUUGAAAGGGAAAUUCUAUAAAUUUAGCCUUGGUUUGGCUCUUGGAAAGCAAAGAAAAAUUAGGUUAGUGAGUUGAUUUCUUCCCUUCCCAUGGAUGUAAGCACAUUCUUGAAUCACGUUAAUUAUUUUUUGGUUUAUUUUGUUGUUUUGUUGUUUAUUGUUCAAUUGUCUCCGCAUAACAAGUGGUAUCAGAGUUGUUUCCGACACACUAGAUGAUUCUUGUGCUAACACAAUGUUUGAGGCUAAAUAUAAGAUAGUAAAAGUUUCUAAAAUAUUUCCCUAUGACAGCUGCCAAUAAAGAAUGUACUUAACAGGAAGUUUGUAAGGUGUUACAUGGCAUGUUGAACAAAAUAUCUGAAAUAUUUGGGGCCACCGAUCCAACAAUAGCAGAUUAUAACACAAGAAGAGACCCUCUAAUCACCAUUUUUGCUUUUGAUUCUUCUUUACAAAGCAUCAUCUACUUUAUACAAAAAGACAACCCAUGGCUGAGCCCACAUUAUUCUCUACAUAUCCCAAAAAAGCCUUACAAAUUUUAGGGCAUGACGCUCUUUUUGGGGGUAUUUUUGGUACUAAAUUUGUGGUAGUCUCUCCAAUACCUAAACUAACCUCCAGAUUUUAAGGCAUGGCCCACUCUUUAAGGUGGUGUUUUGGGUACUAAUUUUUGUUAGGAGAGGUUUUAGUGUGGAAACUGGAGGGCUUUAGACAUGUCGCAUGUAUUUUCUUUUGCAUGCAUUACACAUAGAUCGGAGUUUUUGCAGUUACUCACACUUUUUGUGCGUCCAACAACACUAUAGUGCCACGUCACCAUAUGAUGGGCUCUUUAGUCUUUUCAAACCCAAAAAAACACCAAAAAAAAAAAAAAAACGAAUACUAAAAGGAGUGCUAACUAGCUAUGUGAAGGUGAACUUUUAUAGCUAGCUUCUUAGAGGGACCAUGAUCGCUUAGGCCAAGGAAGUUUGAGGUGAUAAUAGGUCUGUGAUGCCAUUAGAUGUUUUAAGCACAUGUGCGUUACACUAAUGUAUUCAACGAGUCUAUAACCUUGACCGACAGGUCUGGGUAAUCUUUGAAAUUUCAUUGUGAUGGGAAGGUUCCAUGCGAACAACACUUGCACAUGGGUUAGUCAAUCUUAAGAGACGGGGGAAGCCCGUCUAACAACGCACAAUGUGCGAGCUUUGAAAGGCAAUCGGGUUAACAUUUCUGAAUUGGGACAUGACAAUGACAACAACAUUAGGUAGUCUAGAGAUGUUGUCAUAUUAAUUGUUAUCAAUAUUUUUAUUUAUUCAAUAGAAAUUGAGGAUUAAAAAAUACCACAAAAAUUAGAAAAAACAAAAUUAAUUACAUGGCUUACAUUUCAGAUAUUUAAUAAAAUAUUGUAUGAAAGUUGAAUAUCAUACACUAUUAAAUGGUUGGAUUCUCCUCUUUAUUUUUUUUAAUUGUCUCAUCCUAUUAAAUUACUCAUCUAAUAUUAAUUUAUUUUAAAGGUAAAAUUAAUUAUAUUGUAAAAACCUUUUAAUUUACUAGAGUUUGUGCACAACAUCUAAUAUAUACUUAAAUACUUUUCCAUGCUAUAAUCCUCCAACUAAGAAAUGAAAUCAAAACUUAAAAAUCAUUUAUAUAUAUAGAUAUAUGUGAGUAAGGGAGGAGAUCCAACGGAUCUGUGCGCGAGCGAUGGUGAGAAAGAUUUCGUUGGCCUGGAAGCUCGUACCAGCCGGUGGAAGAGAAGCUUCGAGGUGGAGUCGAAGACUUUUGAGAUCGAGGUUGAGAGACAAAAAGGCAAAACGCAAGUCUUCAUUGAGGAAAGGAAAAGAGGGGUUUCCUCGUGGAUUAAGAUGGGGCCGGAGAGCCUAGGGUUUGUUGUGGAAGGGUUGGCUUUGUGUAUUAAGGAUACACGAACAGGCAGAUGGGUCAGAAAUUGGAGGGAGAGAGGGAGGAUCUUUUCAUUGCUGUGGGAUGAGAAUAAGGGAGGAAGCUUUAUCCGUCUGGGUGUAGAGGAUCUGGAGAAGAAGAGGUUUAAUAUUUUUAUCCCCAAAGGAAAUGGAGGGAAAGGGGGAUGGAUUGCGAUGUUGGAAACACUUAAGGCGCUGGUCGUUACUACGGAGAGGAAGAAAUGUCAGAAGGAGGAGAAGAUGCCGGUGGCGCCAUGUUUGGGGAGUAGCUACGCGGAAGUGGUGAAGGGACAGAAAUGUAAUGGCCGGUCAGUGGCUAGGGUAGAAGUAAGCCACAAGGACCUAUGCCAAAACCUAAAAAGGCUGGAUCAGUGCAUUGUUGGAUUGUGGGAUCCGAAGUUAGUCAAGGGGGAGGAUUUGAGGAGUUGGGGGAACCAAUUGGCUCGAUUGUGGGGGUUGAGGGGUAAUUUAGGUUUGGCUAAGUUGGGAAGGGGUAAGGUGUUGUUAGAGUUUGAGAGGAGUGUUGAAGCCGAAAAAGCCUUAAAUAUGGGAGGGCUUUUGGUAGGGAAGACACUGCUGCGACUGGAGAAGUGGAACCCUAGGACGGGGUGUCUGUUAGAAGGAGAGGAGAAGAGUGAGGCCUGGGUGAGAAUUGUGGGGCUUCCCAUCUCGUUGUGGGAUCGGGACAUCUUUAGAAAGGUUGGGGAGAAAUGCGGGGGUUCUUAGUGAUUGAUUCUCAGACGGAGAGGCUGGAAGAGUUGCAGUGGGCAAGAAUCCUGGUGAGACUAUCCGGCGAGGAGCCCCCUAGCAUGCUAGAAAUUGGGGUCGAGGGGGUGUGUUACUCGCUUGUCCUAUGGUGGGAGGUAAGGCCGGUAAUGAGAGUGCUGCCGGCAGAAAGGAGGGGAAAGAACAACGGUGAUGCUGUAGGAGGGGUUGAGGGUGAUGUCGCUACACGUGCAGGUAAGCGCGUGGUGGAAGUGGUGGAAGGUGUGAGGUCGAGACCCACAUGCAGUCUGCUGAUGGGACGAGGGAGCAGACAGGUGGGCCGGGGUCCCUUUGGGCUCGGUCCCGAGGCCCAAAAGGGCCGGGUCUGGGGGACCAAGUAGGCUUGCUUGGGAUGCUUGGCCCUACUGGGCCUCCUCGAGGCCUUGACUUGGGUGUUAGGCCCGAUGGGCUCGAUUCGCCUAAGGUCGGGCCGUUUUUCAGUGGGUCUUCGUCAUCUGAAGGGCCUUCGUCCUUAGAGGGCCUUAGGCCAAUGGAGUCCAUUAAGUUGGGUAGGCUAUCUGGGAAGGAAGAUUGUCAUGAUCCAUCUGGAGUGGCUCUGCCUCUGGUGUGGGCUGGCCCAAGUCAACUGAAGGAGUCAGAUGCUGAAGGCUUCCCUUCCUGGGUUUAUGAUGGCAGGCGGAGGCAAGCUGAAAUGGAGCCCUGUCUCGUAGAGAAGUCAAGGACCAACUGCGCCCUAAUUGAAGAAGCAACGAGGUAUGGGUGUGUUCCUAUCCCUUGUGGCUUAAUGGCAUCUGGACUCUCUCCUUCUCCUCUCUUCUUUUUUGGUCGGACCCCGUUGGGGGAUUUUUGCGACAUUUCUAGGGAUGAUAGGGUAACCUGUUUGAGAGAAACUCCCUUACAUAUGCUUCUCCCCUUGGGACCCCCAGAAGAGGAAAAUGCUUGCCGCUGGGAUUUGAGGGAGGGCCCAAGCGCCUGCAAGGAGAGCAGUGGUAAGGAGCUGAGGCUAGCCCAUUCGAUGCCACGUGAUGGAAAUGGAUGGGAGGAGGAAAGUUGGGAGGAAAGUGAGUUGGCCAAAUUUAGUAAGUUCUUGGGAUUUUCUACAGAAGGUCUGGAGAAAGAAAUUUUGGAGUUUCUGAUUAAAAUCCAAAAGAGAAGGGAAAAGGUCCACAGCAAAAACCUUCUAGAAAAAUCCAAGUUUGAAAGGGAAUUGAAAAGGCUGGAAUGCUCUAUUAACUACGAGGGGGGGAAGACGCAGAAGAGUGGAAUGAUAGUAGGAGGGUGUCAGAUUAUGGUGGUCAAAUGAAGCUGAGAAUCUUGAGCUGGAAUGUUCGGGGAGCUAACGACAACUCGAAAAGAAAGGUGAUUAAGGCCAUGAUCAGGAGUCAAAGAGUGGAUCUGUUCUGUUUCUAGGAGACCAAGAUUCAGGCAAUGACAAAGGGGCUGGUGAGAAGCUUAGGCAUUGGCAGGUUUCUUAAUUGGGGUACUCUGGAUGCCCAGGGGUCCCGCGGGAGGGAUUCUGAUCUGCUGGGAUAAGAGGACCUUGGAAAUAAUGGAAAUGGAGGUGGGGAGAUUCUCAAUUUCAUGUAGGAUGAGGAAUGUGGAAGACGGACUAGUCUGGAUGUUUACUGGGGUUUAUGGGCCAUUUUCUAAAGAGGACAGGGAGUGGAUGUGGAAGGAAAUAGGAGCAAUCCGAGGCAUUUGGGAGGAUCCAUGGUGUAUAGGGGGUGACUUCAAUGUCACCCUGUCACUGAGGGAAAGAAGUAAUCAGGGAAGACUAACGAGUGCAAUGAGAAGGUUUGCUCAAGUUGUUGAUGAGCUAGAACUCAUUGAUCUUCCAUUACAAGGAGGGAUGCUUACUUGGAGUGGGGGGAGGAAUAAUCAGGCAUGGGCCAGAUUGGAUAGGUUCCUGGUGACCCAGAGUUGGCUUGACCACUUCAGUGAGGUUGUGCAAUGUAGGCUGCCCAGACCGACCUCAGAUCAUUUUCCUAUUGUGCUGAUGGGGGGAGGGUUAAGGAGAGGUCCGUCCCCGUUUAGGUUUGAAAAUAUGUGGCUUAAAGCUGACGGGUUCACGGAUCUUCUUAGGGGCUGGUGGCAGGGAGUUGAGGUUAGAGGGAGGGCCAGUGUCAGACUAGCCACUAAAAUGAAGGUGCUGAAGCAUAAGAUUAAAGUGUGGAACAGAGAGGUGUUUGGUAGGCUGGAAGCUAACAAGAACUCAGCCCUGCAACAAGUGGAGUUUUGGGAUGGGGUGGAAAGGGAAAUGAGCUUGUCUGAAGGUGAAACUGAACUGAAAAAAGAAGCCAAGGAUUCCUUUAAAAUAUGGGUCUUAUUGGAGGAGACCCACUGGAGACAAUUGUCAAGGGAAUUGUGGCUUAAGGAGGGAGAUAGAAACACUGGAUUCUUCCAUAGAAUGGUUAAUGCUCACCGAAGGAAUAACUCUCUGGAUAGAAUAAAAAUUAAUGGAGUUUGGAUGACUGAGGAGUAGGAGAUGAGGGAGGGAAUAGUGAGUGCUUUUCAGCAGGUGCUUUCUGAGGAACCAGGCUGGAGGGCGGAUAUUGAGGGGCUGCACCUUAAUUGUCUAAGUUCCAGUGAAGCUAAAACUUUGGAGGUGCAAUUUACUGAAGAGGAAAUUUACGCAACCUUAAUGGGUAUGAAUAGGGAUAAAGCUCCGGGCCCGGAUGGGUUCACAAUUGCUUUUUGGCAAUCAAGCUGGGAGCUAGUGAAGGAGGAGAUUAUGGAAUUGUUUAGAGAAUUCUAUGACCAGUGUUCUUUUACCAACAGUCUUAACUCCACCUUUAUAGUCCUCAUUCCGAAGAAAGGAGGGGCUGAAGAUUUGGGUGAUUUCCGGCCAAUCAGCUUGUUAGGGGGUUUGUACAAGCUUUUGGCUAAGGUGUUGGCGAAUAGGCUAAAGAAGGUGUUAGAUAAGGUGGUGUCCGGGGACCAAAACGCCUUUGUGAGGGGUAAACAGAUCUUGGAUGCGUCUCUUAUUGCCAAUGAGGUGAUCGACUUCUGGCACAAGAGAAACGAGAAAUGGCUGAUCUGUAAAUUGGACAUUGAGAAAGCCUAUGACAGUAUUAAUUGGAACUUUCUCAUGAAAGUUCUGGUCAAAAUGGGUGUUGGGUCGCGGUGGUUGGAGUGGAUUUGGUGGUGCAUCUCUACCGCCAAAUUUUCAAUCAUGAUCAAUGGGGUCCCGACUGGUUUCUUCUCGAAUUCUAAGGGGCUAAGACAAGGUGAUCCCCUCUCCCCGUAUCUUUUUGUGUUGGGGAUGGAAGUUCUUAGUAAUCUAAUUAGAAGGGCGGUUGAUGGGGGUGUCUUAUCAGGCUGCGGAAUUCGGGGGAGAGGGGAAGAGGAGAUGAUAGUUUCCCACCUGCUCUUUGCUGAUGACACGAUCAUCUUUUGUGAAGCUAGCAAAGAGCAAGUGUCCGCUCUAAGCUGGAUUUUGGCUUGGUUUAAGGCGGCCUCCGGUCUUAGAAUUAAUCUUGAUAAAAGUGUCCUUAUUCCAGUUGGUGAGGUGGAAGAUAUUGAGGAGCUGGUUGUGGAACUUGGUUGUAAAGUGGGAGUACUGCCCACUAUUUACUUAGGGCUGCCCCUUGGAGCUCACCACAAAGCUGUCUCCAUUUGGGAUGGGGUGGAAGAGAGAAUGAGAAAGAGAUUAGCCCAGUGGAAAAGACAUUAUAUUUCAAAGGGAGGGCGUAUCACCUUAAUCAAGUGUACUAUGGCCAGCCUUCCUAUUUACAAUAUGUCCCUUUUUCGAAUGCCGAAGAGUGUUGUAAAGAGACUCAAAAAAUUACAAAGAGACUUUCUUUGGGGAGGGGGCAGCUUGGAGAGGAAGGUCCAUUUAAUUAAUUGGGAGGUGGUGUGCACUCGAAGGGAGAAGGGUGGCCUUGGCAUUCGGAAGAUUGACUCCUUGAAUAAAGCUUUGUUGGGUAAAUGGGUUUGGAGAUUUGCCGUGGAAAAGGAUAAUCUCUGGAGGUUAAUGAUUGGGGUGAAAUAUGGUCAGGAAGAGUUUGGGUGGAGAACUAAAGAAGCCCGUGGUACUUAUGGAGUGGGGGUUUGGAAGGAGAUUAUGAAGGAAGCUAAGUGGUGUUGGGAGAAUAGAAAAUUUAAGGUAGGGAAAGGGACUAGAGUAAAAUUCUGGUUUGACUAGUGGUGUGGGAAUGAGAGGCUGUCCCAUUCUUUUCCCCAACUUUAUGAGAUGGCGGUCAACAGGAAUGCAACGGUUAAUGAGAUGUGGGAUCAUAGCAGUGGUCCAGGAGAUUGGAAUCUUAGAUUUCAUAGAGGCUUUAAUGAUUGGGGGAGCUGGAUUUGAUUAGAGGACUGCUUAUUGUGCUUAGGGACUUCAAGCUAUCUUCAGAGGAGGAUGUGGUGCUUUGGAAAAGGGGGGGCCAUGGGAAGUAUGGGGUGAAGGAUGCCUACAAUGGGCUGGUUGUUAUCAAUGCUUGCGACUUUCCGUAUAGAGGCGUUUAGGUGGACAAGGUCCCAACCAAAGCGGCUUUUUUUGCUUGGGAAGCUGUGUGGGGGAAGAUUCUCACCUUGGAUAGGCUUCAAAAAAGGGCUGGCAGUUUCCUAACCGGUGUUUUUUGUGUGGUUGUGAAGAGGAGAGUGUAAAUCACAUUCUUUUACAUUGUAUAGUGGUAAGGGCCUUAUGGGAAAUCGUUUUUGCCCUUGUGGGGGUUCAGUGGGUGUUCCCAGAGUUUGUGAAGGAGGCGCUAUUCAGUUGGAGGGGCCCAUUUGUGGGGAAAAAGAGGAAAAAAAUUUGGAAUUCUAUCCCAUUGUGUAUUUUUUGGACGGUAUGGAAGGAAAGGAAUAGGUUAGCUUUCAAGGGAGGGGUGUUAAAUAUUCAGAAACUCAAGAAUUCUUUUGUUUGUACCUUGUGGAGUUGGGCUAGGGUGUAUAUUGGAGAGGAGUCCUCUUCUCUCUUAGGUUUUUUGGAGUGGCUAGCGGCCACUUAAGGGAGGGUAAGGUGCUUGUUUUUUUGUGCUCUCGUUUUGAGGCAGAUUUGUAUACGUCCUGUAUGCUUGGUGGCCUUUGCCCUUUAAUAUAUUUGUGAUAUUUAUAAAAAAAAAUAUAGAUAUAUGUUAUUAAGUUUAGGUAGUGAAACAAUUAAUGUGGAUAUAAAAUUAAUGCCAAAACUUUUGAUUGAUCCUUCACAUUCUCCACAACCAAACAAAGGAUAUAAGAAAAAUAAAGAAAGAAAUUUAGGGUAGCUUGAUUUUUUGUUCUCAUCUUGUUGUGAAGUUAAUAGAGGAAUGCUUAGGUUGGUGCUCAAUAGUUAAGUGACACCAGGGUAUAAUGAUUCUUCCAAUUGUGUAAACAUUAUCCGCUUUAAUUUCAAUGGAUCAUCAUCACUUUAAAUUGCAUCCACAUGGUUAAGAGCAACUCAUAUGUAUAUAAUAUCAUGAAUUUCUUCUUAUUCGAUAUGGAAUAUCAAAUUAGGUAUUGUAUAAGCGUUUCAACUCAAAUGACUUGGCUUAAUGUAUACUCAAAGCCAUGACAAAGGAACGUACAUGUAAUAAAGUGAAAAUUAAACCUUGUCGCCCUUCUAUCUCUAGUAUGAAACACAACUCCAUUAGCCCUUAAACAUCUGCAAAAAAAGAUAUACACAUCUGUUACAUUAAUUAAAAUAAAUGAUGCAAAAAGAGACUCUACAUGUCCAUGUACAUAAUUUGAUUAGAUUUGUUAUAUAUAUAGACAGAGAGAAAAAAAAACUGCUUAGAUUAAGGAUCUCAUUAAUUAAUACCUAGAAAAUAUAAAAUAAUAAGAAAAGAUUAGAAGGUGUGAAUCAUAAGAUAAAACUACAUUUUUGAAUUAGAUUCAUCGAAAGAUGGCAUAUUGUAUGAACAUUUGUACUCUAUAUAUAAAAAUUCAUAUUAUGGUUGAGAUGUAUUAAUUUGUCAUAUUUUUGGAAAAUUAAAGUAAUGAGUAAUUACACUAAAUUAAAUUAUUGACCUUAUUAAUCAAUACCUCAAGAGUAUAAAAUAGUAAGAAAUGAUUAAUACAAACUUCAUUGAAAUAUUUUUAUACACAUUGUGUAAAUAUUCUUAUUUAAUAAAAGUUUAUAUGUCAUUAAAUAAAUAGAGAAUUUUAACAUUAAUUGCAAUGCUAAGUAGAGGAGAUCCCAUAUUUAAGUUGUUGAUUAAGGCUUAUUUGAUAAAACUUAAUAUAUAUUACUUAAUAACUUAAGUUGACUUUAAGUUAGAUAAUAUUUAAGUUAUUUCCUUAAAAUUUAUUAUUUAAUAUUUACUUUCAGUGUUAAAGUUAUUUGAUAAAGCUAAUUUAAAAAUCAUUUUAAAUUUUCAAAUUGUCAUAUUUACCUUCAUUAAUUUGAUAACUAGAUGCAGAUAAAUGAAAAAAAGAAAUGAGAUUAAGAAUAAGUUAAUUAUUUUGAUUUAACACUUAAAAUUAAAAGUAACUUUAAAAUAUAAUAUUAAGUUAUUUUAUCAAAUAUAUUUAAUAAUUAAAUUAAGUUAUUAAGUCAAUGACUGAUUACCAAACACCCUAUAAGACCUAGAAAAUCGAAUGAGUUUUAAUAGUAUUCAGGAUGGGUAUGACUAGGUGGUGGUUCAAUGUUGAUUAAUCAUAAUUCAAUCAAGGCAAAAUAUGUAACAAAUACAUGUCAAACUGCACCAUCCAAAUGGGCGCCAAGAAUGUUACAUUUGACAAAUGACAAAUGCCAUUAAACCUUUACAGCUAGCAAUUAGAAGAUCACUCUCUUCUUGUAUCUCUCUUUUUCUCCAAACUCCAGGAGGAAAAACUCGAACUCCAUUAUUUUGAUCACAGAAAACAUGGCAAAAAAGUGUGUUGUACUUCAUCUUGAAGCUCAUUAACUUCAUCUUAAUUUGAUCCAAAUUGCAGAAACAUUCGAAACUCCAUGAAUCUAUGGUGCCUUGGUGGCCUACAUUCAUAUAACUGGGGACACUUUGGUUUGCACUACAAUGACCCCCAAACAUGGUUUGUAGAGACUUUAUCAAAAUCACUAGCUUCAAAAGACUAAGGAAAGAAAAAUGUUCUCAAUGAAAACUUGGAGUCGAAUUGCAGAUAAAGACCUAAAACUCCCACUCAAUGUGUUUUAGGAAUUGUUCUUUCAUGGGGAUAAGCUGUUUGGUUUGUACAUGUCUCCUUGGUGAUACUUAGAGAUUGGUGAAGUAUACGUUUCCUUUGUGAUCUGGUUUGUAUCUGGGCAGAUGAAUGUUCAUGCCAGGUUCAUAUAUGUUUAUGAUAUAUGUCACCCUGGAAGGAUCUAGAUCAAGGGGAUGAGUUUGAAAAGCUUGAGUAGGUUUAAAAUGUUCCGAGAAUUGGUGAGCAUGAUAUAUAUCAACAUAUUGCAGAAGACAACAGAGCUUCUGAAAUAUGUCAGAUUCAAUAGUAGGACAUCUUAUCAGCUGUCACUUACUGUAAUUCUAUGCUCUCAAUAUUCAUUUGUUGAAGAAGAAAAAAAAAUUGCUUUAACACUAUUCAAUUACAGGAGAAUGUUCAAUUAUAGAAGAAAAUAAUAUUCGCUAGUCUCUUUCAACUGAAUCAACAUGCAGAGAAAGCAGUCAGGUGACCAGUUAUUCACAUAAUAACUUACAUACAUUGUCUCUCUACCUCUACUUGUUACUCAUCAGCCAAGCUUACAGUAAUAUAAGCUUGGGUUCAUCUCUCUAUGCCACUGAUGAAAACUCCACAUGGGCUUUGCCUUUCUGGUGAUUUUGCAUUUGGAUUCCAACCCUCUCCAAGUGAAGUGGACUUAUUCCUUCUUGCUAUCUGGACUGCAAAUGGAAGUUAACCGGUGCCAAGAGGAUCAAAAGUUGGGCUUACCACCAAUAGACGGCUUGUUCUCUAGAGGCUAAGAUAUGUGGAAGACAGACUGGUAAUGUGAGCAGCGAACCAGUGCAUGGUGCCAUGCUUGGAGAUGGAAAUUGCAUACCAGUGUAUGGGAGAGCUUCAAGCACCCGACUAAUACCAUAUUGCCAACCCAGGGAUUGGUGUUGGAGCCUACUGUGCAGUUGCUAUUUAUGAGGACCUGAGGUUUCCAAAUGGAACUGGAAGCUGUUGGAGGAAAAGACUUACCUCUUUCAAAUGGGAGGUUGGAUCAAACUGCUGUUUCCAGAAGUGCUCUAAUCAAGAUAUUGAAGUCCAGUGAACUAACUUCAGGCAGAGGCAACCAAAAUAAAGCAAUUCUAAUACUCUCAGUCCUCUUAGGCCCCUCUGUGUUCUUCUUCUUCAUUUCUCUGGCUGCAAUUUCUCUAGUUUUCUACUGCUUGAACCUCAAAAAUCUGCAGCUUUAUCACAGAAUCCUGAGUACAAGCGAUGGUAGAAGCCUUUGGCACUGUCUAUAAAGGGAUAUUACCAUCAGGUUCUGGAAAUUCUGUUGCUGAAAGAAGUUGGAGAAGGUGGUGGGAGAAGAUGAGAAAGAAUUCAAAGCAGAAGUGAAUGUGAUAGGCCAACUCACCAUAAGAAUCAAGGACACUAGCUGCGUUACUGUUGUGAGGGUGAACACUGAAUACUGGUGUUUUUUUUUUAUGCACAAUGGCUCUUUAUCAAGGUUCCUUUCUGGAGGCGCCCAAGGACUUGUGUACCUACAUGAAGAAUGCAGUAAACAGAUCAUCCAUUGUGACAUAAAGCCCUCAGAACAUAACUCUUGGAUGAUUCUUCUACAGCCAAAGUUGCAAACUUGGACUGGGAAAGCUUCUGAUAAGCAACCAGACUAGAACACUCACAGGCAUCAGAGGGACUAUGGGGUAUAUUCAGACAACUCGGGCAGCCUAUGUCUCUUAUAAUAACACAUUGUGAAGCAUCAGCUCAAUGCCGGGGUUCAAUCUGCAAAGCAAGGGAUUCAUCAAUGUUUCCUUCAAACUAAAUGAUAAGGAACAGAAAUGGAUCAUUCUGCAUUUUCAGUGGUGUUUGUUAUAGCAUUUAUACAAGAACUCUAGGGGUUUCUAUGUAUAACUUCAUUCCCAUUUUGUAUAAUCCAAAUCUCUUCAAUCGAUUAAAUGUAUAAAUGAAUCCUAUUCAUUGUUUGGAGUAACAACAAAAUUCUGGAAGACUGGGAAAGUUUCAACACUGGAGAGAAGACAAAAUGACAAGACCAUAAAUUCUGGAAGAGGGCUUUGCUUUCUAACCAUUACCAUAAUUUUUGAGCUCAACCCGGAUGAGUAAAUUAUAUUUCAGAAUGUUCAGGAGAUAAUUCUAAAGUGAUGAACCUUCUACUCACAGUUUCUUGUUCUUCUUGAACAGAGCAAUGAACAUCAAUAGUUCAGCACCCAGGAAUCUCCCCUUCCUCCAAUUCCCCCACUGGGAAAAGUCACCUUUCCAGUUAAGAAAAUCAUCAGGAUUAAUUUGAGCAAAACAUCAGAGUAUACAUCAAGAAAGCCUUGAUCAAAAUCAAAAUACAUCAAGAGCUGCCAUUUUCUUCUAUUUCCUCUUCCCUGAAUGGAAUGUCUUUUGGACUGAGGUGAUCAAUGGUAACAGUCUAACAUACUCCUUAAGCUCCGAUUGAGGUCAACGGGGAUUGGCACAUUUCAUGAUUGGCAAACAUGAAUCUCAGGAUAAUCAACAAGUCAACAACUAUCAAUCAGUAAGGAAAAGGAAAUACCUUUGGAUAUUUACAAAUAAAAAAUUUGAGAGAGUCCAGCUGCUCUGUACAGAAAGGCUUGAGCUUAUUCCAUGGCCAGGCUUUAGAUGGUUCUGAAUUAAGGAUGAGAGGGUUGAGUUUUCUUUCAUUCUGCAAUAAGAUUAAAAACAUCAAUGAAACGCUAAAAGUUUAUAUAUAGAAGCCCUUCUAAAGAUAAGAAUUGGUAAGAGAGCCCACCCAUGGUCUAGUAAAGCAACAUCUGUUAGAUAAGUAACCACCAUUCUAUUGUCCAACUAAUGCAUUUAGAUCUAAGAUAAGAUAUGGAAAAAUAGUCGAAAAUAGUUAAAGACAGUCCAAAAACUCAUUUGACUAAUAAUUUUCUAAAAACAGUAACAUAAAACCAGGAUGAAGAAUCCACCCCUCUACCUGACACCACUUCAAUACCAAAUAAAAUGUUAUGAUGACCAUUUAUGGUCUUAAGAGACAGUGGAUGUUGUUUGGGCUCAAGACCUAAGACAAGCCAAAAAUCAAGAAGAAAACAACAUCAAAAUUGGCACAGAAACAAGUACAUCAACUAUCUAAUAAAGAGAUUUAUGCAUGUAACAAAUGCAAAUGAAAUAUGAUCCAAGAUUUUCAUGGAUUAAACAAAAAUUAUUUGAAAUAUGAUCCAAGAUGGCAAAAUAGAAGGAUAAGGUCACAGACAGGACAAUAUUAAAAGAAAUUAUUAUUUUUCUGACCUGAAAAUCGAGGCAUUCAGAACAGUACAAGUUUGUAAGUAGUCCAUGGAAACCAGGGAACAUAUGCAGACGUUGUAUUCUAUUGCAUAAGGCAAACACUCAAUACUUACAAGCAUAAUCAUGCCCAGAAAGCCAUGAAUCCCUUUCUGUUUUGCUUUUUUACCUAUUCUCAUCUCUUAUGGCCAGAAGUGCCCAGGAUGAUACAACCUCACCAAAUAAGUUAGAAACCAGCCCAUUCAGCAGGUUGAGUAGCCAGCUUGCCCUCAAUCUUCUUUGAGUCAACAAACAGCUGGGCAUUAUUGCCUCCAAUGGAGGGUCUGGAAAUAUUAGAGCCGGCAGCAGGGGUGGCUGUAAAACUCUCUGUUCCAAAACCCCAAGUUUCAGGGCCAGAAGUUCCUUCUGUGGCUGGUUUGUUGUGAUGGCCAUUUCGGGUCCUAACAGACUUGCUAUUGUUGUCUGGGCACCUGCCUCAGAGAAAGCCUGCCAAAGAUUAGAGUCUGGGCCAGGGG
rnacentral:lncRNA from 1 species